UACCACCAGCCAUUGAGAAUUUAACACAGCUUCAAUUUCUUGAUUUGAGCAAUAAUUAUCUAGAUGGUCCCAUUCCUUUCCAGGUUAGCAAUCUUCAGAGGUUGCUCAUCUUAAACCUGUCACAGAAUGCAUUGCAAGCUCCAAAUUGGUCCCAUUUCUCUCCCAUGCCUUUUUUGCGCAUCCUCAACCUCAGUAGCAAUCCUCUAGCGUCGAAAUUCCCAAAUUUCAUAUCCAAUUCUCAUGGCCUGACUCACCUUAGCCUUAAUUAUAACGAGUUUACUGGUGAUUUAGUACGUGAAUCAAUAUUUGCCAAUCUGCAUAAUCUUGAAGUCCUCGGUCUUGUUGACAAUUCUUUUGAGGGGCCAUUUCCCCCGGAUAUAUUCAGGCUCUCCAAAUUAAAACGUCUCUCCCUGUCAGGUAACAAAUUUUCAGGUUCAGUUCCCAAUGACAUAAGGUUGCUUUGUGAUCUUCAAUCUCUAUAUUUAGCUAACAAUUCCUUUGAAGGACCGCUUCCACCAAAUAUAUUCAAGCUUGCAAAAUUAAAAGAUCUUGCUCUUUGGGGUAAUAAGUUUUCAGGUUCUGUUUCCAAUGAUAUAGGUUUGCUUUCUGUGCUUGAAAUUCUCAAUAUUCACUCUAAUUUUUUUGAGGGGCCCCUUCCGCCAAAUAUAUUCAAGCUCUCCAAAAUAAGGUUUCUUUACCUCGGGGGUAAUAACUUUUCUGGUUCCGUUUCCAAUGAGAUAGGUUUGCUUUCUGAGCUUGAAUCCCUAUAUCUUGGUUCUAAUGUUUUUGAGGGGCCGCUUCCACCAAAUAUAUUCAAGCUUUCCAAAUUAAAAUGGCUUGACCUCGCAGACAAUAGAAAUUUAUUUGAAGGAAGUAUUCCUAUUGGACUGGGACUCUUGACUAACCUCAGCUACUUAGAUCUAAGUUCCAGUAAUCUCAGUGGCUAUAUUCCAUCUGUCAUUGCAAACCUGAAGCUACUAGUAUUUCUUGAUCUCAGUUCUAAUCAAUUGACUGGACCACUUUCGAAGAUCGUUUCUAAUCUCACAAAUCUUAUACUUCUUGGUGUGGAUUAUAAUAGUCUUAGUGGAAAUAUUCAGAGUGAUUUGUGGAAGAACUCUAUAUCCUUACGUUACAUUGAUUUUGAAAAUAAUUAUUUUUCUGGAAACAUUCCUGAGGAAUAUAACGAUCAUCCAACUUUGGAAUACAUCAAUUUAAGUGGGAACUAUUUUACAGGUAUAUUUUCUUAAUAUAUCUUUUCCUUUUGUCAUAUAUAUGUAACUAAGCUAGUAAUCUGAUUAUUGCAGUUUUACCAAAGUUUCAACAAUCUUGACAGGUGAGCUUCCAACAACAAUUUGCAAUGUCACCUCCCUUUCGGUUCUUGUUUUGUCAAAUAAUAAAUUAAGUGGUGCACUUCCAAACUGUUUCGGGAAUCUUGCUGAUGGAUUGCUUUACAUUAAUCUUGCUAAUAAUCAGUUUCAAGGAACAAUACCAACUACUUUCUCCAGGAGUUGUCAGUUGACAUAUCUAAACAUGGUUAAUAAUGAGUUUGAAGGAUUGAUGCCCCCAUCUUUAGCGAACUGUAAGCACUUGAAAAUUCUUGAUAUAGGCAAUAAUAAAAUAGGUGGUACAUUUCCGUCAUGGCUUUAUGCACUUGGAGAGCUAGAAGUUCUUGUCUUGCGAUCAAAUAAACUCUAUGGUACAAUAAGUGGAAGGAGCAUAGAAGAUCCCUUCCCCAAGUUGCGGAUUGUGGAUCUGUCCAACAAUCAAUUCACAGGCCAUUUGCCAAUUCAAUACUUUAAGAAUAUGAAAUCAAAUGAUAAUUUGUAUCGUUAUCUGAAUUCCACAGGAGAAAUAUAUAUCUCUUAUGAAGCAGCAGUCUCAUUAACUGUGAAGGGAACAGAGUAUGAAGUAGCAAAGAACCUUCAUAUUUACACAGCCAUUGAUCUGUCGUGCAACAAAUUUCAGGGAGAAAUUCCAAAGGUUACCGGAGAGCUUAGAUGGCUUGCAUUGCUCAAUUUAUCUCAUAAUAGUCUAACAGGACCUAUCCCAUCAUUGCUGGGAAAUAUGAAAGAACUCCAAUCUUUAGAUUUGUCCUCAAAUCAACUGACAGGGGCUAUUCCACCUCAGCUAACUGCAUUGACAUUUCUAGAGGUCUUGAACCUCUCGGGAAACCAUCUUAGUGGAGAGAUUCCUCAGAAAGGACAGUUCAGCACAUUCAACAAUGAUUCUUAUCUAGGAAACUCCGCGUUAUGUGGAUCACCUUUGACGAAGAAAUGUGGAAACACUGUAUCACCUCCACAGGAAGUCGGAAAUGGUGAUGAAGAUGAUGCGGGUGAUGAAUGGACAUGGGAAGCAAUCGUGAUGGGAUAUGGAUGUGGACUGAUAUGUGGAUUGUCAUCUGCGUACAUUGUUCUCAAACUAGGAAAGCCUUGGUGGUUUGUGAGAUAUAUCGAAGUACUGCAACAGAAGUUGAUGAAAAGAUAUGCAUGAAGAAAGGUACUGGUAGAUCAAGAUGAAAAGAUAUGAAGAAGUAUUUGGUAUUAUGUAAUAAUCCGUUUGGUCGGGACUCAAAAUGAUUUCUCUUGCUUCAGGGGUAUUAAUAUUAACCUUGCUAUCUUGUUCAAUGUUAAUGCAAAUUAAAAAGAAUAUAAAAGCAAAAAAUUUGCAUCAAACACCUGUUGUACCAACAUGCAUCCAUUAAUUUGCUUUCAUCUAUUAAGUAACAAUUUAAGAGCGCUUCCACUCUGUUUAAGCAUGGAGAUUACACAAAGAAGGCAAGUCCAUGGAUUAACACGUAGUCCACAUCUAUGCUACGAACAAUUCACAUUGAUCUUAUAUCUGUUCAACAGUCUCCCGAAGAUAGGCCAUAAAUGUCAUCUGUGGCUCUUAUGUUUGUCAGUAAAGGAGAAUCUCUGAUGCCUAUAACCUGGUUUUCUUACAAGAUGCCCAGGUUAUCAUGGCCAUGCAGAAAAAUGCCCAAAAAUGAAUAGCUCAGGUCUCCCCAAGCCUUCCAGGACUCAUUCCAAGUCUUCGGAGGACCACUGCCUCCCCCUUUCAAAGAUGUGAUUGUAGCUCGAAAGUGAUAUAAAUUAUUUUCCCCACAUUAAAAAUAAAAAAUCAGAUUAAAUUAAUCAAUAAUAAAUUAAGGAUGAAAUCCAAAUUAAUCCUAAAUUUUGAUAAUAUAUAAAAAUUAUAAUUAUAAAUUAUAUAACCAAAUCAGAAUUGAAUUAACUUACUUGGCACUAGAAUUGCUAAAGACAGUAUAAUAAUUUAAUUGAUGAAAAGUCAAAGUCUUCUAAUAAAUCCAUAAAGAAUAUGAUAAUAUGAAAAUUAUAAUUGAAAAAUCAAAAUCAAUAGUGUAUUGGAAUAGUGUUCACACACUUAUAUAUCAAAAUUUGUGGUCCAAAAACUAUAGCACAAUAUCCUAAAUACAUCACAUUAAAUAAUAGCACAAAAAUAUUCAAUAAAUAAUUGAUUUCAUUCAUAAAUUUGUUAUUUUAAAAACUAAUAAUUUGGUUGAUGUUAACCUAUAUUUUAUAUAUAAUUUCGUCUUAUUUUAUUUUACUAGAAACAAUAUUUUUAUAAUAUUUAUUACAUUAAAUAUAUUAAAAGAUAUAAUUUUAUUAAAAAAAUUGAAUAAAAUUAAAAGGAUAAGUCUCGGCCUCUCCAAGUCUACAAGACUCAUUUCAAGUCCACCGAGGGCCUCAACCAUUGAGAGAUGUGAAAGUAGCUUGAGAGUGAUAUAAAUUAAUUAAAUUAGUUAAUAAUGAAUCAAGACUAAUCAUGAAUUAUGAUAAUAAUUAAAUAAAUUAUAAAAUUAAAUUAUACAAAUAACACUAAACCUUAGUUACUUUAUUGGUAAAAUAAAUAUAAUAUAAUAAUUAAAUUGAUGAAAAAUCAAAAUCAUCUAAUAAAUUCACAAAAAAUAUAUGAUCAUUAGUAUAUUAUAUUAGUAUCCACACACUUAUAUUUCAAAUCUAUCCUCCAAAAUUAUCAUCUCGAUAAACUAGCCGCAUAAAAUAAAAAUUUAACGAUAUUAGAUAUUUAGCUAUUUUCAUUAUAUAAUUUUUCCACACUAAAUAACAAAAUAUCUUUAUCAAAUUAUUAUUUAUGAAUUAAAUAUUCAAGUUAUAAUUCCAGCAUGCAGCGUAUAAAUAGAAGUGUGCAGUAUGAUAUCAGAUUCAUAACCCAGUUGAGGAGAAACAUGGCACACUCUGUAAAGCCUUCUCACCUUCUUCUCUUUGUUUUCUAUCUCUCUUAACUUGAAUACAUUCUUGCAACAACACAAGAGGGAGAAGCUCUUGUGAAAUGGAAGAAUAGCCUAGCCCCUUCUUCUUUUCUCGACUCUUGGUCACUCACCAAUCUCGAUGAUCUUUGUAACUGGACUGGCAUCACUUGUAACUCUGCAGGUUCAGUCUCUCAGAUCAACCUUUUCGAAAAACAACUUGAUGGAAUGCUGUCCGAGUUUGGUUUCACUUCAUUUCCGAAUCUCAACAAUCUCACCCUCGCAUACAACUUCUUCUCGGGUCCGAUACCACCGGCCAUUGAGAAUUUAACACAGCUUCGGUAUCUUGAUUUAAGCUUUAAUUCUCUCCAUGGUCCCAUUCCGUUCCAGGUUAGCCAUCUUCAGAGCUUGCUCAUCUUAAACCUGUCACAGAAUGCAUUGCAAGCUCCAAAUUGGUCCCAUUUCUCUCCCAUGCCUUUUUUGCGCAUCCUCAACCUCAUUAGCAAUCCUCUUGCGUCGAAAUUCCCAAAUUUUAUAUCCAACUCUCAUAGCCUGACUCACCUUAGCCUUAAUUUUAAUGAGUUUACUGGUGAUUUAGUACGUGAAUCAGUAUUUGCCAAUCUGCAUAAUCUUGAAUUGCUCAGUCUCGUUGAAAAUUCUUUUGAGGGGCCAUUUCCGCCGGAUAUAUUCAGGCUUUCCAAAUUAAAACAUCUUCACCUGUCAAGUAACAAAUUUUCAGGUUCAAUUUCCAAUGACAUAAGGUUGCUUUGUGAUCUUGAAUCCCUAUAUUUAGGCAACAAUUCCUUCGAAGGACCCCUUCCAUCAAAUAUAUUCAAGCUUUCAAAAUUAAAAAAUCUUGUUAUUGGGAGUAAUAAGUUUUCGGGUUCUGUUUCCAACGAUAUAGGUUUGCUUUCUGAGCUUGAAAGCCUCUAUCUUGACUCCAAUUUUUUUGAGGGGCCGCUUCCGUCAAAUAUAUUCAAGCUCUCCAAAUUAAGGAUUCUUUCCCUUUGGCAUAAUAACUUUUCAGGUUCUAUUUCUAAGGAUAUAGGUUUGCUUUCUGGACUUGAAACCCUCUUUCUUGACUCUAAUUUUUUUGAGGGUCCGCUUCCCCCGCAUAUAUUUAGGCUCUCCAAAUUAAGAGAUCUGGGUCUCUCAGACAAUAGAAAUUUAUUUGAAGGGAGUAUUCCUAUUGGACUGGGACUCUUGACUAACCUCAGGUACUUAGAUCUAUAUUCCAAUAAUCUCGGUGGUUAUAUUCCAUCUGACAUUGGAAACCUGAAGCUACUAGAAGUUCUUGAUCUCAGUUCUAAUCAAUUGACUGGACCGCUUUUAAAGAUUGUUUCUAAUCUCACAAAUCUUAUGUUUCUUGAUGUAAGACAAAAUAGUCUUAGUGGAAAUAUUCAGAGUGACUUGUGGAAAUAUAACGAUCAUCCAACUUUGGAAUUCAUCAAUUUAAGUGGGAACCAUUUUACGGGUAUAGUUUUUCUCUAUAAAUCUUUUCUUUUGUCAUAUGUAACUAAGCUAGUAAUCUGAUUAAUUGCAGUUUUACCAAAGUUUCAACAAUCUUGACAGGUGAGCUUCCAACAACAAUUUGCAAUGUCACUUCCCUUUCAAUUCUUGAUUUGUCAAAUAAUGGAUUAAGUGGUGCACUUCCAAACUGUUUCGGGAAUCUUGCAGAUAGAUUGCUUUUCAUUAAUCUUGCUAAUAAUCAGUUUCGAGGAACAAUACCAACUACUUUAUCCAAAAGUUGUCAGCUGACAUGUCUAAACAUGGAUAAUAAUGAGUUUGAAGGAUUGUUACCCCCAUCUUUGGCGAACUGUAAGCACUUGAGAAUUCUUGAUAUUGGCAACAAUAAAAUAGGUGGCACAUUUCCGUCAUUGCUUUAUGUACUUGGAGAGCUAGAAGUCCUUGUCUUGCGAUCAAAUAAACUCUGCGGUACAAUAAGUGCAAGGAGCAUAGAAGAUCCCUUCCCCAAGUUGCGGAUUGUGGAUCUGUCCAACAAUCAGUUCACAGGCCAUUUGCCAAUUCAAUACUUCAAGAAUAUGAAAUCAACUGAUAAUUUGUAUUGGUAUCGUAUUUCCACAGGAGAAUUAUUUUUCCAAUAUGAAGCAGCAGUCUCAUUAACUGUGAAGGGAAGAGAGUAUGAAGUAGCAAAUAACCUUCAUAUUUACACAGCCAUUGAUCUGUCGUGCAACAAAUUUCAGGGAGAAAUUCCAACGGUUACUGGAGAGCUUAGAUGGCUUGCAUUGCUCAAUUUAUCUCAUAAUAGUCUAACAGGACCUAUCCCAUCAUUGCUGAGAAAUAUGAAAGAACUCCAAUCUUUAGAUUUGUCCUCGAAUCAACUGACAGGGGCUAUUCCACCUCAGUUAUCUGCAUUGACAUUUCUAGAGGUCUUGAACCUCUCGAAAAACCAUCUUAGUGGAGAGAUUCCUCAGAAAGGACAGUUCAGCACAUUCAACAAUGAUUCUUAUCUAGGAAACUCCGCGUUAUGUGGAUCACCUUUGACGAAGAAAUGUGCAAACACAGCAUCACCUCCACAAGAAGUCGGAAAUGGUGAUGAAGAUGAUGCUGGAGAUGAAUUGACAUGGGAAGCAAUCGUGAUGGGAUAUGGAUGUGGACUGAUAUGUGGUUUGUGAGAUAUAUCGAAGUACUGCAACAGAAGUUGAUGAAAAGAUAUGCAUGAAGAAUGAUACUGGCCGAUCAAGACGAACUUGAAAGUUUGUUGUCCUUGUGGACAUUUCAGCUGAACCAGUAGUGUACUAUUCUCUUUGUGACUGCAUAAGUAUUUUGUAUUGUGUAAUGUUCUGUUUGGGCUUAAAUCAUAAUGAUUUUUCUUGCUUCAGGGGUAUUAAUAUAAAACCGUUUGGUCGGGACUCAUAAUGAUUUCUCUUGCUUCAGGGGUAUUAAUAUCAUCCUUGCUAUCUUGAACAAUGAUAAUGCAAAUUAAAAAGAAUGAAAAAACAAAAAUAUUGCAUCAAACACCUGUUGUACCAAGAUCCAUUAAUUUGCUUUCAUCUCUUACGCAACAAUUUAACAGCACUUCCACACUGUUUGAAAGAUUAUCAUAAAUUCGAGUUUUCCUCUCCAGCACCAAAUCCAAAUUAAUAUACAAUGCCACACAUUCCAGUCUCAGCUUCAGCUCCCAGGGUAGCAUUCAUUUAGCCAAGCACGACAGUGGCCGCUUACGUGCCUAACAAUAACAGUUGGGGAUUUGAGUGAACUUGCCUUGGUCCUGCCUUCAAAUGUCUGACAAUAACAGUUGGAUAUGUCGACAAAAAAAUUGUUCCUCACAGAGGAGCUAAUAGCAAUUGACUUCGAAUAAAUCCGACAGUUCUUUUCAUCCAGUUAUUAUUUCAGCAAUAUGUCUAGCAAAUAUGUAGUGCACUGGACACCAUACUACCAACACAAGUAGUAAAAGGAGAGACCAUUGUUUCGAAUGCUCGGAAAUUUGAACAGGGUUUUUUCCACCUGCCCCCUGACUUUUUACACAAACAGGUCAAGAAAAACAGAAGCCGGCUUCUGGAAAAAUGAAGCACUACUUUAUGAGUGACCAUUGUUUUGAAUGCUCGGAGAUGUGAAGUGGAUUUUUUCAGCCUGCCCCCAGACUUCUUUUUGUAAAACUAGAUUUCUUUAGCUCCGGUGUCUUAGUAUUGGAGAUUAUGAGUGACUGUAGAAAAGACUUUAAUAUGAGUGUGAGAUAUACCCCGGUGGAAACAGGACCUUGAUCCAAAGGGUCACGGGUUCAAACCUCACCUGAUCGGGUUCCACUCCACGCUCGGUCCACAUCUAUGCUGGAUUCAUAUUAAAAUGAUAAUGGAACACGGGCGUCCAUGGUUGGGGAUAUCAUAUUAAAAAGAUUAGCUGGGCACAGAUGAAUAUUUAUAUGGAUUUUAAAAACAAACUAUGACUUAAUAUAAGAAAAAUCAUUAUUUUUUAUUUUUCCGACUAAACAUUUGUUAGCCUUCUCUGGUGCCCAUCCAAAUCAUUCAGCGGGUUCUACUUUCAGCUCAUCACAAGAACAUCAUUCUGCAGGUACUUUCUUAUAUUGUUUGCCAGCGGUGACCGAGCCAGAAACUUUUUCGAGGAGGGGCCGGAAUAGAAAUAUUAUUUAAAUUUGAAAAUAUUAUAUAUCAUAUUGAAAAUAGUAUUAGUAACAAAAAUCCAUUUAUUUUAGGUUUCUAUGAGAAAACUCAGUCGUUUCAUUAAGAAAAUUUAAUUACUUAAUUACCAAACGGUUGAGGAUGAAGAUUUGAAAGAACGAGUUGCAACGGGGAGACUCAUAGACGCGACAGAAAAAAAUAGAAAAAGAUAUUGUUCAACAACCGAGUCUAUAUUAUUAAAAUUUAUGAUAAAUGAGAUAAUUUUAUUUUAUAAACUAACUAAAUACAUAUAAUAUAGUAUUAUAUGUAAUGCUACGUAAAAUUGGAUACAAGAUUUUGCACAAAAUGAUAUGAUAACUAAAGUGAAAUAUUUUAAUUGGUGCUAUUAAUGUAUAUAUACAUUUAUUACAAUUAAAACUUAACACAUAUUAUUAAUUUUGUGAAUAAAAUAUUUUUCUUAAUAAUAUAUAAGUAAAAAAAAUAAAAAUCUAGGAGGGGCUCAGGCCCCCUCUGGACCCCUCUAGCUCCGUCUGUAUACACCUAUCAUAUUAUUGACAGGUGGCUCUCUCAUAUUGCUCACAGGCGAACUCCUGCAUAUACUUUGUGAACCAAUCAUGACAAAAAUAUCAUCAUCCAAUCAAUUCGAUUAAUUAUUCUUUAAAUCAGUACAAAUAUUGUUAAAUAUAUGGAUGAUUAUCGUGUUUCCGCGAACCAAUCAUGAAAUGAAAUUACCUCUGUAUAAAUCCAUCGGAAAUAAGACAAUUAAUGGGGCCGUUUGGGCAAGCUUAAAAGAAGUGACUUCUUGCUUAAACUAGAGAAGUGGAGCAGAAGUGAGAAGUAAAUAAGUUAUUAAAGUGUUUGGAAAAGAAGCAGAAGCUGUGAGACAAAAGCUAGCAUUCUCAGCUUUUUAAAAGUGACUUCUUUACACAAACGGGUAAAAAAAGCAGAAGCCAGAAGCAGCUUCUGCUUCCGUUAAACAAACAGGCCCAAUAUCUCAAUCGAAUACACCCCGUGAGUUGUCAAACUCCUCGAAACGUAUUAAUCACUUUAGAAAUUUGUUCCACUGGCGCCAUUCAGUUCCAGAGUUGGUGGUAGGGGCCGUGCUUCUUGUGUUUCUUCUUUUCAUUAUUGACAUUGUCAUCUAGGUCCUUGCUUCUGGGCUUUGGAGAAGUAAACAAUGGAUCUAUUAGUCUUCCAUAUCGCUGAUACGCGCUAACGCGCAUUAUAGUGGAUUGAUCUUUAUUAGUGAUUUCUGUGGAGAUGCAUAAUCAUUAUAAGCUCCAAUAUAAAAUAAACCUAAUUUAAAGUUAGUAUGGGCAUUUGUGUUGAUAAUUUACGCAAUGUUAACAGGGAUUGCUCCCAAGUCUUGGACGGAUUCUUUCCAAGUCUUCUGAGGACCUAUUUGCACACUAAUUUGUCGCCAACUAAAAAUUCAACGAUAUUGCUAGCUCCCUCUACUAAUUUUUUGCGGGACGUUUUUUACUUUUAACACAUAUCUUUAGAUAGAAUUAGUAUUGUAAAAAGCGGGAAUCAGACUUAAUCGGUGAAGUCACAGAACAACGAUUAAUCGAUGAUUAAUUGGAUUGAUUGGGUAUCAAUCGGAUGAUUAAUGAAAUAAUCGGAUAUUUAAUCCGUUCGACGAGUUACGGAACAGGGAUUAAUCGUGAUUAAUCACCGACUUUUAGAACAGAGGAUAGGAUAAUAAAAUUAUUAUUUUUGAUUAUUUUUUUUGUGAAUAAAAAUUUUGAUUAUAUAUUUUUAUUAAAAAAGAAUUUAAAAUAAUAUUUUUAACUAACCGGUCCAAACAGCUAAAAGUGUGUGCCCAAGCGUCAUAUAAAAACGGAGGGAGCGAGCAUGUGCUGACUAACGGUUCAACUAACAGUUUACAAGUACUCCAUCUGUCCCAUUUAGUCCUAUUUAAUUAUAUACGUUUUUUUUUAACUGUUUGACACGCACUUCAAUGCUCUUCUAAAAUAUGGUUCUAUAACUUAUUUUUAAAAUUUUCUUUUUCUGAAUAAAAAUAUAACAUUCAAACUUUUAUUCAGAAAAAAAUAUCGUAAAAAUAAGUUAUAGAAUUAUAUUUUAUAAGAGCAUUAAAGUCCAUGUCGCGUCCCCGUCUUCUGAUGUAUAAAUUUGCGCAAUGUUAACGGGGAUUGCUCAUUUGCUCUCAAGUCUUGGACGGACCAAGUCUUCUAGGACCCAUCUGCACACUAAUUUGUCUGCCAACUAAAAAAUCAACGAUAUUGCUGCCUCUGCUAUUUUUUACCAGGACGUUUUUUACUUUUAACACAUGUUUAGAUAGGAUAAUAAAUAUUAUUAUUAUUGAUUAAUUUUUUUGUGAAUAAAAAUUUUGAAUAUAUAUUUUUAUCAAAAAAAGAAAAUUUUAAAAAUAAUAUUUUUAAGGGAAAUUAUUAAUGGUACUAUUGUGCUACUGGCUUUUCUAAAUGGUACUAUUUUGGUGUUUUCGACUUACAUGCAUUAUCACUUCCAUUAACGAUACUACCAUUCCGUCCCUCAAAACGUUAAAACCAUUAGUUGACCGUAUUUAUUUUGUAUUUUCCUUGUAAAAAAAACAAAAGAAUACAACUAAUAUUUGUAUUUUUUGUUUGUGUUCAAAUCGUCGAGAUAUGGAAGAGGUUAUCAGAAUUUUAGAAUUGAUUCGAUGUCCUUCAGAAAGUCAGGGGGAAACGGAAUGAGAUACGAGUUUUGAACAAGAAUCCAGUUUAGUUGUUGUUUAUCUUGAAAAACAGAUUUGGAAGUCAUAUAUUUUCAGCCUUUGGCUUCAUGUAUUUCUGUCUCAUCAUUCCCAGAUACUUGCUGAGGUUUAUAGUCACUGUUUAUUAAAUGUUGUCGUACAUUUUCCUGUAUUAUGCACCCAUGUGGCGCCUGUGUUUUGCAUGUCAUGCACAAUUUGCUCAACUACAUACAGGUCACAGGAUGAGUGCAUGUGCCAAAGGGAUUAGUGCAUUGAUCUGUGUAGUGUGAGGACACUGUGAUACAAGGCACAAUUUCUCAGAUUUCUUCUGUCAACACCACUCCCAUCCAUAGCUCCCACCUUUUCUCUCUCAAUCUCAUGUUUCUCUCUUUCUCUCGCAGCUCCGCCGCCACCACUACAUCAGUCUUCAAGAACUCAAGAAAAAAUAUGGAUAUCAGUUAUAUUUUUUGUGUUUUUUAAAGAAGUAUAUGAAAUAAAUAUAGUCAACUAAUGUUUUUAACGUUUUGAUGGACCGAAUGGUAGUAUCAUUAACGGAUCAUAAACUGAGUGGUACCACUUGUAAGUAAAAACCAGUGUUGUAAAAAGCGGGAAUCGGAUUUAAUCGGUGAAGUCACGGAACAAAGAUUAAUCGGAGAUUAAUCGGACUAAUCGGUGAUUAAUCGGAUAUUUAAUCAGUUCGGCGAGCUACGGAACAGGGAUUAAUCGGUCGUGAUUAAUCACCGACUUUUAGAACAGAGGUAAAAACACGAAAUGGUAUUAUUCAUAAAAGCCAAUACCACGAUGGUACCAUUAAUAAUUUCCCUAUUUUUAAUUACCGAGUCCAAAUAUUUAAACGUGUGUGCCCAAAAUUAAAGCCGCAUAUAAAAAAACGGAGGGAGCAUGUACUAACCGUUUCCAUAACAGUUUACAAGUAUAAGUUAUACUCCCUCUCAAUUUUUUUAUUUUUUUAUAUGACGUUUUGAUCUUGGGCACACAUUAUUAAGUGUUUUGACCGGAUAGUUAAAAAUAUUAUUAUUUAAAUUUUCUUUUCUGAAUAAAAAUAUAUAACCAAAAAUUUUAUUCACAAAAAUUUUUAGUGAUUUUUUCGUGAAUACCUAAGGCCAAUUUUUCAAAUAUUUUGUAAAAAUACCAAUUUUUUGAAAAUAUUUGCAAAGAUAAUGUAUUCAACCACAUGCAACCAUACUUAUAACCAGAUGUAACCAUAAUUGCAACCUCUGCGGGACCAAUUAACUGAAUUUGUAUUUGGUUGCACUAGUUAGUAUUUUCUUAAAGUUAGUAUUUUUGUAAAUAUUUUUAAAAAAAAGUAAAAUCGCAAAAAAAAAAAUCGAAAAAAUGGUUUGAUAAAUUUCUAAAUAUUUAAUCACAGAACAAUAACUUUUACAAUCCGAUCAACUCAUUUAAAAAUGUGUGUCAAAAGUAAAAAUGUCAUAUAUAUAUAUAUCAUAUAAAUGUCAUAUAAAUUUAAAACAAAGGGAUNCAUAUAAAUGUCAUAUAAAUUUAAAACAAAGGGAUAUAUAUUUUUUAAUAAAAUAUACUCCCUCUAUCCCAAAUAAGUGUCAGUGACAUUUUGCAAAAAUAGCUUGGGACAAUAGAUUUUUUUGCCACUCAACUUAAUGUGUUUUUAGAAAUUCGCCACCCAACUAAUUUUUUUUUCCUUUUACUCACUAAUGUUAGGUUUGGAUUUUUUUUAGCCACCAACUUAGGUUCGGAUUUGAUUACUAGUAUUAUGAUAAUUUUAUUUAUCACUAAACUUACUGCGUCUUUAGGAAUUAACCACUGAACUAUAAUUUUUUUAUUUUACUCACUAAUGUUAGGUUCAUUUUUUUUGUCACUGAAGUUAGGUUCGGAUUUGAUUAUUAGCAUUAUAUUAAUUAUGUGUAACAUUAUUAAAAUAUAGUGGUCUAUAAUAUUUUGAUGAUUUGGUAUAUGUCUGUAUCUUUAUAUAUAGUACUUUUUAUGUCUCCAAUGUCGUUUAACUUGAGUGGUAAGAAUUUUACACGCAUUUUAUGGCUUUUAAAAGAUGUAGUUUCAUAAAUAAUUUUAUUUUUUUCUUCCGAAUAAAAAUUCAGCGUUUUACACACAAAAAAAUAACAAAAAAAAGUUAUGAAGCUAUGUUUUAUAAGAGUCUUAAAAUACGUGCUAAGCAGUAGAAAAAACUGUAAACUAAUGAGAGGGACAUGUAGUAAUAAUAAUAAAAUGAUGCAUUAUAGAGGACAAUCAUCGAAAAUUAAGUUAACCUCUCUAUUUAUUUAUCUUGAAAAUUGUAGUAAAAUAAAGUUAUUAAAAUUUAUGAAGAUAAAUUUGAGAGAGAUCUUGGACUGAGCUAGUCAAUUGAAACUUUAAUAGCGAAAGAUGAUGCAUCAUAUCAAUCAAUUACACUUUAUCUUCUUAUCAUCAGGGAGGGUGAAUUGUUUGAAGUCAUUGAUUUCAUAUUCAUGAUUUAUUGAAUUUUAGAAUUCUAAUUACGAUUUUUCCUGGUUUUAAUUUUUCAUCGGCUCAUUUUAUAUUAUUUUUGUUAUAUAUAAGGAUAUAAACAUACGACACAUCAUCAAAAUAUUACAUACUAUCACUAUGUAUAAAUGAUGCGACAAAAAUUAUCAUAAUGCUAGUAAUUAAAUCCGAACCUGAGUAGUGGCUAAAAAAAAAUCCAAACCUAAUAUUAAUGGUAAAAGGAAAAAAAAAAUAGUUAGGUGGCAAGUUUCUAAAAACACUAUAAAUUGAGUGGCAAAAAAAAUCUAUUUUCCAAACAUAGCUUGGGGUAAUAACAAAACCUUAAUCAACGCAAGCACAGCAGACCGCAGGCAUAAGGCUUAUAAAUAGAAGUGCAGUAUUGUGUUGAUGGUCAAGUUGAGUGGAAAUAUGGUACACUUUGUAAAGCCUUGUUAUCCUCUUCUCUUUGUUUUCUUUCUCUCAUUACUUCAAUCCAUUCUAACAACACUACCUGAAUCCAGACGAGAGGGAGAAGCUCUUGUGAAAUGGAAGAAUAGCCUAGCCCCGUCUUCUUUUCUCGACUCUUGGUCACUCACUGAUCUCGAUAAUCUUUGUAACUGGACUGGCAUUACUUGUAACUCUGCAGGUUCAGUCUCGGAGAUUAACCUUUGUGAGAAACAACUUGAUGGAAUGCUGUCCGAGUUUGGUUUCACUUCAUUUCCAGAUCUCAACUAUCUCACCCUCGCAGACAACUUCUUCUCGGGUCCGAUACCAUCAGCCAUUGAGAAUCUAACACAGCUUCAAUAUCUUGAUUUAAGCAUGAAUAGUCUCAAUGGUCCCAUUCCUUUCCAGGUUAGCCAUAUUCAGAGCUUGCUCAUCUUAAACCUGUCACACAAUGCAUUGCAAUCUCCAAAUUGGUCCCAUUGCUCUCCCAUGCCUGUCUUGCGCAUCCUCGACCUUAGUUUUAAUAAUCUUGUGUCGAAAUUCCCAGAAUUUAUAUCCAAUUCUCAUAGCCUGACUCACCUUAACCUUUCAGAUAACAAGUUUACUGGUGAUCUUGUGCGUGAAUUUACCAAUCUACAAAAUCUUGAAACCCUCUACCUUCAAGAUAAUUCUUUUGAGGGGCCGUUUCCGCCUGAUAUAGUCCAGCUUUCCAAAUUAAAACGUCUCGCCCUGUUAGGUAACAAAUUUUCAGGUUCAAUUCCCAAUGACAUAAGGUUGCUUUGUGUUCUUGAAUACCUAUAUUUAGGCAACAAUUCCUUUGAAGGACCACUUCCACCAAAUAUAUUCACGCUUUCAAAAUUAAAAUUACUUGUUCUUUGGGGUAAUAAGUUUUCAGGUUCUAUUUCCAAUGAUAUAGGUUUGCUUUCUGAGCUUGAAACCCUCGUUCUUGACUCUAAUUAUUUUGAGGGGCCACUUCCGCCAAAUAUAUUCAAGCUCUCUAAAUUAAAGGUUUUUUCCCUUGUGUACAAUAACUUUUCAGGUUCUGUUUCCAAUGAUAUAGGUUUGCUUUCUGAGCUUGAAUAUCUCCGUAUUGGCUGCAAUUCUUUCGAGGGACCGUUGCCAACAAAUAUAUUCAAGCUUUCCAAAUUAAGUAAACUUGACCUAUCAAAUAAUAGUAAUUUUUUUGAAGGAAGUAUUCUUAUUGGAUUGGGACUCUUGACUAACCUCAGCUACUUAGAUCUAGAUUCCAAUAAUCUCAGUGGCUAUAUUCCAUCUGAGAUUGGAAACCUGAAGCUACUAGUAUUUCUCGAUCUUAGUUCUAAUCAAUUGACUGGAUCGCUUUCAAAGAUCUUUUCUAAUCUCACAAAUCUUAUAUAUCUUCAUGUAUAUGAUAAUAGUCUUAGUGGAAAUAUUCAGAGUGACUUGUGGAAAAACUCUGUAUCCUUGCGUUUCGUUGAUCUUGCAAAUAAUUAUUUGUCUGGAAACAUCCCUAAGGAAUAUAACGAUCAUCCAACUUUGGAAUACAUUAAUUUAAGUUGGAACCAUUUUACAGGUAUAUUUUCUCUAUAUAUCUUUUCCUUUUCUNCUCAUAUGUAACUAAGCUUGAUUAUUGCAAUUUUACCUAAGUUUCAACAAUCUUGACAGGUGAGCUUCCAACAACAAUUUGCAAUGUCACUUCCCUCUCGGUUCUUGUUUUGUCAAAGAAUGGAUUAAGUGGUCCACUUCCAAAUUGUUUCGGAAAUCUUGCUGAUAGAUUGCUUUCCAUUAAUCUUGCUAAUAAUCAGUUCCGAGGAACAAUACCAACUACUUUCUCCAGCAGUUGUCAGCUGACAUAUCUAAACAUGGAUGAUAAUGAGUUUGAAGGAAUGUUGCCUCAAUCUUUGGCGAAAUGUAAGCACUUGAAAAUUCUUGAUAUUGGCAAUAACAAAAUAGGUGGUAUAUUUCCGUCAUGGCUUUAUGUACUUGGAGAGCUAGAAGUCCUUGUCUUGCGAUCAAAUAAACUCUAUGGUACAAUAAGUGGAAGGAGCAUAGAAGAUCCGUUCCCCAAGUUGCGGAUUGUGGAUCUGUCCAACAAUCAAUUCACCGGCCAGUUGCCAAUUCAAUACUUUAAGAAUAUGAAAUCAACUGAUAAUUUGUAUCGUUAUCGGAAUUCCACAGGACCAUUAUCUUUCUCUUAUGAAGCAGCAGUCUCAUUAACUGUGAAGGGAACAGAGUACGAGGUAGCAAAGAACCUUCAUAUUUACACAGCCAUUGACCUGUCAUGCAACAAAUUUCAGGGAGAAAUUCCAAAGGUUACUGGAGAGCUUAGAUGGCUUGCAUUGCUGAAUUUAUCUCAUAAUAGUCUGACAGGACCUAUCCCAUCCUUGCUGAAAAAUAUGAAAGAACUCCAAUCUUUAGAUUUGUCCUCAAAUCAACUGACAGGGGCUAUUCCACCUCAGUUAACUGCAUUGACAUUUCUGGAGGUCUUCAACCUCUCGGGAAACCAUCUUAGUGGAGAGAUUCCUCAGAAAGGACAGUUCAGCACAUUUAACAAUGAUUCUUAUCUAGGAAACUCCGCGUUAUGUGGAUCACCUUUGACAAAGAAAUGUGCAAACACAGCAUCACCUCCACAAGAAGUCGGAAAUGGUGAUGAAGAUGAUGCUGGUGAUGAAUGGACAUGGGAAGCAAUCGUGAUGGGAUAUGGAUGUGGACUGAUAUGUGGAUUGUCAUCUGCGUACAUUGUUCUCAAACUAGGAAAGCCUUGGUGGUUUGUGAGAUAUAUCGAAGUGCUGCAACUGAAGUUGAUGAAAAGAUAUGCUUGAAAAAUGGUACUGGCCGAUCAAGACGAACUUGAAAGUUGUUGUCCUUGUGGACAUUUCUGAACCAGUAGUGUACUAGCUGCAUAAGUAUUUGGUAUUAUGUAAUAAUCCGUUUGGUCAGGACUCAUAAUGAUUUCUCUUGCUUCAGGGGUAUUAAUAUUAACCUUGCUAGUUAAUUCAAAUUAAAACAAAUAUAAAAUCAAAAAAUUUGCAUCAAACACCUGUUAUACCAACAUCCAUUAAUUUGCUUUCAUCUCUUACGUAACAAUUUAACAGCGAUUCCACACUGUUUUAGGCAUGGAGAUUACACAAAGAAGGCAAGUCCAUGGACUAAUAUACGAACAAUUCAUAUUGGUCUUCCAUCUGUUCAACCGUCUCCCGAAGAUAGGCCAAAAAUGUCAUCUGUGGUUCUUAUCUUUGUCAGUAAAGGAGAAUCUCUGAUGCCUAUACAACCUGGUUUUCUUACCGAAAGGAAUGUAGGUGAAACCAGGGGCAUAAAAUGAAUCGGGACUAAAAUCUGCUAAAAUGAUAAUUAUUUACUCAUCAUUCGAGAUUAGUCGGGCUCGAAUGAAGAUUUAUAUGGAUUUUAAGAACAAACUAUGACUAAAUAUGAAAAAAUCAUUAAUUUUUCCGACUCAAUAUUUUUAGCCUCCCCCGGCCCUGGGUGAAACCAUAAGCUUCUCUGGUGCACAUCCAAAUCAUUCAGCUGGUUCUACAUUCAGCUCACCCACAGGAACAUCAUUCUGCAGGUACUCUCUUAUCUGUACUUUCUUAUAUUGUAUGCCAGAAAAUUUAAUAUCGACAAACUGCACAAUACACCUCGAUCUCAUAUUAUUGACAGGUGAGCUCCUCUCAUAAUGCUCACAGGCGAACUCCUGCAUAUAUACUUUGUGAUGUCAUUGAUGAUCGAUAGGCUUGAAAAAAAAUUAUGACAAAGAUUCAUAAAAUAUCUACUUCCAUCCUAAUUCAGUAUUCAAUAUUAUUCAUUCCGUAUCAUCAUCCAAUCAAUUCUAAUAGUUCUUCUUUAAAUCAGUAUAAAUAUUGUUAAAUAUAUUGAUGAUGGUUGUCUUUCCGCGAACCAAUCAUAAAAUUACCUCUGUAUAAAUCCAUCGGAAAUAAGACAGUUAAUAUCCCAAUCGAAUACACCCCUGUCAGUUGUCAAACUCCUCGAAACGUAUUAAUCACUUUAGAAAAUUUGUUCCACUGGCGCUAGUCAGUCCCAGAGUUGGUGGUGGGUGCUUCUGGGCUUUCGAAAAGCACCCAUUUACUCCAUUGUUUAGAGAAGUAAAACCCCACCUUCCGCUCAUUUGAUUGAUCAGCUGAAUUAGGCAGAGUUUACAUGGUCAUGAUCAUAGUCUCCCAUUUCCCAGAUACGCGCAUUAUAGUGGAUUUAUCUUUAUCAGUAAUUUCUGUGGAGAUGCAUAAUCAUUAUAAACUCCAAUAUAAAAAUUUAAAGUUGGUAUGGGCAUUUGUGUUGAUAAUUUGCGCAAUGUUAACAGGAAUUGCUCCCAAGUCUUGGACGGACUCUUUCAAAGUCUUCUGAGGACCCAUCUGCACACUAAUUUGUCUCCCAACUAAAAAAUCAACAAUAUGUUACUCCCUCCGUUUUUCUUAAACGAGGUUAAAAUUUUUGACACAAGAUGGGUUGACAGUAUAAUAAAAAUUUUUGUGAAUAAAAUUUUUUUUAUUUAGAAAGAUAAUCUUGAAAAUAAUAUUAUUAACUAAGUUAAAUCACUUAAAAGUGUAUGUCCAAAAAUUAAAGCGGCAUAUAAAAAAAAGGGAGGGAGCAUGUACUAACUGUUUCCAUAACAGUUUACAAGUAUAAGUUAUACUCCCUCUCUAUUUUUUUAUAUGACGGUUUGAUUUUGGGCACACAUUUUUAAGUGUUUUGACCAGAUAAUUAAAAGGGGUUUUCUCAUAAAUACCUAAGUCUAAAAUUAUUUUUACGAAAAUAUUAUAUCUUUUUUUAAAUAUUUUGCAAAAAUACCAAACUUUGUAAAUAUUUACAAAAAUACGGUAUGCAACCCGUUGCAACCACAUGCAACCUUACUUGCAACCAUAUUUGCAACCCCUGCGGGGUCAAUUAACUGAAAUUGCAUCUGGUUGCGUUUAGUUGCAGACCGUAUUUUUGCAAAUAUUUUCUAAAAAGUUAGUAUAUUUGCAAUUUUUUUAAAAAUAUAAGAAAAUCGCAAAAAUUAUAACAAAGCUUCAAGAUUUUUAACAGGUGAGCUUCCACUAAAAAUUUGCAAAGUCACUUCCCUUUCGCGUCUCAUUAUGUCAGAUAUUGGUCAAGUGGUGCACUUCCACAGUGUUUGGGGAACCUUUCUUUGCUUGGUUUCAAUAAUCUUGCUAAUAAUCAAUUUCAAGGACCAAUACCAACGACUGUCCAAGACUUGUCUGUGCAUAUCUAAACAUCCAUAACAAUCACUUUGAAGGUUUGUUGCUCCAAUCUUUGGCAAACUGUAAACACUUACAAAUUCUUGAUAUUGGAAACAACAAAAUAGGUGGUACAUUUCCGUCAUGGCUAUUUACUGUUGGAGAGCUAGAUGUCCUAGUUAGGACGGUAUUUCGACUAGAGCAAGCCGAGUUUUGAGCGGAGCCCAAUUCGAGCCAAGUUUAAUCGAGUCGAGCCGAGUCAGUUCGUUUGGCUAAUCGAGCCUAAAACUCUGUCCGAACUCGACUCGUUUAAUUUCACGAGUUGAGUCAAGCCAGCUCAUUUAGCUAAACGAGUUGGUUUUAACGAGUUAAACGAGUGAGCUCGUAUAAUUUUAACUUAAUCGAGCCUGGAUCUCUAUCCGAACUAUUGGCUCGUGUAAUUUCGCGAGUCGAAUCGAGCCGGCUCGUUUUAUUAAACAAACCGAAAUUUUUGCCCAAAUUUUGCUCGUUUAACAAGCCGAUCUGAACCUAGUUAAAUGAGUUCGAGCUAGUCGAGCUCGCAGCUUGCGAGCUCGCCGGACAGCUCUAGUACUAGUCUUGCGAUCAAAUAGGUUUCACGGUAUAGAAAGUGGAAGGAACACAAGGCAUCUGUACUUUCUUGUACUGUAUGCCACUUUGACAGUAAAAUUUAUACUCCCUCCGUCCGAAUGAAUUGUAUACAGUUUACUUUUUGGGACGUCCCAUCAAUUGUAUACAUUCCUAAAGUAGUAAACUUUUAUAAUAUAAAACAUCAUUAAACCAACUACUUUCUUCCCCUAUCUCCAUUCUAUAAUAAUAUAAACACUAUUACACCCACUACUUUCCUCCACUAUCUCAAAUUUAUUAUUAAAUAUAAAUGGGUCCCACCACUAUACUCACUUUUCAUCCAACUUUACUCAUUUCUAAUAAAAUUUCUUGGUCUCCGUGUCCCAGCCAUUUGUAUACAAAUGACUGGGACGGAGGGAGUAUCAACAAACUGCACGAUUAAAUCCUCGUACAAUUGACAGGUGAACUCCUGCAUAUGUUCUGAACUAUUACGUACUAUAUUAUGCAAGCUGUUUGCAACUUUCAUCAAAAUUUUCAAACAUUUCUUAAUAUGUUUUUUCAAAAAAUUCUCGGGCCCUCUUAAGGCCUAUUAUUAUUGCAACUCUCACGUUAUGGACCACUAUGUAUUUUACAAGCACGACGAAUCAUGUGGUCAUUAUGGACUCCCCAAGCCUUCGAGGACUCACUCCAGGUCUUAGGAGGACCACUGCCUAGCUCACCCUUUCGGAGUGAUGUAAAUUAUUUUCUAGACACUAAAAAUAAGUAUUCAGAUUAAUCAUUACAAAAUUAAGGAUAUAAAAUCAGAAUAAAUCCUAAACUUUGAUGAUACAAAAAAAUUAUAAUUGUAAAUUAUACAAUCAAAUUAAAAUCGAAUUAACUUCCCUCACACUUAAAAUUUAUAGCGAUCAAAUCAAAAUCGAAUUAACUUUCCUAUUACUAAAAUAUAAUUACAAUAUUAUUAGAUAAAGAGAAUAUAUAAUAAUCAAGAGAAAAUAGAUUUUUUUUUGCCACUCAACUUAUCGUGUUUUAAGAAACUUACCACCCAACUAAAUUUUUUUUCCUUUUGCUCACUAAUGUUAGGUUUGGAUUUGUUUUUAGCCACCAACUAAGGUUCGGAUUUGAUUACCAGCAUUAUGAUAAUUUUUUUUGUCACUAAACUUAUUGCGUCUUUAGAAACUAACCACUCAACUAAAUUUUUUUUUAUUUUACUCACUAAUGUUAGGUUCAGUUUUUUUUUGUCACUGAAGUUAGGUUCGGAUUUGAUUAUUAGCAUUACAUUAAUUCUGUGUAGCAUUUUUAAAAUAUGGUAGUACUCUGUGAUAUUUAGAUGAUUUGAUAUAUGUCUGUAUUUUUAUAUAUAGUAUAUUUUAUGUCUCCAAGAUCAUUUACCUUGGGUCAUAAGAAUUUUACACGCAUUAUAUGACUUUUAAAAGAUGUAGUGUCAUAAAUAAUUUUAUUUUUUUUUCCGAAUUAAAAUUCAGCAUUUGAAUUUUACACACACAAAAAUCGCAAGAAUAAGUUAUGAAAUUAUGCUUUAUAAGAGUCUUAAAAUACGUGCUAAACGGUAGAAAAAACGGUGAAAUAAUGAGAGGUACAUAGGAGUAAUAAUAACAUAAAAUGAUGCACAAGUUAGUAUAUUGGACUAAUAUUCACGCAUUUAUAUACGAGAAUAUAUGGUCCACAAGUUAGUGCACAAUGUCCAAGAAUCUUUAUCAAAGUAACACGGCAAGCAUGCAGCAUAUAAAUAAGAGUGGGCAGUAUGGUAUUGCAUUCAUAACCCACUUGAGGAGAAAUAUGGCACACUUCCUAAAGCCUUCUCACCUUCUUCUCUUUGUUUUCUCUCUCUCGUUACUUCAAUCCAUUCUACCAACAAGACCAGAGGGAGAAGCUCUUGUGAAAUGGAAGAAUAGCCUAGCCCCUUCUUCUUUUCUCGAUUCUUGGUCACUCACCAAUCUCGAUGAUCUUUGUAACUGGACUGGCAUUACUUGUAACUCUGCAGGUUCAGUCUCUGAGAUUAACCUUUAUGAGAAACAACUUGAUGGAAUGCUGUCCGAGUUUGGCUUCACUUCAUUUCCGAAUCUCAACAAUCUCACCCUCGCAUACAACUUCUUCUCGGGUCCAAUUCCACCAGCCAUUGAGAAUUUAACACAGCUUCAAUAUCUUGAUUUAAGCAUCAAUAGUCUCGAUGGUCCCAUUCCGUUCCAGGUUAGCCAUCUUCAGAGGUUGCUCGUCUUAAACCUGUCACAGAAUGCAUUGCAAGCUCCAAAUUGGUCCAAAUUCUCCCCCAUGCCCUUUUUGUGCAUCCUCAACCUCAGUAGCAAUCCUCUUGCGUCGACAUUCCCAAAUUUCAUAUCCAAUUCUCAUGGCCUGACUCACCUCAGCCUUGAUCAAAACGAGUUUACAGGUGAUUUAGCGCGUGAAUCAAUAUUUGCCAAUCUGCAUAAUCUUGAAGUCCUCAGUCUUGUUGGCAAUUCUUUUGAGGGGGCCAUUUCCGCCAAAUAUAUUCAAGCUUUCCAAAUUAAAACAUCUUAGCCUGUCAGAUAACAAACUUUCAGGUUCAAUUCCCAAUGACAUAAGGUUGCUUUGUGAUCUUGAAUACCUAUAUUUAGGCAACAAUUCCUUUGAAGGACCGCUUCCACCAAAUAUAUUCAAGCUUUCAAAAUUAAAACAUCUUAUUCUUUGGGGUAAUAAGUUUUCAGGUUCUGUUUCCAACGAUAUAGGUUUGCUUUCUGAGCUUGAAAGCCUCUAUCUUGACUCCAAUUUUUUUGAGGGGCCGCUUCCGCCAAAUUUAUUCAAGCUCUCCAAACUAAAGAUUCUUUUCCUUUAUGAGAAUAACUUUUCAGGUUUUAUUUCUAAGGAUAUAGGUUUGCUUUUUGAACUUGAAACCCUCUAUCUUGACUCUAAUUUUUUUGAGGGGCCGCUUCCCCCACAUGUAUUUAGGCUCUCCAAAUUAAGAGAUCUGGGUCUCUCAGACAAUAGAAAUUUAUUUGAAGGAAGUAUUCCUAUUGGACUGGGACUCUUGACUAACCUCAGAUACUUGCGUCUAUCUUCCAAUAAUCUCGGUGGCUAUAUUCCAUCUGACAUUGGAAACCUGAAGCAACUAGAACUUCUUGAUCUCGGUUCUAAUCAAUUGACUGGACCGCUUUCAAAGAUCGUUUCUAAUCUCACAAAUCUUAUAUAUCUUGAUGUGAGUUAUAAUAGUCUUAGUGGAAAUAUUCAGAGUGACUGGUGGAAAAACUCUGUAUCCUUACGUUACAUUGAUUUUGAAAAUAAUUAUUUGUCUGGGAACAUUCCUAAGGAAUAUAACGAUCAUCCAACUUUGGAAUACAUCAAUUUAGGUGGGAACCAUUUUACAGGUAUAUUUUCUCUAUAUAUCUUUUCCUUUUGUCAUAUGUAAAUAAGCUAGUAAUCUGGUUAUUGUAGUUUUACCAAAGUUUCAACAAUCUUGACAGGUGAGCUUCCAACAACAAUUUGCAAUGCCACUUCCCUUUCGGUUCUUGUUUUGUCAAAUAAUGGAUUAAGUGGUGCACUUCCAAAAUGUUUCGGGAAUCUUGCUGAUGGAUUGCUUUACAUUAAUCUUGCUAAUAAUCAGUUUCGAGGAACAAUACCAACUACUUUCUCCAGGAGUUGUCGGUUGACAUAUCUAAACAUGGAUAAUAAUGAGUUUGAAGGAUUGUUGCCCCCAUCUUUGGCGAACUGUAAGCACUUGAAAAUUCUUGAUAUAGGCAAUAAUAAAAUAGGUGGUACAUUUCCGUCAUGGCUUUAUGCACUUGGAGAGCUAGAAGUUCUUGUCUUGCGAUCAAAUAAACUCUAUGGUACGAUAAGUGGAAGGAGCAUAGAAGAUCCCUUCCCAAAGUUGCGGAUUGUGGAUCUGUCCCACAAUCAAUUGACAGGCUAUUUGCCAAUUCAAUACUUUAAGAAUAUGAAAUCAACUGAUGAUUUGUAUAGUUUCCGGAAUUCCACAGGAACCGCAUCUAUCUCUUAUGAAGCAUCGGUCUCAUUAACCGUGAAGGGAACAGAGUAUGAAGUAGCAAAUAACCUUCAUAUUUACACAGCCAUUGAUCUAUCGUGCAACAAAUUUCAGGGACAAAUUCCAAAGGUUACUGGAGAGCUUAAAUGGCUGGCAUUGCUCAACUUAUCUCAUAAUAGUCUAACAGGACCUAUCCCGUCAUUGCUGAGAAAUAUGAAAGAACUCCAGUCUUUAGAUUUGUCUUCAAAUCAACUAACAGGGGCUAUUCCACCUCAGUUAACUGCACUGACAUUUCUAGAGGUCUUGAACUUCUCGGGAAACCAUCUUAGUGGAGAGAUUCCUCAGAAAGGACAGUUCAGCACAUUCAACAAUGAUUCCUAUCUAGGAAACUCUGCGUUAUGUGGAUCACCUUUGACGAAGAAAUGUGUAAACACUGUAUCACCUCCUCAGGAAGUCGAAAAUGGUGAUGAAGAUGAUGCUGGUGAUGAAUUGACAUGGGAAGCAAUCGUGAUGGGAUAUGGAUGUGGACUGAUAUGUGGAUUGUCAUCUGCGUACAUUGUUCUCAAACUAGGAAAGCCUUGGUGGUUUGUGAGAUAUAUCGAAGUACUGCAACUGAAGUUGAUGAAAAGAUAUGCAUGAAGAAAGGUACUGGUAGAUCAAGAUGAACUUGAAAGUUGUUGUCCUGGUAGACAUUUCUGAACCAGUAGUAUACUAGCUGUGUAAGUAUUUGGUAUUAUGUAAUAAUCCGUUUGGUCGGGACUCAAAAUGAUUUCUCUUGCUUCAGGGGUAUUAAUAUUAACCUUGCUAUCUUGAUCAAUGUUAAUGCAAAUUAAAAAGAAUAUAAAAGCAAAAAAUUUGCAUCAAACACCUGUUGUACCACAGGCUUCCGACUCAAUAUUUGUUAGCCUCCCGUGCCCUGUGUGAAACCAUAAGCUUCUCUGGUGAAUAUCCAAAUCAUUCAGCUGGUUCUACUUUCAGCUCACCGCAGGAACAUCAUUCUGCAGGUACUCUCUUAUCUGUACUUUCUUAUAUUGUAUGCCAGAAAAUUUAAUAUCGACAAACUGCACAAUACACCUCGAUCUCAUAUUAUUGACAGGUGAGCUCCUCUCAUAAUGCUCACAGGCGAACUCCUGCAUAUACUUUGUGAUGUCAUUGAUGAUCGAUAGACUUGAAAAAAAAUUAUGACAAAGAUUCAUAAAAUAUCUACUUCCAUCCUAAUUCAGUAUUCAAUAUUAUGCAUUCCGUAUCAUCAUCCAAUCAAUUCUAAUAGUUCUUCUUUAAAUCAGGACAAAUAUUGUUAAAUACAUGGAUGAUGGUUGUCUUUCCGCGAACCAAUCAUGAAAUUACCUCUGUUUAAAUCCGUCGAAAAUAAGAAAAUUAAUAUCCCAAUCGAAUACACCCCGUGAGUUGUCAAACUCCUCGAAACAUAUUAAUCACUUUAGAAAAUUUCAACAAUCUUGACAGGUGAGCUUCCAACAACAAUUUGCAAUGUCACCUCCCUUUCGGUUCUUGUUUUGUCAAAUAAUAAAUUAAGUGGUGCACUUCCAAACUGUUUCGGGAAUCUUGCUGAUGGAUUGCUUUACAUUAAUCUUGCUAAUAAUCAGUUUCAAGGAACAAUACCAACUACUUUCUCCAGGAGUUGUCCGUUGACAUAUCUAAACAUGGAUAAUAAUGAGUUUGAAGGAUUGAUGCCCCCAUCUUUGGCGAACUGUAAGCACUUGAAAAUUCUUGAUAUAGGCAAUAAUAAAAUAGGUGGUACAUUUCCGUCAUGGAUUUAUGCACUUGGAGAGCUAGAAGUUCUUGUCUUGCGAUCAAAUAAACUCUAUGGUACAAUAAGUGGAAGGAGCAUAGAAGAUCCCUUCCCCAAGUUGCGGAUUGUGGAUCUGUCCAACAAUCAAUUCACAGGCCAUUUGCCAAUUCAAUACUUUAAGAAUAUGAAAUCAAAUGAUAAUUUGUAUCGUUAUCUGAAUUCCACAGGAGAAAUAUAUAUCUCUUAUGAAGCAGCAGUCUCAUUAACUGCGAAGGGAACAGAGUAUGAAGUAGCAAAUAACCUUCAUAUUUACACAGCCAUUGAUCUGUCGUGCAACAAAUUUCAGGGAGAAAUUCCAAAGGUUACCGGAGAGCUUAGAUAGCUUGCAUUGCUCAAUUUAUCGCAUAAUAGUCUAACGGGACCUAUCCCAUCAUUGCUGAGAAAUAUGAAAGAACUCCAAUCUUUAGAUUUGUCCUCAAAUCAACUGACAGGGGCCAUUCCACCUCAGUUAACUGCAUUGACAUUUCUAAAGGUCUUAAAUCUCUCGAAAAACCAUCUCAGUGGAGAGAUUCCUCAGGAAGGACAGUUCAGCACAUUCAACAAUGAUUCUUAUCUAGGAAACUCCGCGUUAUGUGGAUUACGUCUGACAAAGAAAUGUGCAAACACAGCAUCACCACCACAAGAAGUCGGAAAUGGUGAUGAAGAUGAUGCUGGUGAUGAAUUGACAUGGGAAGCAAUUGUGAUGGGAUAUGGAUGUGGACUGAUAUGUGGAUUAUCAUCUGCGUACCUUGUUUUCAAACUAGGAAAGCCUUGGUGGUUUGUGAGAUAUAUCGAAGUACUGCAACUGAAGUUGAUGAAAAGAUAUGCAUGAAGAAUGGUACUGGCCGAUCAAGACGAACUUGAAAGUUGGUCCUUGUGGACAUUUCAGCUGAACCAGUAGGUACUAUUCUCUUUGUGACUGCAUAAGUAUUUUGUAUUGUGUAAUGUUCUGUUUGGUCUUAAAUCAUAAUGAUUUUUCUUGCUUCAGGGGUAUUAAUAUAAAACUUGGUAUUGUGUACUAGCUGUAAUAUUCCGUUUAAUCAAUGUUAAUACCUGUAAUUUUAUGCUCCUGACUGCAUCAUGCAGCUCUCAUAUUAUCUUCAUAUGUGUAUUUAUUUGGAUAUUGAAGUUGCAUGGACAUAUGGAUAUGUGUUAACGGGGAUUGCUCCCAAGUCUUGGACGGACUCUUUCCAAGUCUUCCGAGAUCCUAUUGGUUCAAAUUAGUCCAAUUUGAACUGCCAUCAAAUGCAACUCUGUAGAUUCUGUCUCUGAGAUUAACCUUUCAGGACAUCAGCUCAAUGGUACACUUGCUGAAUUCAGUUUCGUUUAAUUUCCGAAUCUACAAAUUAAGCUACAAUAACUUCACUUGUCCAAUACCCCCAGACAUUGGAAAUUUAACAGAGCUGCAACACCUUGAUUUUAGCUCUAAUAAACUCACUGCUGCAAUUCCGGACCAGGUAAGCCAUCUUCAAACAUUGCGGACCUUAAACCUGUAGGAUAAUCAACUUGGAAGCUCCAAACUGGUCCGCUUUUUCCCCUAUGCCUUCUCUGACAAACCUCUGUCUCAAUAAUAAUAAUCUUUCGUCGAAAUUCCAAGACUUCAUAUUAAAUUGUGGUAACCUGACUUACUUUGAUCUUUCAUUAAAUAUGUUAACAGGUAAUUUGGUUCCUUCAUCAAUUUUUAGAAAUUUGUAUAAUCUUGAAUUCCUUUAUCUUUCUAGCAAUUAUUUUGAGGGGCCUUUCCCGCCANNNNNNNNNNNNNNNNNNNNNNNNNNNNNNNNNNNNNNNNNNNNNNNNNNNNNNNNNNNNNNNNNNNNNNNNNNNNNNNNNNNNNNNNNNNNNNNNNNNNNNNNNNNNNNNNNNNNNNNNNNNNNNNNNNNNNNNNNNNNNNNNNNNNNNNNNNNNNNNNNNNNNNNNNUUUCCCUAUCAUAUAAUAGAUUUUCAGGUUCUAUUUCCAUAUGAUAUAGGAAUGCUUCGUGUUUUGGAAUCCCUUUUUUUAGUAGUAGUUCUUUUAAUGGCCCACCUCCACCAAAUUUAUUUAAAUUUUCUAAAUUAAAAGUUUUUUCCCUAUCAUUAAUAACUUUUCGGGUUCUAUUCGAAAUGAAACAGGGAUGCUUCAUGAUUUAGAGUCCCUCUAUCUUAAUGAACAUUCUUUUAAGGGGCCGUUUCCACCAAAUAUAUUCAACCUUUCCAAAUUAAAAGUUCUUAAUUACCUCUCAAAUAAUUCCUUUUCAGGUUCAGUUCCUAGUGAUAUAAGUGUGCUUCGUGAUCUUGAGAUACUUAAUUUGUCCUCUAAUUCUUUUGAAGGAAUUAUCCCAUUGGAGCUUGGGUUCUUGAAUAACGUGAGCUAUUAUUAUAUCUUGAUUCCACUCAAUUGACUGGACCGCUUUUGAAGAACAUUUAUAAUCUCAGUAAUUUUUUGUGUUGGCUUGAAUGGAUCAUUCCAUUCCCUCCAAAACUCAUUCCGUUCAUGUCAACCAAACAGAGCAUCAAUUACUAGUUACUGGGAAAUGCAUUAGCCUAAAUGUUCCUGGUUCAUUGUUACCGGUAUUUCUUAACUGCUGUGAUUGCAAAUUCAGUUGCAGAUUGUUCAUAUAUAUCUAGAGAGACCUGACAUAACUUUAGCCUCUGAUAUACAGCUUCCUUUCACAGUUGUGCCUAUUCACCUAGACGCGUUUUUAACUGCAUAAUGUUGGGUCAACUUCCGACCAUUUAUUUUCUCAUUUGAAAUUAGUGUAUUAAAGUUCGACUUUAAGAAAAUAUAUAGUUUUGUUAAACAAAAAUUCCAAAAGGUUUGGUACGUUUUGAGCUGGGACUUUGAAAUUGUUUGUCGUUAAAGAUGAAGAUUCACUUUUUAAGUUAUAUUAAUCUGUAGUGGUAGACUGGUAGUUUUUCUUUAUUGCUACUUUCCUUGUGCGUUCUUUAUAUUGAUUUAUUAUUUAAUUCGUAAAGUGUUGCGAACUACAUUCCUGCAAAAGUAAAAUCAGUGGAAUUUGUUUGAUAGCAUGAUGAAUAUUUAAAGGGGUUAAUUAUCAAAUUGGUCACUGAAGUGACUUUAAUGUAUCAAGUUGGUCACUGAACUCAAAACGGUAUUAAGAUAGUCACUGAAGUGGACAUAAAUAUCAAACAGGUACCUUGAAAUAUAAGUUCAAGCAGUAAAGAUAUUAUUUAUAAAAUUUUACACAUUAUUUUUAAAUGUUACCACAACCAACUAAAAGGUUAUGACUUCUAGUAUUUAAAUUAAUAUAUUUAUUUUAUCAAGUUUAUUUAUUAUUUAUAUUUUAUUAUAUAGUUAUUUUCUUUGUUUUAAUUAAAAAUAAAUAAUAAAUAAACUUGAUAAUAUCUAAAUAUAUUAUCAUAAAUAUUAGAAUUCAUAACCUUUUACUUGGUCUAGGUAACAUUCAAAAAUAAUGUGUAAAACUUUAUAAAUAAUAUUAUCUUUAUAUUCUUUCCUUUUCUAUGUACCUAUGCUAAUUAUCUGAUUAUUAAAAUUAUAACAAAGCUUCAAGAUUUUUAACAGGUGAGCUUCCACUAAAAAUUUGCAAAGUCACUUCCCUUUCGCGUCUCAUUAUGUCAGAUAUUGGAAACAACAAAUAGGUGGUACAUUUCCGUCAUGGCUAUUUACUGUUGGAGAGCUAGAUGUCCUAGUUAGGGCGGUAAUUCGACUAAAGCAAACCGAGUUUUGAGCGGAGUCAAAUUCGAGCCAAGUUUAAUCGAGUCGAGCCGAGUCGGCUCAUUUAGCUAAUCGAGCCUAAAACUCUGGUCGAACUCGACUCGUUUAAUUUCGCGAGUCAAGUCGACCCAGCUCGUUUAGUUAAAUGAGCUGGUUUUAACGAGUCAAGCGAGUGAGCUCGUAUAAUUUUAACUUAAUCGAGUCUAAAUCUCUACCCGAACUAUUGGCUCGUGUAAUUUCACGAGUAGAAUCGAGCUGGCUCGUUUUAUUAAAGAAGCCGAAAUUUUUGCCCGAAUUUGGCUUGUUUAACAAGCCGAUCUUUCAUCAAAAUUUUCAAACAUUUCUGAAUAUGUAUUUUCAGAGAAUUUCUCCGGCACUCUUAAGGCCUAUAAUUAUUGCAACUCUCACGUUAUGGACCACUAUGUAUUUUACGAGCACGACGAAUCAUGUGGUCAUUAUGGACUCCCCAAGCCUUCGAGGACUCAUUCCAGGUCUUAGGAGGACCACUGCCUAGCUCACCCUCUCGGAGUGAUGUAAAUUAUUUUCCAGACACUAAAAAUAAGUAUUCAGAUUAAUCAUUACAAAAUUAAGGAUAUAAAAUCAGAAUAAAUCCUAAACUUUGAUGAUACAAAAAAAUUAUAAUUGUAAAUUAUACAAUCAAAUUAAAAUCGAAUUAACUUCUCUCACACUUAAAAUUUAUAGCGAUCAAAUCAAAAUCGAAUUAACUUUCCUAUUACUAAAAUUUAAUUACAAUAUUAUUAGAUAAAGAGAAUAUAUAAUAAUCAAGGGAAAAUAGAUUUUUUUUUGCCACUCAACUUAUUGUGUUUUAAGAAAUUUACCACCCAACUAAAUUUUUUUUCCUUUUGCUCACUAAUAUUAGGUUUGGAUUUGUUUUUAGCCACCAACUAAGGUUCGGAUUUGAUUACUAGCAUUAUGAUAAUUUUUUGUCACUAAACUUAUUGCGUCUUUAGAAACUAACCACUCAACUAAUUUUUUUUUUAUUUUACUCACUAAUGUUAGGUUCAGUUUUUUUUUUGUCACUGAAGUUAGGUUCGGAUUUGAUUAUUAGCAUUACAUUAAUUCUGUGUAGCAUUUUUAAAAUAUGGUAGUAGUCUGUGAUAUUUAGAUGAUUUGAUAUAUGUCUGUAUUUAUAUAUAUAGUAUUUUUUAUGUCCCCAAGGUCGUUUACCUUGGGUCAUAAGAAUUUUACACACAUUUUAUGACUUUUAAAAGAUGUAGUUUCAUAAAUAAUUUUAUUUUUUUCUUCCGAAUUAAAAUUCAGCGUUUGAAUUUUACACACAAAAAAAUCGCAAAAAUAAGUUAUGAAACUAUGUUUUAUAAGAGUCUUAAAAUACGUGUUAAACGGUAGAAAAAACUGUAAACUAAUGAAAGGUACAUAGGGAGUAAUAAUAACAUAAAAUGAUGCACAAUCAUCGAAUUAAGUUUUCCUCUCUCUCUAUAUAUUUAUUUUGAAAAUUAUAAUAAGAUAAAGUUAUUAAAAUUUAUGAUAUAAAUUUAAAAGAGAUCUUAGACUGAGUGGCAAAAAUUUAGUUGGAUGGUAAGUUUCUAAAAAUACAAUAAAUUGAGCGGGAACAAAAUCUAUUUUCCCAAUAAUCAAAGUGAUGAAAAAUUAAAGUCAUCUAAUAAGUCCAGAAAAAAUAUGACCAUUAGUAUUUUGGAAUAAUAUUCACGCAUUUAUAUACGAGAAUAUAUGGUCCACAAGUUAGUGCACAAUGUCCAAGAAUCUUUAUCAAAGUAACACGGCAAGCAUGCAGCAUAUAAAUAAGAGUGGGCAGUAUGGUAUUGCAUUCAUAACCCACUUGAGGAGAAAUAUGGCACACUUCCUAAAGCCUUCUCACCUUCUUCUCUUUGUUUUCUCUCUCUCGUUACUUCAAUCCAUUCUACCAACAAGACCAGAGGGAGAAGCUCUUGUGAAAUGGAAGAAUAGCCUAGCCCCUUCUUCUUUUCUCGAUUCUUGGUCACUCACCAAUCUCGAUGAUCUUUGUAACUGGACUGGCAUUACUUGUAACUCUGCAGGUUCAGUCUCUGAGAUUAACCUUUAUGAGAAACAACUUGAUGGAAUGCUGUCCGAGUUUGGCUUCACUUCAUUUCCGAAUCUCAACAAUCUCACCCUCGCAUACAACUUCUUCUCGGGUCCAAUUCCACCAGCCAUUGAGAAUUUAACACAGCUUCAAUAUCUUGAUUUAAGCAUCAAUAGUCUCGAUGGUCCCAUUCCGUUCCAGGUUAGCCAUCUUCAGAGGUUGCUCGUCUUAAACCUGUCACAGAAUGCAUUGCAAGCUCCAAAUUGGUCCAAAUUCUCCCCCAUGCCCUUUUUGUGCAUCCUCAACCUCAGUAGCAAUCCUCUUGCGUCGACAUUCCCAAAUUUCAUAUCCAAUUCUCAUGGCCUGACUCACCUCAGCCUUGAUCAAAACGAGUUUACAGGUGAUUUAGCGCGUGAAUCAAUAUUUGCCAAUCUGCAUAAUCUUGAAGUCCUCAGUCUUGUUGGCAAUUCUUUUGAGGGGGCCAUUUCCGCCAAAUAUAUUCAAGCUUUCCAAAUUAAAACGUCUUACCCUGUCAAGUAACAAAUUUUUAGGAUCAAUUCCCAAUGACAUAAGGUUGCUUUGUGAUCUUGAAUUCCUAUAUUUAGGAAACAAUUCUUUUGAAGGACCGCCUCCACCAAAUAUAUUCAAGCUUUCAAAAUUAAAACAUCUUGUUCUCUGGAGUAAUAAGUUUUCAGGUUCUGUUUCCAAUGAUAUAGGUUUGCUUUCUGCGCUUGAACUUCUGAAUCUUCACUCUAAUUUUUUUGAGGGGCCGCUUCCGCCAAAUGUAUUCAAGCUCUCUAAACUAAGGUUUCUUAACCUCUGGGGUAACAACUUUUCAGGUUCUGUUUCCAAUGAUAUAGGUUUGCUUCCUGAGCUAGAAAUCCUCAAUCUUCACUCUAAUUUUUUUGAGGGGCCGCUUCCGCCAAAUAUAUUCAAGCUCUCUAAACUAAGGUUUCUUAACCUCUGGGGUAACAACUUUUCAGGUUCUGUUUCCAAUGAUAUAGGUUUGCUUCCUGAGCUAGAAAUCCUCAAUCUUCACUCUAAUUUUUUUGAGGGGCCGCUUCCGCCAAAUGUAUUCAAGCUCUCUAAACUAAGGUUUCUUAACCUUUGGGGUAAUAACUUUUCAGGUUCUGUUUCCAAUGAUAUAGGUUUGCUUCCUGAGCUAGAAUUCCUCAAUCUUCACUCUAAUUUUUUUGAGGGGCCGCUUCCGCCAAAUGUAUUCAAGCUCUCUAAACUAAAGUUUCUUCAUCUUCGAGGUAAUAAGUUUUCAGGUUCUGUUUCCAAUGAUAUAGGUUUGCUUCCUGAGCUUGAAAUCCUCAAUCUUCGCUCUAAUUUUUUUGAGGGGCCGCUUCCGCCAAAUGUAUUCAAGCUCUCCAAACUAAGGUUUCUUUCCCUUAAGGAAAAUAAAUUUUCAGGUUCUGUUUCCAAUGAUAUAGGUUUCCUUUCUGAGCUUGAAUACCUAUAUCUUGACUAUAAUUUAUUUGAAGGAAGUAUUCCUAUUGGACUGGGACUCUUGACUAACCUCAGCUACUUAGAUCUAAGUUCCAAUAAUCUCAGUGGCUAUAUUCCAUCUGACAUUGGAAACCUGAAGCUACUAGUAUUUCUUGAUCUCAGUUCUAACCAAUUGACUGGACCGCUUUUAAAGAUCGUUUCUAAUCUCACAAAUCUUAUGAAUCUUGAUGUAAGUGAUAAUAGUCUUAGUGGAAAUAUUCAGAGUGACUUGUGGAAGAACUCUAUAUCCUUACGUUACAUUAAUUUUGCAAAUAAUUAUUUGUCUGGGAACAUUCCUAAGGAAUACAACGAUCAUCCAACUUUGGAAUACAUCAAUUUAAGUGGGAACCAUUUUACAGGUAUAUUUUUCUCUAUAUAUCUUUUCCUUUUCUCAUAUGUAACUAAGCUGGUAAUCUGAUUAUUGCAGUUUUACCAAAGUUUCAACAAUCUUGACAGGUGAGCUUCCAACAACAAUUUGCAAUGUCACUUCCCUUGCGGUUCUUGUUUUGUCAAAUAAUGGAUUAAGUGGAGCACUUCCAAAUUGUUUCGGGAAACUUGCUGAUAGAUUGCUUUCCAUUAAUCUUGCUAAUAAUCAGUUUCGAGGAACAAUACCAACUACUUUCUCCAGGAGUUGUCAGGUGAAAUAUCUAAACAUGGAUAAUAAUGAGUUUGAAAGAUUCUUGCCCCCGUCUUUGGCGAACUGUAAGCACUUGAAAAUUCUUGAUAUUGGCAAUAAUAAAAUAGGUGGUACAUUUCCGUCAUGGCUUUAUGUACUUGGAGAGAUAGAAGUCCUUGUCUUGCGAUCAAAUAAACUCUAUGGUACAAUAAGUGGAAGGAGCGUAAAAGAUCCCUUCCCCAAGUUGCGGAUUGUGGAUCUGUCCAACAAUCAAUUCACUGGUCAUUUGCCAAUUCAAUACUUUAAGAAUAUGAAAUCAACUGAUAAUUUGUAUCGUUAUCAGAAUUCCAAAGGAUAUCUAUCUUUCCAUCAUGAUGCAGCAGUCUCCUUAACUGUGAAGGGAACGGAGUAUGAGGUAGCAAAGAACCUUCAUAUUUACACAGCCAUUGAUCUGUCGUGCAACAAAUUUCAGGGACAAAUUCCAAACGUCACUGGAGAGCUUAGAUGGCUUGCAUUGCUCAAUUUAUCGCAUAAUAGUCUAACAGGACCUAUCCCAUCAUUGCUGAGAAAUAUGAAAGAACUCCAAUCUUUAGAUUUGUCUUCAAAUCAACUGACAGGGGCUAUUCCACCUCAGCUAACUGCAUUGACAUUUCUAGAGGUCUUGAACCUCUCGAAAAACCAUCUUAGUGGAGAGAUUCCUCAGAAAGGACAGUUCAGCACAUUUAACAAUGAUUCUUAUCUAGGAAACUCCGCGUUAUGUGGAUCACCUUUGACGAAGAAAUGUGCAAACACAGCAUCACCUCCACAAGAAGUUGUAAAUGGUGAUGAAGAUGAUGCUGGUGAUGAAAUGACAUGGGAAGCAAUCGUGAUGGGAUAUGGAUGUGGACUGAUAUGUGGAUUGUCAUCUGCGUACAUUGUUCUCAAACUAGGAAAGCCUUGGUGGUUUGUGAGAUAUAUCGAAGUACUGCAACUGAAGUUGAUGAAAAGAUAUGCAUGAAGAAUGGUACUGGCCGAUCAAGACGAACUUGAAAGUUGUUGUCCUUGUGGACAUUUCUGAACCAGUAGUGUACUAGCUACAUAAGUAUUUAGUAUUAUGUAAUAAUCCGUUUGGUCGGGACUCAUAAUGAUUUCUCUUGCUUCAGGGGUAUUAAUAUUAAACUUGCUAUCUUGAUGAAUGUUAAUGUAAAUUAAAAAGAAUAUAAAAUCAAAAAAUUUAAAUCAAACACCUGUUGUACCAAGAUCCAUUAAUUUGCUUUAGUCUCUUACAUAACAAUUUAAUAGCACACUUCCACACUGUUCACACGUGUAAUGUAUAAAAAUUCCAGUCUUCUUCGGAGGCCUACAGCUUCAACAACCUCUCAAAGAUGUAGCAGUUGCUUGACAGUGAUAGAUAUAUAUUAGAUAAACACUAUGCAAUAACCAAAGUGACAGAAAAAUCAAAGUCCGCUAAUAAAUUCAUAAAAAAUAUAAUAAUCAACAACAAGAAUCAUAGUCUUACAAGUUCAUAUAAAAUAUAGGAUCAUUAGUAUUCCACAUGUAUAUUUUCUUCUCUUUCUUUUCGAGUUUUCCUCUCCAGCACCAAAUCCAAAUUAAUAUACAAUGCCACACAUUCCAGUCUCAGCUUCAGCUCCCAGGCUAGCAUUGAUUUAGCCAAGCACGACAGUGGCCGCUCUUGGUCCUGCCUUCAAAUGUCUAACAAUAACAGUUGGAUACGUCGACAAAAAUAUUGUUCCUCAUCAUACUGAGGAGUUAUUGAAUUCGACAGUUUUACACAAAGAAGACAAUUCCAUGGACUAAUCUAUUAGUAACACGUAAGCUAUAAACACGUAGUCCACAUCUAUGCUACGAACAAUUCAUAUUGGUCUUCUAUCUGUGCAACAGUCUCCCGAAGAUAGGCCAAAAAUGUCAUCUGUGGUUCUUAUCUUUGUUAGCAAAGGAGAAUCUCCGAUGCCUAUACAACCUGAUUUUCUUACAGAAAGAAAUGCAAGUGAAACUAGGGUCGGAUACCAUGUUAAAUGAUCAAUUCUCCUAAAACUAGGUUCAGGAUGAUCAUGAUAUAUUCUAACAUCAAGAUUAGCAGGACUAAAAUGAAGAUUUAAAUGGAUUUUAAAAACAAGCUCCUACUGAAUAAAAAGAAUCAUUAAUUUUUCUGACUCAACAUAUGUUAGCCUCCCCUGGCCCUGGGUGAAACCAUAAGCUUCUCUGGUGCACAUCCAAAUCAUUCAGCUGGUUCUACUUUCAGCUCAGCACAGGAACAUCAUUCUGCAGGUACUCUUGUAUCUGUAGUUUCUUAUUAAUUUAUUAACAAAAUUUAGCUAUUAAAUAUUUUGAUAAAAUAUCUAUUUAUUAAAAUAUUUUUUUAUUUAAUUGGUCUGAUAAAAAUAUUAUUGAUAUAUAAAUUUUACCUUUUUUCUGAAACAAAUUAUAAUUUUUGCUUCAAGCUUUUGUAUGAUAAGUUGAGAAAUAUUAGUUUUCUUUAUCACCGUGAGAGUAGAUCCUCGUUCCACAAAAAUUUGUAACUGAAAAAUAAAAUAGAGCCCUAAAACUUUUCGAUAAAUAUGGACUAAACAAUUUUGAUGCUCAAGUCUCAAUAGGAUUUAUAAACGGUCAUGAUGAGUUUGAUUAUCAAUGACACCAAAAAAAUAUUAGAAUUAUAUUUAAGUUAUAAAUUUGUCAAUAAAUUGUGUGAUAAUCAUACUUUCCAAGUCUUCUUCAGAGGCCUCCUGCCUCAACAACCUUUCAAAGAUGUAGUAGUUGUUGCUCGAGAGGGACAAAUAUAUUAGGUAAAGACUAUGCAAUAAUCAACGUGACAGAAAAACCAAAGUCCUCUAAUAAAUUAAUAAAAAAUAUUAUAAUCAAUAUCAAGAAUCAUAUUAUCAUAGUCUUCUAAGUUCAUAUAAAAUAUAGAAUCAUUAGUAUAUAAAUAGAAGAGUGCAGAGUAAAGCCUUUCAUAAUCCAGUUGAGGAGAAAUAUGGCAUACUUUGUAAAGCCUUAUCACCUUCUUCUCUUUGUUUUCUUUCUCUCAUCACUUGAAUCCAUUCUUGCAACAACACGAGAAGGAGAAGCUCUUGUGAAAUGGAAGAAUAGCCUAGCCCCUUCUUCUUUUCUUGAUUCUUGGUCACUCACUCAUCUCGAUAAUCUUUGUAACUGGACUGGCAUUACUUGUAACUCUGCAGGUUCAGUCUCUGACAUUAACCUUUUCAACAAACAACUCACUGGAAAGCUUUUUGAGUUUGGUUUCACUUCAUUUCCAAAUCUCAACAAUCUCACCCUUGCAGAUAACUUCUUCUCUGGUCCAAUACCAUCAGCCAUUGGGAAUUUAACACAACUUCGGUAUCUUGAUUUGAGCAAUAAUUAUCUCAAUGGUUCCAUUCCGUACCAGGUUAGCCAUCUUUCAAGAUUACACAUCUUAAACCUGUCAGAGAAUGAACUGCAAGCUCCAAAUUGGUCCGAUUUCUCCCCCAUGCCUUGUUUGACCAUCCUCGACCUUUAUCAAAAUAAUCUUAUGUCGGAAUUUCCAGAAUUUAUAUCUAACUCGCGUAACCUGACAUACCUUGACCUUUCAUAUAACAAGUUCACAGGCGAUCUUGUGCGCGAAUCAGUAUUAACCAAUCUAGGUGAUCUUGAAACCCUCUAUCUUAAUGAAAAUUCUUUUAGGGGGCCAUUUCCACCAGACAUAUUCAAACUUUCCAAGUUGAGAGUUCUUGCCCUGUUCAAUAAUUUUUUUGAGGGGCCGCUUCCGUCAAAUAUAUUCAAGCUCUCUAAACUAAGAUUCCUUUUACUUUGGAGUAAUAAUUUUUCAGGUACUCUUUCGAAUGAAAUAGGUUUGCUUUCUGAGCUUGAAGACCUAGAUCUUCACUCCAAUUUUUUUGUGGGGCCGCUUCCGCCAAAUAUAUUCAAGCUGUCUAAACUAAGAACCCUUUUCCUCUGGGGUAAUAACUUCUCAGGUUCUAUUUCCAACGACAUAGGUUUGCUUUCUGAGCUUGAACACCUAUAUCUCGACUCCAAUUCUUUUGAGGGACCUUUUCCAACAAAUAUUUUCAAGCUUUCCAAAUUAAUACAACUUGGUCUCGCAAACAAUACAAAUUUAUUUGAAGGAAGUAUUCCUCCAGGACUGGGGCUCUUGACUAACCUAGAGGACUUGUCUCUUGCUUACAAUAAUCUUGGUGGCUAUAUUCCGUCUUCCUUUGGAAACCUAACACUACUAGUAUAUCUUAAUCUCGCUCGUAAUCAAUUGGUUGGAACACUAUCAAAGACCAUUUCUAAUCUCACAAAUCUGUGGUUUCUUGAUGUACAUCAUAAUAGUCUCUCUGGGAAUAUUCAGAGUGACUUCUGGAAAAACUCUACAUCACUGCUUUACAUUAAUUUGGCAGACAAUAAUUUUUCUGGGAACAUUCCUAAGGAAUAUAAUGUUCUUCCAAUCCUGGAUCACAUCAAUUUUAGGGGGAACAACUUUACAGGUAUUUUUAAUUCCAUAUUUUUUCCUUCUGUUGUAUUUAAUUAUGCUAACAACUACUGCCUCUGUUUUCAAAUACAUAUCGUUUGACUUUUUGGCACAAAACUCUAUAAUAAUUCUAACUAUAAGGUCAAUGAACUUAGAAAUAUAUGUCAAAAAGUCAAACGUCAUAUAUUUGAAAUUAGAGGGAGUAUGGCUUAAUGACCUUUUAGCCCUUAAAGUUUGGGUAGAAGUUCCGAUGCGGCGUCGAAGUUUAAAAACGUACCUUUCGACCCUCAAAGUAUCUUUGUCGUACCUUUUAACCCUUAUGGCGUAUACCGGUAUAUAACGGGUGGGCAAAGUUGACAUUUCACACGUGAGGGUUAAAUGGGGCAUUAAACAUUAAGGGUUAAAAGGAACAUUUAAUAUAUUUUAAUGUAUUAUUUAGGGAUUAAAAGGAACGAGAUGUAUACUUUAAGGGUUAAAAGGUACGCCCAAACUUCACCCCGAAUAUGAAUUGUCAAGUUUAUCCCCCGAUUUGUAUCGGUAUUUUUAAAAAGGGCUAAAAAGUACGACAAAGAUACUUUGAGGGUCGAAAUGUACGUUUUUAAACUUUGAGGCCGCAUCGGAACUUCCACCCAUUCUUCGAGGGCUAAAAGGUCAUUAAGCCGAGUAUAUAUUACAGUUUUACCAAAGUUUCAACAAUCAUGACAGGUGAGCUUCCACCAACAAUUUGCGAUGCAACUUCCCUUUCGAUUCUUGAUCUGUCAAAUAAUGGAUUAAGUGGUGCACUUCCACAUUGUUUGGGGAAUCUUGCUGAUAAAUUGAUUUCGAUUAAUCUUGCUAAUAAUCAGUUUCGAGGACCAAUACCAACAAAUUUCUCCAAGAGUUGUCGUCUGACGUAUCUUAACAUCUAUAACAAUCACUUUAAAGGAUUGGUUCCCCAGUCUUUGGCAAACUGUAAGCACUUGCAAAUUCUUGAUUUUGGAAAAAAUGAAAUAGGUGGAACAUUUCCGUCAUGGCUUUUUACUCUUGGAGAGCUAGAAGUCCUGGUCCUGCGAUCAAACAGAUUUUUCGGGAGAAUAACUAGAAGGAGCAUACCACACCCCUUUCCCAAGUUGCGGAUUUUGGAUCUAUCCAACAAUCAGUUCACCGGCUAUCUGCCAAUUUCAUACUUCAAGAAUAUGAAACCAAAUGAUAAUAAUUAUGAUUAUUUCAACAACACAAACGAAGCCUAUUACGUUUAUCAAGUUUCUAUCACAUUAAAUGUGAAAGGAAGCGAGCAUGAAGUGACAAAUAUUCUUUAUAUUUACACGGCCAUUGAUCUGUCGUGCAACAAAUUUGAAGGAAAAGUUCCAGACAUUACCGGAGAGCUUAGAUGGCUUGCAUUGCUAAAUUUAUCUCAUAAUAGUCUUUCGGGGCCUAUUCCAUCACAACUGGGAAAUAUGAAAGAGCUCCAGUCUCUAGAUUUGUCGUCAAAUCAAUUGACAGGUGUUAUUCCGGAUCAACUUACUAGUAUGACAUUUCUUGCUAGUUUGAACCUGUCAGAAAACCAUCUUUCUGGGAAAAUCCCUCGGAAAGGACAGUUCAGCACUUUUGGCGAAGAAUCUUACUUAGGUAACUCGGCCUUGUGUGGAGUUCCUUUGACAAAGAAAUGUAUAGACGAAGUGCCCCCUUCACAAGUUGGAAAUGGCGAUGAUGAAAAUGUUGAUGAAGAUGAUACCGUUGAUGAAUUCAAUUGGAAAGUGAUCCUGAUGGGAUAUGCAUGUGGAUCAAUAGGCGGAUUGUCUGCAGGAUACAUUGUCUUCACAGUUGGAAAGCCUUGGUGGUUUUUGAGGUACAUUGAGACACUGCAGCAGAAGUUGAUGUGAUGCGCAACUAGAAACAACCUUAUCUUAGAAUGAAUCUGAUCAAUGUUAGCAUAUACUGAACUUUUUUUUUUGUAAAUAUGAUUUCAAGUUCUCAUACUAAUACAAGAACCACUUGUUAAAUCUUGACCAUGCUAAGAGGAUGCUGAAUGCUGAUUUAACACUUUGCGAUGCAAAGCAGGGGCGCAUUAGUAUUUUAUAUGUGUUGAUAAUUUGCGCAAUGUUAACAGGGAUAGGUCUUCUUCUCUGCCAGAUCUUCGACAGACUCUUUCAAGGUCUUCUGAGGACCCAUCGGCUCGAAUUAGUCCAUCGUGAAUUAUGAUCUGAGAGCUAUCUGCACACUAUUUCCAGGUCUUCUGUCUCGUUAACUAUGAAAGGAAGAAAUCAUGAAGUGAAUAAAAUUCUUCAUAUUUACACAAUUGAUCUAUCAUGCAACAAAUUUUGAGGAGAAAUUUCAGAGGUUUCCGAAGAGCUUAAAUGGCUUGCAUUGCUCAAUCUAUCUCAUAAUGAUCUUACUAGACAUCUCCCCGUUGCUCGCCAUUAGAAAACAGGGAUUAUUCACUCGUCCGCCGCACCGCGAACUCAUUCUUAGGUGCUCGGAGGUUUUUGAGGAUUCUUGUUGAUUAUUAAUUUUGUGAUUUUGUUGAAUACUCUAUCACUUAAUAAUGUAAUAAUUGUGUUAUUAAAUAAUUAUAUUUUAAAUUGUUAAGGAUAUUGAACUAUUUGUUUGAUUAUUUGGUUUAAAUAUAAAUGUAACUCUUGAAAUACAUUUAUUAUAUAUAUAUUUAACAUGUUAAUAUUUACUGAAUCCCUCGCAUCCGAAUCCCGAUAUUUUUAAAUUUACGGAUUCUCGUAUUCAUGUACCGUGCACUACCAUACCUUCAACCACACUCAUACUUUCUAGCUGCUCGGAAAUAUGAAUCAAUCUUUAGAUUUGUCUUCAAAUCGAUUGACGGAGGCUAUUCCACACCAGUUAGGCAGUUAACUAGAUUGACAUUUCUAGAGGUCUUGAACUUCUCAGAGAAUAAUCUUACCGGGAAAAUACCGCAAAAAGGAAAAAUCAGCACUUUCGAGAAUAUAUGAGUCAGUGUGGUUCACCUGUCUAGACCAAAAAUGUCAUCUGAGAUUCUUAUGUUUUUUAGCUAUAUAUGAGUGGAAGAAAAUUGUCGAGUCGAGGUUAAUCGAAUAAGGCGAGCCGGCUCAUUUUAAUUUAAUUGAGACAAAACUUCUACGGAGUUCGACUCCUUUAAUUAAACGGCUAUGAAAUCUCAUUAAAGUCAGCCUUGUAUAUAAACUCAAGCCAGGUCGAGUUUUAUUGAACAAAUUUCAGCUCAAACCAGUCGCGAGCAGCCCAGCUCAAGUUCGAGGCCUGCUCAUCUGUCUUCGAGUCUUGGACGAGAUUUGAAUCAUCAACUCCUUCCAAAAAGAGUAUUACACUGACAAAAAUGCAGUAACAUGUUUAAUUUAAAAGUAUAUCAUCUGUUCCCGCAGUUUAAUUUUACCCAUAUUUUUGAGAUUCAUAUAAAUUAUAAUUCCAUAAUAUUUUUUCAAUCAUAUUGGUUUUGAAUAAAAAUAUAAAUAUCAAACUUUUAUUUUUAAAAAAAUUAUAAAAUUAUAUUUUAUAAGAGUCUCAAAUACGUGGGAAAGUGGGAGUAUUAAUUUCGCCCACUAAGUCACUGACAGGUUUGUUAAUUUGUUUCCAUUUGAAGGUGUACACUGCAUAUUUUCACCAGGGAUGGCAACAAGUCGAAUCAGUUCAGAUAUAUCAGAUAUCUCAAUCCAAAUCCAAAUUAUUUUUAAAAUCCAAAUCCAAUCGAGUUUCACAUAUCAAAUUCAAAUCCAAAUUCACGGGUUUCAGAUCGGGUUCAGGUUUGUUUGGGUUUAUCCAAAACCCGAAUCCAGAAAUGUAAGUAGUAUUGUAAAAAUAUUAUUUUUUAUUUUUUCACCCUUGAAUUUCAUUAUAUUUAAAACUAAACUACACACAUUCACACUUUAUCUAUCCAUAUUAUAAACACAAUUUAGUAUAUUUAAAAUUGAAAAAAAGUAUAUUAGUAUACUACAUACAUAUAUUUGGAUAUUUGGAAAUUUUUUCGGGUUUUGUGUUUGGAUCGAAUUUAGAUUUCGGGUCCGGUUUUGAUACGGAAUACUUAAUAUCUAAAUCCAAAUUCAAACUGGUUCGGGUCUAAAAAUUAAAUUCAAAUCCAAAUCCAAAAUAUCAUGUUCGUUAAAAUUCAUUCGGGUCGAGGUUGAGUAUCCAUUCGGAUCAGAUUUUUCUCUAACCAAUAAAUUUUGUAAAUGGUCUGCACAAACGCAGUUACCGGCCCAUUUCCGUAUGAAGCCCAUGAACAAUUAUUUGUUCUGUAUAUUUUUCAAUCAAACCAAACCCAAACGCUAACAGCAGAAUUAAUUAAAUUCCUUUCACAUGUGAUUUUGUAAUGGGCCUACAUUACAAAAAUACUGUAGGACUAUCCCACUAUCCCUGACCCUACAUGUUUUCUCAAUAAUUUUGAUAAAUAUAUUAAACAGAUAUUGAACUGUUACAAAAAUAUAACGUCUGUUUUUCAAAUAAGUAACGUACGGUUUCCGAGAGAUAAAGUUUGACUUAUAUUGACAAGAUAACGCUUGAAUUUAAUAUCUUUUUAAAAAAAACUAAUAUAAAAUCUAAAUUAAAUCUUCUUCUUAAAUGAGAAUCCAGAAAAAUCUCAAAAAUUCACAACUACAUCAAUAAAAUAUAAUAUCCAACAUUAAAUAAAAAUCUUUCAAUAUCCAUUUUUUGUGUAAUUUUCAACCAAUCUGCUCUAAUUAUUUCGUCACCUUUUAAAAUUUAAAAUUUUUAAAUACUCAAAACAAUUACCCUAACCGCCAACCACCUUAGAAUUAUAAAAUCUUAAAAUUAAAUGCUAAUAAGAUUAUCAGUGUUACUCACCUAAACCAAAACGGUUACAAAAUCUAACGGCAAUAUUAUAAACUUUUAAAAAUUAAAUUUUUAAUUAAUUUGGCAAGUGGUAUUCAUAUAGAACAAAACAGUUACAAAAUCAAACUGCAAAUUAUAAAAUCUUGAAAUUAUAUUUAAUACUGUAAGAUUUAGCAUGUGGGUCCCACACAAUCAGAAAAUAAUAUGAACACGAAAUCUUGCUCUAUUAAAUACACACACCUGUACAUACAUAUAUAAACACCCACCGCCUCUUCAACUUUCCAACAUCAAAACCCUCGUAAUUCAAUUGGGUUUCUGCUGUUAUUCUCCCCUCUCUCCUCUCUCUCGCCGAGAUUUUUAUAUGCAUACAUGCGUGGGUAUAUGUAUAUGUACACCCCCUUGGCAAAAACACAGACUAAACACUAAAAGAACCCACAGAAUCAUACCCAUGUUAUGGAUAUUAUCUGGGGUUUGUUGAAAUUGUUGUAGAAGGCCUAAAGAUUUGAUUUUGGAGUAGCCCAUUUGGUUCUUGAUUGAAUUUGGUUGUGUUUUGAGUGUGAAAAGGCAAGAUUUUAUGAUUCUUGAUGGAUGAAAGUGCUAUGUUUGGCUUGAAUGGAGAUAAUGANACAAAAUCUUGAAACGCUGUUUCUUGAUGGUAAUUCUUUUGAGGGGACGUUUCCACCGAAUAUAUUCAGGCUUUCUAAAUUAAAACACCUUUCCCUAUCUGCUAAUAAGUUUUCAGGUUCUGUGCCGGAUGACAAGUUGGUGUCGAAAGUGAGAAUGUUGCGGUAGGGGGUGAUUCGGAUGAGCUUGUUGUUGUUGGGGAGACAGGGCAGGUAUAAUGCUGCAUUUGUUGUUUUUGUCGAUAUUAUGUGUUGCUUUUGUGUUUUUUGUUAUGUUUUCAUAUGUUUAGUCCGUUAUUUUUUGGAGAAUUAAGUAGUCUGAUGAAUGUUGAUUAAUCCAAUAUAUAAGCUGGGCGUUUUUGUUUAAUGUGCUUAUUAUGAUUAUAUUAUUUUGUUUGAUAAUUGAAUUGUGUUUAGAUUGUUAAUCCAAAGCCAAGGUCAAAAGACGUAAGGUAACAUUGAUGUUAAUUGAUAAAACUAACCUCAGAAAGUAGAUUGUUUGAGGCAAUAGAGAGUGUGAGCCUCUAUCAUGACAAUUUAAGAAGUUUAUAGUUGAGUCGUUGACUGCAUUACUAUCAAAUGCAUAGGGGUAUGGAAAUGAAAACGGUUAAUAACAUAUGGGCAUUUAACCUAAUAAUUUGACAACUCGACACUCGGACUUGUAUAUGUAAGUUGUAGUAGAUGCAUACGGUGUUUUAGUAGUUUAUUUGUGUACAAAUUAUUUCAUUGGGUAUUAUUUGAAGUGAAUAGUAUAUUGGAUUCAUGCAUGUUCAGACUUUAAUAUCAACAUCUUUCAGAUUUUUCUGGAUAAUGGUUAAUAAAUUCUUUGUUUAAUAAUGACCGCUUCACUUAAUGUCAUUUCUCUUCUUUCUUUUUUUAAUUAUCGGAGUGGAUAUUUAUUUAAUUUUUUCUGAUUUAUGUUGCAACUUCCAAUAUAAUUUGUUUGGGUGCUAUACUUUGAUGGAUUAUAGGUCGCAUGUCGAGACUAUCCUCACCCACGAGAUCUUUGUGCUAAACUUCCCUUUACAUCUACUCCUCAUGAANUGCUAAACCAGGUAAUAAUAUUUUUUCUCAGAAUUAAUUAUUACACCUCUUUUCAGUGCCGAACGUUCUGCGUAUCUUAUUUGACCAUUGUCUGUUGCAGUGUCACUGUUAUGUUUGUGAUGCACCGGCUCCAUGUCUCAAAUGGGGAACUGGCAUAUCUGUCAGUGACCAUUGUCAUGCCACUGGGAAGGUGGAAUUCUGGAAUCAACAAAGCCUAAAUUUUUUGAAAAGGCUUUAAAAAAUUUGGAAUUUUUUAAAAAAAUGAAAAAUGUAAAAAUUAAAAAAAUCUAAAAAUAUCUGGAAAUUCAAAAAAUAUACCUAAAUUUUUGAAAUUAAAAAAUUUUAGAAUUUUUCCAAAUUUUCAGAUUUUUUCAAAGUUUUAAAUUUAUUUUCAAAAUUUUUAGAUUUUUUCGAUGUUUUUUCAUAUUUUUUAAAGUAUUUUAAAAAAAUUCAACUUUAUUAAAAAAUCGAUAUUUAUAUUUUUCUCAAAGUUUUUUUUAUUUUUUUUAAAGGAUUCUGUUAAAGGCAGCUGAUAUUUAACGUCGCAGUGACCUAUUUGCAAACUUUUAUUAGUUCAGUGAGUUGACUGCAACUUAAAUCGAGUUCUGUGAUCCGUUUGCAAACUUUUUAAGUUCAGUGACUUAACUGCAAGUUGGCCAUGAGUUCAAUGAUCUUUUCGCCUAUUAACCCGGACUAAAUCUACUAAAAUGAUAAUUAUGGACUCACAAUGUAUAUUUUUAAUUUAUAUGUUUAGUUAAAAAUUGGUUAAUUUGACUUUCGAAAAUCAAAAUGAACAUGUAAAAGGAGAUCGUGGUAAUAAGCCCCUCAACGUGUGUAAAUGUUAAGUAAAAGGGAUAUGUUUAUUUUUAUUUUAAAAAAGAAUUAAAAAUAUUAUUUUACAAAUUAAAUUAUAAAAUACUCUCUAUAUUCCAAAUUAGUGAGUUCGUUAAUUUUAGGCACACUAAUUUAGAUGAUUUAACUGCAUAGCUAUAUAAUUUAUUUUUAAUAUUUUUAAAAAACAAUUAAAAAUAAUUUCACGAAUAACAGAUGAUCAUUAUCUUUUAAAUCACAUGCUGAAAAUCGGAUGUUGCCCUUAUCAUUAUCACAUUUUUAAGUAGUAAUGUCUCGAAAAUUAAAUAUUAGAUCCAAUAUGAUUUCAAAUAUCACUUUAUAAUAUUCUUUUUUGUCAUAAUAUCACUUAAUAAUGUUAAAUGAGUGACGUUUAUAUUUUUUUUAAAGUGUUACACAAUGAGAAACUCUAAAAAAUAUAACGGUAGAUAAUGUAGUAUCAUAUCAAAACAUUACUUUAUCUAACCAGAACAUAAUAUUCCAAGGACAAUUUAACUUUUUUUAUAAUAUUCAGAACCUUCUUUUUUUUUUUUGAAUAAAAGACAAAUUUCAUUAAUACGAAAUGUCAUACAGAAAAAUCUCCAACAAUACAUCUCGAGGAGACAUAAACACUUUUUGACAAUUUAAAGAACAGGAUAAUUUAGCUACUAGAUGAGCUACUCCAUUCGCUUGUCGUUUAACAAAUGAAACUGAAUAACAUGGCUUCGAAUUUAAAAUAAGCUUGCAGGCAUUCAAGAUGUGACCAACUUCUAAAAGAUUUUCCUGAGAGUCAUGCAAGGCUUUAAUGGCCAGGAGAGAGUCUGAUUCAAUUUCCACCACCUCAUGAUUUAAUGAGCACAACCACGGGAGACCUUCAAAAGAGAAAAGGCCCCCAGUAACCUUUUUUUAGUGUCAAAUGCCCUAGUUGUCAUUAUAAUAAAAAAUGGCCCUCAUUAUCACUCUAUAACACUACUUAAACUCACGUUCUGUUUUUCCAUCAUAAACGGCACACGCAACAGUGUUUCCAGGUUUAAUACUUUUUAAAAAAAGUCUAACGUAACAUGAAGUUACGUUCACUGAUCUGAGUUUUUUUUUCAUAUUACUCACAUCUUGCUUAUUUCCAUAUAGAAAGAAAUUCACUCACUAGUCAACGUUAUAACAAAUUAUAAUAAUAUUUAACCAGUGCACCCCAAAGGGUAGCGGCUGCGGUUUCCUACGUUAAAAAGAAUAUUUAAGCGUUCAUACAUGGGGUUUAGAAAAAUUUGUUUAUAAUUGUAAAUUAAUUUUCUGAACGUUAGGGUUUAGGAUUGAGGGUGUAGGGCCGGUAGGCCCUACUCCCUCGAGCCUAAAACCUAAUUAAUGCGAGGCUGAAGGGCCGAAGGCCCUGAAGCCGAGAAAUCGGCAGAAUAAAUAAAUUUACAAUCGUUAACAUUUAGGGUUUAGAUUUGGGUUGCAGAAUGAUUAAUUCAUACUGUAAAUUAAUUGGCCGAACGUUAGGGUUUAGGAUUGAGGGUGUAGGGCCGGUAGGCCCUACUCCCUCGAGCCUAAACCCUAAUUAAUGCGAGGCUGAAGGGCCGAAGGCGAGAAACCGGCGGAAUAAAAAAAUUUACAAUCGUUAACAUUUAGGGUUUAGGUUUGGGUUGCCAUAAUGAUUAAUUCGUACUGUAAAUUAAUUGGCUAAACGCUAGGUUUUAGGAUUGAGGGUGUAGGGCCGGUAGACCCUCCUCCCUCGAGCCUAAACCCUAAUUAAUGCGAGGCUGAAGGGCCGAAGGCGAGAAACCGGCGGAAUAAAUAAAUUUACAAUCGUUAACAUUUAGGUUUAGGUUUGGGUUGCCAUAAUGAUUAAUUCGUACUGUAAAUUAAUUGGCCAAACGCUAGGUUUUAGGAUUGAGGGUGUAGGGCCGGUAGACCCUACUCCCUCGAGCCUAAACCAUAAUUAAUGCGAGGCUGAAGGACCUUCAAGCCCUAAACGCUCGAGCCUAAACCCUAAUUAACUCGAGGCUCUAGGGCCGUGAGACCCUAAAGCCGAGGAACCGGAAUUAAAAUAUAAAACAAAAUUUUAAAUGGCGUUUAAAGUGGCGACAGAAUUGUAAGUUGGGUGUUAAGCUAGCAAACGACAUUAAGUUACGUUUUAGAUUUUUAGGUUAUUAAAAAAUAAAAAAAAAAAUCAAGAACGUCACAUGAAGGCACGUUUUACUUCUGAUAUCAAGAACGUCACAUGAAGGCACGUUUUACUUCUGAUAAACACACCAGCACGUGACUAAAGUCUCGUUUUCAUAUAUAACAGCAAUUGAAGUGACGUUUUGCUUUUUUUAGUUUAAAAUAAUAACCCCAUAACGUGACCAGGAGUCACGUUUUAGUAUAAAUCCUAAACGCUGCUUCAGAACAUGUUUUGGAGUGACACCCGGGGCCAUUUUACGGGAUUGUGACUUUAAGGUCCAUAUUGUUACUGAUGGUGACUCACAGGGCCAACACCCCCUUCAAAAAUAGCGCUUGCUUCGGCUUCAAGGACAGUAGCCACCAUGGCUUUACAUAUUGUUUUACCCAUCACAAAAACUCCCUCGCUGUCACGCAGAACCAAACCCAACGAGACCGAGGCCUCACCGAAACGCACACCUGCAUCAACAUUUAGUUUGAGAACUCCAUCCGUCAGCUUUUUCCACUUCACUCGAGAAGAAGAUGCGGAACUAGAAGUACUACCAACCUGAACAACACGCUUAGCUUUAGCCUCCUUCCAGUCAGAAAUAAUCUUAGCGCUCCAAUCCAUAGCUAUAGCAGCUGUAACAACCUUGUGAUCCCAAACCUUCUUGUUUCGAAAAAACCAAAUUCCCCAAAGAACUCGAGCAAUAUUAAAAGUUUCAUGAUCAGGACCUGAUUCAAACCUAGCAAGUAACCAAGAGGGGGCAAACUCCACCAGAGACAAAUCAAAGACCAUACCUGAGUAUUGCCAACAUAACAUUGCAAACUGGCAGGUGAAAAAUAUGUGAAUAAGGUCUUCGUCACCAGAGUUACACAUGGGACAGUCAAGAGAAAGAUUUACUCCCUUAGAUUGUAAUCGACUUUUCACAGGCACAUUAUUCCUGCAAAAACGCCAUAAAAACACUUUGAUCUUAAGAGGAACCUCCAACUGCCAGAGUUUCUUCCACCCACUAGAUUGUGUAACAGUGCCAGUGCCAAUAUUUUGGGCAUGUCAAAACUGGUAACCUGUUUUCACAGAAUUUUGGCUGUUAGUAGUCUUUGACCAAGCUAGACGAUCCACGGUCGACCUACAGGGAACAUAAGUUUUUAAAAAUUAUGUAAUUCAUUCAAUUCCGUAUCAGACAAUACAUCUUAUCAUCGGUGAUAAUGAAAAUAGUGUAGAUGUUUGACCUAGUCCCUGUUUGACAACCAAUAUAAUAAGAAAUAAAUUCUUAUUUUUCUAAAAAAUAUAUUUUUGUAUAUAAAUGUUAAAGAGAUAUUUCUUAUUUGUUGUUUGAAAAAAGUAAAGACUUAUUUCAGAAUAAAAAAAAAUUAUUGUACAUUCUCUUUAUUUCUGAAAAUAAGUUUGGUCAAAUCAUCCAUAAUUCACGUAAUUCAAAAGCCCAUUAAUUUUUUUUUUCUUGCUAAUUGAUCAGCACACGCACACGUUUCCAACUUCCCGCAAAGGGUACAGGAGUACCACCGGAGUACCAUCACACCGACGCUUUGUUGGGCCCAAUAAUUGGCUGAAGUUGAACGGGGCUUUCUGCCUCCGCUGGACCCCAGUUGGGAGGACUCUUUCCAAGUCUUUCGGAGCCUCUUUCCCAUUGACUCCAACUUUCCAGGGUGUAUACAAAUUUUUUGAAAGAGGGUGUAUACAAAUUAUUCACGGCCAUCAAAUCAACCAGCGUAGCUGGUGAACAAAUAUUAUUGUUUAUUAUAAUUUUAUUUAAUUUAAAUGUGAUUAUAAGAACAUAAGAGGACGUUUGAAAGUGUGGGUCUUAUUUCAAACAGUAGAUUUAAAAAAAUAUGAUUUCAAUUGUUAUUUAAAAUUCUUAAAUUUAUAUUAUAUUAAAAUGUUCUUAUUCUAAUUAAUGAGUCACUAUUCGUAUUCUCAAGCAUGUUAGUUUGUUAAAAUUUAAAAUUUCAAAUGAAAUUAGGCUAAAAGACCAUAAUAUCAAAGCAAAAUCUCAUUAUCCAAUAUAUUGGUGGGCAAAAAUAUUAAACCUGGCUAUUCAUUAAUAUUGGUUCUUUAUUCAAAUUAUGUCAAAUUUAUAUAAAAUUUCGAAAAUUAUUUAUGAAUAAGAGUCGGCAUUCAUAUAUUUAUUAAGGAUACAAGUGAGAAAAUGUUAUUAAAUUAAUAUUUUUUUAAUAUACGUAAGUUUUUUAAAAUAAAUUUGUAGCGUGGGACGGGAGUAUUAGACUGAUUCUGGCUUGGAGUGAAUCAGCCCAUAAAGUUUACAGGGUAGAUGACCAUUCUUAAAUCUUAAAGAAUCUUACGGUGACAGCUAACUGAACGACUCGGUUUCAGAAGUGCUGAAAAGUUUCGACGUAAACUACAAUUUGCCUAGCAUGUAAUUUCCAUGCAUUUUCUCGUUACUAGUGACAGAUAACUUUUUUGAUAUUUAUAUAUUUUUAAUUAUAAUAAAGAUACUAGUGAUUAUGGUUAGCUUUUGGAGUACUUUCGGAGUACUUGGAAAUUUUCUUUUCGAGAAAGACGAGAGUACCUAUUUCAAUUUUUUACCAAAAAUUAUAAUUGAAAACAACGGACUUUUAUACUUAUCAUAACAAUUUUUAACAUCUUGUUUAGAAAUAACCUGUUGUUGUAUUAUGCAAAAGUAAUAUCACUAGUUUCUAUAUUCGUAUUCUAAUGAUAAUAAAAACAUCUCUAAUUCAUUAAAACUCUUACAUAGAAAAUGAUAAAAAAAAAAAAGAAGAUAUAAAAUAAUUUAUUAAAAAUAUAUCAAAGNGAAGAUAUAAAAUAAUUUAUUAAAAAUAUAUCAAAGUUUUUGCACUCGGUUAUAAUUAUUGUGUAAUUUCUUUUUUCAAUUCCAAGAUAUUGUUAUAAGAAAAUUUUACAUCAUAUAUAUAUUACAAAAAAAAUUAAUGUAUUCUAUAUAUAUAUAUAUAUAUAUAUAUAUAUAUAUAUAUAUAUAUAUAUAUAUAUAUAUAUACAAUAAANNNNNNNNNNNNNNNNNNNNNNNNNNNNNNNNNNNNNNNNNNNNNNNNNNNNNNNNNNNNNNNNNNNNNNNNNNNNNNNNNNNNNNNNNNNNNNNNNNNNNNNNNNNNNNNNNNNNNNNNNNNNNNNNNNNNNNNNNNNNNNNNNNNNNNNNNNNNNNNNNNNNNNNNNNNNNNNNNNNNNNNNNNNNNNNNNNNNNNNNNNNNNNNNNNNNNNNNNNNNNNNNNNNNNNNNNNNNNNNNNNNNNNNNNNNNNNNNNNNNNNNNNNNNNNNNNNNNNNNNNNNNNNNNNNNNNNNNNNNNNNNNNNNNNNNNNNNNNNNNNNNNNNNNNNNNNNNNNNNNNNNNNNNNNNNNNNNNNNNNNNNNNNNNNNNNNNNNNNNNNNNNNNNNNNNNNNNNNNNNNNNNNNNNNNNNNNNNNNNNNNNNNNNNNNNNNNNNNNNNNNNNNNNNNNNNNNNNNNNNNNNNNNNNNNNNNNNNNNNNNNNNNNNNNNNNNNNNNNNNNNNNNNNNNNNNNNNNNNNNNNNNNNNNNNNNNNNNNNNNNNNNNNNNNNNNNNNNNNNNNNNNNNNNNNNNNNNNNNNNNNNNNNNNNNNNNNNNNNNNNNNNNNNNNNNNNNNNNNNNNNNNNNNNNNNNNNNNNNNNNNNNNNNNNNNNNNNNNNNNNNNNNNNNNNNNNNNNNNNNNNNNNNNNNNNNNNNNNNNNNNNNNNNNNNNNNNNNNNNNNNNNNNNNNNNNNNNNNNNNNNNNNNNNNNNNNNNNNNNNNNNNNNNNNNNNNNNNNNNNNNNNNNNNNNNNNNNNNNNNNNNNNNNNNNNNNNNNNNNNNNNNNNNNNNNNNNNNNNNNNNNNNNNNNNNNNNNNNNNNNNNNNNNNNNNNNNNNNNNNNNNNNNNNNNNNNNNNNNNNNNNNNNNNNNNNNNNNNNNNNNNNNNNNNNNNNNNNNNNNNNNNNNNNNNNNNNNNNNNNNNNNNNNNNNNNNNNNNNNNNNNNNNNNNNNNNNNNNNNNNNNNNNNNNNNNNNNNNNNNNNNNNNNNNNNNNNNNNNNNNNNNNNNNNNNNNNNNNNNNNNNNNNNNNNNNNNNNNNNNNNNNNNNNNNNNNNNNNNNNNNNNNNNNNNNNNNNNNNNNNNNNNNNNNNNNNNNNNNNNNNNNNNNNNNNNNNNNNNNNNNNNNNNNNNNNNNNNNNNNNNNNNNNNNNNNNNNNNNNNNNNNNNNNNNNNNNNNNNNNNNNNNNNNNNNNNNNNNNNNNNNNNNNNNNNNNNNNNNNNNNNNNNNNNNNNNNNNNNNNNNNNNNNNNNNNNNNNNNNNNNNNNNNNNNNNNNNNNNNNNNNNNNNNNNNNNNNNNNNNNNNNNNNNNNNNNNNNNNNNNNNNNNNNNNNNNNNNNNNNNNNNNNNNNNNNNNNNNNNNNNNNNNNNNNNNNNNNNNNNNNNNNNNNNNNNNNNNNNNNNNNNNNNNNNNNNNNNNNNNNNNNNNNNNNNNNNNNNNNNNNNNNNNNNNNNNNNNNNNNNNNNNNNNNNNNNNNNNNNNNNNNNNNNNNNNNNNNNNNNNNNNNNNNNNNNNNNNNNNNNNNNNNNNNNNNNNNNNNNNNNNNNNNNNNNNNNNNNNNNNNNNNNNNNNNNNNNNNNNNNNNNNNNNNNNNNNNNNNNNNNNNNNNNNNNNNNNNNNNNNNNNNNNNNNNNNNNNNNNNNNNNNNNNNNNNNNNNNNNNNNNNNNNNNNNNNNNNNNNNNNNNNNNNNNNNNNNNNNNNNNNNNNNNNNNNNNNNNNNNNNNNNNNNNNNNNNNNNNNNNNNNNNNNNNNNNNNNNNNNNNNNNNNNNNNNNNNNNNNNNNNNNNNNNNNNNNNNNNNNNNNNNNNNNNNNNNNNNNNNNNNNNNNNNNNNNNNNNNNNNNNNNNNNNNNNNNNNNNNNNNNNNNNNNNNNNNNNNNNNNNNNNNNNNNNNNNNNNNNNNNNNNNNNNNNNNNNNNNNNNNNNNNNNNNNNNNNNNNNNNNNNNNNNNNNNNNNNNNNNNNNNNNNNNNNNNNNNNNNNNNNNNNNNNNNNNNNNNNNNNNNNNNNNNNNNNNNNNNNNNNNNNNNNNNNNNNNNNNNNNNNNNNNNNNNNNNNNNNNNNNNNNNNNNNNNNNNNNNNNNNNNNNNNNNNNNNNNNNNNNNNNNNNNNNNNNNNNNNNNNNNNNNNNNNNNNNNNNNNNNNNNNNNNNNNNNNNNNNNNNNNNNNNNNNNNNNNNNNNNNNNNNNNNNNNNNNNNNNNNNNNNNNNNNNNNNNNNNNNNNNNNNNNNNNNNNNNNNNNNNNNNNNNNNNNNNNNNNNNNNNNNNNNNNNNNNNNNNNNNNNNNNNNNNNNNNNNNNNNNNNNNNNNNNNNNNNNNNNNNNNNNNNNNNNNNNNNNNNNNNNNNNNNNNNNNNNNNNNNNNNNNNNNNNNNNNNNNNNNNNNNNNNNNNNNNNNNNNNNNNNNNNNNNNNNNNNNNNNNNNNNNNNNNNNNNNNNNNNNNNNNNNNNNNNNNNNNNNNNNNNNNNNNNNNNNNNNNNNNNNNNNNNNNNNNNNNNNNNNNNNNNNNNNNNNNNNNNNNNNNNNNNNNNNNNNNNNNNNNNNNNNNNNNNNNNNNNNNNNNNNNNNNNNNNNNNNNNNNNNNNNNNNNNNNNNNNNNNNNNNNNNNNNNNNNNNNNNNNNNNNNNNNNNNNNNNNNNNNNNNNNNNNNNNNNNNNNNNNNNNNNNNNNNNNNNNNNNNNNNNNNNNNNNNNNNNNNNNNNNNNNNNNNNNNNNNNNNNNNNNNNNNNNNNNAAUCAUCUGACAGGGCCUAUCCCCCAAAAAGGACAGUUCAGCACAUUCAACAAGGAUUCUUACCUAGGUAACUUUGCCUUGUGUGGAUUACCUUUAACUAAUAACUGUACACACACUGUGUCACCACCACAAGAAGGCGGAACUGGUGACAAUGAUGCCUAUGAUGAACCCGAUUGGGAAGUGAUCCUCAUGGGAUAUGGAUGUGGACUAAUAUGCGGAUUGUCCACUGGGUACGUUGUCUUCACAUUCAGAAAGCCUCAGUGGUUUAUGAGAUACACUGAAAGCGUGCAACAGAAGUUGAUGAGAUGAUGCAUGUUGAGUACCGUUCAAUCAUGAAGCACAACUGGAAACAAUGUUAUCUUAGGAAAACAUGUGUUCUGAACCAGUAGUGUUUGCACAAAAUUUGUGGUGCUAUGUAAUACUUAUAUAAUUGUACGUAUGAUUAUUGAUUAGUCGUUGAGAAAAUGCAUUUUAUUUCAGUGUCAAUGAUAAUCUACAUGUUUUGGAUACUUCCAGCUUCUCAUACUAAUAUAGGAACCACUUGAAAAAUUUUGCGAUGCAAAGCAGGGACUCAUGAGUAUUUUCAUAUGUGUAUUAGUUUUGAAGAUAAAAGUUGUAUGGACAAUUGUGUUGAUAAUUUGCGCAAUGAUAACUGGGAUAGGUCAUCUUCUCUCCCAAGUCUUGGAUGGACUCUUUCCAAGUCUUCUGAGAACCCAUCAGCUCAGAUUAGUCCAUACAAUGUCAAGGGUCCUAUGAUAUGGUCUACUAACAGCCCAGUGUCGGUAAUAAAUCCAAUUGCAUAUAACCUAUUCAAAAUCAAUCCCCUAUAAACAAUCAUCUCUAAAAACUAUUCACAUAAAAUAAAAUUUUAAAAAUAUAAAAUAUCUAGUUGUUUUCAAUAUAUAAUUUUCCACAGUAGAUAACAAAAUAUCUUUAUCAAAUUAUAUUAUUUAUGGGUUCAAUAUUUAAGCUAUAAUUCCAAUAACACGGCAAGCAUGCAUGCAGCAUAUAAAUAGAAGUGUGCAGUAUGUAUGGUAUUCAUAACCCAGUUGAGGAGAAACAUGGCACACUUUGUAAAGCCUUCUCACCUUCUUCUCUUUGUUUUCUUUCUCUCAUCACUUGAGUCCAUUCUUGCAACAAGACGAGAGGGAGAGGGAGAAGCUCUUGUGAAAUGGAAGAAUAGCCUAGCCCCUUCUUCUUUUCUCGACUCUUGGUCACUCACCAAUCUCGAUAAUCUUUGUAACUGGACUGGCAUUACUUGUAACUCUGCAGGUUCAGUCACUGAGAUUAACCUUUUCGGAAAAAAACUUGAUGGAAGGCUGUCCGAGUUUGGUUUCACUUCAUUUCCAAAUCUCAACAAUCUCACCCUUGCAGAUAACUUCUUCUUGGGUCCAAUACCACCAGCCAUUGAGAAUUUAACACAGCUUCAGUAUCUUGAUUUAAGCUUUAAUUAUCUCGAUGGUCCCAUUCCGUUCCAGGUUAGCCAUCUUCAAAGGUUGCUUGUCUUAAACGUGUCACAGAAUGCAUUGCAUUCUCCAAAUUGGUCCAAUUUCUCAAACAGAUGAAAUUAUGCAACUGAAAUUGAUGUAGUCUUAAAGAAUUCUCAGGCACUUAAACAUGUUUCAAAGAAUUCUCAGGCACUUAAACAUUUGGACGGGUUCUUUGGAAGCCAAGAUGCCCAGGUUAUCAUGGCCAUGCACAAAAUGCAGUAUAAAAAAAAAAUGAAUACCUUAAGAGAGAUUGCUCUGGGUCUCCCCAAGCCUUCUAGACUCAUUCCAAGUCUUCUGAGGACCACUGCCUCGCGCUUUCAAAGAUGUGAUGGUAGCUCGGGAGUGAUAUAAAUUAUUUUCGGGACACUAAUAAUAAAUAAUCAGAUCAAAUUAAUCAUCAAUAAUAAAUUGAGGAUACGAAAUCAAAAUUAAUCCUAAAUUUUGAUAAUAUAUAAAAAUUACUUUACGUACACUGUUUGCACGCAUUUUGAGCUCGUAUAAAGUAUAGUUUCAUAACUUUUUUUAAAAAAUUUCUUUUUUGAUAAAAGUUUAAACGUCAAACUUUUAUUCAGAGAAAAAAAAUUAAAAAAUAUAUCACGGAACUAUACUUUAAAUUAGUAUGGAAAAACGUGCCAAAAUUAACGUAAAGAAAUGAGGGGAACAAAGAUAGUAUAAUUAUAUUAUAAAUUAAAAUUGAAAUAACUUACGUGGCACUGAAAUUGAUAAAGGCAAUAUGGUUAAAUUGAUGAAAAGUCAAAGUCCUCUAAUAAAUCCAUAAAGAAUAUAAUAAUCAAAACGACGAAAAUUAUAAAUGAAAAAUCAAAAUCAUCCUAAUAAGUACACAAAAAGAAUAUGAUCGUUAGUGUAUUGGAAUAGUGUGCACACACUUAUAUAUCAAAAUUUGUGGUCCAAAAGCUAUGGCACAAUAUUCUAAAUACACCACAUUAAGUAAUAGUUCAAAAAUAUUCAAUAUAUAAUUGUUUUCAUUCAUAAUUUUGUUAUUAUUUUAAAAAAUAAUUUGGUUGCUGUUAACCUAUAUUUCAAUUAUAUAAUUAUAUUAUUUUUUAUUUUAUGUAUCUAGAAACAAUAUUUUUGUAAUAUUUAUUACAUUAAUUAUAUUAAAAGAUAUAAUUUGUUAAAAACUUGAAUAAAAUUAAGAGGAUAACUUUAUGUCUCUCCAAGUUCACAGCACGGGUGAGCAUUGGGUUCGGAUAUCCAUAUACCGAAUGGAUAUAUCAAAUCAAAACUAAUCAUGAAUUAUGAUAAUAAUUAAAUAAAUUAUAAUUAAGCUAUAUGAAUCAACUCCAAAUGACAACAACAGCACCAAACCUUAGUUACUUUAAUAUUGGUAAAUAAAUAUAAUAUAAUAAUCAAAUUGAUGAAAAAUCACAUCAUCUAAUAAAUUCACAAAAAAUAUAUGAUCAUUAGUAUAUUAUAUUAGUAUCCACACACUUAUAUUUCAAAAUCUAUCCUCCAAAAUUAUCAUCUCUGUAAGCUAGCCACAUAAAAUAAAAAAUUUAAAGAUAUUAGAUAUUUAGUUAUUUUCAUUAUAUAAUUUUUCCACACGAAAUAACAAAAUAUCUUUAUCAAAUUAUUAUUUAUGAGUUAAAUAUUCAAGUUAUAAAUCCAGUAUUCAGCGUAUAAAUAGAAGUGUGCAGUAUGAUAUCAGAUUCACAUAACCCAGUUGAUGAGGAGAAACAUGGCAUACUCUGCAAAGCCUUCUCACCUUCUUCUCUUUGUUUUCUUUCUCUCAUCACUUGAAUCCAUUCUUGCAACAACACGAGAGGGAGAAGCUCUUGUGAAAUGGAAGAAUAGCCUAGCCCCUUCUUCUUUUCUCGAUUCUUGGUCCCUCACCAAUCUCGAAAAUCUUUGUAACUGGACUGGCAUUACUUGUAACUCUGCAGGUUCAGUCUCUGAGAUUAACCUCUGUGAGAAACAACUUGAUGGAAUGCUGUCCGACUUCGGUUUCACUUCAUUUCCAAAUCUCAAGAAUCUCACCCUCGCAUACAACUUCUUCUCGGGUCCAAUACCACCAGCCAUUCAGAACUUAACAAGGCUUCAAUGCCUUGAUUUAAGCUUUAAUUAUCUCAAUGGUCCUAUUCCGUUCCAGGUGAGCCAUCUUCAGAGCUUGCUCAUCUUGAACCUGUCACAGAAUGCAUUGCAAACUCCAAAUUGGUCCCAUUUCUCUCCCAUGCCUUUCUUGCGCAUCCUCAACCUCAGUUACAAUCCUCUUGCGUCGAAAUUCCCAGAUUUUAUAUCCAGUUCUCAUAGCCUGACUCACCUUAGCCUUAAUUAUAACGAGUUUACUGGUGAUUUAGUACGUGAAUCAGUAUUUGCCGAUCUGCAUAAUCUUGAAAAGCUCAGUCUUGUUGGCAAUUCUUUCGAGGGGCCAUUUCCGCCGGAUAUAUUCAGGCUUUCCAAAUUAAAACAUCUUAGCAUGUCAGAUAACAAACUUUCAGGUUCAAUUCCCAAUGACAUAAGGUUGCUUUGUGAUCUUGAAUACCUAUAUUUAGCCAACAAUUCCUUUGAAGGACCGCUUCCACCAAAUAUAUUCAAGUUUUCAAAAUUAAAACAUCUUGUUCUUUGGGGUAAUAAGUUUUCUGGUUCUGUUUCCAAUGAUAUAGGUUUGCUUUCUGAGCUUGAAACUCUCGAUCUUAGCUCUAAUUUUUUUGAGGGGCCGCUUCCGCCAAAUGUAUUCAAGCUCUCCAAACUAAAAGUUCUCACCCUGUCAAUUAACAAAUUUUUAGGUUCAAUUCCCAAUGACAUAAGGUUACUUUGUGAUCUUGAAUACCUAUAUUUAGGCAACAAUUCCUUUGAAGGACCGCUUCCACCAGGUAUAUUCAAGCUUUCAAAAUUAAAACAUCUUUUUCUUUGGGGUAAUAAGUUUUCAGGUUCUGUUUUCAAUGAUAUAUGUUUGCUUUCUGAGCUUGAAACCCUCGAUCUUAACUCUAAUUUUUUUGAGGGGCCGCUUCCGCCAAAUGUAUUCAAGCUCUCCAAACUAAAGAUUCUUUCCCUUUAUGUGAACAACUUUUCAGGUUUUAUUUCUAAGGAUAUAGGUUGGCUUUUUGAACUUGAAACCCUCUAUCUUGGCUCUAAUUUUUUUGAGGGGCCGCUUCCCCCACAUGUAUUUAGGCUCUCCAAAUUAAGAGAUUUGGACCUCUCAGACAAUAGAAAUUUAUUUGAAGGAAGUAUUCCUAUUGGACUGGGACUCUUGACUAACCUCAGGUACUUAGAUCUACAUUUCAGUAAUCUCAGUGGCUAUAUUCCAUCUGACAUUGGAAACCUGAAGCUACUAGUACUUCUUGAUCUCAGUUCUAAUAAAUUGACUGGACCGCUUUCAAAGAUCAUUUCUAAUCUCACAAAUCUUAUAUUUCUUGAUGUAAGUGAUAAUAGUCUUAGUGGAAAUAUUCAGAGUGACUUGUGGAAAUAUAACGAUCAUCCAACUUUGGAAUACAUCGAUUUAAGUGGGAACCAUUUUACGGGUAUAGUUUUUCUCUAUAGAUCUUUUCUUUUUCUCAUAUGUAACUAAGCUAGUAAUCUGAUUAUUGCAGUUUCACCAAAGUUUCAACAAUCUUGACAGGUGAGCUUCCAACAACAAUUUGCAAUGUCACUUCCCUUUUGGUUCUUGAUUUGUCAAAUAAUGAAUUAAGUGGUGCACUUCCAAACUGUUUCGGGAAUCUUGCUGAUAGAUUGCUUUUCAUUAAUCUUGCUAAUAAUCAGUUUCGAGGAACAAUACCAACUACUUUCUCCAGGAGUUGUCAGCUGACAUAUCUAAACAUGGAUAAUAAUGAGUUUGAAGGAUUGUUGCGCCCAUCUUUGGCGAACUGUAAGCACUUGAAAAUUCUUGAUAUUGGCAAUAAUAAAAUAGGUGGUACAUUUCCGUCAUGGCUUUAUGCACUUGGAGAGCUAGAAGUCCUUGUCUUGCGAUCAAAUAAACUCUAUGGUACAAUAAGUGGGAGGAGCAUAGAAAAUCCCUUCCCCAAGUUGCGGAUUGUGGAUCUGUCCAACAAUCAAUUCACUGGCCAUUUGCCAAUUCAAUACUUUAAGAAUAUGAAAUCAACUGAUAAUUUGUAUAGUUAUCAGAAUGACACAGGAGUUUUUUCUUUCCAUUAUGAAGCAUCUGUAUCAUUAACUGUGAAGGGAACAGAGUAUGAAGUGAAAAAUAUCCUUCAUAUUUACACAACCAUUGAUCUGUCCUGCAACAAGUUUCAAGGAGAAAUUCCUGACGUUAUUGGAGAGCUUAGAUGGCUUGCAUUGCUGAACUUAUCUCAUAAUAGUCUAACAGGACAUAUCCCAUCAUUGCUGAGAAAUAUGAAAGGACUCCAAUCUUUAGAUUUGUCUUCAAAUCAACUGACAGGGGCUAUUCCACCUCAGUUAACUGCAUUGACAUUUCUAGAGGUCUUGAACCUCUCGGGAAACCAUCUUAGUGGAGAGAUUCCUCAGAAAGGACAGUUCAGCACAUUCAACAAUGAUUCUUAUCUAGGAAACUCCGCGUUAUGUGGAUCACCUUUGACAAAGAAAUGUGUAAACACAGCAUCACCUCCACAGGAAGUCGGAAAUGGUGAUGAAGAUGAUGCUGGCGAUGAAUGGACAUGGGAAGCAAUCGUGAUGGGAUAUGGAUGUGGACUGAUAUGUGGAUUGUCGUCUGCGUACAUUGUUCUCAGACUAGGAAGGCCUUGGUGGUUUGUGAGAUAUAUCGAAGUACUGCAACUGAAGUUGAUGAAAAGAUAUGCAUGAAGAAAGGUACUGGUAGAUCAAGAUGAACUUGAAAGUUAUUUUCGUGGAUGACAUUUGUGAACCAGUACUGUACUAGCUGCUUAAGUAUUUGGUAUUAUGUAAUAAUCCGUUUGGUCGGGACUCAUAAUGAUAUUUCUUGCUUCAGGGGUAUUAAUAUAAACCUUGGUAUUGUGUACUAGCUGUCUGUUUGGUCGUGACUCAUAAUCUUUCAUGUAUUAACAUAAGGUUUUAAUACAUCCCGUACCAGGUUAGCCAUCUUCAGAUAUUACACAUCUUACUGCUGUCGCAUAAUGAAUUGCAAUCUCCAAAUUGGUCCAACUUCUCUUCCAUGCCCUUUUUGCGCAUCCUCGGCCUUGGCAGCAAUAAUCUGGUGUCAAAAUUCCCAGAAUUUAUAUCUGACUCUCAUAGCCUCACUUUCCUUGACCUUUCUUUUAACAAGUUUACAGGUGAUCUUGUGCUUGAAUCAAUUUUUACCGAUCUACAUAAUCUUGAAAACCUCCAUCUUGCUGGAAAUUCCUUUGAGGGGCCGAUUCCACCUAGAGUAUUUAAGCUUUCCAAUUUAAAAGUUCUUGAACUCACGGGUAAUAACUUUUCUCGUUCUAUUUCCAACGAUAUAGGUUUGCUUUCUGAACUUGAGACCCUCUAUCUUGACUUCAAUUUUUUUGAUGGACCAAUUCCCCCAAAUAUAUUCAACCUUUCCCAAUUAAAAAUUCUUGAACUAACAGAAAAUAACUUUUCUGGUCCUGUUUCCAAUGAUAUAAGUUUGCUUUCUGAGCUUGAAAACCUCAAUCUUGCCUUAAAUUCUUCUGAUGGGCCUUUUCCAUCAAAGAUAUUCAACCUAACCAAAUUGAGACAUCUAAAUCUCUAUGGCAAUAAGAAUUUAUUUAAAGGAAGUAUCCCACUGGAUAUCAGAAACCUGAAGCUCCUGGAAUCUAUUAAUCUCGGUUCUAAUCAAUUGGUUGGACCACUUUCAAUGCUCAUUUCUAAUCUCACUAAUCUUAAGAUGGUUGGGCUAAGCGAUAAUAGGUUUUUUGGCAAAAUUCCUAGUGACUUCUUGAAAAACUUGCCAUCCUUACACGUCAUUGAUCUUUCAAAUAAUAAUUUGUCCGGAAAUAUUCCCAGGGAGUAUAACGUGCAUCCAAUUUUAGAAUACAUCAAUUUAAGUGGAAACCAUCUUACAGGUUUACUUCUCCCUCAAUAUAUUUUAUUUUCCUUUUGUAUGUUACAUUGAUUACACUUUUACCGAAGCUCAAACAAUUUUAACAGGUGAGAUCCCAGCAACAAUUUGCAAUGCUACAAACCUUUAUAUUCUGGUUCUGUCAGAUAAUGGAUUAAGUGGUGCCCUUCCGCAUUGUUUGGGAAAUCUUGCAGAUAAAAUGCAUUGCAUUGAUCUCGCUAAUAAUCAGUUCCGAGGACCAAUACCAACAACCUUCUCAGAGAGUUGCCAGUUAAGAUAUCUAAACAUGUAUGACAAUCAGUUAGAAGGACUUUUGCCCCGAUCUUUGUCAAACUGUAAGCACUUGAAAAUUCUUGACAUCGGGAACAACAAAAUGGGCGGUACAUUUCCUUCAUGGCUAUUCACUCUCAGAGAGCUAGAAGUCCUAGUCUUGCAAUCAAAUAAACUGUAUGGUCCAGUAAGUGGAAGGAGCACACAUCACAUCCAUUCCCCAAGUUGCGGAUUCUAGAUCUCUCCAACAACCAAUUCACGGGCUAUUUGCCAAUUCAAUACUCUUUAAGAAUAUGAAACCAGCUGCUGAUAACAUUUGUCUUAGGAUGACACAUGUUCUAAACUAUGACAAUAGUAUGCAAUCUCGUUUAAUACUUUCAUAUUAUGAACUAGUUCUGUUGAAUAAAUAAAUAUUAUUAAUUAAUCAAUCAUGUGCGCUCGAGUUUCCCUGGCCAGAUGCCCAGAUUAUUAGAGCAUCUCCAGCAGAGUCUUAACCGGUUCUCUAAAUAUAUAAUAAAAUAUGUAUCUUUUAAGGGAUUACUACAUUUUAGUGAAUGAGAACUCCAACAACAUUCCCUAUUUACAUUCUCUAUUAUUAUUAUAAUAUUAUAUUCAACUUGUAAUAAGAGAGAGAAAGUUUGGAAAGAGUAAAAGUGAGAAAAAAUAAGUGAAUAUUUUAUUCUUCAGAAUAAUAUAAGGAAAGAAAAUGCCAAAACAAUUAACUAUAAUCUACGCAAUAAUUUUUUAUAUUGAUUAGACGUUAUCUUUAUCAAUAUUUAGUCAGAUAUUCGGAUAUAUAUCAUUCCCUUUGUUUUUAUACCAUCUUUUUUUUGACUUUCGGGCCAAAUCACUACGUGGGUUGACUGGAUAGUAGAAAUUAAUAUUUUUGUCUGUUUUUUAAAAUAAAAAUCUGUAUUUUUAUUUUGAUUUCGAAGAAUAUAAUCCAUAAGGUAAAUAAUUUUUAANNNNNNNNNNNNNNNNNNNNNNNNNNNNNNNNNNNNNNNNNNNNNNNNNNNNNNNNNNNNNNNNNNNNNNNNNNNNNNNNNNNNNNNNNNNNNNNNNNNNNNNNNNNNNNNNNNNNNNNNNNNNNNNNNNNNNNNNNNNNNNNNNNNNNNNNNNNNNNNNNNNNNNNNNNNNNNNNNNNNNNNNNNNNNNNNNNNNNNNNNNNNNNNNNNNNNNNNNNNNNNNNNNNNNNNNNNNNNNNNNNNNNNNNNNNNNNNNNNNNNNNNNNNNNNNNNNNNNNNNNNNNNNNNNNNNNNNNNNNNNNNNNNNNNNNNNNNNNNNNNNNNNNNNNNNNNNNNNNNNNNNNNNNNNNNNNNNNNNNNNNNNNNNNNNNNNNNNNNNNNNNNNNNNNNNNNNNNNNNNNNNNNNNNNNNNNNNNNNNNNNNNNNNNNNNNNNNNNNNNNNNNNNNNNNNNNNNNNNNNNNNNNNNNNNNNNNNNNNNNNNNNNNNNNNNNNNNNNNNNNNNNNNNNNNNNNNNNNNNNNNNNNNNNNNNNNNNNNNNNNNNNNNNNNNNNNNNNNNNNNNNNNNNNNNNNNNNNNNNNNNNNNNNNNNNNNNNNNNNNNNNNNNNNNNNNNNNNNNNNNNNNNNNNNNNNNNNNNNNNNNNNNNNNNNNNNNNNNNNNNNNNNNNNNNNNNNNNNNNNNNNNNNNNNNNNNNNNNNNNNNNNNNNNNNNNNNNNNNNNNNNNNNNNNNNNNNNNNNNNNNNNNNNNNNNNNNNNNNNNNNNNNNNNNNNNNNNNNNNNNNNNNNNNNNNNNNNNNNNNNNNNNNNNNNNNNNNNNNNNNNNNNNNNNNNNNNNNNNNNNNNNNNNNNNNNNNNNNNNNNNNNNNNNNNNNNNNNNNNNNNNNNNNNNNNNNNNNNNNNNNNNNNNNNNNNNNNNNNNNNNNNNNNNNNNNNNNNNNNNNNNNNNNNNNNNNNNNNNNNNNNNNNNNNNNNNNNNNNNNNNNNNNNNNNNNNNNNNNNNNNNNNNNNNNNNNNNNNNNNNNNNNNNNNNNNNNNNNNNNNNNNNNNNNNNNNNNNNNNNNNNNNNNNNNNNNNNNNNNNNNNNNNNNNNNNNNNNNNNNNNNNNNNNNNNNNNNNNNNNNNNNNNNNNNNNNNNNNNNNNNNNNNNNNNNNNNNNNNNNNNNNNNNNNNNNNNNNNNNNNNNNNNNNNNNNNNNNNNNNNNNNNNNNNNNNNNNNNNNNNNNNNNNNNNNNNNNNNNNNNNNNNNNNNNNNNNNNNNNNNNNNNNNNNNNNNNNNNNNNNNNNNNNNNNNNNNNNNNNNNNNNNNNNNNNNNNNNNNNNNNNNNNNNNNNNNNNNNNNNNNNNNNNNNNNNNNNNNNNNNNNNNNNNNNNNNNNNNNNNNNNNNNNNNNNNNNNNNNNNNNNNNNNNNNNNNNNNNNNNNNNNNNNNNNNNNNNNNNNNNNNNNNNNNNNNNNNNNNNNNNNNNNNNNNNNNNNNNNNNNNNNNNNNNNNNNNNNNNNNNNNNNNNNNNNNNNNNNNNNNNNNNNNNNNNNNNNNNNNNNNNNNNNNNNNNNNNNNNNNNNNNNNNNNNNNNNNNNNNNNNNNNNNNNNNNNNNNNNNNNNNNNNNNNNNNNNNNNNNNNNNNNNNNNNNNNNNNNNNNNNNNNNNNNNNNNNNNNNNNNNNNNNNNNNNNNNNNNNNNNNNNNNNNNNNNNNNNNNNNNNNNNNNNNNNNNNNNNNNNNNNNNNNNNNNNNNNNNNNNNNNNNNNNNNNNNNNNNNNNNNNNNNNNNNNNNNNNNNNNNNNNNNNNNNNNNNNNNNNNNNNNNNNNNNNNNNNNNNNNNNNNNNNNNNNNNNNNNNNNNNNNNNNNNNNNNNNNNNNNNNNNNNNNNNNNNNNNNNNNNNNNNNNNNNNNNNNNNNNNNNNNNNNNNNNNNNNNNNNNNNNNNNNNNNNNNNNNNNNNNNNNNNNNNNNNNNNNNNNNNNNNNNNNNNNNNNNNNNNNNNNNNNNNNNNNNNNNNNNNNNNNNNNNNNNNNNNNNNNNNNNNNNNNNNNNNNNNNNNNNNNNNNNNNNNNNNNNNNNNNNNNNNNNNNNNNNNNNNNNNNNNNNNNNNNNNNNNNNNNNNNNNNNNNNNNNNNNNNNNNNNNNNNNNNNNNNNNNNNNNNNNNNNNNNNNNNNNNNNNNNNNNNNNNNNNNNNNNAUAUACACUUCCAUUUCCACUUUCCAGUAUUAAGUUUAGAAUUAAGAUCUUAACAACAUAGCAAUCAUUUAAACCUCGAAGAAAAUUGUGCACAUUAACAAGACCAAAGAGAAAACAGAUAGCAUAAAAUUGUGUAACACGUAUAAUUUAAAUCCACUUCUCAGUAUACUCCACAUUCAAGGUGAUCUAACUGCUACAAUAUUCUAAUUUUCACAGCUACGACACUGAACAAUAUAAGAACCAGUUUACUGUAAGUUUACUGAACAUAUAUAUACGACAUUGAACAAUAUAAAAUAGCUAUCCUUUGUAAGACCAAAAACAAAGGACACUAGCUAGCUAAUUCAAUAUACAAAACCACUCCAAUCAGUUUAUGAUAAGCAACUACAAACAUACAAAUACAUAUAAACAUACAAAUACAUAUAAACAUACUAUCUCAUUUUCCAAAAACCACAACUACAAACUAUCUCAUUUUCCAAAAACACACACUGAAAUACAUAUAUACAUACACAUACAACCACAAGGAUACCCAAACUCAAGUAAUAAAUAAGAAAUUACCUCCUCCAACUCGAAGAGAGCUUGAAUAGACUUGAACAGAGCUUGAACAGACUCCGAGCUCGAACUCCCUACAAACUCGAACUGAAGUACGAGCACCCACUAAACCCACAAACUCCACACUCGAACUGAACUCUGAGAUCUGUUGAAAAAACGAAUUAAAGAAGCAAAUGAGUAUUGUAAUCGAACAAACAUCAGUUUAUUAGGUACAAAUCAACCUUUAUCGCACAAAUUUAAGGAUGAAAUCGGCCGAAUUGGAACCUAGGGUUCGCUCGCUGAGAAAGGGGGAAGAACGGGGAGAGAGAAUGUAUUUUGUACAAAUGAUUUAAUUUAGGUAGUUUUAUUAGUUUUAUGUCUUUUUCCUUUUAAUUUUAUGUUUAAAGACAGGUGUUGAUGUCUUGUUCAGACAACACAUCAACUAAGCAGCGGGGUUUUAAAGGCGGGGUUUUUUUGUUUGUGAAAAAUUUGGCUAAGUGGGGAAUAGAAGCGGGGAAGCGCGGCCAAUUUUUUAAAAACAUGUUUUAGACAUCGGUUCUACACUAAGAUGAUGUCUAGUUUUUUAAUAGACAUCGGUUUUUAAAAUUUCGAUGUAAAAAAGGGUUUUAACAUCGGUGGUUUUUUUAACCGAUGUCUAAUCUGUGAUGUCUGAUCCUGUUUUUCUAGUAGUGAUCACUGCAACAAAAUAUUAGUUACGACGGAACAAUGUCGCUGGACUUUAUUUGUUUACAUUUUUUUAAUAGUAGUUAAUUUUUAAACUUGCGACGGAAAACAUACGACAGUCUACUUCGCGAGAGAAAAUCAUUUUAUUUUAUUUUUUAGCGCCAGAAUUUUAAUACUAAACUACUAUAGGGCCGUUUGGGCUAGCUUAAAAAAAGUGAUUUUUUACUUACAGUAAAGAAGUGGAUUAAAAGUGAGAAGCAAAUAAGUCAAUAAAAUGUUUGGAAAAGAAGUAGAAGCUGUGAGAGAGAAGUUAGCAUUCUCAGCUUCUUAAAAGUGCUUCUGCUUAUUUACAUAAACGGGUAAAAAAAAAAAAGCAAAAGCCAGAAGCAGCUUCUACUUCUCGAAACAAACAGGGCCAAUAUAUAUGAAGGAAACUGAUCUCUAUUGUUUUCAGCUUGCUCAUCCAUGGUAAGUAAUCCGUCGAAAAAGUUAGUUUGUUGUCGUGGUGUCUUAUCAUGAGAGAAAAUGGUAAUAUCGCAAAAUAUUUGCAACUGAAAGAUAAAUUAUAGUUCUAGAAACCAUUUAGGUAACGAUGCGCGGAGUUAUUUUCACUCACUUAGAAUUAAUGAUAAAUAUUUGCAACUGAAAGAUACAUUAUAGUUCUAGAAAAGGAUCCACGGAAUUAUUUUCACUCACUUAGAAUUAAUCCUAAGUUAUUGUGAGUUUUUGAAUAUGGAUUAUCUCAAAUUUUAUUAAAACACAUAUCGAUUCAUAUAGACAAAUUUGCCUACCUAAUAUUAUAAUAUUUAUGGCGAAGUUGUAUGAACAAUUGUGUAGAUAAUUAUACUUUACAAAGCAUACUUCUGCUAGCUGAAUUUUGAUUAAAAAAUCGAAAGGGAUAGGUCUGGGUCUCUCCAAGUCUUUGAGGACUCAUUCCAAGUCUUCUGAUGAGGACAAAAUAUAUCGCUGGUAGUCUUUCAGUCCUUCCUAGAGUAUUUUAUGCUCUGCACUGCAUUUGUGUUGAUAAUUUGCGCAAUGUUGAUGAGGAUUGCUCCAAGUCUUGGCGGACUCUUUCCAAAUCUUCCGAGGACCUAUCGGUUCAAUUUAGCCCAUUAAAAAUUUUAUUAUCUCAAAGCUAUCUGCAAAAUAAUAUAUAAGGUAAAAAUGAAUAUAUACCAUUGUUUUGUGAUUAAGUUGUAUAGGCAAUAUGCAUUGCAAAAUCAGCAACAGGAUAUAUGAAUACUAAUUAAUUACCUGAUAUCAGUAUGAACAAAUACUUUCUAUGUAGUUGUAAUAUUAGUCUUCUUUAAAAGUUAUCAUGAGGGAAGGUAUAUAUUGUGAUGCGGGAGAAAUAUUGUCACUGAAAAUAAUUAUAAUUCUAAAAUUUCCAUUAUACACUUUUUUUAGUGUUUGUACGUGGUAAGUACUUCAGACGACAUUUCUCGCGUAUGCCUCCGAUUAAGAAUUUGAUGUUCAGCCUAGUCCUAAACUAAAAUUAUUAUAAAUGUGUACUUCAAAAUUAUAUAUAUUGCUGGUAGUCUUUCAGUUCUUCCUGGUGUAUGCAAUUGUUUCAUUCAAUACCAAUUAUUUUAUACUAUGCACUCUGAUAUCAUGUUGAGAACAAUCCAUCAAAAACUUUAAACCUUAAUUAAGGUGUUAGAGGAAAAUACCAAUUAGAUCUUAUGCUAUAUUUCAAUACUUCCAACACUCUGCGAUGCAAAGCAGGGACUCUUGAGUAUUUUCAUAUGUGUAUUAGUUUUGAAGAUAAAAGUUGUAUAGAGAAUUGUGUUGAUAAUUUGCGCAAUUGCGCAAUGAUAACUGGGAUAGGUCAUCUUCUCUCCCAAGUCUUGGAUGGAAUCUUUCCAAGUCUUCUGAGAACCCAUCAGCUCAGAUUAGUCCAUACAAUGUCAAGGGUCCUAUGAUAUGGUCUACUAACAGCCCAGUGUCGGUAAUAAAUCCAAUUGCAUAUAACCUAUUCAAAAUCAAUCCCCUAUAAACAAUCAUCUCUAAAAACUAUUCACAUAAAAUAAAAUUUUAAAAAUAUAAAAUAUCUAGUUGUUUUCAAUAUAUAAUUUUCCACAGUAGAUAACANNNNNNNNNNNNNNNNNNNNNNNNNNNNNNNNNNNNNNNNNNNNNNNNNNNNNNNNNNNNNNNNNNNNNNNNNNNNNNNNNNNNNNNNNNNNNNNNNNNNNNNNNNNNNNNNNNNNNNNNNNNNNNNNNNNNNNNNNNNNNNNNNNNNNNNNNNNNNNNNNNNNNNNNNNNNNNNNNNNNNNNNNNNNNNNNNNNNNNNNNNNNNNNNNNNNNNNNNNNNNNNNNNNNNNNNNNNNNNNNNNNNNNNNNNNNNNNNNNNNNNNNNNNNNNNNNNNNNNNNNNNNNNNNNNNNNNNNNNNNNNNNNNNNNNNNNNNNNNNNNNNNNNNNNNNNNNNNNNNNNNNNNNNNNNNNNNNNNNNNNNNNNNNNNNNNNNNNNNNNNNNNNNNNNNNNNNNNNNNNNNNNNNNNNNNNNNNNNNNNNNNNNNNNNNNNNNNNNNNNNNNNNNNNNNNNNNNNNNNNNNNNNNNNNNNNNNNNNNNNNNNNNNNNNNNNNNNNNNNNNNNNNNNNNNNNNNNNNNNNNNNNNNNNNNNNNNNNNNNNNNNNNNNNNNNNNNNNNNNNNNNNNNNNNNNNNNNNNNNNNNNNNNNNNNNNNNNNNNNNNNNNNNNNNNNNNNNNNNNNNNNNNNNNNNNNNNNNNNNNNNNNNNNNNNNNNNNNNNNNNNNNNNNNNNNNNNNNNNNNNNNNNNNNNNNNNNNNNNNNNNNNNNNNNNNNNNNNNNNNNNNNNNNNNNNNNNNNNNNNNNNNNNNNNNNNNNNNNNNNNNNNNNNNNNNNNNNNNNNNNNNNNNNNNNNNNNNNNNNNNNNNNNNNNNNNNNNNNNNNNNNNNNNNNNNNNNNNNNNNNNNNNNNNNNNNNNNNNNNNNNNNNNNNNNNNNNNNNNNNNNNNNNNNNNNNNNNNNNNNNNNNNNNNNNNNNNNNNNNNNNNNNNNNNNNNNNNNNNNNNNNNNNNNNNNNNNNNNNNNNNNNNUGUAUUAGUUUUGUAAGAUAAAAGUUGUAUGGACAAUUGUGUUGUAUAAUUUGCGCAAUGAUAACUGGGAUAGGUCAUCUUCUCUCCCAAGUCUUGGAUGGAAUCUUUCCAAGUCUUCUGAGAACCCAUCAGCUCAGAUUAGUCCAUACAAUGUCAAGGGUCCUAUGAUAUGGUCUACUAACAGCCCAGUGUCGGUAAUAAAUCCAAUUGCAUAUAACCUAUUCAAAAUCAAUCCCCUAUAAACAAUCAUCUCUAAAAACUAUUCACAUAAAAUAAAAUUUUAAAAAUAUAAAAUAUCUAGUUGUUUUCAAUAUAUAAUUUUCCACAGUAGAUAACAAAAUAUCUUUAUCAAAUUGUUAUUUAUGGGUUCAAUAUUUAAGCUAUAAUUCCAAUAACACGGCAAGCAUGCAGCGUAUAAAUAGAAGUGUGCAGUAUGUUAUCAGAUUCAUAACCCAGUUGAUCAGGAGAAACAUGGCAUACUCUGCAAAGCCUUCUCACCUUCUUCUCUUUGUUUUCUUUCUCUCAUCACUUGAAUCCAUUCUUGCAACAACACGAGAAGGAGAAGCUCUUGUGAAAUGGAAGAAUAGCCUAGCCCCUUCUUCUUUUCUCGAUUCUUGGUCCCUCACCAAUCUCGAAAAUCUUUGUAACUGGACUGGCAUUACUUGUAACUCUGCAGGUUCAGUCUCUGAGAUUAAUCUCUGUGAGAAACAACUUAAUGGAAUGCUGUCCGAGUUUGGUUUCACUUCAUUUCCAAAUCUCAACUAUCUCACACUCGCAGACAACUUCUUCUCCGGUCCAAUACCACCAGCCAUUGAGAAUUUAACACAGCUUCAAUAUCUUGAUUUGAGAAAUAAUUAUCUAGAUGGUCCCAUUCCGUUCCAGGUUAGCCAUCUUCAGAGCUUGCUCAUAUUAAACCUGUCACAGAAUGCAUUGCAAGCUACAAAUUGGUCCAAUUUCUCUCCCAUGCCUUUUUUGCGCAUCCUCAACCUCAGUAGCAAUCAUCUUGUAUCGAAAUUCCCAGAAUUUAUAUCCAAUUCUCAUAGCUUGGCUAUCCUUGACCUUUCACAUAACAACUUUACAGGUGAUCUUGUGCGUGAAUUUACCAAUCUACAAAAUCUUGAAACCCUCUGGCUUUAUUGUAAUUCUUUUGAGGGGCCAUUUCCGCCGGAUAUAUUCAGGCUCUCCAAAUUAAAACGUCUCUCCCUGUCAAGUAACAAAUUUUCAGGUUCAGUUCCCAAUGACAUAAGGUUGCUUUGUGAUCUUGAAUCCUUAAACUUAAGCAACAAUUCUUUUGAAGGACCGCUUCCACCAAAUUUAUUCAAGCUUUCGAAAUUAAAGAGUCUUUUUCUUUGGAGUAAUAAGUUUUCAGGUUCUAUUUCCAAUGAUAUAGGUUUGCUUUCUGAGCUUGAAUUUCUCAAUCUUUACGAUAAUUUUUUUGAGGGGCCGCUUCCAUGCAUCAAAUAUAUUCAAGCUCUCCAAAUUAAGGGUUCUUUACCUUAACGGUAAUAAACUUCUAGGUUCUCUUUCCAAUGAUAUAGGUUUGCUUUCUGAGCUUGAAACCCUCAAUCUUCGCUCUAAUUUUUUUGAGGCUCCGUUUCCGUCAAAUAUAUUCAAGCUUUCCAAAUUAACAAUUCUUGACCUCGCAUACAAUAGAAAUUUAUUUGAAGGAAGUUUUCCUAUUGGACUGGGACUCUUGACUAACCUCAGCUACUUAGAUCUAACUUCCACUAAUCUCAGUGGCUCAUCUGCCAUUGGAAACCUCAAGCUACUACUAUAUCUUGGUCUCAGUUAUAAUCAAUUGACUGGACCGCUUUCAAACAUUGUUUCUAAUCUAACAAAUCUUAUAUUUCUUGGUGUGGAUCAUAAUAGUCUUAGUGGAAAUAUUCCGAGUGACUGGUGGAAAGCCUCUGUAUCCUUACUUUACAUUGAUCUUGGAUAUAAUUAUUUGUCUGGGAACAUUCCUAAGGAAUAUAAAGAUCAUCCAACUUUGGAAUACAUCGAUUUAAGUGGGAACCAUUUUACAGGUAUUUUUUUCUCUAUAUAUCUUUUCCUUUUGUCACAUGUAACUAAGCUAGUAAUCUGAUUAUUGCAGUUUUACCUAAGUUUUAACAAUCUUGACAGGUGAGCUUCCAACAACAAUUUGCAAUGCUACCUCCCUUUCGGUUCUUGCUUUGUCAAAUAAUGGAUUAAGUGGUGCACUUCCAAACUGUAUUGCGAAUCUUGCUGAUGGAUUGCUUUACAUUAAUCUUGCUAAUAAUCAGUUUCGAGGAGCAAUACCAACUACUUCAUCCAAAAGUUGUCAGCUGACCUAUCUCAACAUGGAUAAUAAUGAGUUUGAAGGAUUGCUGCCCCCAUCUUUGGCGAACUGUAAGCACUUGAAGAUUCUUGAUAUUGGCAAUAAUAAAAUAGGUGGUACAUUUCCUUCAUGGCUUUAUGCACUUGGAGAGCUAGAAGUCCUUGUCUUGCGAUCAAAUAAACUCUAUGGUCCAAUAAGUGGGAGGAGCAUAGAAAAUCCCUUCCCCAAGUUGCGGAUUUUGGAUCUGUCCAACAAUCAAUUCUCAGGCCAUUUGCCAAUUCAAUACUUCAAGAAUAUGAAAUCAACUGAUAAAUUGUAUCGCUAUCAGAAUGCCACAACAUUAACGGGUUUCCAAUAUGAUGCAUCAGUCCCAUUAACUGUGAAGGGAACAGAGUAUGAAGUGAAAAAUAUCCUUCAUAUUUACACAGCCAUUGAUCUGUCCUGCAACAAGUUUCAAGGAGAAAUUCCUGACGUUAUUGGAGAGCUUAGAUGGCUUGCAUUGCUGAACUUAUCUCAUAAUAGUCUAACAGGACCUAUCCCAUCAUUGCUGAGAAAUAUGAAAGAACUCCAAUCUUUAGAUUUGUCGUCAAAUCAACUGACAGGGGCUAUUCCACCUCAGUUAACUGCACUGACAUUUCUAGAGGUCUUCAACCUCUCGGGAAACCAUCUUAGUGGAGAGAUUCCUCAGAAAGGACAGUUCAGCACAUUUAACAAUGAUUCUUAUCUAGGAAACUCCGCGUUAUGUGGAUCACCAUUGACGAAGAAAUGUGCAAACACAGCAUCACCUCCACAAGAAGUCGGAAAUGUUGAUGAAGAUGAUGCGGGUGAUGAAUUGACAUGGGAAGCAAUCUUGAUGGGAUAUGGAUGUGGACUGAUAUGUGGAUUGUCAUCUGCUUACAUUGUUCUCAAACUAGGAAAGCCUUGGUGGUUUGUGAGAUAUAUCGAAGUGCUGCAACUGAAGUUGAUGAAAAGAUAUGCAUGAAGAAUGGUACUGGCCGAUCAAGACGAACUUGAAAGUUGUUGGACAUUUCUGAACCAGUAGUGUACUAUUCUCUUUGUGGCUGCAUAAGUUUUUGGUAUUGUGUAAUAUUCUGUUUGGUCUUGAAUUUCAGGGGUAUUAAUAUAAACCUUGGUAUUGUGUAAUAUUCUGUUUGAUCAAUGUUUAUAUCAAUAAUUUUAUGCUCCUCACUGCAUCAUGCAGCUCUCAUAUUAUCUUCAUAUGUGUAUUAUUUGGAUAUCAAAGUUGCAGGGACAUAUGGAUAUGUGUUAACAGGGACUGCUCGGUCUUGGACGGACUCUUUCCAAGUCCUCUGGGGUCCUAUCGGUUCAAAUUAGUCUAUUAUCUGCAUACUAAUUUGUCCAACUCGGGCUUGAAUAGUAAAGAUAAAGAGUGCGAGUUGAGUUUCUCAAAGUAUGAGUACAAUAUCGUUUUUGAAUGAUAGUUAGGGGUGCGAUAUGCAAUUACCUCAAAAAUAUAUGAUCAUUAGUAUAUUAUAUUAGUAUCCACACACUUAUAUCUCAAAAUCUAUCCUCCAAAAUUAUCAUCUCUAUAGGCUAGCCACAUAAAAUAAAAAUUUAAAGAUAUUAGAUUUUUAGUUAUUUUCAUUAUAUAAUUUUUCCACGCAAAAUAACAAAAUAUCUUUAUCAACUUAUUAUUUAUGAGUUAAAUAUUCAAGUUAUAUAAUUCGGACAUGCUGGGUAUAAAUUGAAGUGUAACGCCUAAUUUCCGGGGUCUGGGAGUAGUUGGCGGGGUAUGAGAGAGCAGGCUAUUUAGAAGUCUUGGUCAUGAAAACUUCCAAGCUAAACUUCGACAACGGAAUCUUCUGAGGCUACUAUUCUAAAGCACGCAUAAUCAUUGUAUCCAUUUUCCGACAAAAAGUCUAUUUAAGCAAAUGAAAUACAAACAACUGAGUGGAAUGCUGACCGAAAGUCUUUUUGACUAAGCUUAUGAUUUAUUAGUACAUGAUUAAUAUGAUAAGCUAAGCUGAGAGCAUAAGAUAUCGUGUGUAUAAUUUUGUGUUUAUUAAUGACUUAUAAAUUAUUAAAAAUAUAAUAAGAAAAAUAAAAAUGAUUUAUAACUAAUUUAUGUUUUAUGAGUAAUUUUUAUUAGAAAAAAGUUUUAAAAAAUUAUUUCACUGGAAAAAAAACCUCCAACUAACUUUUGGCUCUAAGUCAGUUUUUGAUUUAUUUAUGACUUUAUGUCGGAUUCUGAUUUUUACACAAAAAUCUGGUUUUAAACCUCUGAGUUUGGUUUCACUUCAUAUACAAACCUCAACAAUUUCACCAUCAAACACAAUGACUUCUCCAAUCUCCGGUCCAGUACCACCAGCCAUUGAGAAUUUGGCACAACUUCAAUUCCAUACCAGGUUAGUCGUCUUCGGAGAUUACACGUCUUAGACCUGUCAAAUACAAAUUUCAAUCUCCAAACUGGUCCGAUUUAUCUUCUAUGCUUUUUGUUGAGUCCGGCUCAUCUAAAGCCUUAAGAUGUUAGAGGAAGCACCCAAUGAAUCUUAUAUAUGCUAUAUUUUAACAAUUCUGAGCACACUCAACCUUGGUAUUAAUAAUAUUGUGUCGAAAAUUCCAGAAUUUAUAUCUAAUUCUCAUAGCCUAACUUUCCUUGACCUUUCCAUAUAACAAAUUUACAGUUAAUCCUGUGCUUGAAUCAGUAUUUGCAACCAAAAUUAUGCAAUUAUAGUGCAGGUAGUCUUCCAGUUUACGCUCUACACUCCAGGAUAAGCUCGCAUAUAAUUGACAGCUAUAAUCCUUCCAACACUUUGUGAUGCAAAGCAGAGGGAUAGGUUGGCUUAAAAAUAUAUAAGGUCACUUAUGCAUCGCUCUUCACACACUUAGACCCUGUUUGUGUGGGCUUUAAGUCCCGGCUCAAGCUAUUUCGACUUAAUCACUUCCGAGACCAAUACCAACAAGUUAAGAUAUCUAAAUAUGUAUGACAAUCAGUUAGAAGGACUAUUGCCGGGCAACAACCUUCUCAAAGAGUUGCCAGUUAAGAUAUCUAAACAUGUAUGACAAUCAGUUAGAACUUUAGAAGGACUAUUGCCCCCAUCUUUGUCAAACUGUAAGCACUUAAAAAUUCUUGACAUCGGGAACAAUAAAAUGGGUGGUACAUUCCCUUCAUGGCUAUUUAAUCUCGGAGAGCUAGAAGUCCUAGUCUUGCGAUCAAAUAGACUGUACGGUCCUGUAAGUGGAAGGAGCACAUCACAUCCAUUCCCCAAGUUGCGGAUUCUAGAUCUCUCCAACAAACAAUUCGCGGGCUAUUUGCCAAUUCUAAACUUUAAGAAUAUGAAACCAGCUGCUGAUGAUAACGCGUAUAGUUAUAAAAAUAAGUCACAAGGACUAAUUAAUUACAUCUAUGAAGCAUCUAUCUCCUUAAAUGUGAAAGGAACAGAGUAUGAAGUGAAGAACAUUCUUCAUAUUUACACAGCCAUUGAUCUAUCGUGCAACAAAUUUCACGGAGAAGUUCCAAAGAGAGCUUAAAUGGCUUGCAUUGCUCAAUCUAUCUCAUAAUAGUCUUGCCGGACAUAUGUUCUGAAUUAUUAUUAUGCUUUCAUCAAUAUUUUCAAACAUUUCUCAAUAUGUAUUUUCAAAGAAUUCUCAAGCCCUGGAACAUUUGGACCGGUUCUUUGGAAGCCAAGAUACCCAGGUUAUCAUGGCCAUGCACAAAAAUGAAUAAAUUAUUCCAAGUCUUCCAUGACUCAUUCCAAGUCUUCGGAGGAGACCCUGAGCACAAAGAUGCUCAGGGUCUCCCCAAGCCUUCCAGGACUCAUUCCAAGUCUUCGGAGCACGGUCUCGCCUCGCCCUUUCAAAGAUGUGAUAGUAGCUCGAGAGUGAUAUAAAUUAUUUUCCCGACACUAAAAAUAAAUAAUCAGAUCAAAUUAAUCAAUAAUGUAUUAAGGAUGAAAUCCAAAUUAAUCCUAAAUUUUGAUAAUAUAUAAAAAUUAUAAUUAUAAAUUAUAUACCAAAUCAGAAUUGAAUUAAUUCCUUGGCACUAAAAUUGAUAAAGAAAGUAUAAUAAUUUAAAUUUAAUUGAUGAAAAGUCAAAGUCUUCUAAUAAAUCCAUAAAGAAUAUGAUAAUCAAAAUAAUGAAAAUUAUAAUUGAAAAAUCAAAAUCAUUAGUGUAUUGGAAUAGUGUUCACACACUUGUAUAUCAAAAUUUGUGGUCCAAAAACUAUAGCACAAUAUCCUAAAUACACCACAUUAAAUAUUAGUUCAAAAAUAUUUAGUAAAUAAUUGUUUUCAUUCAUCAUUUUGUUAUUUAAAAAACUAAUAAUUUGGGUUGAUGUUAACCUAUAUUUUAAUAUAUAAUUAUAUUAUUUUCGUCUUAUUUAUUUAACUAGAAACAAUAUUUUUAUCAUACAUCAAUUAUAUUAAAAGAUAUAAUUUUAUUAAAAAAAUUGAAUUAUUAUUUAUGAAUUCCAGCAUGAAGCGUAUAAAUAGAAGUGUGCAGUUGAUCAGAUUUAUAACCCAGUUGAUCAGGAGAAACAUGGCAUACUCUGCAAAGACUUCUCACCUUCUUCUCUUUGUUUUCUUUCUCUCAUCACUUGAAUCCAUUCUUUCAACAAGACGAGAGGGAGAAGCUCUUGUGAAGUGGAAGAAUAGCCUAGCCCCUUCUUCUUUUCUCGACUCUUGGUCACUCACCAAUCUCGAAAAUCUUUGUAACUGGACUGGCAUUACUUGUAACUCUGCAGGUUCAGUCUCUGAGAUUAACCUUUGUGAGAAACAACUUGAUGGAAUGCUGUCCGAGUUUGGUUUCACUUCAUUUCCAAAUCUAAACAGUCUCACCCUCGCAGACAACUUCUUCUCGGGUCCAAUACCACCAGCCAUUCAGAACUUAACAAGGCUUCAAUACCUUGAUUUAAGCUUGAAUUAUCUCAAUGGUACCAUGCCUUUCUUGCGCAUCCUCAACCUCAGUAGCAAUCCUCUUGCGUCGAAAUUCCCAGAUUUUAUAUCCAGUUCUCAAAGCCUGACUCACCUUGACCUUUCAUAUAACAUGUUUACCGGUGAUCUAGCAUGUGAACCAUUAUUUGCCAACCUGCAUAAUCUUGAAGUCCUCAGUCUCGUUGAAAAUUCUUUUGAGGGGCCAUUUCCACCGGAUAUAUUCAGGCUUUCCAAAUUAAAACAUCUUAGCCUGUCAGUUAACAAACUUUCAGGUUCAAUUCCCAAUGACAUAAGGUUGCUUUGUGAUCUUGAAUACCUAUAUUUAGCCAACAAUUCCUUUGAAGGACCACUUCCACCAAAUAUAUUCAAGCUUUCAAAAUUAAAACAUCUUGUUCUUUGGGGUAAUAAGUUUUCAGGUUCUGUUUCCAAUGAUAUAGGUUUGCUUUCGGCGCUUGAAGCCCUCGAUCUUUAUUCUAAUUUUUUUGAGGGGCCGCUUCCACCAAAUAUAUUCAAGCUCUCAAAACUAAGGAUUCUUUCCCUUGGGAACAAUAACUUUUCAGGUUCUGUCUCUAAUAAUAUAGGUUUGCUUCCUGAGCUUGAAACCCUAUGUCUUGACUCUAAUUUGUUUGAGGGGCCGCUUCCCCCACAUAUAUUCACGCUCUCUAAAUUAAGAUAUCUAGACCUCUCAAACAAUAGAAAUUUAUUUGAAAGAAGUAUUCCUAUUGGAUUGGGACUCUUGACUAACCUCAGGUACUUAGAUCUAUAUUCCAGUAAUCUCAGCGGCUAUAUUCCAUCUGACAUUGGAAACCUGAAGCUACUAGUAGGUCUUAAUCUCGGUUCUAAUAAAUUGACUGGACCAGUUUCAAAGAUCGUUUCUAAUCUCACAAAUCUUAUAUUUCUUAGUGUAAGAAAUAAUAGUCUUAGUGGAAAUAUUCAGAGUGACUUGUGGAACUUCCCUAAGGAAUAUAACAAUCAUCCAACUUUGGAAUACAUCGAUUUAAGUGGGAACCAUUUUACAGGUAUCUUUUCUCUAUAUAUCUUUUCCUUUUCUCAUAUGUAACUAAGCUAGUAAUCUGAUUAUUGCAGUUUUACCAAAGUUUCAACAAUCUUGACAGGUGAGCUUCCAACAACAAUUUGCAAUGUCACUUCCCUUUCGGUUCUUGAUUUGUCAAAUAAUGGAUUAAGUGGUGCACUUCCAAACUGUUUCGGGAAUCUUGCUGAUGGAUUGCUUUACCUUAAUCUUGCUAAUAAUCAGUUUCGAGGAACAAUACCAACUACUUUCUCCAGGAGUUGUCGGCUGAAAUAUCUAAACAUGGAUAAUAAUGAGUUUGAAGGAUUGAUGCCCCCAUCUUUGGCGAACUGUAAGAACUUGAGAAUUCUUGAUAUUGGCAACAAUAAAAUAGGUGGUACAUUUCCGUCAUGGCUUUAUGCACUUGGAGAGCUAGAAGUCCUUGUCUUGCGAUCAAAUAAACUCUAUGGUACAAUAAGUGGAAGGAGCAUAGAAGAUCCCUUCCCCAAGUUGCGGAUUGUGGAUCUGUCCAACAAUCAAUUCACAGGCCAUUUGCCAAUUCAAUACUUUAAGAAUAUGAAAUCAACUGAUAAUUUGUAUCGUUAUCAGAAUGACACAGGAGAUUUUAUUUUCCAUUAUGAAGCAUCUGUCUCAUUAACUGUGAAGGGAACAGAGUAUGAAGUGAAAAAUAUCCUUCAUAUUUACACAGCCAUUGAUCUGUCGUGCAACAAAUUUCAGGGAGAAAUUCCAAAGGUUACUGGAGAGCUUAGAUGGCUUGCAUUGCUCAACUUAUCUCAUAAUAGUCUUACUGGACCUCUCCCAUCACUGCUUGGAAAUAUGGAAGCACUCCAAUCUUUAGAUUUGUCUUCAAAUCAACUGACAGGGGCUAUUCCACCUCAGUUAACCGCAUUGACAUUUCUAGAAGUCUUAAACCUCUCGAGAAACCAUCUUAGUGGAGAGAUUCCUGAGAAAGGACAGUUCAGCACAUUCAACAAUGACUCUUAUCUAGAAAACUCUGCGUUAUGUGGAUCACCCUUGACGAAGAAAUGUGUAAACACUGCAUCACCCCCACAGGAAGUCGGAAAUGGUGAUGAAGAUGAUGCUGGUGAUGAGUUGACAUGGGAAGCAAUCGUGAUGGGAUAUGGAUGUGGACUGAUAUGUGGAUUGUCAUCUGCAUACAUUGUUCUCAAACUAGGAAGGCCUUGGUGGUUUGUGAGAUAUGUCGAAGUACUGCAACUGAAGUUGAUGAAAAGAUAUGCAUGAAGAAAGGUACUGGUCGAUCAAGACAAACUUGAAAGUUGUUGUCCUGGUAGACAUUUCUGAACCAGUAGUGUACUAGCUGCAUAAGUAUUUGGUAUUAUGUAAUAAUCCAUUUGGUCGGGACUCAUAAUGAUUUCUCUUGCUUCAGGGGUAUUAAUAUUAACCUUGCUAUCUUGAUCUGUGUUAAUGCAAAUGAAAAAGAAUGGAAAAACAAAAAAAUUGCAUCAAACCUGUUGUACCAAGAUCCAUUAAUCUGCUUUCAUCUCUUACGCAACAAUUUAACAGCACUUUCACACUGUUUGAAUGAUUAUCAUAAAUUCGAGUUUUCCUCGCCAGCACCAAAUCCAAAUAUACAAUCCCACACAUUCCAGUCUCAGCUUCAGCUCCCAGGCUAGCAUUGAUUUAGCCAAGCACGACAGUGGCCGCUUGUGUGCCUAACAAUGACAGUUGGGGAUUUGAUGGAACGUGCCUUGGUCCUGCCUUCAAAUGUCUAACAAUAACAGUUGGAUAUGUCGACAAAAAAAUUGUUCCUCACACUGAGGAAUAACUCUGACAGUUCUUUUCAUUGUGCCUUGGUCCAGUAAGUGGAAGGAGCACAUCACAUCCAUUCCCCAAGUUGCGGAUUCUAGAUCUCUCCAACAACCAAUUCACGGGCUAUUUGCCAAUUCAAUACUUUAAGAAUAUAUGAAACCAGCUGCUGAUAAAGCGUAUAGUUAUCAAAAUAAGUCACAAGGACUAAUUAAUUACAUAUAUGAAGCCUCUAUCUCCUUAAAUGUGAAAGGAACAGAGUAUGAAGUGAAAAACAUCUCUUUAUAUUAUAGCUCCUGAUGCGUGAUUUGUACAGUUACCACACUGCUUAAUUCUUCACCUCAAAGUUCCACCUUAUUACAAAAAUGCCACCGCUCUAUUAAGCGGCACCCACGUAAGCUCAUUGCCACCACGUGCUAUCUUCCUGCUGUCUUUUGUUUAUUUUAUUCACUAAACCGUACUUACCCGAAGCUUAUGUAACAAGCUUACAUUCUUUACAUUUUACUCAUUUCAAAAUUUAAAACCCAGCCUCCACGGCUCCCUUACAAAAGUAACCGGUUUGAACGUAAAGUUUUCAAAACUAACCAGCCUACGUUCAACUUUUCAAAACUAACCAGCCUAAAUCAAAAAAAGUCGGGCGACCCUUACCUGUUUUUUUCCCGAGCACCGGUCGCCCUCCUCAGGGGCGUCCCCCAUUGGAGUUCAUCAAGCACAGGUCGCCCUCCUCAGGGGCGUCCCCCCUUGAAGUUCUGUGACGUGGUCCGCCCAAUCACGGGCGACCACGUGUGACACUACCCCCUUAAAACCCCCUCCCAGCCACACAAACACACAAUUACACACACAUUUGCACACACUCAGUUUGAAAACAACACUGCAGCAGCCACAGCAAGGAGCCGAAAGGGGAGAUUUUGGUAAAGGAAGGAAGAAAAGUGGGAGAGGAUCGCCCGAGCUAGCAUCAAGGUCGCCCACCCUAGCAAAAAAUUUGAAGGUACUACCUUAUUCCUCCCCUAAAUAUUAGUAUAUAAAGCCUUGAUUUGUAAUUUAUUACUUGAUUAGUUUGUCUUGCAUGUUACAAAUAUCGAUUAUGUUCAUGAUUAUGGCUAAUUUAUAGACUAGUGUUAUAAUUACCGGCUUGAGAUUAGUGUUAUAAUUACCGGAUUGAGAUUUGGUACAUUAUGAUUUUUAAAUUUGUUAAAAAAUUUAAAGAUUUAUAAUAGAAAUUAAGGAUAAUUUAUAGAUUUGAUAUGUUGGAAUUUAAGAUUUUAUGCUUUUUAGAUUUUGUAGGUAGUAAUUAAAUUUAGUUGGAGAGAAAAAAUAUAAUAUAAUAUUCGAAUUAAAAAGAUAUUGAGAAUAUAAUAUUCGAAUUAAAAAAUAUUCGAAUUAAAAUAUAUUAAAAUAUAAUAUUCGAAUUAAAAAUAUAAUAUAAUAUUCGAAUUAAAAUAUAAUAUAAUAUAUAUUCGAAUUAAAAAAUAUUCGAAUUAAAAUAUAUUAAAAUAUAAUAUUCAAAUUAAAAAUAUAAUAUAAUAUUCGAAUUAAAAUAUAAUAUAAUAUAUAUUCGAAUUAAAAAAUAUUCGAAUUAAAAUAUAUUAAAAUAUAAUAUUCGAAUUAAAAAAUAAUAUAAAAUAUAUUGAGAAUUAAAAAAAUUAGAAAGCAAAUAAAAUAUUCGGAUAAAAAAGAUAUUAAUAGCUAAUAUUAAAAAAAAUCGAUUUAUAAUAAUAAAAAUUCGAAAAAAAGCAAAAUAAUCGAAUUAAAAUAAAAUUUUCGAACAUAUAUUAAUAAAAAUCUUAAUUAUAUUAAUAUAUAAUUCGAAUAUAUGAAAUUUCGAGAAUUAGAAUAUUUAUGAAAUUAAGAGAAUUAAAAUAAAUAGGAAAUUCGAACAAAAAUUAAUUUAAGGUACGCUCUCGAUUCUCUCUAAAUUAAUGUGUAUAUAUAUAUAAUGACUUGAUUUGGAUUAUUGUUGUUUUAUUAGCUUGAGUUGCAUGUUAUAAGAUCGGUUAGUUUAUUGAUUGUGGCUUGAGAUUUGUUAUAAUUGAAAUUAAGGCUAAUUUAUAGAUUUGAUAUGUUGGAAUUAAGGCUAAUUGAAAUUAAGGCUAAUUUAUAGAUUUGAUAUGUUGGAAUUAAGGCUAAUUGAAAUUAAGGCUAAUUUAUAGAUUUGAUAUGUUGGAAUUUAAGAUUUUGUGCAUGUUAGAUUUUGUAGGUAGUAAUUUAAUUUAGUUAGAAACAAAAGCUUUGAAUUCGAAUUACAAAUAUUAUGUUGGAAUGAGAUUUUGUAUAUAUACAAAAGCUUUGAAUUCGAAUUAUAAAUAUAUUUGAAAAUUGUUGGCGCAGAUGGAUCCUGCAGCUUAUCAUCCCGGGCCGGUUAACGGCACUUUGUUGACAUUGCAGGACACGCAUAGGUCCACUUUUGUGUGGAACAGUAGUACGGUAAUGACUUGAUGGACUGUUGUUUAUUAAAGUUAAUGUUUGCUUCACUAUAAACUGCUGACAAGUUCCUGUAUUUUAAAUUGCAGGACAUUCCUGAUCUUAGAGUCAGGACGAACUUCGGUGAGUACUGGAAUGUAGUUGACCAAACCAGGCCGCCUCAGACGAUAAUAGAUGCUAUUAAUGAUGCGGGCUUUGAGUGGGUGUUCAGGUUGGGUCAGGUCAAGCAUGACAGGGGCUUGAUCACUGCUUUUAUCGAGAGGUGGCGUCCAGAGACGCACACUUUUCAUCUACCUUUCGGGGAGGCCACCAUUACACUGGAGGAUGUCCAUCACAUUCUCGGGUUACGAACCACUGGCCGGCCAUUUAUUCUACAUGGCUUCACCACCACAGCUCGCGAGAGAUUGGCCAUGAUACGCGAUGUUCUUGGAGUGACUCCUAAGCCGGCUGAUGUGAGGAAGAACGGCUUGAGGAUCGGUUGGUUGAUUGAAAAAUUUGGCGACUGUGCCCGGUUGGACGAGGCAGCGGAGGAUUUUGAUGCACAGACUAUCUUUCACAUCAGGGCACACCUACUGUGUGUUAUUGGAUCGUUGUUUCCUGAUAGCAGCGGGAACUAUGUGAAUCUCAACCUCCUUUGGAUGCUACGUGACUUGCAGAGCGUGGAUGGUUAUAGCUGGGGGAGUGCUGUUCUUGCAUACCUUUAUAGGAAGAUGUGCGAUUCCACCCAUAAAGUCACAACCGGCUUCAUUGGCUACGCCACCACUACGCCAUAUAUGAUCUAUCGCAAUGGUAUGAACGCGAGUGUUGCAAAAUUAUGUUGCAAUAGAGACACUGAUCCAUAUCUACCGCAACGAUAACCAUUCAUGUCAAUUAUAUGUUGCAAUAGCAAACAUUAUGUGUUGCAGCUUGUAAUAUACUUGUAAAAGUGUUAGCUUAAAGUAUUAUAAUAUUAUUUUAACAUUAAAUAAUAAUUUAAAUUAUUUUAACAAUAUUUUAAAGUGAUAUGCAAAUUAAAUAAAUAAGAUACGCGAUGAUAUGCAAAUUUUAUUCAUAAUAAUUAAAAAAAUUAAAAUAGGAAUUUUAAAAGUAAUUAAUUUUUUUAAAAGCAAUGAAAAGUAAAAAUAAUUAAAUUCCCCUUGUUUUGAUAUCAGAACUGAUAUAUAAGUUUCAAAAAUAAAAAUAUAGAUAUACGAAUUAUAAGUAGUAAUAAAUACAUAUAAUGAAUUUUGUUCCUAAAAUAAUUACAUGAAUUUUAUUUGUUAAAAUAAUAAAGUAUAGGUGCAGACGUGCAGUACAUUAUUUGACUUUAUUGAACUGGGCAAAUAUCGAGCUCAAAGCGGGUAAAAAUUAGGCUUACAGCCGCCCAAAUUUUCAGCCAAGUUUGAAAUUUUCACACAUACACUAUACACGCUCGAGUCUCCUUGAAUACCCUCAACACUCACUACACUCUCUCCCUCGCUCAACUCUCUCUCCCUUCUCUACUCUCUCUCUCUUGUUAAUCUCUCUGAAGCUAAUCUCUCUCUGGCCACCAUUUUCACUCAAUCUCGCCAUCACUUUUAAUUAACUUGGAUUUGCAUUUAUAGUUGGAGCACAGUUGAUUUGUGGGUCGAGGUUCCAAUUCUUCAAUUAGGGUUUUGGCUUUUCAAUCAGGGUUUUGGUUCUUCAUUAAACUUCAAUUAGGGUUCAAUUACUUACAUAUAAUCUCUUAAACUUCAUCUGAUAUCUCUUUCUCUUUGAUUUCAGGUGUUCUUAGUUUGGGUUUGCACUCCAAGACUUUAUUAUAAGGUAUUUUUGAAUUUAGGGCUUCAUGUUAUGAGUUUAUUUGCAUUUAGUGUUCUUUGUUUUUAUGUUUAUUUGGUUUAUUAUCUUUAUCUAGUUUAUUUCCUUUGAUUUUUUGUUUUUUUUUUCAUUUGUUUUGUGAAAUUGCAAUACUCUGUUUUUGUGUUAAUUUUUUUGUUGCUUAAAAGUGUUCAACAACAAUAUUCUUCUUAAUUAUAAAAGAUCUAUCACGAGGAAGAGGUCCCUGUUUUGUAUAAUAUCUUGUAUGUCUUUUCUUUUCUGUAUAUUAUUAAGCUACCUUGGGGCAUCCUUUUUCUAGACCAGAUUUCGUGCGCAAUCUUUAGUAAAGAGCAAAUAUUCCGAUUCUUUUGCAUUUGUCUCAAUGUCAGUGCUUUGCAUAUAUGGAUAUAUUUUACAUGAAAAUGGUGCUUUUGUUGUUGGCCUGCUUAAUGUUCAAGACAUGUAGUCAACUCAGUUUAGUGUGACAAUAAGACUUUCUCAUUUCAUUAUGAUUCUCACAUAUUUUAUGCUCGUCACAGUACAACACAGUUUUGUAUUUGGUGUGAGUGAGCAGUAAAGAAUUCUAUGGAAGAUGCUAGUGACUACCGGUGGUAUAUAACCAGGUAAAAAUAAUGCUCAGUUGAUAAUCCUUAUAAGGGAGGCUCUUACUAUUUCUUCCUCUUUAACAUUGAGUUGUUUUAAUGUACAUACUAGCUGGUUGCUCAAGUGUUCUAUCAUUAUAAUGUAUACAUUGGAUACAAUAUUUGUUCAAUGAGGUAUCUAACUAGCUUGCUGAUGGCCGGGGACUAUAGAUUUAUUCAUUGCUAAUUGGUUAUAUUCGUUGUACCUGUUAUGCCUCAAUCAUAAUGGCAUAGUGACAAUAAAAGGAAAACGAAUUAUAAAUAUUUCACAUAGCAUGCUCUAGUUAUCUACAACUAUUGUUUUGGACUUCUGGUUUGGCAUUUAUAAUAAGUUGGCAUAUGUCUUUGAAUUCAUAUAGUUUGUAGCAUGACCUAAUUGGCACAAGUCAUCCUCUGCCAUGUCUUAUAUCUUUAGUUAGUAAGAAUUAAUAUUUCCCAUGUUUCAGCCACUAUACAAAUAUUGAUCAUGGACGAAGUUCUUACCCUGUUUAGUAUUAAUUUCAUUAUCUGCUGCAACUUUAUUGUGUUAUCUGUGCACUGCCCAACUAAGUACACAUAAUUUGAGUUUAAAAUAAAGCAUGCUUCUUUACUGGAGCUCAGCUUAGUAGUUGCAUUGUAUUGUUGCAGGAGAAGCUUAAGCCGUUAAUGGAUCAACUUAACAAAGUCAAAGACUUGACUGUUCCAGAAUUUGGAAAUUUCCGAACUUGAGAAGUGCGAGCAAAUGCAAGAAUAUGUUUAUAUAUAAUAGUGUAGUGUAGUGGGAUGUUUGGUUGGAUUCGUUUAAUACUUUGAUUUGGUUGGAUUUGUUAGGUAGUUUUGUUUGGUUGGAUUUGUUAUAAACUUUGAUUUGUAUGAAAGAAUAGUUUAAUGUUUCAGUGGAUAUAGUGAAAUAUUGCAAAGUUGUUAAUUUAGUCUUGCAUUAGCACAUAUAUGUUGUAGUAGCUAAUAUAUAUAUGUUUCAAUUUAUAACAAAAAAUGUUGCAAACAUGCAACUGAAAAACAGGUGUCCAAACAUAGGACCCACAUGUGUGACCCACGUGUGGGUCCCACUUUUUUUGAAAUCAGGAGGUCUAACGUAACAUAAUAUAUUUGUUGCUAUAGGGUAGUCAGAUGUUGCAAUAUCACGUCUAUUGUAACAUAAAAAGCCGUGUUGCAGUAGGUUACCCAAAUGUUGCAAUAGAAGCCUAGGGCAACAUGAAAAAAUGCAACUUAAAUUUUAUGUUGCAAUAGCCCUUUUUCGGGCUAUGGCAACAUAUUUUGGGGUUAUGGCAUCAUUUUUUUGAUGUUGUCNNNNNNNNNNNNNNNNNNNNNNNNNNNNNNNNNNNNNNNNNNNNNNNNNNNNNNNNNNNNNNNNNNNNNNNNNNNNNNNNNNNNNNNNNNNNNNNNNNNNNNNNNNNNNNNNNNNNNNNNNNNNNNNNNNNNNNNNNNNNNNNNNNNNNNNNNNNNNNNNNNNNNNNNNNNNNNNNNNNNNNNNNNNNNNNNNNNNNNNNNNNNNNNNNNNNNNNNNNNNNNNNNNNNNNNNNNNNNNNNNNNNNNNNNNNNNNNNNNNNNNNNNNNNNNNNNNNNNNNNNNNNNNNNNNNNNNNNNNNNNNNNNNNNNNNNNNNNNNNNNNNNNNNNNNNNNNNNNNNNNNNNNNNNNNNNNNNNNNNNNNNNNNNNNNNNNNNNNNNNNNNNNNNNNNNNNNNNNNNNNNNNNNNNNNNNNNNNNNNNNNNNNNNNNNNNNNNNNNNNNNNNNNNNNNNNNNNNNNNNNNNNNNNNNNNNNNNNNNNNNNNNNNNNNNNNNNNNNNNNNNNNNNNNNNNNNNNNNNNNNNNNNNNNNNNNNNNNNNNNNNNNNNNNNNNNNNNNNNNNNNNNNNNNNNNNNNNNNNNNNNNNNNNNNNNNNNNNNNNNNNNNNNNNNNNNNNNNNNNNNNNNNNNNNNNNNNNNNNNNNNNNNNNNNNNNNNNNNNNNNNNNNNNNNNNNNNNNNNNNNNNNNNNNNNNNNNNNNNNNNNNNNNNNNNNNNNNNNNNNNNNNNNGCUUAUCCUCGUAUGUAGUUUGUUUAUGGUUAUGUACCUGACCAUGUACUCGUACAUUUUUAUUUCUUGAUCUGAUUAUGUACUCUUAGUCUAGUAGAUCGGUUGUUACGUUAUUAUGCAGUUCUUGUGCAUUCUUAUGUCAUAAUGUUUUAUAAUGAUUCAAGCAUUGAAAUUCAUAUGGACAAUAAAGGAAACCUAACAUAACAUAAUAAACGACAGAACACUAAAACACAUACACAUGUUGAUCUUUCUCGAAACCAGUAAAACUGACUUUAUUUUGACUAAACUUUACAUAUAUCAAAUAACUGAAAAAAAUAAUAUAAAAUUUGAAUUACUUGAACAACAAAAGUUGAGACAUUACAUAUAAGAUACAAUACAUAUAGUAAUGGGGGUGAUCUUUUGGAGAAAAUACCUAACUCAAAGGGAUUUCUUCAAAUAAUUUGAGAUGGGUCAGAGCUUCAAGAAUCUGUGUACUCUGCUUUUACAAGUACAAAGUGGGAAAAAGUGAGACAUAAAUAAAAUGUAGUGAAGUAUUUGAGAUGGGAGAAAGUAAAACUAACUUAAUUUCAUAUUAAUAUUGUGAAGAUAUUAGCAUAGAAUGAUAAAUAUACAUUUCUACUACCCAUUUAUAAAAGAAAUAUUAUAAAAUAUAAAACUCUACGCUUUAAAUUUAAAUUGUUUUAAGUUGUUUUCUAUUAAAUUAUUUUCCCCACAGGGGAAAAUAAUAUUAAAUUGUUUUAAUAUUAUUGUUUUAUUAUUAUUUGAUUAUUAAAUUAACGAGUACAUAAUUUGUAAAGUUUAGUGCUAAGAUAUAUAUAUUAUUUAAUUUUAUUAAUUAUAUUAAUUUCACAAAACAAUUAAAAUUUGAUUUUAAAUAAAAUAUUAAAUAUAUAAUACAAUAAUAUUAAAUGGCGUAUAAUCAGUGUUACAGAAAUCGGGAAUCGGACCUAAUCGGUUGAGCUACCGAUUCAGGGAUUAAUCGGAAAUCGGAGAUUAAUCGGACUGAAAAUCGGAUUUAUUUUAAUAUUAAAAUAUUAUUUAUUAUUUAGUUAUUAUUAUAUUAGGUAUCUAGUAACUAAUAUAUUUACUAUAUUCAUAAACUCUAUAAUUAUUCAUAUUUAAAGUAAUAUAGUAUUUUAAUUCUAAUAAUUUAUCACAUAUACUUCUAUUAGAAAAUAUGUUAUAAGGAUUAAUCGGAUUUUAAAAAUCGAAUCGGUGGCCGACCUUGCAGGAGAUUAAUCGAGGAUUAAUCAGUUAAAUCGGGGAUUUUUAGAACAUUCGGCGUAUUAUAAUACAAUUAUAUCAAAAUUUAAAAAAAAAUCAGUACCUCAGUUUGGGUAUCGGUCAGCCACCUAGGACAAGUGAAUGAGUGAAACCGCUACAAAAAAUGUAGUAGUAUGGGUCGCCCCUGUCAAGGGCGAUCCUAACUGUAUUUUGUAACAGUAUGGGUCGCCCCUGACGAGGGCGACCUGAACGGGGAAAAACUUCAGCUUGGGUCGCCCGACUUUUUUUGAUUUAGGCUGGUUAGUUUUGAAAAGUUGAACGUAGGCUGGUUAGUUUUGAAAACUUUACGUUCGAACUGGUUACUUUUGUAAGGGAGCCCAGCCUCCACCAUUGCAGCUCUGAGCAGCCAUGAACCAGGUUAUACUCCAGUCUCCUUUUCUCCCCCGCGUGUGUAAGUCUGUACUGCAGCCCACAUUUUCAACACGCUUCUGUCCUAAGCUUCGCAAGAAAUAUCUUUUUUUUGAAAUUCAAAAAAUUUGCGCACCAUAUCAUCGUCCAGCCAAACCACCAUCGGCGAAUCAGCAAAUAUACAUAUCAGAUCUAAUAUACACCAAUCUGAGCUUUGAUGACUGAGGUUUGAUUUGUGUUUUAUUUAAUAAAAUGAUAAAAUGAUGUCUUCUUUCAUGAUCAUGCGAUUAAUCGAUUGUAACUUUAAGGGAGAUGGAACAAGCAAUUCACGACGUCUAUUUACCUCCGAAGACAUGAUUAGUGGUAUGGUUACAUAAAUUUAACUUCUCUAUUUUUCUACCAUGUGUGGCCUAAUUGUUUCAUCUCUUGCUUUGUAGGUUAUCAGUCCAAAAAGCGGAGGAAAAGGGGCUACACAAUUAAGAGAUGAAACAGUAUUGAGCAUGUGAGCUUUAAAACUUGAUGAUUAAAUUUUUCAUAUUAUAUUUGUUCUGUAUUUAGAAAUUUGUGGAGGAUGUGUUUGAUAAUAUGUCUGAGAGAAGAAGUUAAUAAAUUUAUCGUGUUGAGGAUGUGUUUGAUGAUAUGUCCGAGUGAAAAAAUUAAUAAAUUUAUUUUCAAAAUGUUGCGAACAAAUUGUAAUUUAUAUCUAGCAGCUUCAAAUAAUUUUUUUUAGAGCAAAAAGAAUCGCAAUUGCAUGUGAAGAGAUGCACCUCCCUGAUAUUAGACUUUUAGUGUAAUUGCAUGUGUAACUAAACCGCUUGACUAUAAUGUUGGUGUAGAGUACGGAGCUUUAAUUUAUGAUGUUCUCCUCAAUCUGUCCAAAUUAUAGCUGAUCGUGGGAAUCAACUUUAGGGUAAGCUCUGCUCUGAAACUCAUUUUCUUAUAUUGGAACUUGGUUAUUUCUUAAAUGAAACGACUUUGACGUUUUCACCGAGUAGUCAUAGAUGCGUGAGUUGUACAAUAGUAAAAGAAAAAUAAAUUACAUAAAGACUGUCUGAGGUAAAAUAGUAUACAAGCUGCAAUUUUAUAUUUGGUACAUUGACGUAAAAAGUUAUUGUUAUGUUCAGGGGGAGGUGCUGAGAAAUGACAUGAUUAUAUCAUACGAGCGGCGACAAACUACUGAAGUUGCAAAAGAAAUGAUCUUAAAGAAAGCAGAGAAAGUGGGGGAGUUUUUUCAAGAAAAGAAUUUAAAGAGGAGAUGAGAUGCCAGAGUAUUACGCGCUAUUGCCGAAACAGGAUUAAAAACUAUAUUGGGUAUCUCUUCUUGAUCUCUUGAUUAAUUCCACUAGGAAGCUUCAAUAUUAUAUAGGAAGUUUUCUUUUUAAGCUUAAUUUUGAAUUUGAAUCCUCAAACUAUAACUACUGUAUAUCUCUUUAUAUUAUAGCUCCUGACGCCGGGAACUUCCCCUUCUACAACCAGCCCAACUGUACAUAACAGUUGCUUGCUUAUGAAUUUCAAAUUUAUAUUAUAAUGUUUAUAUGUAAUAUUGAAUCAAAGUUGCUUGCUUGCUUAUGUAAUAUUGAAUAUCUACUGUUGGAUGAUUGUUAACUGCUGUGUUACCAAGUGUUUGAUUAAAUUCCUACAAGUUUUGUUUGAAUUUUGUUCUUUAUUUAUCAUUAGUAUGUUUCAUUUUUAUGUUUGACUCUAUGCUAAUCGCUGAUAAGAUUUCUAUGAUUAUAGGAGAUGAGUGUUCUUAUGGCAUGAAUGAUAUUGGAAAAGUGAAAUGUGUUGAUGCUUUGUGUAAAUAAAUCAUGAUCUGCCGUUAUAGUUUUCUGUUUGUUUUCAAUUUGUGUGUACCUAGGUGGUUGUUACUGAGCAUUGAUCAACUGUGUUAAUUAAUUUAUUAAAAUGGAGUUGAGUCUGAGAACUAAAGGGCAAUUAUAUACUUCUUUAGGCUUUCCUUAACAUGUUUUUAUUCAUUAAAAAAAAUCGAUGAGUUUUUAUAAAUAUAUAUACUCUGUUAUUUUCUCUGUACCUAAUUAAAAGGAUUUUAAUUCGAAUUAUAGGUGUUUGUCAUGUGAAUAUUAUCUAAAAGAUAAUGGGGCCGUUUGGGUUAGCUUAAAAGAAGUGACUUUUUGCUUAUAGUAAAGAAGUGGAGUAGAAGUGAGAAGUAAAUAAGUUAAUAAAGUGUUUGGAAAAGAAGCAGAAGCUGUGAGAGAGAAGCUAGCAUUCUCAGCUUCUUAAAAGUGCUUCAACUUCUUUACACAAACAGGUCAAGAGAAGCAGAAGCCAGAAGCAGCUUCUGCUUCUCUUGGCCAAACAGGCCCAAUAUCUUUAAGGUCUCUUGCAUUGGUCAUUUAAUGUGUUAAUUAAAAGUUUACAUUUAAAUUUUUUGAUCUAAUAAUUUUGGAUAGAUGGUUUGUGAGGUUAAUGAAUGAACUAAUAUGGAAUGAUAAAAUGUAGGAGGUCUGGAAAGAUGGGUUUCAAUGCAGGUUUAUUGCUACUUUCCUUCAGGUCUGCAUUGCUUUGGUCUGUCUUCAGGACUGAGACUGUGAUUGGUUUCGGAACAGACACAAGUAUAUAUAUGGACCAAUGCAAAGCACCUGAUUAUCAUACUUUAGGCUUUUGCUCUGCUUUCUAUGGUAAAAAAAAGUGACAUUACUUCGAAUCUGAUACAGUUUAUCCAAGAGCUUGCUUCAAUAUUAAGAAUGCAAUACGUGUUGCAGAUAAAAUUUUGACCAGCAACAUUGGGGCACCCAACCCAAAUCUAGCAACAUUGGCCGUGGAGCUUUAAAUAUCUCCGUAAGAUUCUUUUCCCUCGCAGGCAGGCAUCUUUUUCUGCGAAAAAUAUACAAGAAAAAAGGACUAAUUUGUUUAAUUGAAAAUAAAUUUCGGAUGAGUUGGAUUAAGAAUCAAAUGGAGAGUCCUGUUUUGGUUUCAUUUUGAUGGAGAGGUUGCUUAGGUCCUGUUUUGAUCGAAAGGUUGAAAAAAUAUUUGGUAUUUUUUGGUCUCAUUUUGGUUUGUUUCGUUCCUUCACAGGUGUGCAACAAGUGAUGAUAGUAUUUAAACAUGAUUAGCAAACUGCCCAGCAAUCCAUGCAUGGCAAGGGGAAUGCACAGCUUAAUGAUUUCAGUCUCCGUACCAUCCAAGUGCAACAAAAAUCAAUUAUCUUGUGAUGUCUAGGAUUCUACAAAAGUAAGAAGCCUUCAUUCAUCUUCAUUCAUCCCCUGUUACUAGAAAAGCAUUGGUAGCCUAUAAGCAGGUACACUAAGUAGCUCACCUAAUUUUUGCAUUUCAGUAUCAACGGAAAGUGGUGCAGGACUCCACUUUAUAAUUAAAUUAUGUGUCUAAAUUAUGCGUGUUGUAAUGUUUAGUGACCAUGUUCCAGACCCGACAUGUCCUUACUUGGCAGAUCAAGUUAUCCAAGAUUUGGGAAGGAGUUUCGCCUUUGAGAUCUCCAACAAGUAAGAAGAAAUAAUGUCAAGGAAUGAACUAAUGUAAAAUGAUAAGAAGAUGAAGGUAUAAAACAAUGAUUAUAAUGUAGGCUUCUUCGUAAUGUAAUGAACAAAAUAAUGGAGUAACUAUAACUAUUCUUGCUGCAAGCCUGUGUUUGUUUAAUGCUAUCUGGCAGUAGUUUAGCAUUGGUAUAUUCCUUAAGGUGGAUUUGGAUAGAGUGAGAGGAGACAUUACUUAUCUUUACCUAGCUACUGCUUUUCAUGAGAUUUGGGCAGAGCGUAACAUUAGAAUUCAUCAUCCUAAGAGUUUUAAAGUUGCAAACCGGCUUAUCAAGGACAUAAUAGCCUCUGUUACUAUUUUUACAUGCUCCUCUAUUGUUGUGUGAACUUGCUGAACUCCUUUUUUCUGUUGUUCUACUUACUAAAAUCUUUUUAAUUUUCUUUUGUUAGGUACACUAAGUGGUUCACUCAAUUUUGGCAUUUUAGUAUCAUUGGCAAGUGGUGUAGGACUCCAUGAUUCUGUGUUGUCCACAAGCAACGAAAAAAANNNNNNNNNNNNNNNNNNNNNNNNNNNNNNNNNNNNNNNNNNNNNNNNNNNNNNNNNNNNNNNNNNNNNNNNNNNNNNNNNNNNNNNNNNNNNNNNNNNNNNNNNNNNNNNNNNNNNNNNNNNNNNNNNNNNNNNNNNNNNNNNNNNNNNNNNNNNNNNNNNNNNNNNNNNNNNNNNNNNNNNNNNNNNNNNNNNNNNNNNNNNNNNNNNNNNNNNNNNNNNNNNNNNNNNNNNNNNNNNNNNNNNNNNNNNNNNNNNNNNNNNNNNNNNNNNNNNNNNNNNNNNNNNNNNNNNNNNNNNNNNNNNNNNNNNNNNNNNNNNNNNNNNNNNNNNNNNNNNNNNNNNNNNNNNNNNNNNNNNNNNNNNNNNNNNNNNNNNNNNNNNNNNNNNNNNNNNNNNNNNNNNNNNNNNNNNNNNNNNNNNNNNNNNNNNNNNNNNNNNNNNNNNNNNNNNNNNNNNNNNNNNNNNNNNNNNNNNNNNNNNNNNNNNNNNNNNNNNNNNNNNNNNNNNNNNNNNNNNNNNNNNNNNNNNNNNNNNNNNNNNNNNNNNNNNNNNNNNNNNNNNNNNNNNNNNNNNNNNNNNNNNNNNNNNNNNNNNNNNNNNNNNNNNNNNNNNNNNNNNNNNNNNNNNNNNNNNNNNNNNNNNNNNNNNNNNNNNNNNNNNNNNNNNNNNNNNNNNNNNNNNNNNNNNNNNNNNNNNNNNNNNNNNNNNNNNNNNNNNNNNNNNNNNNNNNNNNNNNNNNNNNNNNNNNNNNNNNNNNNNNNNNNNNNNNNNNNNNNNNNNNNNNNNNNNNNNNNNNNNNNNNNNNNNNNNNNNNNNNNNNNNNNNNNNNNNNNNNNNNNNNNNNNNNNNNNNNNNNNNNNNNNNNNUUUUACAUGCUCCUCUAUUGUUGUGUGAACUUGCUGAACUCCUUUUUUCUGUUGUUCUACUUACUAAAAUCUUUUUAAUUUUCUUUUGUUAGGUACACUAAGUGGUUCACUCAAUUUUGGCAUUUUAGUAUCAUUGGCAAGUGGUGUAGGACUCCAUGAUUCUGUGUUGUCCACAAGCAACGGAAAAAAAGCCUGCAGAAAUGUUUCGAAUACUUUGAACGAAAUAAAGGUACAUUAUUAGGCAAGUGAUUGUGGCGGCAGAGAUAGCAGUUUGAUUGCUACACAAUUAUGUGUUUCACAAGAUUUUGCUAUUUUAAAUUAUAGUAAAUUUGAUUAAAUCCCACUCGGAAAGUUUGAAAUUUCUUGAUGUUGCUUAGUUAAAAUUUGGAUAUGGACAAUUAUGAUAUUUGUGAAUUUGGGUUCUUUUUAUAGGUGAUUUUUGAACAUUGCUAGAAUGAUAUAUGAUCUCAGGCCUCACACUCUUAACAUCUUUACGAGGCUUACGAGGUUCGAGAUGAGUUGGUUACUUAACAUGAUUCGUUUAAUUUAAUUAUGUGUUUGUGUAGUUGGGUUGAUUUGUUGUUUGUUUCGUUUAAUUGUACAAUUAAGGAGAUGGUGUUUACAAUAAUAAUAUUGAAGAUAGUUUGUAACUAGAGUAUGUUGUUAAUAAUUUGGUUAUGAGAAAUUGAGGCCGACACAAGUUUAAUCUGGCUUUCUCGAGAUGAUCUGACCUCGAGAAGAAAGAUUAUCUCAAAGUAGUUUUGUAAGUUGCUUCUCUCUGUUUUUGGACAAUGUAAAUUCUUACAUUACAUCUGCCUCUUGCAGGUAACAUCUUUGCUUUUAGGCUCUUUAUAUCGCCGAUGUAAGUUUUGCUCCAUAAAUUUCAGUGUUUGGCUAGAUCUCCUACAACUGUACUUUUAAAGAAAAAUAGAAGAAAUCAAGAACUGAGUUUACUGUACUUUUGCAGUGAUAAUCAGAUAUGUACCGGUUUUGCUUCGCAUAGUCACACCUUUUCUUUGUACAAUUGCAGACCCACUUUUAGGGGUAUUAUGAUGAGGAACGAGUGUACAGAAGACUUCUCAGGUCUUCCAUAUCUAUAUGCCCUCCUGCACUGCUUGAUUUGUGCCUGGUAUGGCAUGUCGUUUAUGUCAGAUGAUAAUGUGCUUGAUAACUGUAACCUUAUACAGCUACAUUUACUUUAAAUGUCUUGAACACAGUGGUUGCAAAUAAUGGUUAAAUGAUUAAUAUUUACACUGAUCUACUGCUUUUACACUGAUCACUGCUUAUGAUGUUGAAAAACCAAAAUUUGGUGGAGAAAUUGGGAUCAAUGGAGGGAGCUUGCACUGACACACGAAAUCUGUCAAAGCCUAGAUUACAAAGUAAUACUUUACUUGACUGAUCGACGGUUCAACUCAGCAGGAUAUGGAGUAUGCUCGCAGUGUACAUAACAUCCAAUCUCCCAAGGUCUCAUCAUCUACUUUGGAGACAACCUCAAAAUGGGUGUAGUUGCACUUGCACCCAAAAAUGAAGCCAGUGCAAAAAUCAAAGAGAUGACCCAUUUGUUAAAAAUGUUGAGGCUGAAGAGUACAAGGGAACCAAGGUCAGAGAUGUCUCCUCCGCUAAGAGAUGAGGAAAUAUGGCAGUCGUUGGUAUUUGGGAAAUGCAUGUUAGCAAAUACAUGGAUUAUAAAUUGUAUGAGUGACAGGAUGAUAAUAUAGCGUCUCAUAGUCUAAUAUUGCCAAUGACAGGGCUAAUAGCAAUAGCACUUUCAAAAGUAGGUUUGCAGCUGUGAAAUUCACUCAAAGUUGUGAAAUUUGUGAAAUUUGCUUUUGCUCUAACAUGUAAUACCCCGGGUUCCAUUCUUUUGUUUACUUGAAUUUGAAUUGUAUUGUUAUCUUUGUUUUUUUAUUAUAAUUAUCCAAAAAUAGAUGUCCAUCUUGACUUUUGGUUGGUUAUUAGACAGAGGAAUUGAGCCCGGAAAUAAAAGUGUUACUAAUUAUCAUCCAUUAUUAAAGCAAUUAUUAUAUUAGACCAAUUUUAUUUUUGCACUAUUUGAAAUAUUCACUUUAUCUGAAUGAUGAAUGGUUCUUCUUUCAGUUAAUACAGUGUCAUUCACUGGUUAACAAAUGACCUCUUAAAUUAUUCAUGAAAUCAUUUAAAAAUAUAUAAAGUUUAAUUGACAAAUUUAUCUUUUUUAAUAAAAUUAUACUCAAAUUUUUGGUUGAAAUGUAUGUAGCUUUAAGAUUAUAAUCACUUUUAGCCGAAAGUACUUUAAUAUUAGUGUUCAUAAAAAUAAUUUUUGAAUAACUUAUUAAUGAUUAAUUAUUUUAUGUAACGGUUUAAUAAAAUUAUACAAAUAUAAUGAUUUCUAAUUUGAGAAUAGUUUUUUAUAGUUCAAAACAAAAUUUAUAAUAAAAAAAUUUAACGAGUUAUCAGUAAUUAAUAAUAUACAUUUACAAUUAAAUUAUCCAAAUUAAUUAUAAAAUAUUAAAAUUUAAAAUAUUUGACUAAAGUGCGAGGCGUCACCGCUCGGCGACGUCGAGGGGCACUUGAUAGAAUAUGACUUUUCAUAUAUUACAAAGUUUAGCUAUAUAAUUAUUUUGAUUAUAAGAUAUUAAAAUAUAAAAUAUUCGACUAAAGUGUGAGGCGUCGCCGCUCGACGACACCGAGGAGGACUUGAUAAAAUAUGACUUUUCAUAUAUUACAAAUGUUUAGCUAUAUAAUUAUUUUGAUUAUAAAAUAUUAAAAUAUAAAAUAUUCUACUAAAGUGUGAGGCGUCACCGGUCGGCGACGACGAGGAGCACUUGAUAGAAUAUGAUCUUUCAUAUAUUACAAAGUUUAGCUAUAUAAUUAUUUUGAUUAUAAGAUAUUAAAAUAUAAAAUAUUCGACUAAAGUGCGAGGCGUUGCCGCUCGGCGAGCCGAGGAGUACUUGAUAAAAUAUGACUUUUCAUAUAUUACAAAUGUUUGGCUAUAUAAUUAUUUUGAUUAUAAAAUAUUAGAAUAUAAAAUAUUCGACUAAAGUGCGAGACAUCGCCGGGGAGCACUUGAUAAAAUAUGACUUUUCAUAUAUUACAAAUGUAUUAUAUAAUUAUUUUGAUUAUAAAAUAUUAAAAUAUAAAAUAUUCGACUAAAGUGCGAGGUGUCGCCGAGGAGUACUUGAUAAAAUAUGACUUUUCAUAUAUUGAAAAUGUUUAGCUAUAUAAUUAUUUAAAUUAUAAAAUAUAAAAUAUUCGACUAAAGUGCGAGGCGUCGCCGAGCGGCGACGCCGAGAAGUACUUGAUAAAAUAUGACUUUCAUAUCUUUAAAAAUAUUAUGUAAUUUUCGAACGUAAAUGAAUUUUAAUUACGAAUUAACUUUUAUAAAUACUCAAGUUAUACAACGGUUUUUGUUGAAUUUGAUUUUUAUUUUACACUGAACUUUUAUUUUUAUAACUACAAAAUCACAAGUUAUAUUUAAUAUUUUUUUUAUAACUCAAUUGUUGUUUUCUUGCAUAUAAAAGUUUGUAAGUAUAAGUAAUGGAUAUAAUAACGUCAUAUUAAUUUUCAAAAUAUAAUCAAUAUUUUAAAUCUUAUUGACAAAAAAAGGACUAAAUUCUAUCUAUUAUUUUAAAAUAUUAUUUUAAAAUAUUAUUGUAUAUACAAAUACUCACAAAUACUCCAUGACGCUGACGAACAUCCAAUAAUCAUUAUCAGGUAGUGAAAGAUCUGAGGAACACAUUAAAAUUUGUACUUCAAUAAAACACAAUUGAAAGAUGAAUUUUAGCCAAAAUAAAUAUGCAUGAAUACAGGUUGGCAAAUUGGCGUAACAACCACUGAGCUACUCAAGUACAAGGACUCGAUGAAAGGCCUCUACUACUCCCAGAACCUGAAAAUGCUAUUUCUAUAAUUCCAUCACGUUAUUUAUCUUAUUUAAUGUACUGUUCUGUGAUAACGUAUGGGAACUCGCUAAUAUGGAAUGCUAGCUUUGCAUUUGGUCUCCUCGCCAUAUUCACAAAUCAUUAGGAUUCAUAUAGAAUUGGUGCGUGUUCAAAACAGAAUUUUUUCAAGCACAAGAUCAGCAAAAAUAAAUUUAUUAAUCUUCUGCAAUUUAAAAUGCCCAGCAAGGCGGGCAUAAAUACUAGUUCUUCAUAUUUACACAACCAUUGAUCUGUCUUGCAACAAAUUUCAAGGAGAAGUUCCAAAGGUUACAUGAGAGCUUAAAUGGCUUGCAUUGCUCAAUCUAUCUCAUAAUAGUCUCACCGGACAUAUCCCAUCACUCCUCGGAAAUAUGGAAGCACUCCUAUCUCUAGAUUUGUCUUCAAAUCAAUUGACAGGGGCUAUUCCACACCAAUUAACUAAAUUGACAUUUCUAAAGGUGUUGAACCUCUCGGGAAAUAAUCUUACUGGGGAAAUCCCGCAAAAAGGGCAAUUCAGCACUUUUGGAAAUGAGUCAUACUUGGGGAACCCGGCCUUGUGUGGACUUCCUUUGACGGAAAAAUGCAUGCAUGCAGUGUCACCAACUCAAGAAGUCGGAAAUGGUGAUACUGAUGAAGAUGACGAUGCUGAUGAUGAACUUAAUUGGGAAGCCAUCCUGAUGGGAUAUGGAUGUGGAUUGAUAUGCGGAUUGUCUUUGGGGUACAUUGUUUUCAAGAUAGGAAAGCCUUGGUGGUUUGUGAAAUACAUUAAAAUACUACAACUGAAAUUGAUGAAAACAUGCACAAAGCAUAGCAGACGAAAGACUUGAGGAGAUGUUGUCUUAGGAUGCAAUCUCGUUUAAUACUUUCAUCAUUAUUCUCCAAGAUGUCUGAACAUGUAUUUUCAAAGAAUUCUCAGUUCACCUUUAGCCUUAUAAAGUAAAAGACAUUUUAAAGGCACUCUCAACUUACACCUAUAUAUACACGUACGGUUCACUUCAGUACAAAGAUUAUUAGCCAUGCAAAACAUGCAGAACCACUAGUAAUGCAGAAAAACAAAAUAUCAGUUUUCUCCAAAUAUCACUACAACAAAACUGCCAUUUUACGACGGAAAUCUAAUAUUCUAAAGGUUUACGACCAAACUAUGUUGGUGGACUUUAUUUUAAUUUACAGUUUUAACAGUAGUUAAUUUUGGAUAUCUAAACUUGCGACAGAAAACAUACGACAGUCUACCUCGCGAGAGAAAAUCAUUUUAUUUUAUUUUUUAGCGCCAGAAUUUUAAUACUAAAAUAUUAUAUAUAUGAAGGAAACUGAUCUCUAAUGUUUUCAGCUUGCUCAUCCAUAUGUAAGUAAUCCGUCGAAAAAGUUAGUUUGUUGUGGUGGUGUCUUAUCAUGAGAGAAAAUGAUAAUAUCGCAAAAUAUUUGCAACUGAAAGAUAAAUUAUAAUUCUAGAAACCAUUUAGGUAACGAUGCACGAAGUUAUUUUCACUCACUUAGAAUUAAUGAUCAUAAAUAUUUGCAACGGAAAGAUACAUUAUAGUUCUAGAAAAGGAUCCACGAAGUUAUUUUCACUCACUUAGAAUUAAUUGUAAGUUAUUGUGAGUUUUUGAAUAUGGAUUAUCUCAAAUUUUAUGAAAACACAUAUUGAUUCAUAUAUACAAAUUUGCCUACCUAAUAUUAUAAUAUUUAUGGAGAAGUUGUAUGAACAAUUGUGUAGAUAAUUAUACUUUACAAAGCAUACUUCUGCUAGAUGAAUUUUGAUUAAACAAAAUCGAAAGGGAUAGGUCUGGGUCUCUCCAAGUCUUUGAGGACUCAUUCCAAGUCUUCUGACGAGGACAAAAUAUAUUGCUGGUAGUCUUUCAGUCCUUCCUAGAGUAUUUUAUGCUCUGGACUGCAUUAUGCAGCUCUCAUAUAACUUUGCGAUGCAAAACAGUGGCAAGUAAGUAUUUCCGUAUGUGUAUUUAUUUGUAUAUUAAAGUUGCGUAACAUUUGUGUUGAUAAUUUGCGUAAUGUUGAUGAGGAUUGCUCCCAAGUCUUGGACGGACUCUUUCCAAAUCUUCUGAGGACAUAUCGGUUCAAAUUAGUCCAUUAAAAAUUUUAUGAUAUGAAGCUAUCUGCAAAAUAAUAUAUAAGGUAAAAUGAACCAUUGUUUUGUGGUUAAGUUGUACAGGCAAUAUGCAGUGCAAAAUCAGGAACAGAAUAUAUGAAUACUAGUAAUAUGAUAUCGGUAUGAACGAAUAUUUUCUAUGUAGUUGUUAUUGUGAUGCGGAAAAAAUAUUGUAACCAAAAAUAAUUAUAAUUCUAAAAAUUUCCAUUAUACACUUUUUUAGUGUUCGUGGUACUUCAAAUGACAUUUCUCGCGUAUGCCUCCAAUUAAGAACUUGAUGUUCAGCAUAGUCCGAAACUAAAAUUAUUAUAAGUGUGUAAUUCAAAAUUAUAUUGCUGGUAGUCUUUCAGUUCUUCCUAGUGUAUGCAGUAGUUUCAUUCGAUACCGAUUAUUUUAUGCAUUGCCCGAGAACCAGUCUAUCUAAAACCCUAAGAUGUUAUAUUUUUAUACGUGUAUUAGUUUUGAAGAUUAAAGUUGUAUGGACAAUUGUGUUAAUAAUUUGCGCAAUUGCGCAAUGAUAACUGGGAUAGGUCAUCUUCUCUCCCAAGUCUUGGAUGGAAUCUUUCCAAGUCUUCUGAGAACCCAUCAGCUCAGAUUAGUCCAUACAAUGUCAAGGGUCCUAUGAUAUGGUCUACUAACAGCCCAGUGUCGGUAAUAAAUCCAAUUGCAUAUAACCUAUUCAAAAUCAAUCCCCUAUAAACAAUCAUCUCUAAAAACUAUUCACAUAAAAUAAAAUUUUAAAAAUAUAAAAUAUCUAGUUGUUUUCAAUAUAUAAUUUUCCACAGUAGAUAACACAAUAUCUUUAUCAAAUUAUUAUUUAUGGGUUCAAUAUUUAAGCUAUAAUUCCAACAACACGGCAAGCAUGCAGCAUAUAAAUAGAAGUGUGCAGUAUGGUAUUGCAUUCAUAACCCAGUUGAGGAAAAAUAUGGCACCCUUCCUAAAGCCUUCUCACCUUCUUCUCUUUGUUUUCUUUCUCUCAUCACCUGAGUCCAUUCUUGCGACAACACGAGAAGGAGAAGCUCUUGUGAAGUGGAAGAAUAGCCUAGCCCCUUCUUCUUUUCUUGAUUCUUGGUCACUCACUCAUCUCGAUAAUCUUUGUAACUGGACUGGCAUUACUUGUAACUCUGCAGGUUCAGUCUCUAAGAUUAACCUUUUUGAGAAACAACUUAAUGGAAUGCUGUCCGAGUUUGGUUUCACUUCAUUUCCAAAUCUCAGCAAUCUCACCCUCACAUACAACUUCUUCUCGGGUCCCAUACCACCAGCCAUUGAGAAUUUAACCCAGCUUCGGUAUCUUGAUUUGAGCUAUAAUUAUCUGGAUGGUCCCAUUCCGUUCCAGGUUAGCCAUCUUCAGAGCUUGCUCAUCUUGAACCUGUCACAGAAUGCAUUGCAAGCUCCAAAUUGGUCCCAUUUCUCUCCCAUGCCUUUCUUGCGCAUCCUCAACCUCAGUUACAAUCCUCUUGCGUCGAAAUUCCCAAAUUUUAUAUCCAAUUCUCAUAGCCUGACUCACCUUAGCCUUAAUUUUAAUGAGUUUACUGGUGAUCUAGUACGUGAAUCAAUAUUUGCCAAUCUGCAUAAUCUUGAAGUCCUCAGUCUUCUUGGCAAUUUUUUUGAGGGGCCAUUUCCGCCAGAUAUAUUCAAGCUUUCCAAAUUAAAACAUCUUCACCUGUCAGGUAACAAAUUCUCAGGUUCAAUUCCAAAUGACAUAAGGUUGCUUUGUGGUCUUGAAAACCUAUUUUUAAGCAACAAUUCCUUUGAAGGACCGCUUCCACCAAAUAUAUUUAAGCUUUCAAAAUUAAAACAACUUGUUCUUUGGAGUAAUAAUUUUUCAGGUUCUAUUUCCAAUGAUAUAGGUUUGCUUUCUGAACUUGAAACCCUCAAUCUUCAAUUUAAUUUUUUUGAGGGGCCGCUUCCCCCACAUAUAUUUAGGCUCUCUAAGUUAACAGGUCUAGAACUCGGAGACAAUAGAAAUUUAUUUGAAGGAAGUAAUAUUCCUAUCGGACUGGGACUCUUGACUAACCUCAGGUACUUAGAUUUACAUUCCAGUAAUCUCAGUGGCUAUAUUCCAUCUGACAUUGGAAACCUGAAGCUACUAGUACUUCUUAGUCUCGGUUCUAAUCAAUUGACUGGACCGCUUUCAAAGAUCGUUUAUAAUCUCACAAAUCUUAUAUUUCUUGAUGUAAGUAAUAAUAGUCUUAGUGGAAAUAUUCAGAGUGACUUGUGGAAAUAUAACCAUCAUCCUACUUUGGAAUACAUCGAUUUUAGUGGGAACCAUUUUACAGGUAUAUUUUUUCUCUAUAGAUCUUUUCCUUUUGUCAUAUGUAACUAAGCUAGUAAUCUGAUUAUUGCAGUUUUACUGAAGUUUCAACAAUCUUGACAGGUGAGCUUCCAACAACAAUUUGCAAUGUCAUGUCCCUUUCGGUUCUUGAUUUGUCAAAUAAUGAAUUAAGUGGUGCACUUCCAAACUGUUUCGGGAAUCUUGCUGAUGGAUUGCUUUACAUUAAUCUUGCUAAUAAUCAGUUUCGAGGAACAAUACCAACUACUUUCUCCAGGAGUUGUCAGCUGACAUAUCUAAACAUGGAUAAUAAUGAGUUUGAAGGAUUGUUGCCCCCAUCUUUGGCGAACUGUAAGCACUUGAGAAUUCUUGAUAUUGGCAAUAAUAAAAUAGGUGGUACAUUUCCGUCAUGGCUUUAUGUACUUGGAGAGCUAGAAGUCCUUGUCUUGCGAUCAAAUAAACUCUAUGGUACAAUAAGUGGAAGGAGCAUAGAAGAUCCCUUCCCCAAGUUGCGGAUUGUGGAUCUGUCCAACAAUCAAUUCACAGGCCAUUUGCCAAUUCAAUACUUUAAGAAUAUGAAAUCAACUGAUAAUUUGUAUCGUUAUCAGAAUUCCACAGGAGUUUUUUCUUUCCAUUAUGAAGCAUCUGUCUCAUUAACUGUGAAGGGAACAGAGUAUGAAGUGAAAAAUAUCCUUCAUAUUUACACAGCCAUUGAUCUGUCCUGCAACAAGUUUCAAGGAGAAAUUCCUGACGUUAUUGGAGAGCUUAGAUGGCUUGCAUUGCUCAACUUAUCUCAUAAUAGUCUGACAGGACCUAUCCCAUCAUUACUGCGAAAUAUGAAAGGACUCCAAUCUUUAGAUUUGUCCUCAAAUCAACUGACAGGGGCUAUUCCACCUCAGAUAACUGCACUGACAUUUCUAGAAGUCUUAAACCUCUCGGGAAACCAUCUUAGUGGAGAGAUUCCUCAGAAAGGACAAUUCAGCACAUUCAACAAUGAUUCUUAUAUAGGAAACUCCGCAUUAUGUGGAUCACCAUUGACGAAGACAUGUGCAAACACAGCAUCACCUCCACAAGAAGUCGGAAAUGUUGAUGAAGAUGAUGCGGGUGAUGAAUUGACAUGGGAAGCAAUCUUGAUGGGAUAUGGAUGUGGACUGAUAUGUGGAUUGUCAUCUGCAUACAUUGUUCUCAAACUAGGAAAGCCUUGGUGGUUUGUGAGAUAUCUCGAAGUACUGCAACAGAAGUUGAUGAAAAGAUAUGCAUGAAGAAUGGUACUGGCCGAUCAAGACCAACUUGAAAGUUUGUUGUCCUUGUGCACAUUUCUGAACCAGUAGUGUACUUGCUGCAUAAGUAUUUGGUAUUAUGUAAUAAUCCGUUUGGUCGGGACUCAUAAUGAUUUCUCUUGCUUCAGGGGUAUUAAUAUUAACCUUGCUAUCUUGAUCAAUGUUAAAGCAAAUUAAAUGAAUGAAAAAACAAAAAGUAUGCAUCAAAUCCGCUCCUGCUGUACCAAAAUCCAUUAAAUUGCUUUGGUCUCUUACCUAACAAUUUAACAGCACACUUCCACACUGUUCAUACCUAAUUUGCGUGUAAUAUGAAAACUAAGAGGCAUGGCUUUUGUCUCUAUAAGUCUUUGAGAACUUAUUCUUCCAAGUCUUCUUCGGAGGCCUGCUGCCUCAACAACCUUUCAAAGAUGUAGCAGUUGCUCGAGAGUAACAUAUAUAUUAGAUAAAGACUAUGCAAUAAUCCACGUGACAGAAAAACCAAAGUCCAAUUAGUUUUCCAAGUUCAUAAAAAAUACUAUAGGAUCAUUAGCAUUACAUUAGUAUUCCACUAGCAUACAGCAUAUUAUAAGACAAAAGUAAGCGGAAAUAAACAUAAUUUCAAUAGAUUUAACUUACUCUUCAGAAUCGAUAAGUUUGGAACACGUUGAUUGAGCACAAGACGAAGGCCACACAUGCGCAUCAUCUGAUGCAGCUAUAUAUGGUGCCUUUACAGUUGCUCAUACAUAUAGUGAAACAAUAAGGAUCAACUCCUCCAUUGUACGUACACAUUUUCAUACAAGCUAUAAAGCAUGGUGAUAGAGUCUUUGCAAUCUCGUCAUGACCGGCACAUCCGAUUAUGAUAAACUCUAGCAGGAUCAUCCAAGUAAUAAUUUUCAUAAUGAUAUUAAUUAUCAUUGUGAAUAGUUGCAUUGAGUUAUAUAUGUGUGUGUAUAUAUAUGCAAUGGAUUUUGUGGUUGAGAAUAUCUAUUAGAUUUUGUAUAUCCAUAACAAUUAUUAAAAUUUAAACAAGAAUAUCUAUUAUUGGUUGUGGUUGACUAUUGUAGUAGUCCAAGAAAUCAAUGCAAGUGAAAUCUAUAUUAUAUUUUAAAAGAUUAUACAUGAAAUACAAAAGGUUUUUUUAGGACUGCUGUUAAAAAUUGUUAUGUUGUACGAAAAAAUGCUGAUAAAAAGAGUGUUAUACGAAAAAAUGCUGAUAAAAAAAAUGUCGUAUAAAUCAGAUAUGACAGCUUCCCACAAAAACUAAAAAAAACAGUUUUCCGUAAUAAUAUGGGAGAGGAAAAACUGUUUGUAGAUUUAUAGAACAAUUUUUCGGUAAAAAACUGUUGUUGUUUUCGAGAGUAAUGACAAACAGUGCCGAAAUCAUUUUGCAGGUAGUUAAUCUCACUUCCAUAUAAUAUACUCCUAUAUAUUACCGAAAAAACAUGAAAUGAUGCAAACCUCAUACUAUUGACAACAGCUAAACUCCUUGCAAUACUUUCAGCUGCAAAAUCCAUCAAAUUUUUUGAUUUAUCAUGUAACUGUUUGACAGAGUACUUCCAAGCCUAAGUAUCAAAAAUCACUACCUUACGAAAUAUAUCUCACCCUACCUUCUCUGCUUAACUGUUUCGAGUGCUUUUACCAAGCAUAUUUUCCAUUAAGCGUGAAAGGCACAGAAUAAUUAGGAUCACCGAAUAUCCCAUCAGUGCUGGGGAAUAUGGAACCAUCUUAUCAAUUAACUAGUUUAACAUUUCUUGCGGUCUUGAACCUCUCAGAAAACCAUCUUAUCCUAAUGUGCCGACUUCCUUUGACGGAGAAAUGGUGAUGCUGAUGCUAAUGAUAAUGAACUCAACUGGGGAGUGAUCCUUAUGGGAUACGGAUGUGGAUUGAUAUGCGGAUUUUCUUUGGGGUUUAUAUUUUGUGGUUUGUGAGAUACAUUGAAGUACUGCAGCUGGAGUUGAUCAUUAUAAAGAACAUAGGCAAGUUAAUCGCUUAUUGAAAUUAGUAAUUGUCAAAAGUAAAAUGUUGAAAUUACUUUUUUCGAUUGAAAUCAUUGAAAAAAAGUCUCUGUCGAAAUUGAUCUGCCAAAAUUAUGUUUAAUAUCUACGGCCAAGAUUAUCUGUCGAAUAUAUUUCCCGACAAUUUUAAAAGACAAAUUUUUCGCCUCUCAGCUGUGAGCGGGAACAGAUAUUUUCGACAGAAUUCCAUUGAAAUUAGCUAAUUUCAACAUAAAUUUUCUAUCGAAAUUACUUGAGUUCUUUGUAGCUUGUUUUCACAAAUACGCUGAUAGCCUUUGGGGACGGGUAUAUUGUUUUCACAAAGCCCUGGUGGUAUGUGAGAUGCUUCGAAGGACUGCAACUGAAGUCGAUAAGAACAUGCAGAAAGAAAACCGAUCCAUCUUGAUAAACUUGAAAAAUGUUGUCAUAUGGUGAUAUAUACUCCCUGGCCCCAGUCUCUUGGAAAGAACUUGGUUGAUUUUUUUUUUUCAGUAUUGUUGGAGCUGUCAUACUAGUGCUAGUGUGCCGACUAGCACUAGUAUGACAGCUCCAACAAGUAUCCAUCCCUAAUAAUUGCAGCAAAUUAAAAAAUAUAGCUAUAUCUUUUUAGCAAUGGUGCAAUUUGGAAAGCUUUCUCAUCAUCUUCUUCUUUUCUUUAUCUCAUUACUCUCAUCUAGUUCCACUGUCCUAUCUGCAACAAUUCGCGAAGGAGAAGCUCUUGUGGAAUGGAAGAACAGCCUAUCCCCGAAUUCAUUUCUUGGUUCUUGGUCACUAAUUAAUCUCACUUAUCUUUGUAAUUAAGUGGACUGGCAUUGUAUGCAACUCUGCAGGUUCAGUCAGUCAGAUUAAUCUUCAAGAACUCACACUUGCUAACCUCCGUUUCUUUUCGUUUCCAAAUCUCACCAAUCUCAACAUUACACAUAACAACUUCACUGGUCCAAUACCACCCGAGACUUUAGCUAUAGUAAUCUCAAUGGUACCCUUCCAUACCAGGUCAGCCAUCUUCAGAGGUCGGUCGUCUUAGGCCUCUAAUUUAAUCACUUGAAAGCUCUAAGCUUGUCCAAUUUUUCCCCCAUGCCUAUACUGGUUGGUCGCGGUCUUGGUGGUAAUAAGCUGGCGUCAAUUUUUCCAGAAUUCAUAUCUAAUUGCUAUAACAUGAUUAACCUUGAUCUUUCAUUUAACAUGUUAACUGGUGAUCCCUUCAACAACUUGCGAAUCUUGGAUCUCUUCGACAAUGAAUUCACUGGUUACUUGCCAAUCCAAUAUUUUAAUAAUAUGAAACCAGUUAAUACCGUGAUUGAUUAUUACAACAUAACAGUGAAUCAUGAUUAUCAAGCAUGUCUUGUUAACAUUUUGCACUCGUAUUAAUUGUCUUAUAUAUGACUAACUCAUCUUGCACUCGUAUUAAUUGUCUUAUAUAAUACUAAUAACAAAAAUAUGAGGCGGUGCUUAGUCAGAUGAUUUUAGUUGUUAAAAUAUUUUUGUGUUAUUUAUAGAUAGUGAAACAUGUCUAAUAUUUUAUCAAUUUUGUUUCGUUUCUUGAGAUUUCCAAAUAUUUAUUGGGACAUUGUACCAUGGUGUAUUUCACAUAUUCGCAAUUUUAAUUAUUUUGUAUUUUUAUUUUAAAGAUAUGAUAAAGUUUAUUUAUUUAUUUGUUUUUAUCUUAAAAGCGAUUUUCGAGUGUUGCUUAAACCUCGAAGAUUCCAAUCGAGUUUUAUUCUCGGAUCUGUUUCGGAAUUGAGCUUGGCCUUGAUUGUUUUCUGAAUAAAUCAGAUCUUUUGAAAUCAAAGGUUCGAUUGUGUUUUCCCGUCUCGCCUUUUGGCGUGUGUUGAUUUAGUACCCAAUUUUUGGGUGAUUCUGCGUUGUUAUAUUUGUGGUUGUUAUGUCUUUCUGUGUUAUCAAUGAGAAUGAUUGGGAUGGAGUUUUGGGAGAUUUGGCUUAUCGCAUCAUUACAUCUUUCGGCAUGUCUAUAGCUGGCUCCCGGCAUGUAGAUAGCUGGGGUAUGCUUGGAACGGUGGCGAUCGCAUGUGCUCACCUGUCACAAAUUAUAGUUGUUCAUUAUUCGAGGGCUCUUGUUCCUCGUUGCUUAGUUUUUACAACUGAGUCGUCUGAACACCGCAACAGCCAUGGAACUAUUGUGAAGGUCAAUUGUGAAGCUAUCAUUUUCGAGAUUGAUGUAGGCUGGAUUACUCGAGAAGCUUUUGUAUUCAUUUUCAGUUUCAAGAAUUCUUGAAUUCAGUGUGUUAAGCAGUCUGGAAACAAUGCGGCUAUUUGAUUAGCUCGUUUUAUUGUUUAUCAACCUGAUUGCAUUGUCAGUUGGGGAUUUGUCCCGAUUAAACUUGUUUUAAUAUAAUGGAAUGAAUUUGCAUUUUGUCAAAAAAAAAAAAAAAAAGCGAUUUUGAGUUGUUUGAGUUAGAUAUAUACUCCUACUGUGGUUCAACUAGUUUUGCCAUAAGUGAAUAACUUCCGGUCAAUAUUUUGAAAUUUGUCGUUAUCUUCUAAUUAAAAUAAAGGGUUAAAUAGCUACUUCAUCAUUAAUAUCGUUGAAAAUUUGCAGCUGAGUCAUGUUGUUGAAAAGACUUUCAAACUGCAUCAUUAAGUAAUUAAAAAAUUUCAAAAACACCACUCUCCGUCAGUUAUGUUAAACAAUUAACGGAAAGUUCGAAAAAAAAUAAAGAAAAGACAAAAAAACAUUAAAAAAAUUUGAAAAAAAAACCCGAAAAAAUGUGAAUAAACUAUGAUAUUUUUUUUCUUUUUUUGAAAAAUGUGAAUAAAAUCAAAAAAUCAAAAAAAAUGGGAAACCAAAAGUGGCAAGCUUUUUUUUUUUUUGUUCCUUUCAAAUUUUCUAAAAUCUGGGGAAAAAAGAACUUGCCAACUAAUUUUUUCCAAAUUUUUUCAAAUUCUUUUCAGAUUUUUGAAUUUUUUUCCAAUUUUUUCCUCACUUUUUUUCUGUUUUUUUUUGAAUUUAUUAAGAUUUUUUUUGUUUUUUCUGCUUAUUCUGAAUUUUUUAAGAUUUAUUCGCAUUUUUAAAAAAUAUUUUUGAAUUAUCCGUUAAGUAAUUAAUGGAACUGACGGAGAGUGAUGCUUUUGAAAGUUUUUAAUUACUUGAUAAUGCGUUUGAAAAUUUUUUCAACAACAUGACUCAGUUGCAAGUUUCCGGCGAGGUUAGUAAUGAAUUAGUUAUUUAACUCUUAAUAAAAAUCUAUCUAAACAAUAUUAUAAAUAUAAUGUUAUGGGUUCGAUGAGUCGUGUAAAACAUGGAAGAAGUUUAGGUGGGGUAAAAAGAGCCUAGCUGUGUGAUUUCCAUUCUGUUAUACGUGAUAUACUGUAGUUGAUCAUCUCCUUUGUCCGCUUCAUCCUGUGCAACCUUAACCUUUAAGGAAAAACUUAUGAGAUUCUCUAGUGCAUCUAAAUUCUUGUGUGAAGAAUGUGAAGAAAAAUGUUAGUCUCAGAUUAUUUUUCCUAAAAUGCUUGCAUGUUACAUUUUAUAUGUAUGUCCUGACUUUAAGUAUAAUUUAGCAUUUUUAUUUAGUAUUGUGUAAAAAUAAUAUAUUUUAUUCAGUCUUAUUAAAAAUAUAAUCAUGUUAUACUGUAAAAGUAUUUGUGAAUUUCUUUGUUACAUAUGUGUUUAAAUUAUUUUAUUUAUAUAUGUUUUACAAUUUUUUACAAAUAUAUAGGUUGAGUAUUGCAUAGGAAUAUAAUUACACGUUAGCAAAUAUGAUUAUGUGUAAACUGUUCUGCGUGCAUGUAUAUUGCUGCUAAGUUUUAAACUUCUUACUAACCGGAAUAAUUUUGACAGAUGUGUGGAACUUGAUUAAUUUAGUUGCACUAUAAGAGAAAGCGUUUUUGUCAAUAAAAAUUGUUAAGGAAAUUAGUCCGUUGGUAGUUCUCAACGGAUUUGUAACAAUUUGACUGGUCAAUGUUCUGUCAACCAAUUCGUAAUGAAAUACCCACACUUAUUUACAACGAGAUGUUCUAUUAGGAAAUAUAGCCACACAAUGGAAUAAUAACAAAAGACCAAGGAAUGAGCAACAGACUAGCAACGAAAGUAUCUGUUAUUACAUUCGUUGAUAUUCCCUUGAUAAAUACUAGACUUUUUAGCACUUUGGUGGCUUGUACUAUUUCAAAUUUGCACGUUAGUGGCCGACCUUUAAAAGUCAUCAAUUGUGUUGCUGAACUUAUUUUUUUUUAACACAUUAGGGGCUCCGCAUCAUAUCCGUUAAAUCGAAGUAACGGCGUCAAAUGAUCAAUACAUAUCUCCUCCUCCUCUUAUUUCCCUCCAAAUUAAAAAACGAAACGGCUACCCUCUUUUCCGAAGCAAGAACGACGACGAAUUCCUGCUUACAGAGAUGAGUUGGUUCCGGCGUCUUAAAGAGGAUGCUGAUGUGUAUUAGCCUCGACAGUGCCCCGAUUACUGUAGUAAGCUCUUCAACUUUUCUUCUUUGUAGCAUAUGAAAUGAGUUUAAUUGACCAUUAUUUCAGUGUUUGUUGUUGUUAGUGGCUAGUUGUUUAGUAUUAUGGACCUGCAAUUGCUUUAUACUAUUAAAAUGAAAGAUUCUGCUUGUGGGUUUUUAAAAAUUAAGGCUUUUACAUAGUCCAAGAUUCGGUCAUUAUAAAAUCAAUUUAUGCCUGUUUUAGUAUAGUGCUUGUUGUUAGUGGCUAUUUGUUAAGUAUAGUGUUGUUUAUUGUAAAUAAAACUGUUGCUUUGCACUCUACAUUUGCAGAACCUGGUGAUUUUACCCUAAAAAUAUAUCAUGGGGCCGAUUGGGUAGAUAACCCUAGGGCAUAUGUGGGAGGUACAGUAGAUUUCUUUGACUUCUGUAAUGCUGAUCAGAUCAGCAUAAUUGAGAUAUAUAGUAUGUUGAAAGAGGUUGAUGAGUUUGGGUUUCACCAACUGUGGUAUAAGCUACCUGGCACUACAUUCGAUAGAGCUUUUGUACUAAAUAAUGAUGAGGAGCUAAUGACCAUGUGUGAGCUUAUAUCUGAUGUGGAUAAGUAUAUGGAGAUUUAUGUCACCACUAUGGCACAUCUAAGUAUAGUGCCCUAUAGAGAUUUAGAGGUUGAAUUUGUUGAACCAACUCCUAAAGAAGCACCUGAAAAGAACAAUCCAUCACCUGAAAAGAUCAAUCCAGCACCUGAAAAGAUCAAUCCAGCACCUGCAAAGAUGUAUCCAGCACCUGCAAAGAGCAUUCCAACUGUGGGAAAUGAUGAUGAUCAGGAAGAGUUUGAGUUUGAUUUUGACAAUACACGGUUUUGGGAUACCACCCAAAAUGAAAUUGAAAUUGUGCAACAAGUUAGGGAAAUGGAGGGGUUGGAAGAGGAAUUUUCAGACACAGAUUCUGAUGAUGAGGAUUUUGUGCCAGAAGAAAAGGAAAGUAGUGAUGAGACCUUCCACUGUGAUAGUUCCAAUCAAGAUAAUUCUGAUGAUGAUUUGUUGUUUGAUGAUGAUUACUACCAUCCUUACCAGCAGAUGGAAACCAACAAAGAAAAAUAUACAACAACAACAACACAGCAAGAAUUUUCCAGUUCCUUGCUUGCUUCUGCGCCUCGGAUAGUUCUUCACUGUAGAAAUCCUUGUACUCAUCUUUGGCCUUAAUCAUUUCAGCAAAACAUUCAUCGUCCUUGUUCUUCAAACGCCUUAUCAGUCCAUUGAUUACACUCUUGCUGCGCGCAUCAAACUCGGGUUCAACCCACUUGAAGAAAUUGCACCUUCCAUUCACGCAAGUCAAGAAUCUUCUACCCGGAUUGUACUCCGUCCACGAUGUCUUCUCCACUGCCCAGCUUCCACACAUACAUUGUUGAUUCAUCUUUGCAGAGCUUUUUGGUUUGGAUGAGAGAUUUAGGUUUGAAUAUGCUCAAUUACACACAGCAGAAACGUAUAUAUAUACACAGCAUAUAGCCGUUGCAAAAAUAUUUUCCUGAAAUACCCCUGACGACCGUUACUUCGAUUUAAUGGAUAUGAUGCGGAGCCCCUAAUGUGUUAAAAAAAAAAUAAGUUCAGCAACACAAUUGAUGACUUUUAAAGGUCGGUCACUAACGUGCAAAUUUGAAAUAAUACAAGCCAUCAAAGUGCCAAAAAGUCUAAAUACUAACAGUUUCGUUAGUAAUUGAUUAUUAGUUUUACAUGGACAAUUGAUAUACACCACAUGAGCACAUACACGGAUACAAUGCCAGGCUCUUAGUUGAAAUGUGUGUACUGCUAAAGCUCAAGGAGAUUUAGUUGACUAAAUUGAUUUGAGUUGUAGAAAAAGGUUUAAUAAUAUAAUGGACUUUGAUAUAUGUAUUGUAGAUAUUAAGUAAUUCUCUUGAAUUUAUAUAUGUAACAUAAUUGUUAAUUGGCUCAUCCUUAACUAGAUAUUUUAUAUUACAUUCUUAACUACAGAUUUUGUAUUUAAAAUUUUUUUAAAAAAUUAACCUUUAUUUGGUAUGUGGAUUUUGUAGUCAAAUGUGGUCAAUUUACUUAGCCUUCGAUCGAAUACCUACCCAAAACAUAAAAAUAUUUUUUAAUCAUUUAUUUUCGACGAUCCAACUAUACGGAUAUUAUUGUAAUGUGAUAAUAUUGUUUACAAAUUUUUUUUAAAAAAAUUAGCCUUUUAUUUGGUAUGCGCAUUUUGUAGUCAAAUGCAAUUAAAUUACUUAGUCUUUAGUGGAAUCUUUACCCGAAACAUAAAACUUUUUUUUAAAAAAAAAUUUGGACAAUCCAACCGUACAGAUGUUAUUGUAACGUGUUAAUAUUGGUUAAAAUAAAUUUUGAGAAAAUAUGUCUUUUAUUUGGUGUGUGGAUUUUGUGGUCAAAUGCGGUCAAAUUACUUAGCAUUUAAUCGAAUACUUACCCAAAACAUGAAACUAUUUUUUUUAAAAAAUAAUUUCGGACGAUCCAACCGUACGGGGGUAUUGUAACACAAUAAUAUUGAUUAAUUUUUUUAUAGGAAAAUUAUAGCCUUUUAUUUGUUGUGUGGAUUUUGUUGUCAAAUGCAGUCAAAUUACUUAGCCUUUAAUGAAAUACUUACAUUAAACAUGAAUUUAUUUUUUUUUAAAAAUCAUUUGGAUGAUCCAAUCGUACGGAUGUUAUUAUGACAUGUUAAUUGAUUAAAAAAAUAUUUAAAAAAAAUGCCUUUUAUUUAGUAUGUGGAUUUUGUAGUAAAUGCUACUUAGCCUUUAAUCGAAUACUUACCCGAAACAUGAAACUAUUUUUCUAAAAAUCAUUUUGGACAAUCCAACCGUACGGAUGUUAUUGUAACAUGAUAAUAUUGAUUGUUUUUUUAUAUAAUAACCUUUUAUUUGGUGUGUGGAUUUUGUAGUAAAAUGCGGUCAAAUUACUUAGCUUUUAAUCGAAUACUUACCUGAAACAUGAAACUAUUUUUAAUAAAAUUAUUUUAGAUGAUCCAACCAUACAGAUGCUAUUGUAACGUGAUAAUUGAUUAUUUUUUAAAAAAAUUAGCCUUUAAUAUGGUGUAUGGAUUUUAUAGUAAAAUGAGGUCAAAUUACUUAGUCUUUAAUGGAAUAUUUAUUAGAAAUAUAUUUUAAAAAAUUAUUUUGGACGAUCCAAACUGUAUGAAUGUUAUUUUAACAUGUUAAUAUUGAUUAAAAUUGUUUUUAAAAAAAAAUUAGUUGUAUUUUAUGUGUGAAUUUUUAGUCAAAUACGAUAAAAUAUUUAUUUAGCUUGUAAUGAAAUAUUAAAACCCUACUUCAAAAGAAACUUGUCUAAAACUACCUAUAAGUGUUAGAGAAUCAUCGAUUUAGUUAUCAAAUUAGUUAUCAUAAGGGUUUUACUCCGCUUUUCUCUGGUAUGAUGUUGAUUUUUGGGGUUUGAUUGGUCGAUUUUCAUGUUUUAUAAGUUAUGUGAGUUCGAUUUUGAUGUUUUUACAAUUAGGUUUAUGUAUGUUCUUAUACAGGUUUCAUGUUCAUGUUUUGAUUUGUUGAUUUCCUAUUUUUCAUAUUUUGUUGAUUAGUUAUUUGUGUGGGUUUUGAACUUUGAUGAGUGUGUAUGUAAUCUCCUGUUUUUUUUUUUCAUUUUUCUGGUUCGAACACUUCGAUUAGUAGCUGGAAAAACAGCUGAUGCGGCAGUAGCGGCUAGUGAGAUGGAUAACAAGAAAAGGAUGAUUUCGAGGUCAUCUCGUGCAAGUCUUCAGAUAUAGUUUUGUUCCUUUAUGUUUUUAAUUGACAUAAAUUUUCACAUUUGAUGAUUAUAUUAUGGGGGAUUCUGGGUAUACUUGUAUAUAAUCUAGCAAGUUAUUAUAAUUCUGGACGGGGGGCUUAUUGUGAAAUUAAAUUGAGGGAUAAGUUGUGUUAUUGGUUCUAGUGGAUUAAAUUUAUGUUGACACUUGAUAUAUGCAUUGAUGUCGUAAAAUAAGUUGCACAUCAAACUAUUUGGCUUGUUUAAGUUGUAUGGAGUAAGGCUGUACGCGGAUCGGAUCGGUUCGGUUGGAGGGUAAUAACCAAACCAAACCGCAACUUACGGUUUUCUAAAAUCUCAAACCGCGACCAUACUGUUGGUUAAAAAAACCCAACCAAAUCCAUCCACGUAAUUGCGGUUGGUUGCGGUUCAACUGCUAAAAUAGUUAUAACAAAGAAAAUAUAUAAGUUAUUGCUUAAAAUCUUGCAUAAAGUACAGACUUUAACUCAAAAAUAUAUAAUUUAUCACUUAAAAUCUUGAAUAAAGUUAAUACAAUAAAUCUGAUUACAUAUUACAAAAGCAAACUACUCCGGAAAUAUAUAACUUGAAGCAGAGCUUCAAGUUAAUGGUUAUUAAAAAUUUCAUCCGCGACUGCCCACAUUUUACGGUUAUCCAUAAUACACGGAUCGGUUGCAGGUGGUUGUUGCGGUUAAUGCGGUGGAGCGGAUUGAACGUACAGCCCUAUGAAGUAUGGUUGCCAAGCAUUGGUUGGUUGUACACGUGUAAACAAAAUGAUAUUUUAAUAUUUAAACAAAACAAUACAGUCAUAAACAGAUCGUGUCGGGCUGGACUGAUUGUGAUUUUCCUUUUUGGAACUCGUACUCGGCAUCUUCCAAGCGAAUGAUAUUUAGAAGUUUGUUGCUAGUAUACUCCAUGUCAUAAUAAGAGUUCUUUAGAUUUUUUAUAUGUAAUUCGAAGUAUAAAAAACAUAUUUUAACAUAUUAUUUUUAAAUUUUUUAUACAUAAAAAUAUAACAUCUAUAUUUUUAUUUAGAAAAAAAUUUGAAAUAUAAUAUAUAGAUGCAUGUCUUUUUUAUACGUGAAAUUACAUGUAAAAAAUUAAAAGACUCUUAUUUUGAGUAAGAGAGAAUAUGAUGUACCAUAAAGUCAUCGAUCUUUUGUUAUCAAAUAAAUGUGAUAUUUAAUUAUUUAAGAGCAAGUCCAAAAGUAUCUUAGUUAAAGUCCUAAAUAUAAUAUAAAAUAUUACGUUCUGGUGAUUUAGGAUAUAUUUUACUAACUUGGACUCCAACAAUGUGUCUUAUUCUCAUAAGAAGUUUAAUAUUUUAUUAUUAAAGACUCUCUUUCAUCAUUAAAGCAUAAUAUAAAAGUAGAGAGAGAAAAAGAGUGUUGAUAAGAAUUAAUAAUAAAAUAUGGGAUAGGGUUAGGAGAGAUGUGCCUCAAAAAUAGGGUUUGAGGAGUUUCAUUAGGUGUGGACACGGAGACCAAGAAGUAAAAGAUGAGUACAGUUAAAUGAAGAUGUGGUAAAAUAAUGUGACCCAUUUAUAUUUAAUAAUACAUUUGAAAUAGUGGAGGAAAGUAACGAGUGUAAUAACGUUUAUAUUAUUAUAGCAUAUAGAUAGCAGAAGAAAGCAAUGGGUAUAAAAGUGUAUUAUAUUAUUAAAGUUUUGAAAUGUUUAGAAAUAAUGGGGCAAUCAAAAAGAAAACUGUAUAAAAAUGGACGAGAGAAUACAAUUCAAGAAGUAAUAUAUCUCAAUUCAAACUAGGUAAUAUAUUUAUGAAUUAUAUUAAAAAAAAUUUGACAUUCAAAUAUAAAAAUUUAUUUUAUCAUCUUAACAAUGGAAUAUUCGAUUAUUAACUUUCGUAAAUAACAUUAAUUUUUCAUUAUAAUAUACUCUAAACUUUUAUUUUAUGUGCCUGUUUGUUUACAAGAAGCUGGAGUCCUACUUCUCUUGACUCGUUUGUGUAAAAACGUAAAAAGUGCUUUUAAAAAGUACUGAGAAGGAAAUGGAAGUAGAAAAUGCUAGUUUUUCUUUAUAAUAUCUAUUUCUUUUCUAGACACUUUAAUAAUUUAUAUAUAUUAAUUUAUUUCUCACUUAUACUCCAUUUUUUUAUAGAGAACUUCUUUUAAACUAAUCGGCUCCUAUAAUCAGUAGUUUCUCAAUUUUAAUAGGAAUAAGAGCAUGUUUAUCUGAGCUUAAAGCCCGGGGUUUAUAUCAUCUCUGGCUUUAAGCUGAAAAAUGUAUGUUUGUGUAUUAAGUCGGAAGUCGGCUUAAAGUCGGAAAUAAGUCAAAAAUUGACCUAAAACCAGAAGUUAGUUUGAGAUACUUUUCUCGGUGACUAAUUUUUUUUUUAGCCAUUUUUUGAUAAAAAUUAUUCCUAAAUCACAAAUUACUCAUAAAUUACUUUUAUUAUUAUUAUUAUUAUAUUUUUAAUAACUUAUAAAUUAUUAAUAAAUCAAAAUUAAUCAAACAAAUAUUUUAAGUUCUCAUAUUAUGAGAUAACUAACGUUAAGUCAUGAAUCAACUGAACGGGAUGUAAGUCUUCUUCUCCCCGAGUCAUCAGCAGACUUUUUCCAUGUCUUCUGAGCCCCCAUUGGCUCACAAUUGGCCCAAAAAAUAUUUGGUUAUGCAUUGCUAUUCACACACUUAGACAUCAAAAUUUAUCAUCCGACAGGCGACAGCUAACUGCACACUAUUUUUCCCACAAGCUGAAAAAUCAACGAUCAAUUAAUUUUUCUUAUCAAUUAAUAAAGUUAUGAUUUCACGUACACGGCAGGCAAAAUGCUAAUAAAUAGACGAGUGCAGUAUAGUAUGGGUUCAUGAUCACCUUGAGAUUUAAUUGAAAAAUAUUAUGGUGAUAUAGAUUAAAUUAAAUUAUAAUAUCUUGAAAAGUUAUAAAUAAUUUUAAUUACUAAUAAUAUUUAUUUGUACAUUUAAAUAUUUUUAUAAAAACACAAAAAUAGCAUUAUACUCAUUUAAGUUUCUCGUAUCCGCCUCUCUUCUUGGAGAUUGUGGAUUUGCGAUAUUUAUAUUGAUUAUUAUAGGAAAAUGUUAUUUCCAGAGCAAACAUUUUUAUUUCCGGAGCAAAUUCAAACAAAUUUUUCCAAAUUGUUCUGGAAAUUAAAAUAUUGAUAUGGAUAUAACAAUUCCCUUAUUAUAUCCUAUGUAUAUUACAUUAAUGCAAUUAACAUGGUUGAUUGUUUUAGUAUAUAAUCAUAUUACUGUGACCUUUUAGUAUAUAAUUAUAUUAUUUUUGUUAUAUUUUAUGCAUCUAGAAACAAUUUUUUUAUGAUAUUUAUUAUAUUAAUUAUAGUAAAAGAUAUAAUUUUGUUUAAAAAAUUGAAUAAAACUAAGAGGGAUAGCCUACGUCUCUCCGAGUCUUCGAGGACUCAUUCCAAGUCCGAGAGGACCACAGCCUCAACCUUUAAGAGAUGUGAAAGUAGCUUGAGAGUGAUAUAAAUUUAUUUUUGACAAUAAAAUUUAAUAAUCAAAUAAAUUAAAUUAAAUUAAACUAGUUUAUAAUCGAUUAAAAAUAUAUAAAUCAAAAUUAUUCCCGAAUUAUGAUAACAAUUAAAAUCAUUUUAAAAGUUGCAUAAAUCAAAUCCAAAUCGAACAAAUUCCCCUAACACUAAAAUGUAGUUGCUUUAUUGUAGAUAAAAACAGUAUAAUAAUAGUAUUGAUGAAAAAUCAAAUUCAUCAAAUAAGUUUAUAAAAAAUACAUGAUUUUAAUUUUAAAAAAAAAACAUGAUUUUAGUGUGUUGUAUUAGUAGUGUGUCCACGCAUUUAUAUAUUAAAAUCUAUCCUCUAAAAACUAUCGAUCUAUUUACACAACUAUUGAUCUGUCGUGCAACAAAUUCCAGGGCGAAGUUCCAAAGAGAGCUUAAAUGGCUUGCAUUGCUCAAUCUAUCUCAUAAUAGUCUUAACGACAUAUGUUCUGAAUUAUUAUUAUGAUUUCAACAAUAUUUUCAAACAUUUCUUAAUAUGUAUUUUCAAAGAAUUCUCAAGCACUUGAACAUUUGGACCGGUUCUUUCGAAGCCAGGCAAUGCACAAAAAUGUCCAAAAAUGAAUAAAUUAAGAGAGAGUAGCUCACCCUUUCAAAGCCUUCCAGGACUCAUUCCAAGUCUUCGGAGGACCACUGCCUCCCCCUUUCAAAGAUGUGAUAGUAGCUCGAGAGUGAUAUAAAUUAUUUUCCCGACAUUAAAAAUAAAAAAUCAGAUUAAAUUAAUCAAUAAUAACUUAAGGAUGAAAUCCAAAUUAAUCCUAAAUUUUGAUAAUAUAUAAAAAUUAUAAUUAUAAAUUAUAUAACCAAAUCAGAAUUGAAUUAACUUACUUGGCACUAGAAUUGCUAAAGACAGUAUAAUAAUUUAAUUGAUGAAAAGUCAAAGUCUUCUAAUAAAUCCAUAAAGAAUAUGAUAAUAUGAAAAUUAUAAUUGAAAAAUCAAAAUCAAUAGUGUAUUGGAAUAGUGUUCACACACUUAUAUAUCAAAAUUUGUGGUCCAAAAACUAUAGCACAAUAUCCUAAAUACAUCACAUUAAAUAAUAGCACAAAAAUAUUCAAUAAAUAAUUGAUUUCAUUCAUAAAUUUGUUAUUUUAAAAACUAAUAAUUUGGUUGAUGUUAACCUAUAUUUUAUAUAUAAUUUCGUCUUAUUUUAUUUUACUAGAAACAAUAUUUUUAUAAUAUUUAUUACAUUAAAUAUAUUAAAAGAUAUAAUUUUAUUAAAAAAAUUGAAUAAAAUUAAAAGGAUAAGUCUCGGCCUCUCCAAGUCUACAAGACUCAUUUCAAGUCCACCGAGGGCCUCAACCAUUGAGAGAUGUGAAAGUAGCUUGAGAGUGAUAUAAAUUAAUUAAAUUAGUUAAUAAUGAAUCAAGACUAAUCAUGAAUUAUGAUAAUAAUUAAAUAAAUUAUAAAAUUAAAUUAUACAAAUAACACUAAACCUUAGUUACUUUAUUGGUAAAUAAAUAUAAUAUAAUAAUCAAAUUGAUGAAAAAUCAAAAUCAUUUAAUAAAUUCACAAAAAAUAUAUGAUCAUUAGUAUGUUAUAUUAGUAUCCACACACUUAUAUUUCAAAAUCUAUCCUCCAAACUUAUCAUCUCUGUAAACUAGCCACAUAAAAUAAAAAUUUAAAGAUAUUAGAUAUUUAGUUAUUUUCAUUAUAUAAUUUUUCCACACGAAAUAACAAAAUAUCUUUAUCAAAUUAUUAUUUAUGAGUUAAAUAUUCAAUUUAUAAAUCCAGUAUGCAGCGUAUAAAUAGAAGUGUGCAGUAUGAUAUCAGAUUCACAUAACCCAGUUGAUGAGGAGAAACAUGGCAUACUCUGCAAAGCCUUCUCACCUUCUUCUCUUUGUUUUCUUUCUCUCAUCACUUGAAUCCAUUCUUGCAACAACACGAGAGGGAGAAGCUCUUGUGAAGUGGAAGAAUAGCCUAGCCCCUUCUUCUUUUCUCGACUCUUGGUCACUCACCAAUCUCGAUAAUCUUUGUAACUGGACUGGCAUUACUUGUAACUCUGCAGGUUCAGUCUCUGAGAUUAACCUUAGUGAGAAACAACUUGAUGGAAUGCUGUCCGAGUUUGGUUUCACUUCAUUUCCAAAUCUCAACAAUCUCACCCUCGCAUACAACUUCUUCUCGGGUCCAAUACCGCCAGCCAUUGAGAAUUUAACACAGCUUCAAUACCUUGAUUUAAGCUUUAAUUAUCUCGAUGGUCCCAUUCCGUUCCAGGUUAGCCAUCUUCAGAGGUUGCUCAUCUUAAACCUGUCACAGAAUGCAUUGCAAGCUCCAAAUUGGUCCCAUUUCUCUCCCAUGCCUUUCUUGCGCAUCCUCGACCUUAAUAGCAAUCAUCUUGCGUCGAACUUCCCAGAAUUUAUAUCCAAUUCUCAUAGCUUGGCUAUCCUUGACCUUGGAUAUAACAACUUUACAGGUGACCUUGUGCGUGAAUUUACUAAUCUACAAAAUCUUGAAACCCUCUACCUAGAUGAAAAUUCUUUUGAGGGGCCAUUUCCGCCGGAUGUAUUCAGGCUUUCCAAAUUAAAACAUCUUCGCCUGUCAGGUAACAAAUUCUCAGGUUCAAUUCCCAAUGACAUAAGGUUGCUUUGUGAUCUUGAAUCCCUAUAUUUAAGCAACAAUUCCUUUAAAGGACCCCUUCCAUCAAAUAUAUUCAAGCUUUCAAAAAUAAAACAUCUUGUUCUUUGGAGUAAUAAGUUUUCUGGUUCUGUUUCCAAUGAUAUAGGUUUACUUUCUGAGCUUGAAACCCUCGAUCUUAACUCUAAUUUUUUUGAGGGGCCGCUUCCGUCAAAUAUAUUCAAGCUCUCCAAACUAAGGUAUCUUUCCCUUUGGGGUAAUAACGUUUCAGGUUCUAUUUCCAAUGAUAUAGGUUUGCUUUCUGAGCUUGAAACCCUCGAUCUUAACUCUAAUAUUUUUGUGGGGCCGCUUCCGCCAAAUUUAUUCAAGCUCUCCAAACUAAAGAUUCUUUCCCUUUAUAAAAAUAACUUUUCAGGUUUUAUUUCUAAGGAUAUAGGUUUGCUUUUUGAACUUGAAACCCUCUAUCUUGGCUCUAAUUUUUUUGAGGGGCCGCUUCCCCCACAUGUAUUUAGGCUCUCCAAAUUAAGAGAUUUGGGUCUCAGAGACAAUAGAAAUUUAUUUCAAGGAAGUAUUCCUAUUGGACUGGGACUCUUGACUAAUCUCAGGUACUUGAGUCUAUUUUCCAAUGAUCUCAGUGGCUAUAUUCCAUCUGAGAUUGGAAACCUGAAGCUACUAAAAGUUCUUGAACUCGGUUCUAAUCAAUUGACAGGACCGCUUUUAAAGAUAGUUUCUAAUCUCAAAAAUCUUAUAUAUCUUGGUGUAAGUGGUAAUAGUCUUAGUGGAAAUAUUCAGAGUGACUUGUGGAAAUAUAACGAUCAUCCAACUUUGGAAUACAUCAAUUUAAGUGGGAACCAUUUUACGGGUAUAGUUUCUCUCUAUAGAUCUUUGUCAUAUGUAACUAAGCUAGUAAUCUGAUUAUUGCCUUUUCACCAAAGUUUCAACAAUCUUGACAGGUGAGCUUCCAACAACAAUUUGCAAUGUCACAUCCCUUUUGCUUCUUGAUUUGUCAAAUAAUGAAUUAAGUGGUGCACUUCCAAACUGUUUCGGAAAUCUUGCUGAUAGAUUGCUUUACGUUAAUCUUGCUAAUAAUCAGUUUCGAGGAACAAUACCAACUACUUUCUCCAGGAGUUGUCAGCUGAAAUAUCUAAACAUGGAUAAUAAUGAGUUUGAAGGAUUGUUGCCCCCGUCUUUGGAAAACUGUAAGCACUUGAGAAUUCUUGAUAUUGGCAAUAAUAAAAUAGGUGGUACAUUUCCGUCAUGGCUUUAUGUACUUGGAGAGCUAGAAGUCCUUGUCUUGCAAUCAAAUAAACUCUAUGGUACAAUAAGUGGAAGGAGCAUAGAAGAUCCCUUCCGCAAGUUGCGGAUUGUGGAUCUGUCCAACAACCACUUCACAGGCCAUUUGCCAAUUCAAUACUUUAAGAAUAUGAAAUCAACUGAUAAUUUGUAUAGUUAUCAGCUUUCCACAGCAGUUUUUUCUUUCCAUUAUGAAGCAGCAGUCUCAUUAAUUGUGAAGGGAACAGAGUAUGAAGUAGCAAAUAACCUUCAUAUUUACACAGCCAUUGAUCUGUCGUGCAACAAAUUUCAGGGAGAAAUUCCAAAGGUUACUGGAGAGCUUAAAUGGCUGGCAUUGCUCAACUUAUCUCAUAAUAGUCUAACAGGACCUAUCCCGUCAUUGCUGAGAAAUAUGAAAGAACUCCAAUCUUUAGAUUUGUCCUCAAAUCAACUGACGGGGGCUAUUCCACCUCAGUUAACUGCGCUGACAUUUCUAGAGGUCUUAAACCUCUCGGGAAACCAUCUUAGUGGAGAGAUUCCUCAGAAAGGACAAUUCAGCACAUUCAACAAUGAUUCGUAUCUAGGAAACUCCGCUUUAUGUGGAUCACCAUUGACGAAGAAAUGUGCAAACACAGCAUCACCUCCACAAGAAGUCGGAAAUGUUGAUGAAGAUUAUGCGGGUGAUGAAUUGACAUGGGAAGCAAUCAUGAUCGGAUAUGGAUGUCGACUGAUAUGUGGAUUGUCAUCUGCAUACAUUGUUCUCAAACUAGGAAAGCCUUGGUAGUUUGUGAGAUAUGUCGAAGUACUGCAACAGAAGUUGAUGAAAAGAUGCUUGAAGAAAGGUACUGGUCGACCAAUAAGAACUUGAAAGUUGUUGUCCUGGUAGACAUUUCUGAACCAGUAGUAUUUGGUAUUAUGUGAUAUUCUGUUUGGUCCGGACUCAUAACGAUUUCGCUUGCUUCAGGAGUAUUAAUAUUAACCUUCCUAUCUUGAUCAAUGUUAAUGCAAAUUAAAAUGAAAAGGCAAAAAAUAUGCAUCAAAUCCCCUCCUGUUGUACCAAGAUUCAUUAAUUAAGAGGCAUGGCUUUUGUCUCUCCAAGUCUUCGAGAAAUUAUUCCAAGUCUUCUUUGGAGGCCUACUGCCUCAACAACCUUUCAAAGAUGUAGCAGUUGCUCGACAGUGAUAUAUAUAUUAGAUAAAGACUAUGCAACAACCAACGUGACAGAAAAAUCAAAAUAGGACAAAAUCCGUACGAAUCAAAAUAGUUUAUUUCUAAGGGGAAUAGCUGAAUUAAAUUGUAAGAGAAGUAAAACAGAUUCUUUUAUAUUUUGGAAUAUAACUGAAAAAGAUUUUGAGAUAAUUUUCAGAAAUCAAACCAGUCAAAUAAAUAUUCGCUGAAGGAACAGAGUAAAGAUACAACGAAUAUAACAAGUUGUAAGAUGAAUAUCGCUGAAUCAAACAGGGUAGAACCCGUACAAAAACGCCAAACAGAAAGGAUCAAAACAGAGUAAUCAAAUUUACCUAACACUAAUAGAAGUAGUGCUGAAUAAAAGAGAACGAAAUCUGUACCUUAAAAAUAGCAAACGCAAACACUAACCAACCUCACAAGGGACCAUCUAAACUCCCUAACCCCGACUUUAUCUUAAACUCCAAAUAUCUCCCUGACUCCAAUAUGCCCAGAACAAUAAACGAAUGUUUUGACCUUCUAAACGAUGUUUUCUGGAAUAACGCAAAACACGAAAAUCGUAGAGAACGAAAAGACCUUUCCGAAAAGGUAAGGCUCGUCAAGAACGGAGUCAUAACGAAUCGGGAAUUAAAUAAAACGUCCGCUGAUUCAGAACUCAAAGCGAGAACAGGAUCUGAUUAAGUUUUGUAAUUUUGAGAACAGUUUGAAACAUAAUCUGAGAAAACAUUAUAAACGAAAGUAUAUGAGAUUGAAAGAGCUUUCCGAAACAUCAAGAAUCAUCAAAUUCCGAUAAGAAUUGAAUUUUCUACGAAUUUUACAAGACAGCUGAUUUGUGAGAAUAAAGCCCUACGAAUUUUUGUCAUAAAAAUGAAGAGAAGGUUGAGUAGCUCUCAAAAGUAUAUAAAAAGAAUGAGAGAACAAAUCAAUAUACUCCCUUUGUCCCUCUCGUUUAUUUACAGUGUUUGACACGCAUUUUAAAGCGCAUAUAAAACAUAGUUCUAUGAUUUAUUUUCAAAAUUUUUCUUUUUUGUAUAAAAAUUUAAACAUCAAAUUUUUAUCUAGAAAAAAAGGAAGUUCAAAAUAAUUUAUUGAACUACGUUUUACGAGAGCAUUAGAAUGCGUGCCGAGCCCCCGUCCCCCAAUGUAAACAAAUGAGAGGGACGGAAGGAGUAUAUAUACAGAGUCUUGAGACCCUAAUUCUAAACCUAUCCAUUAUCUGAAUGCAAGGCUGAUCUAUAUUUUAAGUACACUAUCCUAAUUCAAUUUUAAAUCCUAUUCAUAAUCUAAUUUUAAUCCUUUAUUAUUAUUACUAACCAAUUAAUAUUAUUUUAAAAAAAUACUGGAUAUUACAUUCCUGAUCAGACUAGUGAUCGGAUUGCAACCGCAAAGCAGCCUAUAUAUAGUGACAAUUAAAUACACAACAAAACAACUUCUUUCUUCUCUCUUGGGUUAUAAUACUCAGACGGACAAGCUAUAUCUGAGGCGAUUUUCUGGGCGAUUAAACACACAAUAAAAGCAGCUUCUUCUUCUUCAAUUAAGGUUUAUUCUACACCCAAUCACAUACACACACACACUUUAAUAUGACUAGUGAGUUCAAUUUUUGGUGGUAUUAUAUGAUUAUCAUGUUCUCUUUUUAAAUAUUAGUAACGUUAUUUUCGGAGUGGACUCUGUUGAUGUUUAAAUUUGAUAUAGAUAUUGUAAUUGAAAAUUUAUGUUGAUUUGUUGUUCAGAUUUCAAGUAUUAAUUUGUGUGUGAUCAAAAUUUUGCUUCUACAUCGAUUAUCAGGAGGAAAUAUGAGGCCGAUCUUGAUCAAAGGACACGAAAGGCCAUUAACAUAUCUAAAGUAUAACAAGGAGGGUGACCUCCUCUUCUCCUGCGCAUUAGACAGAAACCCCGCUGUUUGGUACGCUGAUAAGGGAGAGCUUUUAGGCACUUACCGUGGGCACAUUGGUUCUGUUUGGGGUUGUGAUGUUUCUAGGGAUUCAAAACUUUUAAUAACUGCAAGUGCGGAUCAAACAGCAAAGGUAUGGGAUGUUCAAACUGGGUCUGAGCUGUUCACGUUUGAAUUUAAGUCCACUGUGAAAUCAGUAGAAUUUGGUGUCGGAGACAAGCUUGCUGUCAUUGCAACAGACUCCUUUCGUGACAUGUCUUCUGCAAUUCAUGUCAAACACAUAGCCAGAGAUCCUAGUGAACAGUGCGGUGAUUCUGUGAUUGAAUUCUCACCUGGAGGAAGAAUCAAUAGAGCUGUUUGGGGACCUUUAAAUAGGACCAUAAUAAGUGGUGGUGAACAAGGCGUUGUUCGUGUGUGGGACGUUGAGACAAAGAAAGUGAUUUAUGAGUCAGACAAGGAUACUGGUCAUCAGAAGGCCAUUACAUCACUUGCAAAAUCAAGAGACGGUUCACAUUUACUUACUGCUUCCAUUGACAAAUCAGCUAAGCUUUGGGACAUCAGAUCAAUGAAACUUCUCAGGACAUACAAGGCUGAAGCCCCAGUUAAUGCAGUUGCACUCUCUCCACUACUUGAUCAUGUCGUGCUCGGAGGUGGUCAAGAUGCAUCGACUGUUACAAACGAUCCUCGUGCUGGCAAGUUUGAGGCCAAAUUUUAUUCCAAGGUCCUUGAAGAAGAAAUUGGAUCUGUGAAAGGACACUUUGGUCCGAUAAAUGCAUUGGCAUUCAACCCUGAUGGAAAAAGUUUCGCAAGUGGAGGUGAAGAUGGUUAUUUGCGAUUACAUCACUUUGAUCAUGACUACUUCAACAUGGCGAUUUAAUUCGAAUUACUUACAUUGCUACGUCUUUUUUUUUUUUUUUCCGGUUUUAUUCAAGUUAUUUUCUGGUUUUUAUGUUGAUCUUAUGUUCUUUGUUAUAAAUAGAAGUGUGGUUCCUUUUAAAACUAUUUACAUAAGUUUUUGGCUUUUCAUGUAAUUUAAUCAAAGUAAAUGCCAUGAGAUCCUGAAUAUAUCUACUUAUCUAUCUAUCUACUUAUUAAAGCAGAAUCAGGGGAAAAAUAUACCAGAAAUUGGAUGAAAAAUUUACAUACACACCCUCAAUUAUUCAUCAAUUCCGAAAUUGGCCUGUAGUUUAGCUGUUAACUUGCAGGAUUUUUGUAAAAGUAGGAAUCAGCGAUUCUUAGGUACCCCAGUGACCCCGAAUCGGUUUCUCAGAUUCUUGGAAAUCCUCGGUCAGUUGAUUUAGAUUGUGGGCAUAUAUACACCUAUAGUCAGCCUCCGGCGGUGCAAUCUUUUGGUGGUGUUUUUCAGCCUUUUCUGCUAUAGCGAUUCUUGUUAAAACAUUCAGGUGCUAGGGUUGUUUUGUUGGUAAAGGGAAUUGGAUUGUUGUAUCUGCGGUUGUGGCAAAGGUAAUUUUCUUGCCCUUGCUAUUCUUUUGGGAUGUCUGAUUAUAAAUAGCCCUUCUAACUUUGUUCACCUGUUCUGUAUGAUGUGUGUCAUUUGUGAUUGAGUCGAGCAGUAUAUCAUUUUGAUGCAUAUUGUUAAUUUCACUCUGGGAAAUUUUUAUGCUGAUGUUUGGGCAAUUAAUUCUGGUUAUUUCGUUGAUUUUGUUUGUGGUUUGUUUCCACCUGCCAUUAGAACUGUAAAGUAAAGUGUAUUUAUUGAUCAUGAUUCAAGUGUUUGUAGAUAAUCGAUGUGGGUGACAAAGAAGCUGCAAAUGAUGAUGGUUCUUCACAAAUUUUAUCUGCUUUGCUUCCUUUUGUUGUGGCUCUCACCAUGGUUGUCAAGUCGACGACUGCUGUUGCUGCUCUUGCUCAGCCCUCAACUUUCACCUGGUAACAACUUUUGUAUGUUUGGUAAAAUAUUUUGAUUUUUUUUUUUUUGUAAGGGUAAAAUAUUUUGAUUGUGAUAAGCUAAUUUAUUGUUUUUUAAUGAUUCCAACACUACAACAGAUUUAGCAUCACACAACGGUUUUUGCCCGUUGUCUGAGACCACGGAAAACCGUGGUCUAUCGAGACGCCGUCUGAUAUGCGUAUCAGACAACGGUGCGCACCGUUGUGUGAUAGUGCUAAACACGAUGGUUUACGUUAAAAAAAUUGUUGUGCAACACCCAGAACCAACAACGUUUACUCUUAAACGUGGUGUUGUUAGAAACACUCCUUAACAAUAGUCGAUUUCAAAAAUGGUGUUGUUAGAGAGACUAUCCACAACAGUUUUAUUAGCUCGCAAGACUUGUUGGAAAGAUGAUCAUACAACAGUAGUUGAAAUAGAGAAGCUCGUUCUUUCCUCUCUUGUACAACGGGUUUCGAACACCAAGCCACUUGUGUAAGGCCCCUUCUAACAAUGUUUUAAUUAGUGAGGUUGUUGUGUUUAGUUACGUCAGACAAUGGUUUUCUUUCAUAGUUGGUUGUCGUUUACAUGUUUUAACAAUUGUUUCUGUUUCAUCAUUAUUGCAAGUCAUUUGUUUGGACAAUGGUUUUGUGACAAUAAAUCAUUGUUUCCAGUUUUAUGAGACAAUGUUUUUAAUGAAUAAUGAUUAUUGUAUCAUGUUCAGUAUGACAAUGGCCCUGUAUUAUCCCAUUACCUAAAUACAUAAUAGACAAUGAUUAACAUAACUCGAUUAAACUAAGCUAGAGAAUGUAAUUAAAAAGCCAAAAAUUUGUAAACAAAAAAUUUCAUUAUGCACUAAUAACCAUUGUUACAACCAAAUCAUAUAUACCAUCCAAUAUCCAGAAAUAUUUCCCCCGAGGAUGGCAAAUCUCAAAAAUAUAAAUACCUACAAUAAAUGGUAGCAUCUAGAGAGGCAUAUGUGACUACAAGAGUCUUUUGUGAGCUUUUCAACUACCCAGCCCAGGAACAAUCCUCUGAUUGCAUUCUUUUGAUUCGGAUGGAGCCCUCCUGCUAUCUCUUUUGGAAGUGACUCUACUGCAACCACCUGUAAUACAUAAAAAAGUUCUUGAUAUGCUUUUCGUACAAAGAAAUUAAUGUGGUUGAGGAGUAUGUUUCGAGUUCAAAAUAUACCAGUGUGCCAUCUUCCAUGGUUUCACGUCAUUCAUACACAAUAAAUUGUAGCAAUUGUGAGCCCUAUCAACAUACCAGUCUUUCUGUAUUUAGAGUUGGAGCAGCUAAGCCAAAAUCAGACAAAUGGGGAUUGAGUUCAUCAAGUAAAAUAUUUGCUGACUUUAAGGUACUAUUAACAACAUAAGGAACAACAUCAGCAUCUUGCUUCUAUCAUCAGUGAAGUAUAAAAACUCUUGCAAGCUACUAUUUGCAAUAUAAUCAUGGACCAGAAGACGUACCAUGUUCAGCGGAAUAUCAUUCAAAUCUCUGGCAUGGUUGUUGUGAUGGAUAAAAAUAAGUUCCUUUAUGACCUGAAUUAAACAUUAAAAGAUACCAAAUUAACCGAAAUGCGUAGAGAUGCACAAAAAGUCCAGGCCCGAAAAUAUGGUCAUAGAGAUUUAAAAAAAGUCGAAAAUAAAGACAAACCAUGUGAGUAAAAAGCAGAGUAAGGAGGAUUGAUGGUAGUGUUUGAUAUAGAUGCCAUGUGGGUAGAUCCAUAUGAGCUGCUGGAAGCAGAGAGAUUUCUUCCAAACUCUCUUACAUUAUUGACAACAUUUGUGUUAACAUAUAUGUGUUGUAUAUGAAAUUUUAAAGAUUAGAUACAUAAAUAUAAUAUUAUUCGGAAAAUAUAACAUACCAUCUCGAGUCAUUUUCUUGCUUGGUCAUUAAAAUAACCUACAGCAAGUAAUGUACCCUCACUCUAUAAGAAGAAGAUGGACAAAAAGAAGUCAGUUGUAUGGAUGCCUCGGAAUAUAUACAAGAAUGUCCCAGGGAUAUUUAUUCAGUUGAUGAAGCAUGUAUAUCUAGAAAUUAACAAACCUCAUCAGCCAAAACAAAUAUAAAAUUAAUAAAAUCAUCUGUCUCCAAACACACAGAUUAAAAUCAAAGCACAAAUGUUAUCACACAAAACCAAGACAACACAAGAUCCAUCACUAAAACACACAACUACUACUAAAAUCAAACACACAAACAAAAAUCUCAUAUAGAUUCAAACUUUAUCCCCAAAAUCAAGUAUAAUUACACAGUAAAAAGCAUUCGUUUACCUCUUCAUAAGGUGAAUUGUUGUUAAACUAAUCAGCACGGUCAACACCGGCAUCAAAAACUUGAAUGGCCUUUGGGGUUAUCGCCGACAGAACAGAUCUGAGUAAGCUUUGUAGAAAAUGAGAUAGAGACGGGGGAGGGAGGGGAGAGUUCAGAGGAGGGUGAGGGAGAGACAGAGGGCGAGAGGGAGGGGAGGGGCGAGAUGCUUUAACAAAUCAAUUGCGGCAAGAGUGGGGAAGACACAGCCGCACCAGAAGAGGAAGAGAUAGAUUCAGAAGAAGAGAGAUUUACUCUCACUUACAAAUUUUAGGUCAAAAUAGAGGGGGGGAAAUGAAAAUUUGGAUAAACAAGUAGAGAGGGAAUUGAAAAUUUUUGUAAGGUGGAAAUCAUUCGUUCAUCCCGUGUAAAUAACAAAAUCAAUGUAUUAUAAUAUCCAUAUAGUUGAAUUAUAAAUAAAUGAAUUUUUUAAAUUAUAUUUUUGUAUUUGAUUACAAAUAUUUCAUAUUAAAUAAAUUUUAAAAACAAUUUUAAUGUAGAUGUCAAUAUCUAAUUAUUUUAGUUAUUUGUGAAAAUCUUCAAAAAAUUAAAAAUUAAUCUGGUAAAUCUUUUUGACAAAAUAUAGUUGAAAUACAACUAUUUAAUAAAAAAUUAAUAAUUCUUUAAAAGUUAAAAUUCUCAUUUUCUCGAUGUAUUCCGUUUUUGUACUCUUUGUCUAAAUAAAAUAUACACAAAUUUUUAUUAUUCAUUUGUAAUAAGAAGAUAUUUGUGUGGUUCAAAUGUCAAUAUUAGUAUAAAUUUCAUAUUUACAAUAUAGGAUGUACUUAAUAGAAGUUUUGUGAUCUAUAUGAUUAACCCCGUAUUAAUUUUGAAAUAUUUUCGAUCAUCCAAACAUAUAAAGAUCUUAAUAUCUAUCAAUAUUAGUCAUGUAUAAUAUUUUUAAAUUUUUCUAUAUUUAUUUAUAUCUUGUUGUAACAAAACUAGUGAUGAUCGUUGUUUUUAUGUCAUUUCUUAUUUUUGUACUUUUUAUCAAAAAAUUAUAUUUAUAUUAUGCAUAUGUCCAAAUUUGUAUUAUUCAUUUGUAAUUGGAAGAUAAUUUUGUUGUUCGGACCUGAGUAUUACUAUGUGUUUUAUGUUCACAAUUUAGGAAGCACUAGAUAGAAUUUUUGUUAUCUACAAAAUUUGCUCUGAAUUAAUUUAUAAAUAUUUUUUUCGAUGAUAUAACCGUACGGAUGUUAAUAACUAACAAUAUUAGUCAUGCAUAAAAAAAUUAGAUUUUUUUAUGCUUAUUUUAUAUGCUUUUUUUACAAAACUAGUCAAUUGUAAAUUUUGUCUUAUUGUAAAAAGGUAAUUUUUGUCUUGUAGUGUCCAACAGACAACGGUACUUAUAGGCACGUGUGUUGUAUGAGUUAAAAUGACACAACUGUUAUGGACAUUAUACAGUCAUAACAAAAUCUAUUGUCUAAAAUAGGCUCAAACAAUGUUUCGGGAAAAACUCGUUGUGUGUAAGUAGUGUAGACAAUGGUUUCUGGGAGGCAAACCGUUGUAUAAUAAAUUUUCAUUUUUAAGAGUUAGAAAUUCACAUUUUCUUGAUUAGUUCUUGUUUUUGUACUCUUUGUCUUAACAAAUAUACUUAUAUUAUGUAUAUAUGCAAAUAUCAAUUGUCAUUUGUACUAUGAAGAUAAUUUUGUAGUUCGAACAUGAGUAUUGGUAUGUGUUUUAUAUUUACAAUUUAGAAAGUACUGAAUAGGAUCUUUGCUAUAUAUAAGAUUAGCUCCGUAUUAUUUUAUAAAUAUUGAUUUUGAUGAUCUAACCGUACGGAUGUCGAAAACUAACAAUAUUAGUCAUGUAUAAAAAAAAUCAAUUUUUUAUGUUUAUUUUGUAUGUUUUUUUUAACAAUACUAGUCAAUUGUAAAUUUUGUCUUACUGUAAAAAGGUAUUUUUUGUCAUGUAGUGUCUAACAUACAAUGGUUUUUAUAUGCACCUAUGUUGUAUAAUUGAAAAUGAUACAACUGUUACAGAAGUAUACCGUUCUAAGAAAAUCUAUUGUCUAAAUUAGGCUCAAACAACGGUUCACGGAAAAUCCGUUGUAAAAAAGUAGUGUAGACAACAGUUUAUGGGAAGGAAACCGUUGUAUAAUAAAUUUUCAUUUUUAUGAGUUAAAAAUUCGCAUUUCCUUGAUCAAUUCUUGAUCUAAUGCAAGAAAAACAUAUGACUAUCAAGAAAUUGAUUGUUUUGUUAUAACUUUGGUUAGGACUUUGAAUCUUUGCACUCUCUUAUGUACAUCCAUUUUCUUAAAAUUCAUUCAAUCAUACAACAUUUUAUUAGUUAGUAGAGGCUUGUCUAUAAUGCCAUGCUACAAUGCUAACAAAAACACUUGUAUGUUAGCUUCCCAGUCACACAACACUAUAUAAAACCCUUGUUUGAACUCCUCGUAAACAACACAACAAAUAAAACACUUGUCUAAUUACAACGACGGUUUCUUGAACUAUUGUCUGAAGUUUCUUCACACAUCGGCUCUCAAAACAGUUGUCUAACAUGCAUCAUUACACAAUACCACAGUUAAGAAACCAUUGUCUAAUUGAAUUUACUAGACAACAAUUUUUUAACCGUUGUAGGUCGUAGAUGUUAGACAAUAGUUUUUCGAGGCCGAAAAGAAAGUGUUGUGUCUUUUUUCCAAACAACGCUUUUUUCACCGUGCGUUGUCUGAUCAGUGUUGUCUAAUGGUGUUAUUGUUGUAGUGCAAGUUGGAUUUAUUUAAUGCUAAUAGGUACUUGUUCAAGUGAGGAGAUUUAACUGAGAUUCAGGUUCUGGCAUUUGUCUUGUGUUGUUAUUUGUUUAUGUACCGGUUUUGAGAGUCAUUAGAGAUAUGUAAGGUAUUUAUUCCUAUUUUUUAUUAUUAGUAUUACAUCGUUUUCGGGUAAAAUAAUCGAUGAUUGUUUGUUUUAACUGUGUAAUAGCCUUAUGAUCUGCCAACUUAUGUAGACAUGUGAUAAACAUGUUGACUGUGGUCAAUAUUUUAGAUGAGGUAGUGUGUUUGUUGUUAUUGCAAGACUUUUUGGAAUAAUCAUUGUCAAAAAGAACUAACGAUGAAUGGAAAUGAAGUUCUGAAGAAGUGAUGAUACAAUGUUAAAGAGAUUGCUUUUUGUUGAAUUUUUCUGACUCUGGAAUUAAACUGCGUUAGUAUCUUCUUCUCUGAUUUUCCUUAUUUGGUAGACCUACUACUUUCAGAAGAUACAUGUGGUAUUUGUUUGGUUGAUUAAUUUUGGUAAGAUACAGUUUCCGUUUGGAAUCAGACUAUCCAUUGAACAAUCAGACUAUCCAUUGAAGAUUUUAUGCUCGCUCUUAAAUGGUUGAUCCACUGAUCUUAUUCUUACUUCAUAUGAGCUAAAGCCAGCUCUAGGGGUGUUUCUCGCAUACAAAAAAAUUAAAAAAAAUAUUAUGAAACUAUACUUUGCAGGAGUCUCAAAAUAAAUAAGUGUAAACGAUAAACUUAAACACCUAACUUCUUAAACACCUAGCAUAACACGGGUGAGCAUAUGGUCAAUCAUACCAAAUUGAAUAAAUCGAAAUUAAAAUUUAAAUAUUUUUAGACUGGACCAAACUGAAAUAUUUUGUCCGAUCCAGUUCAGUAUGAUCGAAAAGAAUUGAUUCUUUUGGAAAAAGUAACUUAAUAUUAUAAAUAAAAUUAAGAUUUAUAAUUUAUUUAAAAACUAUCAAUGAAUCAUCAACACUUCUUCAAAAAUAGAUACAUUUGAAUUUAUACAUUAGAUAUUAUAACUUCUAAAAAGUAUAUAAAAAUAUAUAAUAUAAAUAUAAAUUUAUAGUAUAAUUUUUUUGACUAUUUAGAAUAUAUUUUUAACCCAAAUAUUUUUUUUUAAAAUCAAAUUUUAUUUCGAUGAACUUUUCUAGAAAAUUAAGAUAGAAACGAAACUCAUUCCUACAGUAAGGUUUCAGUUUUUCGGCUGCAAUACGGUUUUGCUCAUCAUUAGCAUAAAUGGAGUAUGUAGUAAAUAUGAAUGAAUGGCAUGGGAAUUCUUGGAAUGGUAUCAAGAAUUAAGAUUAAAGCACAUUAGAAGUUUAGAACCAUGAAUGUUAUUUUUGAAAAUAGUAAUCCCUCCGUUUCUUAUCACGUUUCUCGUUUGAUAUGUCGGAACGGUUCAUAAUAUGAGACAAAUUAGUAAUUUAUGUCCAAUUUAUAAAAUUAAAUAUAGUCAUGAGUGAUCUUGUUGGAUUCGUAUCUAUGAGUACUUUAAUAAGAUGAAAUUUUUAUAUUUAAUGUUAAUACAAAAUUAAAAUAUAUUAAUUAAAAAUAUAUAUUGACAAACGUGAUAAAAACAAACAGCAAAAAUAUUAAGAAACGAAGCGAGGGAGUAAUAAAUAUGCUUUAUGCUGAACUGAAUUGAGUGCGUGGAAGCUUGGGGAGGCAGCUUACUACAGUAUCUACGUGUAUCUGUAUAUGCAAUAAAGACACAAAUACUCACAGGAGAUUAUUUUUCAAACACUUAAUUUCCCCCUUUCCUUCUCGUAAUAUUCAACUCAAUUCAUCACAUCAUCUUCUUCAGACAAACAACUAUACUCACUUCAGAUCAUCACAUCAUCUUCUUCUUGACUUCAGAUCCACAUUUCAAACCCUAAUCAUUCGCUUGGUCCCCUCCCUCUCUGUAAUAAUACAAUUCUUUCUACACACAAACAAUAACAUCAUCAUCAUCGAGUGAAGCUUCAUAUCCACAUUCCAAGACCUAAUUACUCGCCAAACCACUCUCGCUCUCAUGGAGGAGGCCUUAGAAAUGGCGAGAUCGAAUGAUACCAAGAAGCGAAGGGCGGGAGUGGAUCGGCUGCAACAGCUUCUUGAAGAUUCAAGAAAGUGCUUGUCAUCGUCGGAAGUGACGGCGCUAGUCGACACGUGUCUUGAGCUUUUGAAGGACACGUGUGUUGCUGUCGUCGGCCGCGGAGUUGUUUAAGUUGCAUUCUGAUAGAAUUAUGACGGCGGUUGUUGAUAGGUUGUGGGAUGGGGAGCAGCGGGUUCGAGACUCGGCGAGGAGGCUGUUGAUUACCCUUAUGGAGGUAAUUUAUUAAUUUUCUUGGGGAAUGCCAGUUGAUUUUAUGGAAUGUGAUAUAGUAUAGUUUCUAUCAAUCGAGUAUCUUAAAUUGAUGACUACAACAAGUAUUAUCGUUUUGCACGCAAGUGGCUAAACUUUUAUGCAUGCCAAAUUGCCAAUCGGGUUUCAAUUUCAGAUCUCUGCCUUCACUUGCAUACGAACACAUUUGAGUUUAAAAAGAUGAAUCACCUCAUAAAUAUCAUUAAUAAUUAGUUGGUGUUAAUAGUGCACUGAAAAAUGGGAGAGAAUGACAAGACUAUAGACAGUAGUAGGGCUGAGCGAGAUGUUAAUUGAGUACUUAUAUGAUGCUUCACUAUGUUCAGGGAGUUAGUUUAUUGCUUCUUUCCUACACUUUCACUUGAAUUAGUACUAAUUAAUAAUUCCUUCUCUAUCUUGUAAAAUUUCUCCUUCAUUGCUAAGCAUAUCUACUCUGAUUAAUUUUCAAACAAACUUUACUACUGAGAUAGGAUUGUUUGCUGGGUAGGAGCACCAUAGAAUGAGUAGCUCUAUUGCUAUAUACUGAAGGGUGCGGUGGCAUCCUCGGUUAUAUUUUAAGUGCUACUUCGAAUUUAGUUGUUGGCUUUUGCAAUUUAUUUUCAUUCACAAUGUUUUAAUAAUGAUACCCCAUAUUAGGUGAGAGAUAUUAGUGCCAGGCUGGAGCAGAUUCAGAUUCAACCAGCAACUUCCGUCUCUUCCAUCUCUGAAGGACUUAAUAGUAAUCUUCUCCACCAUGCACCUGAUUUAGAAGUAUAAUGUAUUAAUGUGAACUUUUUAUUUAUAUUUAUUUCCAUGUGUAGUAAAACGAUCACAUCUUUUAAGAGCUUAGUACAAUGUUAUGUACAAUGUGUAAUUAAUUAAGAGGUUUGUACAUAGUUUAGUAUGAAAUGGAAAAAGUUUGUACAGAAGUUUAUUUGUUCACAUUACAGCUGAGACGAGCAAGCAAAAACCAUCAGAGAAUUCAAAGGAUAAUGAUAAAGGAAUUGAGCCCCUACUGGAACUGCCGGAAGAUAUUAUCUUUCUACAAAUUCUGCCUAAGUUGAACAGCCUAGAUGUUCUUCCCCUGGUUUUGGUGGCUAGGAGUUGGGCCUCCUUUCUUUUGCAUGAGGGACCCAGACUGAUGUUAUUCAACCCACCUAAAAAUCCUACACCUAAACACACUUCAAUUUUAUUUGAUGUAAGCCCGAUUCCGUACUCUGUUUCAGUUUUGUUAUCCCCAGAGAGCCGCCAACUGUGUCAGUCUAGGUGUAUAAUUGUUCCAAUCUUGAAUUCUGGUAUAAAACAUGCUGUUCCAAUUUUCACUGACUACCCAGAUUUUUUAAAGCAGGGGGAAGUCCCAACUGUAGUGGGAUCUUCCAGUGGUAUUAUAUGCCUCUAUAUCACCAGUUCUCCCUCUAGAUACAUCCUGCUAAACCCCUUAACAAAACAUUAUAAAGAGGUUGGGGCCCCUUAUAUUUUUGUACCAGAUUGUGAGCAAGCUUCUGUAACUUCUGGAUUCUUUUAUGAUGAAUGGACUGAUGACUUAAAGAUCGUACAAUUGUUGAGAUGGGAUCAAAGGCUUACGAGCUUGGAUGCUCCGGGACCCAAAAAGAUACAUGCGCUUCGCGUUUGUUCUGUAAAUUCUGCAAAUUGGGAAGUUGUUGACUUGGGGCCAAUGAAAGUCUCCGAUCGUCUUGGUGGUGUGUUAUUUUUGCCGAAAGCUCUCGUCACAUUUGUAGAUGCGUUUGCUACAGAGCCGGAGAUUAACUUUUGGUUGGAUUUUCGUGAUUGCCGUCUAAAGGCAGUUCCGGAAUUAGAAGGGGCUGAACUCAGUAUGAAAUCGGUUUGGUGGAAUAACCAGGUUGGUGUUAUUGUUGGAACUGACAGCAUUUAUGUCCUUGAUGAGGAGUUUGCAGCCUGGUAUUACUGCACAGUGCUUCCGGACGUGGGAAAUUGUGUAUUCUGUUUAGAUGAGAACAAAAUUGUGGGGAUGGGGGCUGGGGAAAGCGGAAGCGUAAAUGAUUACAAUAUUCUUAAUUCCACAAGCGGCGAAAUCCAACAUAUAAUCUCGUUGCCUUCUUGCAGGGUUUUUCCGUAUGUUCCUACAUUCUACUAUAUCGAGGGAAUGGCUAAUUUUUAGACUUUUGCAAGUCACAAUGUAAUAAAAGAAUGUAAACAGUACAUAGCAGCAAUACCUCUCUAUAGCAUAUAGUUUCAGAUACAACAUGUAUUGUGAUGCCAGCUUGUAGAGUACAAGUAUUAUUCUAGGUGAUUGAUUGUUGAGAAUAAUAGAGGCAACCGGUUGCAUGAUGGUAUCCUUGAAACUUUCAUAAUUACUAAUAUCGAACUCAGAUAGCAUGCAAUUUUUCCGGAGAUCAUAUUCUUUAGCUAUCAACUAACUCUACAUUAUAUAUUAUGUCCCAGAUCAAUGAGUUUGUUUGCUAUAAUGUCCUAUUUUAUAUGUGAUUUAGGAAUAUGUUCCAUUAACUUGUUAUCACCCUCAAAUCUAAAAUCUAAGACUACCAUGUCCUUAGUUUAUUUUGUUUAAUAUUUGUGAAUAGACUCUAAUCUGAUCAUAUCAAUUAUAUUUUAGUAACAGAUGUUUAAAUGCAUAUGUUUUUGUUAUCUAGUUAUUUCAAUGAUGAUGGGAUUAAAUUUUUUUAUUCUUGUAAUAUGUACAAUGAUUGGUUUAGCUUUAAUAUUUAUUUUUAUUUUUAUUUACCAAUUUUAAUGUAGGUAAAGUUUUAUCAGCAAAUUUUAUUUUUUGUAUGCAGUAAUCUGUUCUAAUAUCAAAUUUUGAUUUAGAUCGAGUAUUAGUAUGUUGAAUUUGCAUUCAUCUAGUUAGAUGAGUGAAACUGGCUAAUUAAUGGAAAAUCAUAAGUACCUGAGUUGUUUUCAAAUUUUUUUCCCAAAUUUUAAUUGUUUGAUUGGUUUCUUCAAAUUAAUAUUAAUGGAAUCAUGAACGCACAUAAAUAAUUUAAUUAAAAAUUAUUUAUUUAUGUGUCAUUUAGAAAAAAUUGGGGACAAAAUUUGGGAUAGUAAUGGGGACGAAAUAUGUGUUAGCGUUAAUGGUUUAGCGGCAGUGGAGAACGCAAUUUAAGAGCAAAUCCAAUAGUGUCCUAAACUAGUAUCCUAAAUUAAAAAUUAAGGUAUUUAUAUAAAUGAGUGCUCCACCUAAUGAGUGCUCCACCAAUGUCCAGUGAUACCUUAAAAUACUAGGAAAUCCAUCAAGCGUCUCGUUUUUAAGACAUCACUAGGCAUGCCCUAUUUCACUUCUAUCAAUAAAAUAUAUCUUUCCCUCGUUUUUUACAGAUCUCUUCUCUCUCAUUUUUUCCAUUUAUGCCCAAUUAUAAUUCAAAUAUAAUACACCUUCAGUCCCUUUUUAGUUGUGAAAUUUACAAAAAUAAUUUGUCCUUAAAUAAUAUUCUCAUCCUUGUUCCAAUACAUAUUUAUACAUAUUUUUUCAUGUUUACCCCUUGAUUGUUGGUUCAAAUGUUUGACUGUACUACUAAUAUAUACAGUUUUGACUUAGUAUUUAAUAUAAUAAAUAAGGGCAUGCGUGGAAACAACUUACAACAUUUAAUUUUCUUUAAUAUAUGUAUUUUUGCAAAUGUGACAACUAAAAAGGAACAGAGAGAGUAUUAUUUUAAUCAUAAAACAUAUUGUUGGAGUUAAUAUAAAAAAAUCAUGUCUUAAAUCAUAAGAUUACUAUAUUUAAUUAUAUUUAUAAGGCAUCUAAUAGUACAAUAUUGGAUUUGCUCUGAUCACAGAUCAAUCAAAUGAUCGGCAACUUAAGCGAUCAAAUGAGAUGACUCGCAUAGUCCACGCUAAUCGAUAUCCUUAAGAGGAUGUUUGCCUGGGCUUAAAGCCCUUGCUUUAAGCCAUCUUUGGCUUUAAGCUGAAAAAUGUCUGUUUGUGUAAUAAGUCAGAAGCCAGCCUAAAGUCAGAAAUAAGCCAGAAGCUGACUUAAAGCCAGAAGUUAAUUUGAGGUACUUUUUUCAGUGGCUAAAUUUUUUUGAACUUUUUUUUUGAUAAAAAUUACUCCUAAAUCAUAAGUUUCUUAUAAAUCACUUUUAUUUUUAUUAUUAUAUUUUUAAUAACUCAUAAGUCAUUCAUAAGCCAAAAUUACCCAAACAGACAUUUUAAGCUAUCAGCUUAUCAGAUAAGACACGUUAAGUCACAAGUCACAUUAAGUCAUAAGCCAUAAGCUCAGCCAAACGGGCAAGUUUUCUAAGAGACAUUCCUGCUUAGUGCAUUUUUAAUAGGGUUGCCUAAAUCGUUGACGAAAUUGGACAUGUGAGACAUUAUAUAAAAUUUGUUAAACAUGUAAGUGAUUGUGUUUCAAUAAUGUUAACUACAUUGAUAGAUUAUAACUUAAAAAUAGUAUGUUAUUAAUAUUUAGAUUGUUAUAAAAAAAUAUAUGAGUUUAAUAUGAUAGGAAAUGAUGUGUAAAUUACCCCGAUUAUAUAUAUAUAUAAAUAAUAAUAUAUUUAUAUAUAUUAUACUAAAUAUAUUAUUAAAAAUAGAUAAAUUUUAUAAUAUAAUCAAAAGUAAAAAAUAAUCUUUAUUUUUAUUGAUUGAUUAUAAAUAUAUUGUAAUAUAAUAUAUUUUAUAAUUUUAAAUUGUUGUUUAUUUAUAUUAUAAAUCAAUUUUAAUAUGAUUUGAGGUUGAAAAUAUAAGAUAAUAUUAUUUUAUUAUUAUAUUAGGAGUUUGUAGUUUGUUUUUUAAUUAAAAAAAUAUAUUAUAUAUUAUAAAAUUAUUAUGUUUUUAUUAAAAAAUAAAAUUCCCCGAAACCCCGCGGGGAUCCCCGUUCCCCGUUCGGGGCGGGGAUCGGGGCGGAAAAUAAUCCCCGUUCGAGGUUCGGGGCGGGGUCGGGUAGGGCCGUAGGGGUAUUGAAUUCGGGGAUCGGGGUCGGGGAUAGCACUCCCCGCCCUCGAAGUCUCCCCGUGCCCAUCCCUAGUCGAACCUCUAGAGGUCCGUAAAAAAUCUCCAAGAAGAUUACACUAUGUAAUCUUCUUGGAGAUUUUUUACGGACCUCUAGAGGUUCGACAAAUAUAGUGGCCGGUAGGAUGUUGGUUAAAAUUAUAGAUAAGUGGUGUCUAUGGUUGAGUGUGAUUUUUUUGAAUAGAAUGGCUAUAUAUUUUAUUUUUGGGAUGCCAACUCAAUUUUUAAACUAAGGACUUCUCAUAUUUGGAGAUGCUAUAUGAUGGCAAAUCCCGCAAAUCUUCAAUUUUGACAUAUAUUAUCCUAAAUUCUCUUUCAACAAUGAUUGAUUCAAAUUUGGAUCAAGAUUGUUGGAUCCCGCUGACGUGGCAGUGACGUCAUGUUGACGUGGCGCCCUGGGGUGGACCCCGGUGCUGACGUGGCAGAUGACGCGGCGGUGACAUGGCGCCUGGUUGGGGUCCCAUUACUAACGUGGCAUUUGGGUAGAAAGUAUAAAUUACGGAAAAUUGAUGACAAACUGAGAGGUGCAUAUUAUAAGUUUUAAAAAGUAUGAGGAGAUAUUUGAUCAGUUUAAAACUAGUUUUUAGGUUUUUAGGCUAACCGUGGUUUGUAUAUUCGAGCAUCCCCGUGUAUAUUGACAUAUAGGUAAACUCCUUGCAAUACUUUGAGCUGCAAAAUCCAUCAAAAUUUUGAUUUAUCAUGUAACUGUUUGACAGAGUACUUCCAACUUUCAAGCGUAAGUAUCAAAAUCACUACCUUCAUAUGUUCCAUUAAGCGUGAAAGGUACAGAAUAAGAAGUGAAAGAAAUCCUUUAUAUUUACACGGCCAUUGAUCUUAUAGGAUCACCUAGCCCAUCAGUGCUAGGGAAUACGGAACCAUCUUAUCAAUUAACGAAGAAAUGUAUGCAUGCAGUGUCACCACCACAAGUCAGAAAUGGUGAUGAUGCUAAUGAUAAUGAACUCAAUUGGGAGUGAUCCUAAUGGGAUAUGGAUGUGGAUUGGUAUGCGGAUUCUUUGGGGUUUAUUGUUCUUACAAUGGGAAAGCCUUGGUGGUUUAUGAGAUACAUUGAAGUAAGUUGAUAAUGACAUGCACGGCUUAAUUAAGAUUAAUUAAGACAAACACCUUGACAAAAUGUUGUCUUAGAAUGAUAUGUAUUCUGAUUUUUCCUAAUUUAAAAUCAAAUUUAUUACAAUUAAAGUUAAAAUCUGCGUAGCACAUACUAUACUUUGAUUAAAUUUUUAUUGAAGUUGUCCAUAUUAACCUAGUGGCCGAAAGUGAAUAAAUUAAAUUAGUGGGGUCUAAUAUAAAAAUUGCAUUAAUUAAAAUUUGUAAUGUAUAGAUUAUGCUAAAGCUAUUCAUUAUAAAGAACAUAGGAAUGUUAAUCUCUUUAUAUGUUUGCAUGCGGAUAGUCUCUCGGGAGUGUGGUAUAUUGUCAUGGCUGGAAAAACGGCUAAUUUCUACGGUUUUUUUUUGACAGAAAUUAAUUUUGACGGAAUACUGUCGAAAUAUCGAAAGUCGAAAAUAAGCCGCAAAAUUACUUUUUUCAAUUUUCAAUUGAAAACUGUCAAAAAAGUCUCUGGCAAAAUUAUAUUUAUUUCUACAGAUAAUGUCGAAAAUAUUUUCCUGCAAAUUUCCCGCACCUUAGUUGUGAGCGGAAAUAGAUAGUUUGGACAGAAUUCCGUCGAAAUUACGCGAGUUCUUUGUAGUGUGUUUUCACACAUACGCUGAUAAUCUUUGGGGACUGGGGUAUAUUGUUUUCGCAAAGCACUGGUAGUUUGUGAGCUUGUCCAAUUUUUCCCCCCAUGCCUAUACUGGUUGGUCUCAGUCUUAGUGGUAAUAAGCUGGCGUCAAAUUUUCCAGAAUUCAUAUAUAAUUGCUAUAACAUGAUCCGAUGCCUGAAUCAGCAGCUAACAAUUUACGUAAUCUUGAAGAACUAUAUCUUGGUGCCAAUUCUUUCGAGGGCUCAUUUCCAACGAAUAUAUUCAAGCUUUCCAAAUUAAGGGUUCUUGACCUAUCUGUGAAUAAUUUUUCAGGUUCCAUUCCCAAUGGUAUAGAGAUGCUUCCCGAUCUUGGAAUAAAUCGUAUUUAUAAUAAUUCAUUUGAAGGAAUUAUUCCUUCUUCAAUUAGUCUACUUAAAGAUCUUCAACACCUAGACUUCGGUGACGACAACCUUGUGGUUUCAAGUAUAAUGUCUUACGGGUCCAAUCUAACCGAUCAUUACAGGCAACCCCAUUGGAGAUGCUCUUAAUAACAUUUUAACUAGAGAGUAUUUUCUAUCAAUUGCAUUUGUAUUAAAUUUGAUUUAGAUGAAGAGAAACAGAAUACAUAUGAUCCCGAGACAACAUUUUGUCAAUGUUUUCGUCUUGAUUGAACAGUCUUCUUCAUGCGUGUCCUUGUCAACUUCAGUUGCAGUAAUUCAAUGUAUCUCAGGAACCACCUUGGCUUUCCCAUUUUGAUAACAAGUAUCCUGAAGAUAAUCCGCAUAUCAAUCCACAUCCGCGCGUAUCCCAGUUGAUUUAUUAAUUUAUUCAUGAAGUGUUGCGAACGACAUUCCUGCAAAAGUAAAAGUCAGUGGAAUUUGUAUGAUAGCAUGAUGAAUAUUUAAAGUUUCAGUUAAAAUUUCACCAAGUAUUUUAUUUCUGGCUUAAGUCCCGGAUUGACGAAUUCUGCUGAUCACAUUUCUAAUCGACCAAUUCUGGUCGAAUAAAUUAAAUGGCACACUUCCUGAGUUGGUGGUAGGGGCGUUCUUCUUGUGUUUCUUUCUUUUCAUUAUUGACAUUGUUAUCCAGGCCCUUGCUUCUGGGCUUUUGUAAAGCACCCAUUUACGCCAUUGUCAUGAUCAUAGCUAGUCUUCCAUAUCCAAGAUACGCGCAUUAUAGUGGAUUUAUCUUUAUUAGUGAUUUCUGUGGAAAUGCAUAAUCUUAAUUAUAAGCUCCAAUAUUAUAAAAUAAACCUAACUUAUUAGAGUUAACAGGGCAUUUGUGUUGAUAAUUUGCGCAAUGUUAAUGGGGAUCGCUCCCAAGUCUUGGACGGACUCUUUCCAAGUCUUCUGAGGACCCAUCUGCACACUAAUUUGUCCGCCAACUAAAAAUUUAUAUAUAUUUUUCCAUAGAAUAUAAAUAGUUGGGGGUACUAACAGAACCUCUAGUAAAAUUAAUUAAUACCGUUAUGAUUUCGCAAACACAGCAGACAGCAGGCAUAAGGCUUAUAAAUAGAAGUGUCGUAUUUGGUUGAUGGUCAAGUUGAGUGGAAAUAUGGCACACUUUGUAAAGCCUUGUUAUCCUCUUCUCUUUGUUUUCUUUCUCUCAUUACUUCAAUCCAUUCUAACAACACAAGAGGGAGAAGCUCUUGUGAAAUGGAAGAAUAGCCUAGCCCCUUCUUCUUUUCUCGACUCUUGGUCACUCACCAAUCUCGAUAAUCUUUGCAACUGGACUGGCAUUACUUGUAACUCUGCAGGUUCAGUCUCUGAGAUUAACCUUAGUGAGAAACAACUUGAUGGAAUGCUGUCCGAGUUUGGUUUCACUUCAUUUCCAAAUCUCAACAAUCUCACCCUCGCAAUUAACUACUUCUCGGGUCCAAUACCACCAGCCAUUGAGAAUUUAACACAGCUUCAAUAUCUUGAGUUGAGCAAUAAUUAUCUAGAUGGUCCCAUUCCUUUCCAGGUUAGCAAUCUUCAGAGGUUGCUCAUCUUAAACCUGUCAGAGAAUGAACUGCAAGCUCCAAAUUGGUCCAAUUUUUCCCCCAUGCCUUUUUUGACCAUCCUCGACCUUUAUAAAAAUAAUCUUUUGUCAGAAUUUCCCGAAUUUAUAUCUAACUCGUGUAACCUUACGUACCUUGACCUCUCAUCCAACAAGUUUAGAGGGGAUCUUGCGCGAGAAUCAGUAUUAACCAAUCUAGGUGAUCUUGAAACCCUCUAUCUUAUUAGAAAUUCUUUCAAGGGGUCAUUUCCGUCAGAUUUAUUCAAGCUUUCUAAAUUAAAACGUCUUCACCUGUCGAGCAACAAAUUUUCAGGUUCAAUUCCUAAUGCCAUAAGGUUGCUUUGUGAUCUUGAAUUCCUAUAUUUAGGCAACAAUUCCUUUGAAGGACUGCUUCCACCAAAUAUAUUUAAGCUUUCAAAAUUAAAACAUCUUGUUCUUCGGAGUAAUAAGUUUUCAGGAUCUGUUUCCAAUGAUAUAAAUUUGCUUCCUGAACUUGAAUAUCUCGAUCUUAAUUCUAAUUUUUUUGACGGGCCGCUUCCUCCAGAUGUAUUCAAGCUCUCCAAACUAAGGUUUCUUUACCUCUCGGGUAAUACCUUUUCACGUUCUGUUUCCAAUGAUAUAGGUUUGCUUUCUGAGCUUGAAACCCUCGAUCUUAACUCUAAUUUUUUGAGGGUCCGCUUCCGUCAAAUAUAUUCAAGCUCAAAUUAAAAAUUCUAGACCUCUCAAACAAUAGAAAUUUAUUUCAAAGAAGUUUUCCUAUUGGACUGGAACUCUUGAGUAACCUCAGCUACUUAGGUCUAAGUUCCAGUAAUCUCAGUGGCAAUAUUCCAUCUUACAUUGGAAACCUGAAGCUACUAAUAUCUCUUGAUCUCAGUUCUAAUCAAUUGACUGGACCGCUUUCAAAGCUCGUUUCUAAUGUCACAAAUCUUAUAUUUCUUGAUUUAAGAGAUAAUAGUCUUAGUGGAAAUAUUCAGACUGACUUGUGGAAAUAUAACGAUCAUCCAACUCUGGAAUACAUCAAUUUGAGUGGGAACUAUUUUACGGGUAUAGUUUUUCUCUAUAGAUCUUUUCUUUUGUCAUAUGUAACUAAGCUAGUAAUCUGAUUAAUUGCAGUUUUACCAAAGUUUCAACAAUCUUGACAGGUGAGCUUCCAACAACAAUUUGCAAUGUCACUUCCCUUUCGGUUCUUGAUUUGUCAAAUAAUAACUUAAGUGGUGCACUUCCAAAAUGUUACGGGAAUCUUGCUGAUGGAUUGCUUUACAUUAAUCUUGCGAAUAAUCACUUUCGAGGAACAAUACCCACUACUUUCUCCAGGAGUUGUCAGCUGAUAUAUCUGAACAUGGAUGAUAAUGAGUUUGAAGGAUUGAUGCCCCCAUCUUUGGCGAACUGUAAGCACUUGAAAAUUUUUGAUAUUGGCAAUAAUAAAAUAGGUGGUACAUUUCCGUCAUGGCUUUAUGCACUUGGAGAGCUAGAAGUCCUUGUCUUGCGAUCAAAUAAACUCUAUGGUACAAUAAGUGGAAGGAGCAUAGAAGAUCCCUUCCCCAAGUUGCGGAUUGUGGAUCUGUCCAACAAUCAAUUCACAGGCCAUUUGCCAAUUCAAUACUUUAAGAAUAUGAAAUCAACUGAUAAUUUGUAUCGUUAUCAGAAUGACACAGGAGUUUUUUCUUUCCAUUAUGAAGCAUCUGUCUCAUUAACUGUGAAGGGAACAGAGUAUGAAGUGAAAAAUAUCCUUCAUAUUUACACAACCAUUGAUCUGUCCUGCAACAAGUUUCAAGGAGAAAUUCCUGACGUUAUUGGAGAGCUUAGAUGGCUUGCAUUGCUGAACUUAUCUCAUAAUAGUCUAACAGGACAUAUCCCAUCAUUGCUGAGAAAUAUGAAAGGACUCCAAUCUUUAGAUUUGUCUUCAAAUCAACUGAAAGGGGCUAUUCCACUUCAGUUAACUGCAUUGACAUUUCUAGAGGUCUUGAACCUCUCGGGAAACCAUCUUAGUGGAGAGAUUCCUCAGAAAGGGCAGUUCAGCACAUUUAACAUUGAUUCUUAUCUAGGAAACUCCGCGUUAUGUGGUUCACCUUUGAUGAAGAAAUGUGCAAACACAGCAUCACCUCCACAAGAAGCCGGAAAUGGUGAUGAAGAUGAAGCUGGUGAUGAAUUGACAUGGGAAGCAAUCGUGAUGGGAUAUGGAUGUGGACUGAUAUGUGGAUUGUCAUCUGCAUACAUUGUUCUCAAACUAGGAAAGCCUUGGUGGUUUGUGAGAUAUAUCGAAGUACUGCAACAGAAGUUGAUGAAAAGAUAUGCAUGAAGAAAGGUACUGGUAGAUCAAGAUGAACUUGAAAGUUGUUGUCGUGGUAGACAUUUGUGAACCAGUAGUGUACUAGCUGCAUAAGUAUUUGGUAUUAUGUAAUAAUCCGUUUGGUCGGGACUCAAAAUGAUUUCUCUUGCUUCAGGGGUAUUAAUAUUAACCUUGCUAUCUUGAUCAAUGUUAGGGCAAAUUAAAAAGAAUAUAAAAGCAAAAAAUUUGCAUCAAACACCUGUUGUACCAACAUGCAUCCAUUAAUUUGCUUUCAUCUAUUAAGUAACAAUUUAAGAGCGCUUCCACUCUGUUUAAGCAUGGAGAUAACACAAAGAAGGCAAGUCCAUGGACUAAUAUAUUAACACGUAGUCCACAUCUAUGGUAUGAACAAUUCAUAUUGCUCUUCUAUCUGUUCAACAGUCUCCCGAAGAUAGGCCAAAAAUGUCAUCUGUGGUUCUUAUGUUUGUCAGUGAAGGAGAAUCUCUGAUGCCUACACAACCUGGUGUUUUUACAGAAAGGAAUGUAGGUGAAACCAGGGGCGUAAAAUGAAUCAGGACUAAAAUCUGCUAAAAUGAUAAUUAUUUACUCAUCAUUCAAGAUUAGUCGGGCUCAAAGAUUUAUAUGGAUUUUAAGAACAAACUAUGACUAAAUAUGAAAAAAUCAUUAAUUUUUCCGACUCAAUAUUUUUUAGCCUCCCCCGGCCCUGGGUGAAACCAUAAGCUUCUCUGGUGCACAUCCAAAUCAUUCAGUUGGUUCUACUUUCAGCUCACCCACAGGAACAUCAUUCUGCAGGUACUCUUUUAUCUGUACUUUCUUAUAUUGUAUGCCAGUAAAUUUUAUAUCGACAAACUGCACAAUACACCUCGAUCUCAUAUUAUUGACAGGUGAGCUCCUCUCAUAAUGCUCACAGGCGAACCCCUGCAUAUAUACUUUGUGAUGUCAUUGAUGAUCGAUAGACUUGAAAAAAAAUUAUGACAAAGAUUCAUAAAAUAUCUACUUCCAUCCUAAUUCAGUAUUCAAUAUUAUUCAUUCGUAUCAUCAUCCAAUCAAUUCUAAUAGUUCUUCUUUAAAUCAGUACAAAUAUUGUUAAAUACCUGGAUGAUGGUUGUCUUUCCGCGAACCAAUCAUGAAAUUACCUCUGUAUAAAUCCAUCGGAAAUAAGACAGUUAAUAUCCCAAUCGAAUACACCCCGUCAGUUGUCAAACUCCUCGAAACGUAUUAAUCACUUUAGAAAAUUUGUUCCACUGGCGCUAGUCAGUCCCAGAGUUGGUGGUGGGUGCUUCUGGGCUUUCGAAAAGCACCCAUUUACUCCAUUGUUUAGAGAAGUAAAACCCCACCUUCCGCUCAUUUGAUUGAUCAGCUGAAUUAGGCAGAGUUUACAUGGUCAUGAUCAUAGUCUCCCAUNUUAAUAGUCUGACAGGACCUAUCCCAACAUUGCUGAGAAAUAUGAAAUAACUCCAUUACUCCAAUCUUAGAUUUGUCCUCAAAUCAACUGACAGGGGCUAUUCCACCUCUGUUAACUGCAUUGACAUUACUUUUCUCUUUAUAUUCUUUCCUUUUGUAUGUACCUAUGCUAAUUAUCUGAUUAUUAAAAUUAUAACAAAGCUUCAAGAUUUUUAACAGGUGAGCUUCCACUAAAAAUUUGCAAAGUCACUUCCCUUUCGCGUCUCAUUAUGUUAGAUAAUGGGUCAAGUGGUGCACUUCCACAGUGUUUGGGGAACCUUUCUUUGCUUGGUUUCAAUAAUCUUGCUAAUUAUCAAUUUCAAGGACCAAUACCAACGACUGUCCAAGACUUGUCUGUGCAUAUCUAAACAUCCAUAACAAUCACUUUGAAGGUUUGUUGCUCCAAUCUUUGGCAAACUGUAAACACUUACAAAUUCUUGAUAUUGGAAACAACGUUGGAGAGCUAGAUGUCCCAGUUAGGGCGGUAAUUCGACUAGAGCAAACCGAGUUUUGAGCGGAGCCAAAUUCGAGCCAAGUUUAAUCGAGUCGAGCCGAGUCGGCUCGUUUAGCUAAUCGAGCCUAAAACUUAGCCCGAACUCGACUCAUUUAAUUUCACGAGUCGAGUCGAGCCAACUCGUUUAGCUAAAUGAGCUGAUUUUAACAAGUCGAGCGAGCGAGCUCGUAUAAUUUUAACUUAGUCGAGCCUGAAUCUCUACCCAAACUAUUGGCUCGUGUAAUUUCGCGAGUCGAAUCGAGCCGGCUCGUUUUAUUAAACAAGCCGAAAUUUUUGCCCGAAUUUGCUCGUUUAACAAGCCGAUCUGAGCCUAGUUAAAUGAGUUCGAGUUAGUCGAGCUCGCGAGCUGCGAGCUCACCUGCCAGCUCUAGUCCUAGUCUUGCAAUCAAAUAGGUUUAACGGUAUAGAAAGUGGAAGGAGCACAAGGCAUCCAUUCCCCAAGGCUAUUUACCAAUUCAGUACUUUGAGGAUACAAAAUCAUUCUGCAGGUACUCUUGUAUCUGUACUUUCUUGUACUGUAUGCCACUUUGACAGUAGAGUAAAAUUUAUAUCGACAAACUGCAUAUGUUCUGAACUACUCCUCUAUCCCAAAUUAGAUGAGCUAGUUGACUUUGAGCACGUAACUUAAGGUACAUUGACCAACUAGUUCCGAUAUUUAUUUUUUUAAUUUUUCUUUUGUAAAUGAAAAUUUCAUAUUUAAAUUUUUAUUUGCAAAACUAAAAUUUAAAAAUAUGUAAUGUGGCUAUGCGGUCAAUGUCAACGAGCUCAUCUAAUUUGGGAUUGGGAUGCAGGGAGUAUUACGUACUAUGUUAUGCAAGCUGUUUACAACUUUCAUCAAAAUUUUCAAACAUUUCUGAAUAUGUAUUUUCAAAGAAUUCUCGGGCACUCUUAAGGCCUAUAAUUAUUGGAACUCUCACGUUAUGGACCAGAGGACCACUAUGUAUUUUACAAGCACGACGAAUCAUGUGGUCAUUAUGGACUCCCCAAGCCUUAGAGGACUCAUUCCAGGUUUUAGGAGGACCACUGCCUAGCUCACCCUUUCGGAGUGAUGUAAAUUAGUUUCCAGACACUAAAAAUAAGUAAUCAGAUUAAUCAUUACAAAAUUUUGAUAUAAAAUCAGAAUAAAUCCUAAACUUUGAUGAUACAAAAAAAAUUAUAAUUGUAAAUUAUACAAUCAAAUUAAGAUCGAAUUAACUUCCCUCACACUUAAAAUUUAUAGCGAUCAAAUCAAAAUCGAAUUAACUUUCCUAUUACUAAAAUUUAAUUACAAUAUUAUUAGAUAAAGAGAAUAUAUAAUAAUCAAGAGAAAAUAGAUUUUUUUUUGCCACUCAACUUAUUGUGUUUUAAGAAACUUACCACCCAACUAAAUUUUUUUCCUUUUGCUCACUAAUGUUAGGUUUGGAUUUGUUUUUAGCCACCAAAUAAGGUUCGGAUUUGAUUACCAGCAUUAUGAUAAUUUUUUUUGUCACUAAACUUAUUGCGUCUUUAGAAACUAACCACUGAACUAAAUUUUUUUUAUUUUACUCACUAAUGUUAGAUUUAGUUUUUUUUGUCACUAUAGUUAGGUUCAGAUUUGAUUAUUAGCAUUACAUUAAUUCUGUGUAGCAUUUUUAAAAUAUGGUAGUAGUCUGUGAUAUUUAGAUGAUUUGAUAUAUGUCUGUAUUUUUAUAUAUAGUAUAUUUUAUGUCCCCAAGGUCGUUUACCUUGGGUCAUAAAAAUUUUACACUCAUUUUAUGACUUUUAAAAGAUGUAGUUUCAUAAAUAAUUUUAUUUUUUUCUUUCGAAUUAAAAUUCAGCAUUUGAAUUUUACACACAAAAAAAUCGCAAGAAUAAGAUAUGAAACUAUGCUUUACAAGAGUCUUAAAAUACGUGCUAAACGGUAGAAAAAACUGUAAACUAAUGAGAGGUACAUAGGGAGUAAUAAUAACAUAAAAUGAUGCACAAUCAUCGAAUUAAGUUUUCCUCUCUCUAUAUAUUUAUUUUGUAAAUUUUAAUAAGAUAAAGUUAUUAAAAUUUAUGAUAUAAAUUUAAGAGAUAUCUUAGAUUGAGUGGCAAAAAUUUAGUUGGGUGGUAAGUUUCUAAAAACACAAUAAAUUGAGUGGGAACAAAAUCUAUUUUCCCAAUAAUGAGUGGGAAUAAAAUCUAUUUUCCCAAUAAUCAAAGUGACGAAAAAUCAAAGUCAUCUAAUAAGUCCAGAAAAAAUAUGACCAUUAGUAUAUUGAAAUAAUAUUCACGCAUUUAUAUACGAGAAUAUAUGGUCCACAAGUUAGUGCACAAUGUCCAAGAAUCUUUAUCAAAUAACACGGCAAGCAUGCAGCAUAUAAAUAAGAGUGGGCAGUAUGGUAUUGCAUUCAUAACCCACUUGAGCAGAAAUAUGGCACACUUCCUAAAGCCUUCUCACCUUCUUCUCUUUGUUUUCUUUCUCUCGUUACUUCAAUCCAUUCUACCAACAAGACCAGAGGGAGAAGCUCUUGUGAAAUGGAAGAAUAGCCUAGCCCCGUCUUCUUUUCUCGAUUCUUGGUCACUAACCAAUCUCGAUAAUCUUUGUAACUGGACUGGCAUUACUUGUAACUCUGCAGGUUCAGUCUCUGGGAUUAACCUUUAUGAGAAACAACUUGAUGGAAUGCUGUCCGAGUUUGGCUUCACUUCAUUUCCGAAUCUCAACAAUCUCACCCUCGCAUACAACUUCUUCUCGGGUCCAAUACCACCAGCCAUUGAGAAUUUAACACAGCUUCAAUAUCUUGAUUUAAGCAUCAAUAGUCUCGAUGGUCCCAUUCCUUUCCAGGUUAGCCAUCUUCAGAGGUUGCUCGUCCUAAACCUGUCACAGAAUGCAUUGCAAGCUCCAAAUUGGUCCCAUUUCUCUUCCAUGCCUUUUUUGCGCAUCCUCAAGCUCAGUAGGAAUCAUCUUGUAUCGAAAUUUCCAGAAUUUAUAUCCAAUUCUCAUAGCUUGGCUAUCCUUGACCUUGGCCAGAACAACUUUACAGGUGAUCUUGUGCGUGAAUUUACCAAUCUACAAAAUCUUGAAACCCUCUGGCUUUAUCGUAAUUCUUUUGAGGGGCCAUUUCCGCCGGAUAUAGUCCAGCUUUCCAAACUAAAAGAUCUUGCCCUGUCAAGUAACAAAUUUUCAGGUUCAGUUCCCAAUAACAUAAGGUUGCUUUGUGAUCUUGAAUACCUAUAUUUAGGCAACAAUUCCUUUAAGGGGCCACUUCCACCAAAUAUAUUUAAGCUUUCAAAAUUAAAACAUCUUGUUCUUUGGAGUAAUAAGUUUUCAGGUUCUGUUUCCAAUGAUAUAGGUUUGCUUCAUGAGCUUGUAACCCUCAAUCUUAACUCUAAUUUUUUUGAGGGGCCGCUUCCGCCAAAUGUAUUCAAGCUCUCCAAACUAAAGUUUUUUGCCCUUCAUGAGAAUAACUUUUCAGGUUUUAUUUCUAAGGAUAUAGGUUUGCUUUCCGAACUUGAAAUCCUCUAUUUUGGCUCUAAUUUUUUUGAGGGGCCGCUUCCUCCACAUGUAUUUAGGCUCUCCAAAUUAAGAGGUCUGGACCUCUCACACAAUAGAAAUUUAUUUGAAGGAAGUAUUCCUAUUGGACUGGGACUCUUGACUAACCUCAGGUACUUAGAUCUACAUUCCAAUAAUCUCGGUGGCUAUAUUCCAUCUGACAUUGGAAACCUGAAGCUACUAGUACUUCUUGAUCUCGGUUCUAAUCAAUUGACUGGACCGCUUUCAAAGAUCGUUUCUAAUCUCACAAAUCUUAUAUGUCUUGAUGUAAGUCAUAAUAGUCUUAGUGGAAAUAUUCAGAGUGACUUGUGGAAAUAUAACGAUCAUCCAACUUUGGAAUACAUCAAUUUAAGUGGGAACCAUUUUACGGGUAUAGUUUUUCUCUAUAGAUCUUUUCCUUUUCUCAUAUGUAACUAAGCUAGUAAUCUGAUUAUUGCAGUUUCACCAAAGUUUCAACAAUCUUGACAGGUGAGCUUCCAACAACAAUUUGCAAUGUCACUUCCCUUUCGGUUCUUGAUUUGUCAAAUAAUGAAUUAAGUGGUGCACUUCCAAACUCUUUGGGGAAUCUUGCUGAUGGAAUGCUUUACCUUAAUCUUGCUAAUAAUCAGUUUCGAGGAACAAUACCAACUACUUUCUCCAGGAGUUGUCGGUUGACAUAUCUAAACAUGGAUAAUAAUGAGUUUGAAGGAUUGUUGCCCCCAUCUUUGGCGAACUGUAAGCACUUGAAAAUUCUUGAUAUAGGCAAUAAUAAAAUAGGUGGUACAUUUCCGUCAUGGCUUUAUGCACUUGGAGAGCUAGAAGUUCUUGUCUUGCGAUCAAAUAAACUCUAUGGUACAAUAAGUGGAAGGAGCAUAGAAGAUCCCUUCCCCAAGUUGCGGAUUGUGGAUCUGUCCCACAAUCAAUUGACAGGCUAUUUGCCAAUUCAAUACUUUAAGAAUAUGAAAUCAACUGAUAAUUUGUAUCGUUAUCAGAAUGACACAGGAGUUUUUUCUUUCCAUUAUGAAGCAUCUGUCUCAUUAACUGUGAAGGGAACAGAGUAUGAAGUGAAAAAUAUCCUUCAUAUUUACACAACCAUUGAUCUGUCCUGCAACAAGUUUCAAGGAGAAAUUCCUGACGUUAUUGGAGAGCUUAGAUGGCUUGCAUUGCUGAACUUAUCUCAUAAUAGUCUAACAGGACAUAUCCCAUCAUUGCUGAGAAAUAUGAAAGGACUCCAAUCUUUAGAUUUGUCUUCAAAUCAACUGAAAGGGGCUAUUCCACUUCAGUUAACUGCAUUGACAUUUCUAGAGGUCUUGAACCUCUCGGGAAACCAUCUUAGUGGAGAGAUUCCUCAGAAAGGGCAGUUCAGCACAUUUAACAUUGAUUCUUAUCUAGGAAACUCCGCGUUAUGUGGUUCACCUUUGAUGAAGAAAUGUGCAAACACAGCAUCACCUCCACAAGAAGCCGGAAAUGGUGAUGAAGAUGAAGCUGGUGAUGAAUUGACAUGGGAAGCAAUCGUGAUGGGAUAUGGAUGUGGACUGAUAUGUGGAUUGUCAUCUGCAUACAUUGUUCUCAAACUAGGAAAGCCUUGGUGGUUUGUGAGAUAUAUCGAAGUACUGCAACAGAAGUUGAUGAAAAGAUAUGCAUGAAGAAAGGUACUGGUAGAUCAAGAUGAACUUGAAAGUUGUUGUCGUGGUAGACAUUUGUGAACCAGUAGUGUACUAGCUGCAUAAGUAUUUGGUAUUAUGUAAUAAUCCGUUUGGUCGGGACUCAAAAUGAUUUCUCUUGCUUCAGGGGUAUUAAUAUUAACCUUGCUAUCUUGAUCAAUGUUAGGGCAAAUUAAAAAGAAUAUAAAAGCAAAAAAUUUGCAUCAAACACCUGUUGUACCAACAUGCAUCCAUUAAUUUGCUUUCAUCUAUUAAGUAACAAUUUAAGAGCGCUUCCACUCUGUUUAAGCAUGGAGAUAACACAAAGAAGGCAAGUCCAUGGACUAAUAUAUUAACACGUAGUCCACAUCUAUGGUAUGAACAAUUCAUAUUGCUCUUCUAUCUGUUCAACAGUCUCCCGAAGAUAGGCCAAAAAUGUCAUCUGUGGUUCUUAUGUUUGUCAGUGAAGGAGAAUCUCUGAUGCCUACACAACCUGGUGUUUUUACAGAAAGGAAUGUAGGUGAAACCAGGGGCGUAAAAUGAAUCAGGACUAAAAUCUGCUAAAAUGAUAAUUAUUUACUCAUCAUUCAAGAUUAGUCGGGCUCAAAGAUUUAUAUGGAUUUUAAGAACAAACUAUGACUAAAUAUGAAAAAAUCAUUAAUUUUUCCGACUCAAUAUUUUUUAGCCUCCCCCGGCCCUGGGUGAAACCAUAAGCUUCUCUGGUGCACAUCCAAAUCAUUCAGUUGGUUCUACUUUCAGCUCACCCACAGGAACAUCAUUCUGCAGGUACUCUUUUAUCUGUACUUUCUUAUAUUGUAUGCCAGUAAAUUUUAUAUCGACAAACUGCACAAUACACCUCGAUCUCAUAUUAUUGACAGGUGAGCUCCUCUCAUAAUGCUCACAGGCGAACCCCUGCAUAUAUACUUUGUGAUGUCAUUGAUGAUCGAUAGACUUGAAAAAAAAUUAUGACAAAGAUUCAUAAAAUAUCUACUUCCAUCCUAAUUCAGUAUUCAAUAUUAUUCAUUCGUAUCAUCAUCCAAUCAAUUCUAAUAGUUCUUCUUUAAAUCAGUACAAAUAUUGUUAAAUACCUGGAUGAUGGUUGUCUUUCCGCGAACCAAUCAUGAAAUUACCUCUGUAUAAAUCCAUCGGAAAUAAGACAGUUAAUAUCCCAAUCGAAUACACCCCGUCAGUUGUCAAACUCCUCGAAACGUAUUAAUCACUUUAGAAAAUUUGUUCCACUGGCGCUAGUCAGUCCCAGAGUUGGUGGUGGGUGCUUCUGGGCUUUCGAAAAGCACCCAUUUACUCCAUUGUUUAGAGAAGUAAAACCCCACCUUCCGCUCAUUUGAUUGAUCAGCUGAAUUAGGCAGAGUUUACAUGGUCAUGAUCAUAGUCUCCCAUAUAUCCCUGAUACGCACAUUAUAGUGGAUUUAUCUUUAUCAGUGAUUUCUGUGGAGAUGCAUAAUCAUUAUAAGCUCCAAUAUAAAAUUUUAAAGUUAGUAUGGGAAUUUGUGUUGAUAAUUUGCGCAAUGUUAACAGGAUUGCUCCCAAGUCUUGGACGGACUCUUUCAAAGUCUUCUCAGGACCCAUCUGCACACUAAUUUGUCUGCCAACUAAAAAAUCAACAAUAUGUUACUCCCUCCGUUUUUCUUAAACUGAGGUUAAAAUUUUUGACACAAGAUGGGUUGACAGUAUAAAAUUAAAAUAUUUGUGAAUAAAAAUUUUGGUUAUAUUUUUUAUUUAAAAAGAAAAUCUUGAAAAUAAUAUUAUUAACUACCAGUCAGAUCACUUAAGUGUAUGUCCAAAAUUAAAGCGGCAUAUAAAAAAAAGGGAGGAAGCAUGUACUAACUGUUUCCAUAACAGUUUACAAGUAUAAGCUAUACCCCCUCUCUAUUUUUUUCUAUGACAGCUUUGAUUUUGGGCACACAUUCUUAAGUGUUUUGACCGGAUAGUUAAAAAUUUAUCUUCUAAAAUUUUUAAAAAAAGUAAAAUCGCAAAAAAAAUUAGAAAGCUGGUAUUUUUGAUAAAUUUCCAAAUAUGUAAUCAAGAAAAAUAACUUUUACUAUCCAAUCAACUCAUUUAAAGAUGUGUGUCAAAAAUCAAAAUAUCAUACAAAAAAUAGGUAUACAUUUUUUUAAUAGAUUAUACUCCCUCUGUUCCAAAAUAAGUGUCAGCUGGGGGUAAUAACAAGACCUUAGUCAACCCAAGCACAGCAGACAGCAGGCAUAAGGCAUCAGGAAUUUCACAGGACCAUUAUCUUUCUCUUAUUAACUGUGAAGGGAACAGCGUAUGAAGUAGCAAGAACCUUCAUAUUUACACAGCCAUUGAUCUGUCGUGCAACAAAUUUCAGGGAGAAAUUCCAAAGGUUACCGGAGAGCUUAGAUGGCUUGCAUUGCUCAAUUUAUCGCAUAAUUAAUAGUCUGACAGGACCUAUCCCAACAUUGCUGAGAAAUAUGAAAUAACUCCAUUACUCCAAUCUUAGAUUUGUCCUCAAAUCAACUGACAGGGGCUAUUCCACCUCUGUUAACUGCAUUGACAUUACUUUUCUCUUUAUAUUCUUUCCUUUUGUAUGUACCUAUGCUAAUUAUCUGAUUAUUAAAAUUAUAACAAAGCUUCAAGAUUUUUAACAGGUGAGCUUCCACUAAAAAUUUGCAAAGUCACUUCCCUUUCGCGUCUCAUUAUGUUAGAUAAUGGGUCAAGUGGUGCACUUCCACAGUGUUUGGGGAACCUUUCUUUGCUUGGUUUCAAUAAUCUUGCUAAUUAUCAAUUUCAAGGACCAAUACCAACGACUGUCCAAGACUUGUCUGUGCAUAUCUAAACAUCCAUAACAAUCACUUUGAAGGUUUGUUGCUCCAAUCUUUGGCAAACUGUAAACACUUACAAAUUCUUGAUAUUGGAAACAACGUUGGAGAGCUAGAUGUCCCAGUUAGGGCGGUAAUUCGACUAGAGCAAACCGAGUUUUGAGCGGAGCCAAAUUCGAGCCAAGUUUAAUCGAGUCGAGCCGAGUCGGCUCGUUUAGCUAAUCGAGCCUAAAACUUAGCCCGAACUCGACUCAUUUAAUUUCACGAGUCGAGUCGAGCCAACUCGUUUAGCUAAAUGAGCUGAUUUUAACAAGUCGAGCGAGCGAGCUCGUAUAAUUUUAACUUAGUCGAGCCUGAAUCUCUACCCAAACUAUUGGCUCGUGUAAUUUCGCGAGUCGAAUCGAGCCGGCUCGUUUUAUUAAACAAGCCGAAAUUUUUGCCCGAAUUUGCUCGUUUAACAAGCCGAUCUGAGCCUAGUUAAAUGAGUUCGAGUUAGUCGAGCUCGCGAGCUGCGAGCUCACCUGCCAGCUCUAGUCCUAGUCUUGCAAUCAAAUAGGUUUAACGGUAUAGAAAGUGGAAGGAGCACAAGGCAUCCAUUCCCCAAGGCUAUUUACCAAUUCAGUACUUUGAGGAUACAAAAUCAUUCUGCAGGUACUCUUGUAUCUGUACUUUCUUGUACUGUAUGCCACUUUGACAGUAGAGUAAAAUUUAUAUCGACAAACUGCAUAUGUUCUGAACUACUCCUCUAUCCCAAAUUAGAUGAGCUAGUUGACUUUGAGCACGUAACUUAAGGUACAUUGACCAACUAGUUCCGAUAUUUAUUUUUUUAAUUUUUCUUUUGUAAAUGAAAAUUUCAUAUUUAAAUUUUUAUUUGCAAAACUAAAAUUUAAAAAUAUGUAAUGUGGCUAUGCGGUCAAUGUCAACGAGCUCAUCUAAUUUGGGAUUGGGAUGCAGGGAGUAUUACGUACUAUGUUAUGCAAGCUGUUUACAACUUUCAUCAAAAUUUUCAAACAUUUCUGAAUAUGUAUUUUCAAAGAAUUCUCGGGCACUCUUAAGGCCUAUAAUUAUUGGAACUCUCACGUUAUGGACCAGAGGACCACUAUGUAUUUUACAAGCACGACGAAUCAUGUGGUCAUUAUGGACUCCCCAAGCCUUAGAGGACUCAUUCCAGGUUUUAGGAGGACCACUGCCUAGCUCACCCUUUCGGAGUGAUGUAAAUUAGUUUCCAGACACUAAAAAUAAGUAAUCAGAUUAAUCAUUACAAAAUUUUGAUAUAAAAUCAGAAUAAAUCCUAAACUUUGAUGAUACAAAAAAAAUUAUAAUUGUAAAUUAUACAAUCAAAUUAAGAUCGAAUUAACUUCCCUCACACUUAAAAUUUAUAGCGAUCAAAUCAAAAUCGAAUUAACUUUCCUAUUACUAAAAUUUAAUUACAAUAUUAUUAGAUAAAGAGAAUAUAUAAUAAUCAAGAGAAAAUAGAUUUUUUUUUGCCACUCAACUUAUUGUGUUUUAAGAAACUUACCACCCAACUAAAUUUUUUUCCUUUUGCUCACUAAUGUUAGGUUUGGAUUUGUUUUUAGCCACCAAAUAAGGUUCGGAUUUGAUUACCAGCAUUAUGAUAAUUUUUUUUGUCACUAAACUUAUUGCGUCUUUAGAAACUAACCACUGAACUAAAUUUUUUUUAUUUUACUCACUAAUGUUAGAUUUAGUUUUUUUUGUCACUAUAGUUAGGUUCAGAUUUGAUUAUUAGCAUUACAUUAAUUCUGUGUAGCAUUUUUAAAAUAUGGUAGUAGUCUGUGAUAUUUAGAUGAUUUGAUAUAUGUCUGUAUUUUUAUAUAUAGUAUAUUUUAUGUCCCCAAGGUCGUUUACCUUGGGUCAUAAAAAUUUUACACUCAUUUUAUGACUUUUAAAAGAUGUAGUUUCAUAAAUAAUUUUAUUUUUUUCUUUCGAAUUAAAAUUCAGCAUUUGAAUUUUACACACAAAAAAAUCGCAAGAAUAAGAUAUGAAACUAUGCUUUACAAGAGUCUUAAAAUACGUGCUAAACGGUAGAAAAAACUGUAAACUAAUGAGAGGUACAUAGGGAGUAAUAAUAACAUAAAAUGAUGCACAAUCAUCGAAUUAAGUUUUCCUCUCUCUAUAUAUUUAUUUUGUAAAUUUUAAUAAGAUAAAGUUAUUAAAAUUUAUGAUAUAAAUUUAAGAGAUAUCUUAGAUUGAGUGGCAAAAAUUUAGUUGGGUGGUAAGUUUCUAAAAACACAAUAAAUUGAGUGGGAACAAAAUCUAUUUUCCCAAUAAUGAGUGGGAAUAAAAUCUAUUUUCCCAAUAAUCAAAGUGACGAAAAAUCAAAGUCAUCUAAUAAGUCCAGAAAAAAUAUGACCAUUAGUAUAUUGAAAUAAUAUUCACGCAUUUAUAUACGAGAAUAUAUGGUCCACAAGUUAGUGCACAAUGUCCAAGAAUCUUUAUCAAAUAACACGGCAAGCAUGCAGCAUAUAAAUAAGAGUGGGCAGUAUGGUAUUGCAUUCAUAACCCACUUGAGCAGAAAUAUGGCACACUUCCUAAAGCCUUCUCACCUUCUUCUCUUUGUUUUCUUUCUCUCGUUACUUCAAUCCAUUCUACCAACAAGACCAGAGGGAGAAGCUCUUGUGAAAUGGAAGAAUAGCCUAGCCCCGUCUUCUUUUCUCGAUUCUUGGUCACUAACCAAUCUCGAUAAUCUUUGUAACUGGACUGGCAUUACUUGUAACUCUGCAGGUUCAGUCUCUGGGAUUAACCUUUAUGAGAAACAACUUGAUGGAAUGCUGUCCGAGUUUGGCUUCACUUCAUUUCCGAAUCUCAACAAUCUCACCCUCGCAUACAACUUCUUCUCGGGUCCAAUACCACCAGCCAUUGAGAAUUUAACACAGCUUCAAUAUCUUGAUUUAAGCAUCAAUAGUCUCGAUGGUCCCAUUCCUUUCCAGGUUAGCCAUCUUCAGAGGUUGCUCGUCCUAAACCUGUCACAGAAUGCAUUGCAAGCUCCAAAUUGGUCCCAUUUCUCUUCCAUGCCUUUUUUGCGCAUCCUCAAGCUCAGUAGGAAUCAUCUUGUAUCNUUUUUAUUUAAAAAGAAAAUCUUGAAAAUAAUAUUAUUAACUACCAGUCAGAUCACUUAAGUGUAUGUCCAAAAUUAAAGCGGCAUAUAAAAAAAAGGGAGGAAGCAUGUACUAACUGUUUCCAUAACAGUUUACAAGUAUAAGCUAUACCCCCUCUCUAUUUUUUUCUAUGACAGCUUUGAUUUUGGGCACACAUUCUUAAGUGUUUUGACCGGAUAGUUAAAAAUUUAUCUUCUAAAAUUUUUAAAAAAAGUAAAAUCGCAAAAAAAAUUAGAAAGCUGGUAUUUUUGAUAAAUUUCCAAAUAUGUAAUCAAGAAAAAUAACUUUUACUAUCCAAUCAACUCAUUUAAAGAUGUGUGUCAAAAAUCAAAAUAUCAUACAAAAAAUAGGUAUACAUUUUUUUAAUAGAUUAUACUCCCUCUGUUCCAAAAUAAGUGUCAGCUGGGGGUAAUAACAAGACCUUAGUCAACCCAAGCACAGCAGACAGCAGGCAUAAGGCAUCAGGAAUUUCACAGGACCAUUAUCUUUCUCUUAUUAACUGUGAAGGGAACAGCGUAUGAAGUAGCAAGAACCUUCAUAUUUACACAGCCAUUGAUCUGUCGUGCAACAAAUUUCAGGGAGAAAUUCCAAAGGUUACCGGAGAGCUUAGAUGGCUUGCAUUGCUCAAUUUAUCGCAUAAUUAAUAGUCUGACAGGACCUAUCCCAACAUUGCUGAGAAAUAUGAAAUAACUCCAUUACUCCAAUCUUAGAUUUGUCCUCAAAUCAACUGACAGGGGCUAUUCCACCUCUGUUAACUGCAUUGACAUUACUUUUCUCUUUAUAUUCUUUCCUUUUGUAUGUACCUAUGCUAAUUAUCUGAUUAUUAAAAUUAUAACAAAGCUUCAAGAUUUUUAACAGGUGAGCUUCCACUAAAAAUUUGCAAAGUCACUUCCCUUUCGCGUCUCAUUAUGUUAGAUAAUGGGUCAAGUGGUGCACUUCCACAGUGUUUGGGGAACCUUUCUUUGCUUGGUUUCAAUAAUCUUGCUAAUUAUCAAUUUCAAGGACCAAUACCAACGACUGUCCAAGACUUGUCUGUGCAUAUCUAAACAUCCAUAACAAUCACUUUGAAGGUUUGUUGCUCCAAUCUUUGGCAAACUGUAAACACUUACAAAUUCUUGAUAUUGGAAACAACGUUGGAGAGCUAGAUGUCCCAGUUAGGGCGGUAAUUCGACUAGAGCAAACCGAGUUUUGAGCGGAGCCAAAUUCGAGCCAAGUUUAAUCGAGUCGAGCCGAGUCGGCUCGUUUAGCUAAUCGAGCCUAAAACUUAGCCCGAACUCGACUCAUUUAAUUUCACGAGUCGAGUCGAGCCAACUCGUUUAGCUAAAUGAGCUGAUUUUAACAAGUCGAGCGAGCGAGCUCGUAUAAUUUUAACUUAGUCGAGCCUGAAUCUCUACCCAAACUAUUGGCUCGUGUAAUUUCGCGAGUCGAAUCGAGCCGGCUCGUUUUAUUAAACAAGCCGAAAUUUUUGCCCGAAUUUGCUCGUUUAACAAGCCGAUCUGAGCCUAGUUAAAUGAGUUCGAGUUAGUCGAGCUCGCGAGCUGCGAGCUCACCUGCCAGCUCUAGUCCUAGUCUUGCAAUCAAAUAGGUUUAACGGUAUAGAAAGUGGAAGGAGCACAAGGCAUCCAUUCCCCAAGGCUAUUUACCAAUUCAGUACUUUGAGGAUACAAAAUCAUUCUGCAGGUACUCUUGUAUCUGUACUUUCUUGUACUGUAUGCCACUUUGACAGUAGAGUAAAAUUUAUAUCGACAAACUGCAUAUGUUCUGAACUACUCCUCUAUCCCAAAUUAGAUGAGCUAGUUGACUUUGAGCACGUAACUUAAGGUACAUUGACCAACUAGUUCCGAUAUUUAUUUUUUUAAUUUUUCUUUUGUAAAUGAAAAUUUCAUAUUUAAAUUUUUAUUUGCAAAACUAAAAUUUAAAAAUAUGUAAUGUGGCUAUGCGGUCAAUGUCAACGAGCUCAUCUAAUUUGGGAUUGGGAUGCAGGGAGUAUUACGUACUAUGUUAUGCAAGCUGUUUACAACUUUCAUCAAAAUUUUCAAACAUUUCUGAAUAUGUAUUUUCAAAGAAUUCUCGGGCACUCUUAAGGCCUAUAAUUAUUGGAACUCUCACGUUAUGGACCAGAGGACCACUAUGUAUUUUACAAGCACGACGAAUCAUGUGGUCAUUAUGGACUCCCCAAGCCUUAGAGGACUCAUUCCAGGUUUUAGGAGGACCACUGCCUAGCUCACCCUUUCGGAGUGAUGUAAAUUAGUUUCCAGACACUAAAAAUAAGUAAUCAGAUUAAUCAUUACAAAAUUUUGAUAUAAAAUCAGAAUAAAUCCUAAACUUUGAUGAUACAAAAAAAAUUAUAAUUGUAAAUUAUACAAUCAAAUUAAGAUCGAAUUAACUUCCCUCACACUUAAAAUUUAUAGCGAUCAAAUCAAAAUCGAAUUAACUUUCCUAUUACUAAAAUUUAAUUACAAUAUUAUUAGAUAAAGAGAAUAUAUAAUAAUCAAGAGAAAAUAGAUUUUUUUUUGCCACUCAACUUAUUGUGUUUUAAGAAACUUACCACCCAACUAAAUUUUUUUCCUUUUGCUCACUAAUGUUAGGUUUGGAUUUGUUUUUAGCCACCAAAUAAGGUUCGGAUUUGAUUACCAGCAUUAUGAUAAUUUUUUUUGUCACUAAACUUAUUGCGUCUUUAGAAACUAACCACUGAACUAAAUUUUUUUUAUUUUACUCACUAAUGUUAGAUUUAGUUUUUUUUGUCACUAUAGUUAGGUUCAGAUUUGAUUAUUAGCAUUACAUUAAUUCUGUGUAGCAUUUUUAAAAUAUGGUAGUAGUCUGUGAUAUUUAGAUGAUUUGAUAUAUGUCUGUAUUUUUAUAUAUAGUAUAUUUUAUGUCCCCAAGGUCGUUUACCUUGGGUCAUAAAAAUUUUACACUCAUUUUAUGACUUUUAAAAGAUGUAGUUUCAUAAAUAAUUUUAUUUUUUUCUUUCGAAUUAAAAUUCAGCAUUUGAAUUUUACACACAAAAAAAUCGCAAGAAUAAGAUAUGAAACUAUGCUUUACAAGAGUCUUAAAAUACGUGCUAAACGGUAGAAAAAACUGUAAACUAAUGAGAGGUACAUAGGGAGUAAUAAUAACAUAAAAUGAUGCACAAUCAUCGAAUUAAGUUUUCCUCUCUCUAUAUAUUUAUUUUGUAAAUUUUAAUAAGAUAAAGUUAUUAAAAUUUAUGAUAUAAAUUUAAGAGAUAUCUUAGAUUGAGUGGCAAAAAUUUAGUUGGGUGGUAAGUUUCUAAAAACACAAUAAAUUGAGUGGGAACAAAAUCUAUUUUCCCAAUAAUGAGUGGGAAUAAAAUCUAUUUUCCCAAUAAUCAAAGUGACGAAAAAUCAAAGUCAUCUAAUAAGUCCAGAAAAAAUAUGACCAUUAGUAUAUUGAAAUAAUAUUCACGCAUUUAUAUACGAGAAUAUAUGGUCCACAAGUUAGUGCACAAUGUCCAAGAAUCUUUAUCAAAUAACACGGCAAGCAUGCAGCAUAUAAAUAAGAGUGGGCAGUAUGGUAUUGCAUUCAUAACCCACUUGAGCAGAAAUAUGGCACACUUCCUAAAGCCUUCUCACCUUCUUCUCUUUGUUUUCUUUCUCUCGUUACUUCAAUCCAUUCUACCAACAAGACCAGAGGGAGAAGCUCUUGUGAAAUGGAAGAAUAGCCUAGCCCCGUCUUCUUUUCUCGAUUCUUGGUCACUAACCAAUCUCGAUAAUCUUUGUAACUGGACUGGCAUUACUUGUAACUCUGCAGGUUCAGUCUCUGGGAUUAACCUUUAUGAGAAACAACUUGAUGGAAUGCUGUCCGAGUUUGGCUUCACUUCAUUUCCGAAUCUCAACAAUCUCACCCUCGCAUACAACUUCUUCUCGGGUCCAAUACCACCAGCCAUUGAGAAUUUAACACAGCUUCAAUAUCUUGAUUUAAGCAUCAAUAGUCUCGAUGGUCCCAUUCCUUUCCAGGUUAGCCAUCUUCAGAGGUUGCUCGUCCUAAACCUGUCACAGAAUGCAUUGCAAGCUCCAAAUUGGUCCCAUUUCUCUUCCAUGCCUUUUUUGCGCAUCCUCAAGCUCAGUAGGAAUCAUCUUGUAUCGAAAUUUCCAGAAUUUAUAUCCAAUUCUCAUAGCUUGGCUAUCCUUGACCUUGGCCAGAACAACUUUACAGGUGAUCUUGUGCGUGAAUUUACCAAUCUACAAAAUCUUGAAACCCUCUGGCUUUAUCGUAAUUCUUUUGAGGGGCCAUUUCCGCCGGAUAUAGUCCAGCUUUCCAAACUAAAAGAUCUUGCCCUGUCAAGUAACAAAUUUUCAGGUUCAGUUCCCAAUAACAUAAGGUUGCUUUGUGAUCUUGAAUACCUAUAUUUAGGCAACAAUUCCUUUAAGGGGCCACUUCCACCAAAUAUAUUUAAGCUUUCAAAAUUAAAACAUCUUGUUCUUUGGAGUAAUAAGUUUUCAGGUUCUGUUUCCAAUGAUAUAGGUUUGCUUCAUGAGCUUGUAACCCUCAAUCUUAACUCUAAUUUUUUUGAGGGGCCGCUUCCGCCAAAUGUAUUCAAGCUCUCCAAACUAAAGUUUUUUGCCCUUCAUGAGAAUAACUUUUCAGGUUUUAUUUCUAAGGAUAUAGGUUUGCUUUCCGAACUUGAAAUCCUCUAUUUUGGCUCUAAUUUUUUUGAGGGGCCGCUUCCUCCACAUGUAUUUAGGCUCUCCAAAUUAAGAGGUCUGGACCUCUCACACAAUAGAAAUUUAUUUGAAGGAAGUAUUCCUAUUGGACUGGGACUCUUGACUAACCUCAGGUACUUAGAUCUACAUUCCAAUAAUCUCGGUGGCUAUAUUCCAUCUGACAUUGGAAACCUGAAGCUACUAGUACUUCUUGAUCUCGGUUCUAAUCAAUUGACUGGACCGCUUUCAAAGAUCGUUUCUAAUCUCACAAAUCUUAUAUGUCUUGAUGUAAGUCAUAAUAGUCUUAGUGGAAAUAUUCAGAGUGACUUGUGGAAAUAUAACGAUCAUCCAACUUUGGAAUACAUCAAUUUAAGUGGGAACCAUUUUACGGGUAUAGUUUUUCUCUAUAGAUCUUUUCCUUUUCUCAUAUGUAACUAAGCUAGUAAUCUGAUUAUUGCAGUUUCACCAAAGUUUCAACAAUCUUGACAGGUGAGCUUCCAACAACAAUUUGCAAUGUCACUUCCCUUUCGGUUCUUGAUUUGUCAAAUAAUGAAUUAAGUGGUGCACUUCCAAACUCUUUGGGGAAUCUUGCUGAUGGAAUGCUUUACCUUAAUCUUGCUAAUAAUCAGUUUCGAGGAACAAUACCAACUACUUUCUCCAGGAGUUGUCGGUUGACAUAUCUAAACAUGGAUAAUAAUGAGUUUGAAGGAUUGUUGCCCCCAUCUUUGGCGAACUGUAAGCACUUGAAAAUUCUUGAUAUAGGCAAUAAUAAAAUAGGUGGUACAUUUCCGUCAUGGCUUUAUGCACUUGGAGAGCUAGAAGUUCUUGUCUUGCGAUCAAAUAAACUCUAUGGUACGAUAAGUGGAAGGAGCAUAGAAGAUCCCUUCCCCAAGUUGCGGAUUGUGGAUCUGUCCCACAAUCAAUUGACAGGCUAUUUGCCAAUUCAAUACUUUAAGAAUAUGAAAUCAACUGAUAAUUUGUAUCGUUAUCGGAAUUCCACAGGACCAUUAUCUUUCUCUUAUGAAGCAGCAGUCUCAUUAACUGUGAAGGGAACAGAGUACGAGGUAGCAAAGAACCUUCAUAUUUACACAGCCAUUGACCUGUCGUGCAACAAAUUUCAGGGAGAAAUUCCAAAGGUUACUGGAGAGCUUAGAUGGCUUGCAUUGCUGAAUUUAUCUCAUAAUAGUCUGACAGGACCUAUCCCAUCCUUGCUGAAAAAUAUGAAAGAACUCCAAUCUUUAGAUUUGUCCUCAAAUCAACUGACAGGGGCUAUUCCACCUCAGUUAACUGCAUUGACAUUUCUGGAGGUCUUCAACCUCUCGGGAAACCAUCUUAGUGGAGAGAUUCCUCAGAAAGGGCAGUUCAGCACAUUUAACAAUGAUUCUUAUCUAGGAAACUCCGCGUUAUGUGGAUCACCUUUGACAAAGAAAUGUGCAAACACAGCAUCACCUCCACAAGAAGUCGGAAAUGGUGAUGAAGAUGAUGCUGGUGAUGAAUGGACAUGGGAAGCAAUCGUGAUGGGAUAUGGAUGUGGACUGAUAUGUGGAUUGUCAUCUGCGUACAUUGUUCUCAAACUAGGAAAGCCUUGGUGGUUUGUGAGAUAUAUCGAAGUGCUGCAACUGAAGUUGAUGAAAAGAUAUGCUUGAAAAAUUGUACUGGCCGAUCAAGACGAACUUGAAAGUUGUUGUCCUUGUGGACAUUUCUGAACCAGUAGUGUACUAGCUGCAUAAGUAUUUGGUAUUAUGUAAUAAUCCGUUUGGUCAGGACUCAUAAUGAUUUCUCUUGCUUCAGGGGUAUUAAUAUUAACCUUGCUAGUUAAUUCAAAUUAAAACAAAUAUAAAAUCAAAAAAUUUGCAUCAAACACCUGUUAUACCAACAUCCAUUAAUUUGCUUUCAUCUCUUACGUAACAAUUUAACAGCGAUUCCACACUGUUUUAGGCAUGGAGAUUACACAAAGAAGGCAAGUCCAUGAACUAAUAUAUUAACCCGUAGUCCACAUCUAUGCUACGAACAAUUCAUAUUGGUCUUCCAUCUAUUCAACCGUCUCCCGAAGAUAGGCCAAAAAUGUCAUCUGUGGUUCUUAUCUUUGUCAGUAAAGGAGAAUCUCUGAUGCCUAUACAACCUGGUUUUCUUACAGAAAGGAAUGUAGGUGAAACCAGGGGCAUAAAAUGAAUCGGGACUAAAAUCUGCUAAAAUGAUAAUUAUUUACUCAUCAUUCGAGAUUAGUCGGGCUCAAAUGAAGAUUUAUAUGGAUUUUAAGAACAAACUAUGACUAAAUAUGAAAACUAGACAACCUGGUUUUCUUACAGAAAGGAAUGUAGGUGAAACCAGGGGCGUAAAAUGAAUCGGGACUAAAAUCUGCUAAAAUGAUAGUAAUUAUUUACUCAUCAUUCAAGAUUAGUCGGGCUCAAAUGAAGAUUUAUAUGGAUUUUUAAGAACAAACUAUGACUAAAUAUGAAAAAAAUCAUUAAUUUUUCCGACUCAAUAUUUUUUAGCCUCCCCCGGCCCUGGGUGAAACCAUAAGCUUCUCUGGUGCACAUCCAAAUCAUUCAGCUGGUUCUGCAGGUACUCUUCUAUCUGUACUUUCUUAUAUUGUUUGCCAGUACAUUUUAUAUCGACAAACUGCACAAUACACCUCGAUCUCAUACACAGGUGAACUCCUGCAUAUGCUUUGUGAUGUCAUUGAUGAUCGAUAGACUUGAAAAAAAAUUAUGACAAAGAUUCAUAAAAUAUCUACUUCCAUCCUAAUUCAGUAUUCAAUAUUAUUCAUCCCGUAUCAUCAUCCAAUCAAUUCUAAUAGUUCUUCUUUAAAUCAGUACAAAUAUUGUUAAAUACCUCGAUGAUGGUUGUCUUCCCGUGAACCAAUCAUAAAAUUACCUCUGUAUAAAUCCAUCGGAAAUAAGACAGUUAAUAUCCCAAUCGAAUACACCCCGUCAGUUGUCAAACUCCUCGAAACGUAUUAAUCACUUUAGAAAAUUUGUUCCACUGGCGCUAGUCAGUCCCAGAGUUGGUGGUGGGUGCUUCUGGGCUUUCGAAAAACACCCAUUUACUCCAUUGUUUAGAGAAGUAAAACCCCACCUUCCGCUCAUUUGAUUGAUCAGCUGAAUUAGGCAGAGUUUACAUGGUCAUGAUCAUAGUCUCCCAUUUCCCAGAUACGCGAAUUAUAGUGGAUUUAUCUUUAUCAGUAAUUUCUGUGGAGAUGCAUAAUCAUUAUAAGCUCCAAUAUAAAAAUUUAAAGUUAGUAUGGGCAUUUGUGUUGAUAAUUUGCGCAAUGUUAACAGGAUUGCUCCCAAGUCUUGGACGGACUCUUUCAAAGUCUUCUCAGGACCCAUCUGCACACUGAUUUGUCUGCCAACUAAAAAAUCAACAAUAUGUUACUCACUCCGUUUUUCUUAAACGAGGUUAAAAUUUUUGACACAAGAUGGGUUGACAGUAUAAUAAAAUUAACAUUUUUGUGAAUAAAAAUUUUGGUUGUAUUAUUUUAUUUAGAAAAAGAAAAUCUUGAAAAUAAUAUUAUUAACUACCCAGUCAAAUCACUUAAAAGUAUAUGUCCAAAAUUAAAGCGGCAUAUAAAAAAACCGAGAGAGAGUAUGUACUAACCUGUUUCCAUAACAGUUUACAAGUAUAAGUUAUACUCCCUCUCUAUUUUUUUAUAUGACGCUUUGAUUUUGGGCACAUAUUUUUAAGUGUUUUGACCGGAUAAUUAAAAAUAUUAUUUUCUAAAAUUUUUAAAAGAAAGUAAAAUUGAAAAAAAAAUAGAAAGCUGGUAUUUUUGAUAAAUUUCCAAACAUAAUCAAGAACAAUAAUUUUUACUAUCCAAUCAACUCAUUUACAGAUGUGUGUCAAAAAUCAAAAUAUCAUAUAAAAAACAACAAUAUGUUACUCCCUCCGUUUUUCUUAAACUGAGGUUAAAAUUUUUGACACAAGAUGGGUUGACAGUAUAAAAUUAAAAUUUUUGUGAAUAAAAAUUUUGGUUAUAUUUUUUAUUUAAAAAGAAAAUCUUGAAAAUAAUAUUAUUAACUACCAGUCAGAUCACUUAAGUGUAUGUCCAAAAUUAAAGCGGCAUAUAAAAAAAAGGGAGGAAGCAUGUACUAACUGUUUCCAUAACAGUUUACAAGUACAAGUUAUACUCCCUCUCUAUUUUUUCUAUGACGCUUUGAUUUUGGGCACACAUUCUUAAGUGUUUUGACCGGAUAGUUAAAAAUUUAUCUUCUAAAAUUUUUAAAAAGAAGUAAAAUCGCAAAAAAAAUUAGAAAGCUGGUAUUUUUGAUAAAUUUCCAAAUAUGUAAUCAAGAACAAUAACUUUUACUAUCCAAUCAACUCAUUUAAAGAUGUGUGUCAAAAAUCAAAAUAUCAUACAAAAAAUAGGUAUACAUUUUUUUUAAUAGAUUAUACUCCCUCUGUUCCAAAAUAAUUGUCAGCUGUGACAUUUUGCAAAAGUAGCUGGGGGGUAAUAACAAGACCUUAGUCAACCCAAGCACAGCAGACAGCAGGCAUAAGGCAUCAGGAAUUUCACAGCACCAUUAUCUUUCUCUUAUUAACUGUGAAGGGAACAGAGUAUGAAGUAGCAAGAACCUUCAUAUUUACACAGCCAUUGAUCUGUCGUGCAACGAAUUUCAGGGAGAAAUUUCAAAGGUUACUGGAGAGCUUAGAUGGCUUGCAUUGCUCAAUUUAUCUCAUAAUAGUCUCACAGGACCUAUCCCAUCAUUGCUGAGAAAAAUGAAAGAACUCCAAUCUUUAGAUUUGUCCUCAAAUCAACUGACAGGGGCUAUUCCACCUCAGUUAACUGCAUUGACAUUACUUUUCUCUUUAUAUCCUUUCCUUUUGUAUGUACCUAUGCUAAUUAUCUGAUUAUCAAAAUUAUAACAAAGCUUCAAGAUUUUUAACAGGUGAGCUUCCACUAAAAAUUUGCAAAGUCACUUCCCUUUCGCGUCUCAUUAUGUCAGAUAAUGGGUCAAGUGGUGCACAUCCACAGUGUUUGGGGAACCUUUCUUUGCUUGGUUUCAAUAAUCUUGCUAAUUAUCAAUUUCAAGGACCAAUACCAACGACUGUCCAAGACUUGUCUGUGCAUAUCUAAACAUCCAUAACAAUCACUUUGAAGGUUUGUUGCUGCAAUCUUUGACAAACUGUAAACACUUACAAAUUCUUGAUAUUGGAAACAACAAAAUAGGUGGUACAUUUCGGUCAUGGCUAUUUAUUUUGGAGAGCUAGAUGUCCUAGUUAGGGCGGUAAUUCAACUAGAGCAAACCGAGUUUUGAGCGGAGCCAAAUUCGAGCCAAGUUUAAUCGAGUCAAGCCGAGUCGGCUCGUUUAGCUAAUCGAGCCUAAAACUCUGCCCGAACUCGACUCGUUUAAUUUCACGAACGAGUCAAGCGAGUGAGCUCGUAUAAUUUUAACUUAAUCGAGCCUAAAUCUCUACCCGAACUAUUGGCUCGUGUAAUUUCGCGAGUAGAAUCGAGCCGGCUCGUUUUAUUAUAGAAGCCGAAAUUUUUGCCCGAAUUUGGCUUGUUUAACAAGCCGAUCUUUCAUCAAAAAUUUCAAACAUUUCUGAAUAUGUAUUUUCAGAGAAUUUCUCCAGCACUCUUAAGGCCUAUAAUUAUUGCAACUCUCACGUUAUGGACCACUGUGUAUUUUACAAGCACGACGAAUCAUGUUGUCAUUAUGGACUCCCCAAGCCUUAGAGGACUCAUUCCAGGUCUUAGGAGGACCACUGCCUAGCUCACCCUUUCGGAGUGAUGUAAAUUAUUUUCCAAACAUUAAAAAUAAAUAAUCAGAUUAAUCAAUACAAAAUUAAAGAUAUAAAAUCAGAAUAAAUCCUAAACUUUGAAUAUACAAAAAAAAUUAUAAUUGUAAAUUAUACAAUCAAAUUAAAAUUGAAUUAACUUCCCUCACACUUAAAAUUUAUAGCGAUCAAAUCAAAAUCGAAUUAACUUUCCUAUUACUAAAAUUUAGUUACAAUAUUAUUAGAUAAAGAGAAUAUAUAAUAAUCAAGGGAAAAUAGAUUUUUUUUUUUUGCCACUCAACUUAUUGUUUUUUAAGAAACUUACCACCCAACUAAUUAUUUUUUCCUUUUGCUCACUAAUGUUAGGUUUGGAUUUGUUUUUAGCCACCAACUAAGGUUCGGAUUUGAUUACUAGCAUUAUGAUAAUUUUUUUUGUCACUAAACUUAUUGUGUCUUUAGAAACUAACCACUCAACUAAUUUUUUUUUAAUUUACUCACUAAUGUUAGGUUCAGUUUUUUUUUGUCACUGAAGUUAGGUUCGGAUUUGAUUAUUAGCAUUACAUUAAUUCUGUGUAGCAUUUUUAAAAUAUGGCUCAUAAGAAUUUUACACGCAUUUUAUGACUUUUAAAAGAUGUAGUUUCAUUAAUAAUUUUAUUUUUUUCUUCCGAAUUAAAAUUUAGCGUUUGAAUUUUACACACAAAAAAUCGAAAGAAUAAGUUAUGAAAGUAUGCUUUAUAAGAGUCUUAAAAUACGUGCUAAACGGUAGAAAAAACUGUACACUAAUGACAGGUAAAUAGGGAGUAAUAAUAACAUAAAAUGAUGCACAAUCAUCGAAUUAAGUUUUCCUCUCUCUAUAUAUUUAUUUUGAAAAUUUUAAUAAGAUAAAGUUAUUAAAAUUUAUGAUAUAAAUUUAAGAGAUAUCUUAGAUUGAGUGGCAAAAAUUUAGUUGGGUGAUAAAUUUCUAAAAACACAAUAAAUUGAAUGGGAACAAAAUCUAUUUUCCCGAUAAUCAAAGUGACGAAAAAUCAAAGUCAUCUAAUAAGUCCAGAAAAAAUAUGACCAUUAGUAUAUCGGAAUAAUAUUCACACAUUUAUAUACGAGAAUAUAUGGUCCACAAGUUAGUGCACAAUGUCCAAGAAUCUUUAUUAAAGUAACACGGCAAGCAUGCAGCAUAUAAAUAAGAGUGGGCACUGGGCAGUAUGGUAUUGCAUUCAUAACCCACUUGAGGAGAAAUAUGGCACACUUCCUAAAGCCUUCUCACCUUCUUCUCUUUGUUUUCUUUCUCUCGUUACUUCAAUCCAUUCUACUAACAAGACCAGAGGGAGAAGCUCUUGUGAAAUGGAAGAAUAGCCUUGCCCCUUCUUCUUUUCUCGAUUCUUGGUCACUCACCAAUCUCGAUGAUCUUUGUAACUGGACUGGCAUUACUUGUAACUCUGCAGGUUCAGUCUCUGAGAUUAACCUUUAUGAGAAACAACUUGAUGGAAUGCUGUCCGAGUUUAGUUUCACUUCAUUUCCAAAUCUUAACAGUCUCACUCUCGCAUACAACUUCUUCUCGGGUCCAAUACCACCAGCCAUUGAGAAUUUAACACAGCUUCAAUAUCUUGAUUUAAGCAUCAAUAGUCUCGAUGGUCUCAUUCCGUUCCAGGUUAGCCAUCUUCAGAGGUUGCUCGUCUUAAACCUGUCACAGAAUGCAUUGCAAGCUCCAAAUUGGUCCCAAUUCUCUCCCAUGCCCUUUUUGUGCAGCCUCAACCUCAGUAGCAAUCCUCUUGCGUCGAAAUUCCCAAAUUUCAUAUCCAAUUCUCAUGGCCUGACUCACCUUAGCCUUGAUCAAAACGAGUUUACAGGUGAUUUAGCGCGUGAAUCAAUAUUUGCCAAUCUGCAUAAUCUUGAAGUCCUCAGUCUUGUUGGCAAUUCUUUUGAGGGGCCAUUUCUGCCAAAUAUAUUCAAGCUUUCCAAAUUAAAACGUCUCACCCUGUCAAGUAACAAAUUUUUAGGAUCAAUUCCCAAUGACAUAAGGUUGCUUUGUGAUCUUGAAUUCCUGUAUUUAGGAAACAAUUCUUUUGAAGGACCGCUUCCACCAAAUAUAUUCAAGCUUUCAAAAUUAAAACAUCUUGUUCUUUGGAGUAAUAAGUUUUCAGGUUCUGUUUCCAAUGAUAUAGGUUUGCUUUCUGCGCUUGAACUUUUGAAUCUUCACUCUAAUUUUUUUGAGGGGCCGCUUCCGCCAAAUGUAUUCAAGCUCUCUAAACUAAGGUUUCUUAACCUCUGGGGUAACAACUUUUCAGGUUCUGUUUCCAAUGAUAUAGGUUUGCUUCCGGAGCUAGAAAUCCUCAAUCUUCACUCUAAUUUUUUUGAGGGCCGCUUCCGCCAAAUAUAUUCAAGCUCUCUAAACUAAGGUUUCUUAACCUUUGGGGUAAUAACUUUUCAGGUUCUGUUUCCAAUGAUAUAGGUUUGCUUCCUGAGCUAGAAUUCCUCAAUCUUCACUCUAAUUUUUUUGAGGGUCCGCUUCCGCCAAAUGUAUUCAAGCUCUCUAAACUAAAGUUUCUUCAUCUUCGAGGUAAUAAGUUUUCAGGUUCUGUUUCCAAUGAUAUAGGUUUGCUUCCUGAGCUUGAAAUCCUCAAUCUUCGCUCUAAUUUUUUUGAGGGGCCGCUUCCGCCAAAUGUAUUCAAGCUCUCCAAACUAAGGUUUCUUUCCCUUAAGGAAAAUAAAUUUUCAGGUUCUGUUUCCAAUGAUAUAGGUUUCCUUUCUGAGCUUGAAUACCUAUAUCUUGACUAUAAUUUAUUUGAAGGAAGUAUUCCUAUUGGACUGGGACUCUUGACUAACCUCAGCUACUUAGAUCUAAGUUCCAAUAAUCUCAGUGGCUAUAUUCCAUCUGACAUUGGAAACCUGAAGCUACUAGUAUUUCUUGAUCUCAGUUCUAACCAAUUGACUGGACCGCUUUUAAAGAUCGUUUCUAAUCUCACAAAUCUUAUGAAUCUUGAUGUAAGUGAUAAUAGUCUUAGUGGAAAUAUUCAGAGUGACUUGUGGAAGAACUCUAUAUCCUUACGUUACAUUAAUUUUGCAAAUAAUUAUUUGUCUGGGAACAUUCCUAAGGAAUACAACGAUCAUCCAACUUUGGAAUACAUCAAUUUAAGUGGGAACCAUUUUACAGGUAUAUUUUUCUCUAUAUAUCUUUUCCUUUUCUCAUAUGUAACUAAGCUGGUAAUCUGAUUAUUGCAGUUUUACCAAAGUUUCAACAAUCUUGACAGGUGAGCUUCCAACAACAAUUUGCAAUGUCACUUCCCUUGCGGUUCUUGUUUUGUCAAAUAAUGGAUUAAGUGGAGCACUUCCAAAUUGUUUCGGGAAACUUGCUGAUAGAUUGCUUUCCAUUAAUCUUGCUAAUAAUCAGUUUCGAGGAACAAUACCAACUACUUUCUCCAGGAGUUGUCAGGUGAAAUAUCUAAACAUGGAUAAUAAUGAGUUUGAAGGAUUCUUGCCCCCAUCUUUGGCGAACUGUAAGCACUUGAAAAUUCUUGAUAUUGGCAAUAACAAAAUAGGUGGUCCAUUUCCGUCAUGGCUUUAUGUACUUGGAGAGAUAGAAGUCCUUGUCUUGCGAUUAAAUAAACUCUAUGGUACAAUAAGUGGAAGGAGCGUAAAAGAUCCCUUCCCCAAGUUGCGGAUUGUGGAUCAAUAGACAUCGGCUAAAAAGCGAUGUCUAUGUAAAAUCAGACCGAUGUCUUCGUGGGUGAUGAGAAAAGUAAGUGCAUUACACAUCGCUUUCUAGCCGAUGUCUAUAACCUAUUUACACAUCGUUUAAUAUGACAAUCUGAUGUAUUUUUUAACAGUAGAUACCUUCACUAUAAUUUCAGUUCCUCAUUCCUAUGCCCUCUAUAUCAUUUUAAACUUGUCACAUGCUUAAUAAAAUGAUACUUUAACAUCUUAAAACUUGUAAAAUAGAUGUAUAUGAUAACCUUUUACAUCAUGCUUUUAUAGGAAGUGAUGUGGUACCCUUCUUUUCUUUAAGAAAGCGAUGUCUUUGUUCUUGUUUUACAUCAGUGAUUUUUAUACUCUGAUAUCUAUUAUAUAGUUUAACAUCAGGCUUUUUCUUGUUAACUGAUAUGUAUUCAUUCUUAUGACAUCGCUUACUAAGUGAUGUAAAUGUUAGUUUUAAAUUGCCAUGAAUCCUCCUGUUUCUUAUGAAUCCCCCUGUUUCAUUUAAAUUUCCAACAAAUUCCAAAACAACACCAAAGCUAUACUAAUUAAACAACCAAUUACCAAUGUCUAGCCUACCAUAACAGAACUAAAACAAAACUAGCUAGCAAAACAAUACUUCCGCAAAAGCCAAAUAUAUUACCAUCAAUCAUUACCAAUCAAAUUACAUCCCACAAUCAAAGAAACUGCACAAAUCCUAAAUAUUAACCAAGCAACCAUAAUUUACAAGCAGUUCACCACGUACUCCAGCAACCAUAAUUUACCAACUACAUUUCCCUCCAUUUAUCAACAAAAUCUACUUAGCUAGCUAGUGUCACUGUCUUACAUAAACUGAACUAAUUAAAGGAAACCAAAGUUCUCCAAUAAACCAAAGGCCUGUUUAUAAGAAGGACUCGAUAUGGCUAAGUGUCUCAAACCGAACCUCGUCAAGCUCAGCCUUGGAACAAAUCACUUUUCGAUUCUUGGAUGCCCACUGAAAAAUGUAAAACAAUAACAUUGAAUUAUACCUAAAUUUAUAUGUACACCAUUUAAUUAUAUCAACAAUGGAUUAGGCAAAGAAAAAUACCCUUUUAAAAAAUGUCAUUUCAUUGUCCAUGACAAUCUCUUUCAUAUACCGCAUAAUAACAUAGCCGCAUUCAGUUCCACCGGGCUGUUUAGGACAUCCCUAUUUAACCAAAAAAAACUCAAAAUAGUAAGUAAAGUAAUGCCCCUGGUUCUAAGCAUCAGUAGCACAAAUUGUUAAAAAUAAAUACGAAAGCUUACUGUAAUAUAUUUGAAGCUUGGGGCUUUAUUUCCCCUUCCGGCCUGAACAUUGAAAGUAAUCACAGCCCUGUCAUCUUGGCAGUGUUAAUAAUGCACAUGCAUUUAUAUCUCCAUAAGAAAGAUAAUCAAUAAAAAAAUAAAUGAAAAUACCUUGAUAUUGCUUUUUCCAAGUUGGGGAAACUAGUUGAACGAGGCAGAGGAUUAAGUAUGAAAACCUCGCCACCCCAAAACAGAACCAAUACCCAAUGGAAACUAUUUUUAACAAAUAUUUAUGAAAAACACAAUUACUAUCAAAAUCAUAUAAAUUUUAUUUUCAGUCAUGUAAAAAACUAAAUAAAAGAGAUUUAUAAUAAAUAAGAAAACACUUAAGCUACUUACUUGCUAUUAUGCGGCAUCAAAAAGAGACGAUCAGGAUUACCCUCUUUAAAUCGAUUAACCAAGUUAUCUUCAAAAGAAUUGUUCAUCAAGUUCAGCGAGGCUCCAGGAUCACAAAAAGCAAAUUGAUCCUUAGUGCCAUUUUCACGAACCACGCAAUGCAAGUAUCUACAUUGUAAAUGAAAUGAAAUUAUAUAAAAUUACACGAAUAUGAAUUAUAACUAAACAACAGUCAUGAUCUAGAAGACAGUAAUUAAAAAAAGUUUACUCACGCCAUGUAUGCAGCAAUUGCUGCUUGGCCAAUCAUAUUAAACUCCAGCAAGGCGACUAUGUUUUCAUACAAGAUGAAGAUUCUUUUCUCGAUACCAAACACCUCAGCAUCACACGGGAUUUGAAUUGAGUCUCCGGAGGAUUGCAUAAAUGUUGUUGCAUGUUUAUACAACAACCGAAAGCGUUUUGGAACAUUUUUAUUGAUCUCCAUGUUAUGAAACAAGGACUGGACUUUAUCUAAAUCGGUUUUAGGUUCCUUUACUUUCCGUUUACCUUUCUGAAAAAUGAACAAAAUUAAUUUAAAACAAAAUAUAACAAAAUAUAGGGGUAACAUAUAAUAGUACAAUCCAGUACAACAAUUAUGUUAAAGUACACACCAUAGUAGGAAUAGUAGGAGGGGCAUUUGGGAAUAUGAUCAAGUCGCGGGGCCAUGAGACGUACGAGCCAACAGCUUGCUCUACUGUUUCAAUCUCACCUGGUACCGGUUUAGGAAUCUUGGCUUGUCCUUGAAUUGGGCCAUCCACUGAGACGCGAACACAUCCAGGCUCUAUCGGCACUCCAUGUAUAGAUUUGUUCAUGUUAUCAUCAUCAAACAACAAACCAAAUGCCACUUUAUUUUCUAUUGUGCCUACAGCCAACUCACAUUUUCGUGGACCGGCCUACACACAUAUAUUUAAACAAUUAUGACGAAUGCUUGAAAUAUGUUGAGCUAAAUUGAAUAAAUGUGCUAGUUAUUUUACCUUAUUCUCUGGUGGAUUAGGUUCCAAGUCAACUUCAAUCAUCUCUGGUUCCAGUUUUUUCACCACCUCUGUCUUAGCUUCUUUGACAGUGUUUGCCUCACAACUUGCUUUAUCAGAAGCAAUAGGAGAUGAAAUAUUUGCUUUGCUGAGCAAGGCCUUCAUUUCAGCCAUCUCCUGCCUUGUCUUCUCCAUUUCCAUGGCCAUCUCUUUCUUGGCUUUCUCCAGCUCCGCGUCCCUCUCUCGAUCCCUCUCCAACAACUCAGCUUUGGUGAUUCUAUUUCUUCUUCCUGGUGGUAUAUUAAAAAAAAUUGACGGGCUCACAAAGCCUCCAACUCCUCGAACCCUCCCCGAAUGUUCAGGAGUUUGUAGGGCCGUAGUCAACACAUCUCGACUCCCAGAAGGAGUGAAUUCCCCCUUACUUUGCUGCUCUAGUAAAAUAUUCUGACAUGAAAAAUAUGAACAUACAAAUCAUCAUCUAGUGAACCUCAUCAUCAAUAUUAACUUUAAUUUUACGAGCCUUUUAAUUAUAAAUACUCACAAUUCUUUUUCCUAUUUCAGCUAGGUCUGAAUCCUCAUCAUCAGCAUCAUCAGCCUCAUCAUCAUCAUCAACAUUAUCAUUAUCAUCAUCAAUUUUAAUUUUACGAGCCUUUUGCCACAUGAGAGCCCGAUCAGGUUCUUCAUCGGCAGCCAAAGUUCCUUUCUUGAUCUGAUUAAAAUCAAAAAAAAAUUAAAAAGGCCAAGAUAUGUAAAAUACAAUUAUUUAGGUUCAAUGCUUAAAAUACAACUAUUUUUAUACCUCUUCUUCCAAUAAUCCAAUGUAACCCUUUCUUGAUGUCCGGUGAGGAUAUUUUCGAUUACUCACCCUCAGCUUUUGUUUUUCACUAAAAGACUUCAAAUAUUUUAAAUAAUAUUAGAAUACUAUUUUUCAGAAUAUAAAAAGACAUUUAUAUCACAAUAAAGCAGAACAUAAAAUAUAUUUCAUACCAGAAAUUUCGAGGUAGUCCUCUCAGCAACAAAAUUUUUCCAAGCCUCCUUUCCAACAAAAGCAUACUUCUUUGGAGGCUUUCGUAAUUUCUUCUUCUGCCCAAGAUACGGCCUCACAUAAUCUCUUGUUAAAUUUGCUUUAAAAUUCCUCCACUUUGCUCCUGCAGACCUGAUCAACCCCUUCUCAAGUUGCUUAGGAACUUUAAAUGUCUCCUGCAACCAAUGUUAAUUGACAAAAUUUACAAAAUUAUACUCUAAAUGAGUAGAAGAAAAUGCAAAAUUUACAAAAUGCAUAGGAGAUUACUUAUUUUUAUACCUUCACAUCAAUCCAUAUUUUCUCCUUUAGUUCAUCAGGUACCUUUGACCAGUUAGGAUAAUCAAUCGGAAUCAUUGUCCUAGCCAACAUUCCAGUGUAGGAUUGUAGACUGUGCCUUGCAUCCCCUGUAGGAACUCCAUGUGCAUUACAUGAAACCUUUGUUUUCUUGCCCUGCGCCUUCCUCACCACCACUUUAUACAUAGCAGAAACCCCUCGGGCACCCCCACGCUUUUUCUUUGCUGUUUCAGAUGUUGUAACUGUUGCAUCCGUUUCCUCCACAGAAUUCACAUUUUCUCCCUGAGGUUCUGUUGUCAGCUCCAACCUUUUAUCUGAUGCCUCAUCCGACUUUUUGGAGUCUUCAUGGAAUUGUACUUUGGUUUUUUGCUUUUUAUUUGCCAUUUAUCUUCUUCAAUCUGAAAAUGAAACAUAUAUAAUCCAUUAGUCACAGGCAUAUAUACGAGCAAUUACAGGAUAAGCAGUUAUAAAGUUACAUAAGCCUACAUAAGCCGUUACAAAAUUGUAAAAAUGCAUAACUAAACAUUUACACAGAGUGAAAAUUACAGGAGUCUAAUUACACAGAGUAAAUUACAAAGUUGCAUCACAUAUAUUACAUGACUUGAAAUAAUGUUAUCACAGAGUAAAUUACAAAGUCUCAUCACAAAAUUAACUAUUACAUGACUUGAAAUAAUGUUAUCACUUCUUAACCCAAGUGCCCUUAAUAUUUUCUCUAAUACUUUUCUCAACAUCAUCACCGACAUCACAUGUAGGAAUUUGGCAGCAGAAUGGAGGAUUUUCCAUGGUUGUGUCUCCUAAAUCAUCAUCGUUAUACACCUCUUGGUAGUCUCGAGUUGUAGAGGUUAAUACGACGGACCACUUGGCAUCCACCGGAUCUUCAAUAUAAUAAACUUGCUUUACUUGAUCUAUAGACACGUAUUUAUCUCUCUUGUGGCCUUGUCGACUUAGAUCGACAAGUGUGAACCCAAGAUCAUCCACCUUAAUUCCCUUGUCAUUGUCCGCCCAAUUACAUAAAAACAGUGGGGCUUUGAAUGCAUGAUAAUCCAGCUCCCAUAUAUCUAGGAUAACACCAUAAAAUGUCAAGUCACUUUCUACGGGGUUUAAAUCUUUAGCGCUAGACACUUGGACAGUUUUAGCAACUAAAGACACUCCGCUGUUUUGAACUACCCUCACAUUGUCUCGCUGUUUUGUAAAGUAUCGGACCCCGUCUACUAGAUAAGCUUCGUAAGUCAUAACUGAAAAUGAUGGUUUUCCAGCUAUCCAUCUUACUGUCUCUGAAACUCCUCCAGGAUUCUCCACCAUUUCACUACUGACCUACACAUUUCAUAAACAGAAAUUAUCCUAAAUUACUAUAGAGAAAAUAAAUUAGGCACAAAUGAAACUAUAAAAAUACUAACUUUUUCUAGAAACCAAUCAGCAAAACUGUUAUUGUGCUCUCUCAAGAGCCAAUGAACGCUUUUCUUUUUCCCACGAUGGAUUUCCUCUAGAUACUCCUUAUGCAUUCUGCCAAAAAUUAUAUAUUCAUUAAAGAAGUAGUUUAUACAGAAUGUAUAUAUUAAUUGAACAGCCACAAAAUUAAAAAAAUCUUACAAGAUAUAUGGCUGUACUUCAAGGUUGUUUAGAAGAACGUGUAAAUGAGCUUCAUCCCUCUCUUUUUCUUCGAUUGAUUUCAUUACCGCAACAGAUAAUGGACCACUUAACUUGCCUUCAUCUUUGCGAAGACCAGCAGUGGUGCAAGUUUGCUUGACAAACUCUUGGCAGAAUUCAAUCGAUUCUUCUCCAAGAUAACAUUCUGCUAUACAACCUUCGGGGUAGUAACGAUUGCGUACGUAACUCUUCAACACCUUAUUAAACCUCUCAAAUGCAUACAUCCAUCUAUAGAAGACUGGCCCACAUAACCGUAAUUCCCGAACCAAGUGCACUAUGAGAUGUAUCAUUACAUCAAAAAAUGAUGCAGGAAAAAUUUUUUCUAGCUCGCACAAAGUUACUAUUACAUCUGAUUGCAAUUUAUCUAGUUUAGAUACGUCGACAACUUUGCUGCAUAAAGCAUUAAAGAAGAAACACAAUCUAAUUAUUGUGACCCUGACUUUUUUUGGAAGUACCGCGCGAAUUGCAAUAGGAAGUAAUUGUUGAAGUAGGAUGUGGCAAUCGUGGGACUUCAACCCAAACAUUUUUAAUUCUUCCAUGGAAACACAGUUUUUAAUGUUUGACGCGUGUCCAUAAGGAAGUUUCAUGUGCAUUAACGAUGACAACAUCUUCUUCUUUUCUGCCUUGGACAAAUUAAAAAUCGAAGGAGGUAAAUAGGUCUUUCUUUCUCCUUUUUGUGGAGCUAGAUCAGCCCUAACCCCCAUGUCAAUCAUGUCAAGACGAGAAGCUUCACUAUCUUUAGACUUAUGUUUCAUAUUCAGUAGUGUGCCAAUCAAGCUAUCACACACGUUUUUCUCCACGUGCAUAACAUCUAGACAAUGACGGACAUGGUGAAAUUUCCAAUACUCUAACUCGAAGAAAAUUGACUUUUUCUUCCAUGGACAGUCAACCUUCUUUGACUUCCUUACUUCUUUCCCAAACUGAAAUUCAAUUUUUUCUUGCUGCAAUAAAACCUCUUCUCCCGAAAGAGGUUGACGUGCCUGCCCUAAUUCUUGUUGUCCAUUAAAAGCAGCUUUUUGCUUCCUAUAUGGAUGAUUUCUAGCCAAGUAACGUCGAUGACCUUGGUAACACAUCUUCCUACUAUGGCUUAAAUACUUUGCAACAGUAUCAUCACCACAUAUUGGACAAGACAUAUAACCUUUAUUAACACAUCCGGACAGAUUUCCAUAUGCGGGAAAGUCGUUUAUUGUCCACAAUAAAAUUGCUUUUAAAGUGAAAUACGACUUAGUGUGUGCAUCAUAGACAUUUGGUUCACCUUCCUCCCACAACUUCUUUAAAUCAUCGAUUAGAGGCUGUAAAUAUACAUCAAGGUCAUUACCAGGCUCAUGAGGACCGGGAACUAAAACUGUUAGCAUCAUAAACUUCCUCUUCAUGCAUAACCACGGAGGAAGAUUAUAAGUCACUAGUACUACUGGCCAACAAGUGUAUCUAUUGGUUAGACCGUUAUUAUGCGGGUUUAUACCAUCUGCAGACAACGCCAAGCGAAUAUUUCUUGCCUCACUACCGAAGGCAGGCCACCUAUAGUCGAUAUUUCUCCAAGAAGGAGAGUCGGCUGGAUGCCGCAUCUUUCCAUCUUCUAUUCGCUGCUUUGCGUGCCAGGUAAUCAGUUCAGAUGUAGAAGGAGAUUUAAACAUUCGCUUCAAUCUCGGAAUAAUUGGAAAAUACCACAUUAUUUUAGCAGGAACAUUAAUCCUUACUUUACCAUCCUUUCCUAACUUCCAGCGAGAUAGACUACACUUAGGACACUUAGAAGCAUCAACAUAUACCCCCCGAUAUAGUAUGCAAUCGUUUGGACAUGAGUGGUACUUUAUGUAUUCUAGGCCUAAGUUGGAUAAUGUUUUCUUGGCUUCAUAUGCAUUAGGUGGCAUCACAUUUUCCUUAGGAAGGAGAGAGCCAACAGUAGACAAUAAAUCUGUAAAGGCGCUAUCACUAAUUCCAAACCUUGCUUUCCAAUUAUGCAGUUUUAGCAUCGACUCCAAUUUGGUACAUUCACUACCCUCAUACAAAGGCUGUUGAGCAUCAGCCACAAAUCUCCUAAACUGAUACGACUCAUUAUUGUACUCACUCGAAUUAUACGCAGCAUCACAAACAUUGACUGUUUGUGAUGCAUGACCAGGGGAAUGCAUCGAUGCAGGGUCAAGCGUAGGUGCAGGGCUAGGGGCAUUGUCAUGAACUGUUGAUCCAGUGAUUCCACACCCUUGUGUGUGCCAAAUCCAAUCAAGGUAUCCCAAACUAAAACCGUAUUCAUAUAAAUGUCCCCUAAUAAUCUUAACUGCAAAUUUUUUAAAGUUAACACAUCUUUUGCAGGGGCAUGGGAUUUUUUUAGUAUCACUAGCAUUUUCCUCGGCAAAUAUUAAAAACUCUUCAACCCCGAUUUCAUAGUCAAGUGUAUCCCUAUCUUUGAAAAUCCAAGACUUGUCCAUGUUAUUCUCAAACUACCUGAUUGUCAAAUAUGAUAUCAAAUUACAUGGUAACAAAGAUCCAAACACAAUAUACAAUUACAUUUACAAACUAAACAAACACAAAUAUAUUUACACAGCUGUGCAUAAAACAUAAAAAACAAAUCCCAAGCUCUAAACAUAUAUAACACAGUACAUAAAAAAGAAACCCCAAGCUCCAAACAUAUAUAAAACAUAUAUACAACUACACGUUUAAUUUUCACAUGCAUACAUAUAACUACAAAAAGUUAUACUUGCAACCGAAACAUUUAUAUAAAUAUAAAGAAGAAUAUAGAAGAAUAUAUAUACCUAAAACCCAGCAGCUUCGAAACCCAGCACCUCCAAAAUCCAGCAGCUAUCCAGCAGCUUCGAAAACCCAGCAACUACCCUAAUCUCCAAGCUUCAAAUCUCCAAGCUUCAAAGAACCCUAAUCUCCAAGCUCCACUCGACCCUAAGCUUGAAGAUCGAACCUUAAGCUUGAACACAGCAGCUUCGAAUCGCGCACAAAUCGCACCUAGGGUUUAGAAGAGAGGGAAUCAGUUAAUAGAACAUUUGAAAGGGGGUUUAGAAGAGAGGGAAUCAGUUAUUAAACCAAGAACGAGGAUUGAAGGACUGAAGGAUUGAAGAAAAUCGCAUACCUAGGUUUAGCUGUCGAGAGAAAGGGGGAAGAGCUGCUGUCUGAAAGAAAUAUGUAUAUAUGUCCCGAUUGUUUUCUUUUGAAUGCUUUUGUUUUAAUUUUGAUUUAUUUUUAAUGUUUUUUUAUUGUUUUAUACUGAGGCGGGAGUGAAUGAUAUGUUAAAGGGGGGGAAAACAGUAGGGGGAACUAAUUAAAAAAUUGACUAAGGGCGGGGGAGCGGAGGGCGCGGGCUUUAAUAUUUUUAAAAUUGAGAUUAGACAUCGCUUAAUAAACAAUGUGAUGUGAAAAAAUUUUAAAGUGAGAGCUUAGACAUCACUUAUGUUAAGGACUGAUGUAAAGAUACCAGAAAGACAUCACAUAUAAAACGAGCGAUGUAAAAAAGGCAUUUUACAUCGGUGACACUUCCGACUGAUGUCUAAUGUGCGAUGUCUAUUGACGAAUUUCUAGUAGUCUCCAAAGGAUAUUUAUCUUUCCAUCAUGAUGCAGCAGUCUCCUUAACUGUGAAGGGAACGGAGUAUGAGGUAGCAAAGAACCUUCAUAUUUACACAGCCAUUGAUCUGUCGGGCACCUAAUUUCAGGGUCGAAUUCCAAACGUCACUGGAGAGCUUAGAUGGCUUGCAUUGCUCAAUUUAUCGCAUAAUAGUUUAACAGGACCUAUCCCAUCAUUGCUGAGAAAUAUGAAAGAACUCCAAUCUUUAGAUUUGUCCUCAAAUCGACUGACAGGGGCUAUUCCACCUCAGCUAACUGCAUUGACAUUUCUAGAGGUCUUGAACCUCUCGAAAAACCAUCUUAGUGGAGAGAUUCCUCAGAAAGGACAGUUCAGCACAUUCAACAAUGAUUCUUAUCUAGGAAACUCCGCGUUAUGUGGAUCACCUUUGACGAAGAAAUGUGCAAACACAGCAUCACCUCCACAAGAAGUCGGAAAUGGUGAUGAAGAUGAUGCUGGAGAUGAAUUGACAUGGGAAGCAAUCGUGAUGGGAUAUGGAUGUGGACUGAUAUGUGGAUUGUCAUCUGCGUACAUUGUUCUCAAACUAGGAAAGCCUUGGUGGUUUGUGAGAUAUAUCGAAGUACUGCAACUGAAGUUGAUGAAAAGAUAUGCAUGAAGAAUGGUACUGCACUACAACAAAAACAGCAUCACACAACGGUUUUUGCCCGUUGUCUGAUACCCAAGAAAACCGUGGUCUAUUGCGAUGCCGUCUGAUACGCGCCUCAGACAACGUUUUAUUAGUUAAAGGCUUGUCUAUAAGGCCAUGCUACGAUGGUAACAAAAACACUUGUAUGUUAGCUUCCUGGUCACACAACACUGUAUGGAACCCUUGUUUAAACGGCUCGUAAACAACACAACAAAUAAAACACUUGUCUAAUUACAACAACGGUUUCUUGAAAUAUUGUCUGAAGUUUCUUCACACAUCGGCUCUAAAAACAGUUGUCUAACGUGCAUCAUUACACAAUAUCACAGUUAAGAUACCGUUGUCUGAUUGAAUUUACUAGACAACACUUUUUAAACCGUUGUAGGUUGUAGGUGUUGGACAAUAGUUUUUCGAGGACGAAAAUAAAGUGUUGUGUCUUUGUUUCGGCCAACACUUUUUCCAGCGUCCGUUGUCUGACUAGUGUCGUGUGAUGCCAGUUUUGUUGUAGUGCUGGUUGAUCCAGACGAACUAGAAAGUUGUUGUCCUGGUAGACAUUUCUGAACCAUUUGUGUCCUGGCUGAAUAAGUAUUUGGUAUUAUGUAAUAAUCCGUUUGGUUGGGACUCAAAAUGAUUUCUCUUGCUUCAGGGGUAUUAAUAUUAACCUUCCUAUCUUGAUCAAUGUUAAAUCAAAUUAAAUGAAUGAAAAAACAAAAAGUAUGCAUCAAAUCCGCUCCUGCUGUACCUAACAAUUUAACAGCACCCUUCCACACUGUUCAUACCUAAUUUGCGUGUAAUAUGAAAACUAAGAGGCAUGGCUUUUGUCUUUGAGAGAACUUAUUCCAAGUCUUCUUCGGAGGCCUACUGCCUCAACAACCUUUCAAAGACUAUGCAAUAAUCCACGUGACAGAAAAACCAAAGUCCAAUUAGUAUUAUAAGUUCAUAAAAAAUACUAUAGGAUCAUUAGCAUUAGCAUUACAUUAGCAUACAGCAUAUAUAUAAAUAGAAGAAUGCAGUGUGGUAUUGGAUUCAUAAUCCAAUUGAGCAGAAACAUGGCACACUUUGUAAAGCCUUAUGACCUUCUUCUCUGUGUUUUCUUUCUCUCAUCACUUGAAUCCAUUCUUGCAACAAGACGAGAAGGAGAAGCUCUUGUGAAAUGGAAGAACAGCCUAGCCCCGUCUUCUUCUCUUGAUUCUUGGUCACUCACUCAUCUCGAUAAUCUUUGUAACUGGACUGGCAUUACUUGUAACUCUGCAGGUUCAGUCUCUGACAUUAACCUUUUCAACAAACAACUCACUGGAAAGCUUUUCGAGUUUGGUUUCACUUCAUUUCCGAAUCUCAACAAUCUCACCCUCGCAGAUAACUUCUUCUCUGGUCCAAUACCAUCAGCCAUUGGGAAUUUAACACAGCUUCAAUAUCUUGAUUUGAGCAAUAAUUAUCUCAAUGGUUCCAUUCCGUACCAGGUUAGCCAUCUUUCAAAAUUACACGUCUUAAACCUGUCAGAGAAUGAACUGCAAGCUCCAAAUUGGUCCAAUUUCUCCCCCAUGCCUUAUUUGACCAUCCUCGACCUUUAUCAGAAUAAUCUUAUGUUGGAAUUUCCAGAAUUUAUAUCUAACUCGCGUAACCUGACAUACCUUGACCUUUCAUAUAACAAGUUCACAGGCGAUCUUGUGCGCGAAUCAGUAUUAGCCAAUCCAGGUGAUCUCGAAACCCUCUAUCUUAAUGAAAAUUCUUUUGGGGGGCCAUUUCCACCAGACAUAUUCAAACUUUCCAAGUUGAGAGUUCUUGCCCUGUUCAAUAAUCUUUUUGAGGGGCCGCUUCCGUCAAAUAUAUUCAAGCUCUCUAAACUAAGAUUCCUUUUACUUUGGAGUAAUAAUUUUUCAGGUACUCUUUCGAAUGAAAUAGGUUUGCUUUCUGAGCUUGAAGACCUAGAUCUUCACUCCAAUUUUUUUGUGGGGCCGCUUCCGCCAAAUAUAUUCAAGCUCUCUAAACUAAGAACCCUUUUCCUCUUGGGUAAUAACUUCUCAGGUUCUAUUUCCAACGACAUAGGUUUGCUUUCUGAGCUUGAACACCUAUAUCUCGACUCCAAUUCUUUUGAGGGACCUUUUCCAACAAAUAUUUUCAAGCUUUCCAAAUUAAUACAACUUGGUCUCGCAAACAAUACAAAUUUAUUUGAAGGAAGUAUUCCUCCAGGACUGGGGCUCUUGACUAACCUAGAGGACUUGUCUCUUGCUUACAAUAAUCUUGGUGGCUAUAUUCCGUCUUCCUUUGGAAACCUAACACUACUAGUAUAUCUUAAUCUCGCUCGUAAUCAAUUGGUUGGAACACUAUCAAAGACCAUUUCUAAUCUCACAAAUCUAUGGUUUCUUGAUGUACAUCAUAAUAGUCUCUCUGGGAAUAUUCAGAGUGACUUCUGGAAAAACUCUACAUCACUGCGUUACAUUAAUUUGGCAGACAAUAAUUUUUCUGGGAACAUUCCUAAGGAAUAUAAUGUUCUUCCAAUCCUGGAUCACAUCAAUUUUAGGGGGAACAAUUUUACAGGUAUUUUUCUUUCCAUAUUUUUUCCUUCUGUUGUAUUCAAUUAUGCUAGAAACUACAGCCUCUGUUUUUUCAAAUACAUAUCGUUUAACUUUUUGGCACAAAACUUUAUAAUAAUUCUAACUAAAAGGUCAAUGAACUCAAAAAUGUGUGUCAAAAAGUCAAACGUCAUUUAUCUGAAAUCAGAGGGAGUAUAUAUUACUGUUUUACCAAAGUUUCAACAAUCAUGACAGGUGAGCUUCCACCAACAAUUUGCGAUGCCACUUCCCUUUCGAUUCUUGAUCUGUCAAAUAAUGGAUUUAGUGGUGCAGUUCCACAUUGUUUGGGGAAUCUUGCGGAUAAAUUGAUUUCGAUUAAUCUUGCUAAUAAUCAGUUUCAAGGACCAAUACCAACAAAUUUCUCCGAGAGUUGUCGUCUGACGUAUCUUAACAUCUAUAACAAUCACUUCAAAGGUUUGGUUCCCCAAUCUUUGGCAAACUGUAAGCACUUGCAAAUUCUUGAUUUUGGAAAAAAUGAAAUAGGUGGAACACUUCCGUCAUGGUUUUUUACUCUUGGAGAGCUAGAAGUCCUGAUCCUGCGAUCAAACAGAUUUUUCGGGAGAAUAACUAGAAGGAGCAUACCACGCCCCUUUCCCAAGUUGCGGAUUUUGGAUCUAUCCAACAAUCAGUUCACCGGCUAUCUGCCAAUUUUAUACUUCAAGAAUAUGAAACCAAAUGAUAAUAAUUAUGAUUAUUUCAACAACACAAACGAAGCCUAUUACGUUUAUCAAGUUUCUAUCACAUUAAAUGUGAAAGGAAGCGAGCAUGAAGUGACAAAUAUUCUUCAUAUUUACACGGCCAUUGAUCUGUCGUGCAACAAAUUUGAAGGAAAAGUUCCAGACAUUACCGGAGAGCUUAGAUGGCUUGCAUUGCUAAAUUUAUCUCAUAAUAGUCUUUCGGGGCCUAUUCCAUCACAACUGGGAAAAAUGAAAGAGCUCCAGUCUCUAGAUUUGUCGUCAAAUCAAUUGACAGGUGUUAUUCCGGAUCAACUUACUAGUAUGACAUUUCUUGCUAGUUUGAACCUCUCAGAAAACCAUCUUUCUGGGAAAAUCCCUCGGAAAGGACAGUUCAGCACUUUUGGCGAAGAAUCUUACUUAGGUAAAUCGGCCUUGUGUGGAGUUCCUUUGACAAAGAACUGUAUAGACGAUGUGCCACCUUCACAAGUUGGAAAUGGCAAUGAUGAAAAUGUUGAUGAAGAUGAUACCGUUGAUGAAUUCAAUUGGAAAGUGAUCCUGAUGGGAUAUGCAUGUGGAUUAAUAGGCGGAUUGUCUGCAGGAUACAUUGUCUUCACAGUCGGAAAGCCUUGGUGGUUUUUGAGAUACAUUGAGACACUGCAGCAGAAGUUGAUCUGAUGCGCAACUAGAAACAACGUUAUAAUCUUAGAAUGACUUGUGUCUUUAAACAGAGUUAGGAACUUAGGAUGACUUGUGGUGCUAUAUUUUUUUUUUGAAAAAAAAAAACAUAUUUUUGUAAUUUUUUAGAUACAGAUGUUAAGAAGGUGUUGUAUAUUCAUUUUUUACCCAAAAAAAAAAAGAGGGCUUAUUUCAUGAAAAUUAGAGUUUUAUGUAUUUUCUCCAGAAAUUAGUCCUUAUUUCUGAAAAUAAGGUUAGUCAAAACGGUCACUACACGAUUGGUAGCCUUUCAGUUCUUCCUAGUGUCCACUACAGUUUCAUUCCUUACCAGUUAUUUUAUGCUCUGCACUGCAUUAUGCAGCUUUCAUAUUACUGACAGCUAAUCUCCUUCCAACACUUUGCGAUGCGAAGCAGGGACGCAUAAGUAUUUUUAUAUGUGUAUUAGUUUUGAAGAUUAAAGUUGCAUGGACAAUUGUGUUGAUAAUUUGAGCAAUGUUAACCGGGAUAGGUCUUCUUCUCUCUCCCAAGUCUUCUGAGGACUCAUCGGCUCAGAUUAGUCUAUCCAAAAAUUAUGAUCUGACGGCUAUUGGCACACUAACGAUUUACAUAUCACUUGAAUAUUACUGGAUACCCGCAUCUUGUUUUAAAUGGCGUAUAUCGGCUAAUAGUUCAACGAUGGUGACAAAUCCCGGUGAUCCAAAUAAUUGAUUGUCGCAAAAUUUUCCGCUUACAUCCAACUAACACGUAUUAGGAAAAAAAAUUAUAUAAUUAAACACGCUCAUGUAUCUAUAUCUUUUACAAGAUUGUAAGUCCCCAAUUCUAUGUGAUAUUAGCUAUAUGUGACUAGAAGGUUUAGAAAUACUAGAUUAUCAAGAUUUCUUUUUAUUCUAGCUAGUGUUGAGUUAUAUUUAUUUUCUUCAAACAAUCAAUACUUAUUUUUUAUUAAUAUGUGAAACUCCAAUAUAUAUUAUUAUACGAUAUAUUAUGAAAACACUAUAUUUUGUAAUGUUCAUCUUAUCCUACCAGCAAAAUUACAUCGCUAACAAAAUUAUAUCAAUUUUAUUUUAUAAACUCAAAUAAUUUAAUUUAUGAAACAACUCUAUGAGAUUCUUAUCAUGAGUUAGAAUUCAAAUAAAUAAAGAGUUCAUAUUGAUAAGUGGAAUUGAUGUGCAAGUAAGGGGUAUAAAAAAAUCUCAAAAUAACUCCAAAAAGCACAUGACAUGUUUGAUUUAAUAGAACUGGUACAUAAACAGGGGGACCAUUAUAUUUAUAAGCAAGUGACCAACAAUAGUUUACUACUGAUAUUUUGUGAUAUUUUUUGUGAUAUUUUUUGAGACCUUUAACAUUAUUCUGUGAAGUGGUAUACUACUGUUACUAGUUCUGAAACUUCAAACAAAGUAGGCGCAACAUUGUAAGAGUGAUUAAUAAAGUUGAGAAACAGUGUGUACAUUGAGCAGUAUGACAAUCAGGUUCAGCAUAUAAUACAAUCAGAUUCACAAUCAGGUUCACGAGAAACAUGCUGCAUUCCAAAAAGCCUUAUUAUCUUCUUCACUAAAUAACAAGGCAAAUACAGCAUAUAAAUACAAGUUAUAAGUACAAGUGUGGUAUUAGAUUCAUAACCCAGUUGAGGAGAAACAUGGCACACUUUGUAAGGCCUUCUCACCUUCUUCUCUUUGUUUUCUUUCUCUCAUCACUAGAAUCCAUUCUUGCAACAAGACGAGAGGGGGAAGCUCUUGUGAAGUGGAAGAAUAGCCUAGCCCCUUCUUCUUUUCUCCACUCUUGGUCACUCUCCAAUCUCGAAAAUCUUUGCAACUGGACUGGCAUUACUUGUAACUCUGCAGGUUCAGUCUCUGAGAUUGACCUUUGUGAGAAACAACUUGAUGGAAUGCUGUCCGAGUUUGGUCUCACUUCAUUUCCAAAUCUCAACAAUCUCACCCUCGCAGACAACUUCUUCUCAGGUCCAAUACCACCAGCCAUUGAGAAUUUAACACAGCUUCAAUAUCUUGAUUUAAGCAUGAAAAGUCUUAAUGGUCCCAUUCCGUUCCAGGUUAGCCAUCGUCAGAGCUUGCUCAUCUUAGACCUGUCACAGAAUGCAUUGCAAGCUUCAAAUUGGUCCAAUUUCUCUCCCAUGCCUCAGUUGCGCUUCCUCAAGCUCAGUAGCAAUCAUCUUGUGUCGAAAUUCCCAAAUUUUAUAUCCAGUUCUCAUAGCCUGACUUACCUCAACCUCUCAUAUAACAUUGGAAACCUCAAAAAAUAUAUAUUUAUAUAUUUAUAAUUAAAAAAUUGAAUUACUUAAUAUAUUAAAAAAUUGAAUAAAAUUUUAUAUAUUUUAUUAAAAAAUUGAAUAAAAAUUGAAUAAAAUUGAAUAAAAUUGAAGUACACGAAAAGGUACACGACACGAAAUACACGACUGAGAAGUCGUGUCGGUUUUGUGUUUACCCUUCGGGUACACGACACGAGGUACACGAAAUAAAUAAAUAAAUAUAUAUAUAUAUAUUUACCCUUCGGAUUAAGAGUUGGUCGCGGACAAAUUCAAAGUUUCCCAAUUAUCCUUUAUUUUAUGUAACUUUGCUUAUGUUUAAGCCUAAAUUUGGACAAUAUUUGUAAAAUAUUAAUAUUUCGUGUACUAAUUCGUUACCAGUUUCGUGUAUUUUUUCGUGUAUAUUUCGUGUUUUCGUGUUUUCAUGUACUAUUUCGUAUCGUGUCGUUUUCGUGUACAUGAAAAAAUUCGUGUACUACAGUUCGUGUCGUUUUUACCUGUUUCUAAAUCGUGUCGUGUUCGUGUUUACAAUCGUGUACACGAAUUGAAUUCGUGUCGUGUUCGUGUAUACCCACCAGAUACACGAAACACGAAAGUACACGACACGUUUAUACACGACACGAACGAUUUGCCAGGUCUANGAAACACGAAAGUACACGACACGUUUAUACAUGACACGAACGAUUUGCCAGGUCUAUUCAAACCUAGCAAGUAACCAAGAGGGGGCAAACUCCACCAGAGACAAAUCAAAGACCAUACCUGAGUAUUGCCAACAUAACAUUACAAACUGGCAGGUGAAAAAUAUGUGAAUAAGGUCUUCGUCACCAGAGUUACACAUGGGACAGUCAAGAGAAAGAUUUACUCCCUUAGAUUGUAAUCGACUUUUCACAGGCACAUUAUUCCUGCAAAAACGCCAUAAAAACACUUUGAUCUUAAGAGGAACCUCCAACUGCCAGAGUUUCUUCCACCCACUAGAUUGUGUAACAGUGCCAGUGCCAAUAUUUUGGGCAUGCCAAAACUGGUAACCUGUUUUCACAGAAUUUUGGCCGUUAGUAGUCUUUGACCAAGCUAGAUGAUCCACGGUCGACCUAUAGGGAACAGAAGUUUUUAAAAAUUAUGUAAUUCAUUCAAUUCCGUAUCAGACAAUACAUCUUAUCAUCGGUGAUAAUGGAAAUAGUGUAGAUGUUUGACCUAGUCCAUGUUUGACAACCAAUAUAAUAAGAAAUAAAUUCUUAUUUUUCUAAAAAAUAUAUUUUUGUAUAUAAAUGUUAAAGAGAUAUUUCUUAUUUGUUGUUUGAAAAAAGUAAAGACUUAUUUCAGAAUAAAUAAAAAUUAUUGUACAUUCUCUUUAUUUUUAAAAAUAAGUUUGGUCAAAUCGCCCAUAAUUCUCGUAAUUCAAAAGCCCAUUAUUUUUUUUUUUCUUGCUAAUUGAUCAGCACACGCACACGUUUCCAACUUCCCGCAAAGGGUACCGGAGUACCACCACACCGACGCUUUGUUGGGCCCAAUAAUUGGCUGAAGUUGAACGGGGCUUUCUGCCUCCGCUGGACCCCAGUUGGGAGGACUCUUUCCAAGUCUUUCGGAGACUCUUUCCCAUUGACUCCAACUUUCCAGGGUGUAUACAAAUUUUUUGAAAGAGGGUGUAUACAAAUUAUUCACGGCCAUCAAAUUAACCAGCGUAGCUGGUGAACAAAUAUUAUUGUUUAUUAUAAUUUUAUUUAAUUUAAAUGUGAUUAUAAAGAACAUAAGAGGACGUUUGAAAGUGUGGGUCUUAUUUCAAACAGUAGAUUUCAAAAAAUAUGAUUUCAAUUGUUAUUUAAAAUUCUUAAAUUUAUAUUAUAUUAAAAUGUUCUUAUCUAUACUAUACUAUUAAAACCGAAACAUUAAAAGUUUGGUCGGUCGGUACUUGGGCCGAUAUAUGGGCCUAUCUAUAUAACUAAUUAUUUUUUUUUAAUUUUGGGCCGAAAUACAGGCCUGUCUAUAUAAUCAAUUAUUCUUUUUAACUAAAAUAUGUUAUCUUUUUUACUAUUAAAGCCAAAACAUUAAAAAUUUGAUCGGUCGGUACUUGGGCCGAAAUAUGAGCGUAUCUAUAUAACUAAUUAUUUUUAUUUUUUUUUAUUUUUGGCCGAAAUACAGGCCUAUCUAUAAAAUCAAUUAUUCUUUUUAACUAAAAUAUGUUAAUUUUUUUUACUAUUAAAGCCGAAAUAUUGAAAGUUUGGUCGGUCGGUACUUGGGCUUCUAGGCCGAAAUAUAGGCCUAUCUAUAUCAUCAAUUAUUCUUUUAAACUAAAAUAUGUUAUCUUUUUUACUAUUAAAAUCGAAACAUUGAAAGUUUGAUCGGUCGGUACUUGAGUCGAAAUACGGGCCUAUCUAUAUAACUACUUAUUAUUUUUAACUUGGGCCGAAAUACAGGCCAAUCUAUGUAAUCAAUUACGCGGUAUUCUUUUUAACUAAAAUAUGUUAUUUUUUUAACUAUUAAAGUUGAAAUAUUGAAAGUUUAGUCGCUCGAUACUUGAGCCGAAAUACGGAUCUAUCUAAAUAACUAAUUAAUUUUUUUUAACUUUGGAUGGAAAUACAGCCCUAUCUAUAUAAACAAAUAUCUUUUUAACUAAAAUAUGUUAUCUUCUUUAUACUUUCUAACUAAAAACUCAAUCUUCUAAAUGAACAUGGAAGAAUAUAGUAAUUAUCUUUUUAACUAAAACAAAUUAUCGUCUAUUAAAUCAAAUUAUAACAAACUAUCCAUAAACAUCCUUAAUUUAUAACAAAUUAUUAAAUAUUUUUUAUCAUCUACUAAAUCAAAACAUUAAAAAUUAGAUUACCAUUAUGGAUCAGUAUUUGAAUUACGCUUCUCUUUAACUUAUAAUAUGUUUUAUACUAUAUUAUUAACUAUUAAUAACUAAAUAUUAAAACGCUGAUUGGGUUGUUUCUAUCUGGGUUUACGGGUCUCCUCAAAUUAUAAUCCCUCCGUUCUUAAAUAUCUGCCUUUUGACUUUUUGGCACGCAUGUUAAAGUGUUUUGAAUUUAUAGUAAAAAUAUUAUUUUUAAAUUUCUUUUUCUGAAUAAAAAUUUUAUAUCAAUACUUUUAUUCAUAAAAAGAAAUAUUUGAAAAUAACAUUUCUAGCUAUGUGGUCAAAAUAUCUUAAAAUGUGUGCGAAAAAGUCAAAAGGCAUAUAUUCAAGAACGGAGGGAGUAACAUGUAAAAAAAAUUAUUUUAACAUUAUCAUUAAAAAAUUAUAUAUUUGACCUAAUUAUAAAUUAACUAUUUGAAGGAAUAAACUAUUAAGAAUUUAUUUAGCUGCUAAAUAAAAGUUUUUUUAAUAACAUUAUUCUAUCACAAUUUUACUUUCAAUAAAAUUCGUUAAAUCUAAAAUAUAUGCGAUGAAAUAACAAAUAUUAAAACCGCCCGUGCAUUGCACGGGUUUUAAGCUAGUUCUAAUUAAUGAGUCACUAUUCGUAUUCUCAAGCAUGUUAGUUUGUUAAAAUUUAAAAUUUCAAAUGAAAUUAGGCUAAAAGACCAUAAUAUCAAAUCAAAAUCUCAUUAUCCAAUAUAUUGGUGGGCAAAAAUAUUAAACCUGGCUAUUCAUUAAUAUUGGUUCUUUAUUCAAAUUAUGUCAAAUUUAUAUAAAAUUUCGAAAAUUAUUUAUGAAUAAGAGUCGGCAUUCAUAUAUUUAUUAAGGAUACAAGUGAGAAAAUGUUAUUAAAUUAAUAUUUUUUAAUAUACGUAAGUUUUUUAAAAUAAAUUUGUAGCGUGGGACGGGAGUAUUAGACUGAUUCUGGCUUGGAGUGAAUCAGCCCAUAAAGUUUACAGGGUAGAUGACCAUUCUUAAAUCUUAAAGAAUCUUACGGUGACAGCUAACUGAACGACUCGGUUUCAGAAGUGCUGAAAAGUUUCGACGUAAACUACAAUUUGCCUAGCAUGUAAUUUCCAUGCAUUUUCUCGUUACGAGUAGGUUUGUCCGGAAGUACAAUUCAAAAUAGAGUGCUGUUAAAAAAAAUUGAGUUACUUAUUCAAUAACUUUUUUGAUAUUUAUAUAUUUUUAAUUAUAAUAAAGAUACUAGUGAUUAUGGUUAGCUUUUGGAGUACUUUUGGAGUACUUGGAAAUUUUCUUUUCGAGAAAAACGAGAGUACCUAUUUCAAUUUUUUACCAAAAAUUAUAAUUGAAAACAACGGACUUUUAUACUUAUCAUAACAAUUUUUAACAUCUUGUUUAGAAAUAACCUGUUGUUGUAUUAUGCAAAAGUAAUAUCACUAGUUUCUAUAUCCGUAUUCUAAUGAUAAUAAAAACAUCUCUAAUUCAUUAAAACUCUUACAUAGAAAUUGAUAAAAAAAGAAGAUAUAAAAUAAUUUAUUAAAAAUAUAUCAAAGUUUUUGCACUCGGUUAUAAUUAUUGUGUAAUUUUUUUUUUCAAUUCCAAGAUAUUGUUAUAAGAAAAUUUUACAUCAUAUAUAUAUUACAAAAAAAAUUAAUGUAUUAUAUAUAUAUAGGGUCCUACUCUGGUACAAACCUUUUUAGCGUACAAACUACAAACCAAAAUUAAAAAGUCUCUAAAUCAAAUCAGAAUAUAGCACAUAUGGUAUGGAAAUUGAUCGUUGCGAGAUGAACAAAAAUAAUGAUUAUAAAGUUUGUAUUUGAGCCAUUAUAUAUAUACUUACAAUAAAAGUAAUAAUAUAUUAUAUUCUAAAUAUAGUUAACCACUGCAGUUGGUCGCUUAUAAAUAGAAGUGUGCAUUAUAGGAUGAAACGUACAUCAAGCUGAGGAGAAACAUGGUACACUCUGCAAAGCUAUAUCAUCUUCUUUUACUUGUUUUCUUUUCCUCCUUACUUCCAUCCAUUCUAUUGGCAACAAGACGAGAAGGAGAAGCUCUUGUGAAAUGGAAGAAUAGCCUAGCCCCGUCUUCUUUUCUUGAUUCUUGGUCACUCUCCGAUCUCGAUAAUCUUUGCAACUGGACUGGCAUUACUUGUAACUCUGCAAGUUCAGUGUCUCAGAUAAAUCUUUCCCAAAAACAGCUCGAUGGAACGCUGUCCGAAUUUGGUUUCACUUCAUUUCCGAAUCUCGAAAAUUUGACUAUAAGAGACAACAGCUUCUCCGGGCUAAUACCACCAGGCAUUGCGAAUUUAACACAGCUUCAAUACCUUGAUUUAAGCUACAAUUAUUUCAGUGGUUCCAUUCCGUACGAGGUUAGCCAUCUUCAGAGAUUACGUGUUUUAGACUUGUCGUAUAAUGAAAUGCAGGCUCCAAAGUGGUCUGACUUCUCUCCCAUGCCUUUUAUGAGCAUCCUCAACCUACGGGCCAAUCAUCUUGUGUCGAAAUUCCCAGAAUUUAUAUCCAAUUCUUUUAGCCUGACUUUCCUUGACCUUGGAGACAACAAGUUCACCGCUGAUCAUCUUGUGCUCGAAUCAGAAUUUACCAAUUUGCAAAAUCUUGAAACGCUGUUUCUUGAUGGUAAUUCUUUUGAGGGGACGUUUCCACCGAAUAUAUUCAGGCUUUCUAAAUUAAAAUACCUUUCCCUAUCUGCUAAUAAGUUUUCAGGUUCUGUGCCGGAUGACAUAGGGAUGCUUCGUGAUCUUGAAUCCCUUUAUCUUGGUAACAAUUCUUUCAAAGGGAUGCUUCCACAAAAUAUUUUCAGACUUCCCAAAUUACGGGAUCUUUCCCUCUGGGGUAACAAUUUUUCAGGUCUUAUUUCAGAUGAUAUAAGGAUGCUUUCUAACCUGGAAUCUCUUGAUCUUAAUGGUAAUUCUUUUCAGGGUCCGCUUCCACCAAAUUUCUUCAAGCUUUCCAAAUUAAGACAUCUCGCCCUCUCAAAUAAUAAAAGAGUAUUUAAAGGAAGUAUUCCUCUUGGGUUGGGGCUUUUGACUAACCUUGACUACUUAUGUCUUAAUUCCAAUUAUCUCACUGGCUACAUUCCAUCUGACAUUGGAAAUCUAAAGCUACUAGAACAUCUUGAUCUCAGUUUUAAUCAAUUGACCGGACCGCUCCCAAAGAUCAUUUCUAACCUCACUAAUCUAACGCGUCUUGGUCUGAAUGAUAAUUGGUUUUCCGGCAGUAUUCCAAGUGACUUCUUGGAAAACUCUACAUUAUUAUUUUACAUUGAUCUUUCAAACAAUGAUCUGUCUGGAAGCAUUCCUAAGGAAUUCAACGUUCAUCCGACAUUGGAUUAUAUCAAUUUAAGUGGAAACCGUUUUAGAGGUCUACUUCUCUCUUUAAAUUUUUAUGUUCGUUUUGUAUAUGCUAGUAACCUGAUUAUUACACUUUUACUGAAGCUUCAACAAUUCUAACUGCAGGCAAGCUUCCAGCAACGAUUUGCAAUGCUACAUCCCUUUCGACUCUUGUUCUGUCAAAUAAUGAAUUCAGCAAUGCACUUCCACAUUGUUUGGGGAAUCUUGCUGAUCAACUUCUUUCCAUUAAUCUUGCUAAUAAUUUGUUUCGAGGACCAAUACCAACAACUUUCUCUAAGAGUUGUCGGCUGACAUAUCUAAACAUGUACAACAAUCACUUUGAAGGGUUGUUGCCGCAAUCUCUGGCAAACUGUAAGCACCUACAAAUUCUUGAUAUUGGAAACAAUGAAAUAGGUGGUAAAUUCCCGUCAUGGCUGUUUACUCUUGGAGAGCUGGAAGUCCUAGUCUUGCGAUCAAAUAGAUUCCACGGUCCAGUCAAUGGAACAAGCUCAGCAAAUUUAUUCCCCAAGUUGCGGAUUGUUGAUCUCUCCAACAAUCAAUUUACAGGCGAUUUACCAAUUCAGUAUUUUAAGAAUAUGAAACCAACAGAUAACCACUAUAGUUAUUUUUAUACAGAAAGUGGUUUUUACUAUCAUCAAGCAUCGAUCUCAUUAACUGUGAAAGGAAGAGAGUAUGAAGUGAAAAAGAUCCUUCAUAUUUAUACAGCCAUAGAUGUGUCAUGCAACAAAUUUCAGGGAGAAAUUCCCGAGGUUAUUGGAGAACUUAAAUGGCUUGCAUUGCUCAAUCUAUCACAUAAUAGUCUUAUUGGACCUAUCCCAUCACAGCUCGGAAAUAUGGAAUCACUUUUAUCUCUAGAUUUGUCUUCAAAUCAUUUGACAGGGGGUAUUCCCGAUCAGUUGAUUAGGUUGACAUUUCUAGAGGUCUUGAACCUCUCGGAAAAUCAUCUGACAGGGCCUAUCCCCCAAAAAGGACAGUUCAGCACAUUCAACAAGGAUUCUUACCUAGGUAACUUUGCCUUGUGUGGAUUACCUUUAACUAAUAACUGUACACACACUGUGUCACCACCACAAGAAGGCGGAACUGGUGACAAUGAUGCCUAUGAUGAACCCGAUUGGGAAGUGAUCCUCAUGGGAUAUGGAUGUGGACUAAUAUGCGGAUUGUCCACAGGGUACGUUGUCUUCACAUUCAGAAAGCCUCAGUGGUUUAUGAGAUACACUGAAAGCGUGCAACAGAAGUUGAUGAGAUGAUGCAUGUUGAGUACCGUUCAAUCAUGAAGCACAACUGGAAACAAUGUUAUCUUAGGAAAACAUGUGUUCUGAACCAGUAGUGUUUGCACAAAAUUUGUGGUGCUAUGUAAUACUUAUAUAAUUGUACGUAUGAUUAUUGAUUAGUCGUUGAGAAAAUGCAUUUUAUUUCAGUGUCAAUGAUAAUCUACAUGUUUUGGAUACUUCCAGCUUCUCAUACUAAUAUAGGAACCACUUGAAAAAUUUUGGACAGGCUCUGAGGAUGCUAAUGCUGCUGUUUAGUUUCUACCGCGGAAUUGACUUUAGCAUAUACUCGUAUGACAUAUUACUAGAUAUAUGGUUGUUAAAUAAAAUUAUCUUUUUGUGGAAUAAAUAGGAAAGCAAAAUCAUAGAAUAAUGUAUGUUAUAUAGGAAGGUAUUGUCCUCUUAGAUAGGUAUCAUUUAUGCCUCAUUGGCAUGUCUCAGAAAACUUUUGGGUUAACACAAUGUUUACUUAGAGCAUUGCCAUUCCUUAAAUAUAAUAUAAAAUAUUGGAUCUUAGUGACUUAAGAUGAUAAUAGCUAUUCGCACCUCCAACAAUAUUCCUUAUAUUCAUUCCUUAUAUACUAUUUUAUUAUUAAAAGUUACCAUUAUUGCAAUAGGUGAAAAGAGAGAACAUGUUUGUAUUCAAAAUUUAUUGUAAAAUAAUAUUUAGGAGAGGAGAGAGGUUACCUAAAGAUAAGGCAUGGCUAGUUAUUUAGAGAAUCACUAGGAUACUGUUGGAGUGGAUUAUUUUCCCAUAUUACUCAUAUUUUGGUUUAAGAUUCCUAAUAGGGAAGCUGCUGGAGUUGCUCUUAGAGCAUCUCCAAGAGAUUCUUCAUUUAAGCUCCUAACUUGAGAUUUGAGUAGGGAGAGGAAAAAUGUUGCUCCAAGAGACUCUUAAGUGGCUCUUAAAUCACUAAGAGCCUCUUGUUUCUCUCUCCUCUCUCCUCAAAGUUAAGAGCCACCACAUUGCUCCUAACUUAUUUUUUCACAAUAAAAAAAUCUUUUCCUCCAAUUCAGCUCCAUCUUUCCAUCUCUUUUGUUAUAGUGGAGCCCAAUAUAUGAAUAAAAUAUGAAAUAGAGAAGAGAUGUAGAGAGUAUUGUUGGAGUUUACACUCUUAACUUUGUCUUAAAUUGCUAAGAGCUAUUUUUUUAUAUUAUAUUUAGGAGCCAAUAAGGAGGCUCUUGGAGAUGCUUUUAGUACUAAUUGUUAGAAUAUGAAAAUGCAGUUAUGAACUAUUAUGCUAGAGAGAGAAAAAUUCAACAAACUUCAUUUCUGUAAACUACAACUAUUAGUCUGUUACAUUGCUGAAAGCUACAUUUAUACAUUUACAGUUUACAACAAACUAUGAAACUGAUUUUCCCGCGUCCUCCUCACUUGUCCACGUGGCCUGACUGGCUUGGUGUCCUUGACACUCUUUAUUAUUGCUAAUAUAUACUUAACACUAAUACCUCAAAGCAGGGUAUAAAUUCAAUAGCACAGCUUCUGGAUAAUGGAAAUUUAGUUAUCCAGAGGUCUUGGUUUUACAUAUCACUUGUAUAUUAUGUCUCGGUCUCAUUGAAGCAUACCAAACGAGAUUUUGGGUUUGUUAAUAUUUUUUUAGUCCAAAUUUGAAUAAUACUGUUAUGCUUAUUCACACGGUAGACGUGUUUUUAUUAAAAUACUGCAACUGAAAUUGAUGAAAACAUGCACAAAGCAUAGCAGACGAAAGACUUGAGGAGAUAUUGUCUUAGGCGAUGCAAUACGUUCUAAUAUAAUGCUAUAUUAUGCAAUCUCGUUUAAUACUUUCAUCAUUAUUCUCCAAGAUGUCUGAACAUGUAUUUUCAAAGAAUUCUCAGUUCACCUUUAGUCUUAUAGCGACAUUUUGAAGGCACUCUCAACUUACACCCUAUAUAUACACGUACGGUUCACUUCAGUACAAAGAUUUUAUGAUACAACUCUCAUAUUAUGAACUAGUUCUGUCGAAUACAUGAAUAUUGAUCAAUCAUUUGAACUCGAGUUUCCCAGCUGGCCAGAUACCCAGAUUAUUAGCCAUGCAAAACAUGCAGAACCACUAGUAAUGCAGAAAAACAAUAUAUUAGUUUUCUCCGGUGUUACAGAAAUCAGGAAUCGGACCUAAUCGGUUUAGCUACCGAUUUAGGGAUUAAUAGGAAAUAGGGGAUUAAUCGGAGUGAAAAUCGGAUUUAUUUUAAUAUUAAAAUAUUAUUUAAUAUUUAGUUAUUAUUAUAUUAGCUAUUUAGUAACUAAUAUAUUUACUAUAUUCAUAAACUCUAUAAUUAUUCGUAUUGAAAGUAAUAUAGUAUUUUAAUUUUAAUAAUUUACUAUAUAUACUUCGAUUAAGAAAUAUAUAUAUAAGGAUUAAUCGGAUUUCAAAAAUCGAAUCGGUGGCCAACCUUGCAGAGGAUUAAUCGGGGAUUAAUUGGUUGAAUCGGGGAUGUUUAGAACACUGGUUUUCUCCAAAUAUCACUACAACAAAACUGCCAUUUUACGACGGAAAUCUAAUAUUCUAAAGGGUUACGACCAAACUAUGUCGGUGGACUUUAUUUUAAUUUACCGUUUAACAGUAGUUAAUUUUGGAUAUCUACACUUGCGAUGGAAAACAUACGACAGUCUACUUCGUGAGAGAAAAUCAUUUUAUUUUAUUUUUUAGCGCCAGAAUUUUAAUACUGAAAUAUUAUAUAUAUGAAGGAAACUGAUCUCUAAUGUUUUCAGCUUGCUCAUCCAUCGUAAGUAAUCCGUCGAAAAAGUUAGUUUGUUGUGGUGGUGUCUUAUCAUGAGAGAAAAUGAUAAUAUCGCAAAAUAUUUGCAACUGAAAGAUAAAUUAUAAUUCUAGAAACCAUUUAGGUAACGAUGCACGAAGUUAUUUUCACUCACUUAGAAUUAAUGNUGAAAACAUGCACAAAGCAUAGCAGACGAAAGACUUGAGGAGAUAUUGUCUUAGGCGAUGCAAUACGUUCUAAUAUAAUGCUAUAUUAUGCAAUCUCGUUUAAUACUUUCAUCAUUAUUCUCCAAGAUGUCUGAACAUGUAUUUUCAAAGAAUUCUCAGUUCACCUUUAGUCUUAUAGCGACAUUUUGAAGGCACUCUCAACUUACACCCUAUAUAUACACGUACGGUUCACUUCAGUACAAAGAUUUUAUGAUACAACUCUCAUAUUAUGAACUAGUUCUGUCGAAUACAUGAAUAUUGAUCAAUCAUUUGAACUCGAGUUUCCCAGCUGGCCAGAUACCCAGAUUAUUAGCCAUGCAAAACAUGCAGAACCACUAGUAAUGCAGAAAAACAAUAUAUUAGUUUUCUCCGGUGUUACAGAAAUCAGGAAUCGGACCUAAUCGGUUUAGCUACCGAUUUAGGGAUUAAUAGGAAAUAGGGGAUUAAUCGGAGUGAAAAUCGGAUUUAUUUUAAUAUUAAAAUAUUAUUUAAUAUUUAGUUAUUAUUAUAUUAGCUAUUUAGUAACUAAUAUAUUUACUAUAUUCAUAAACUCUAUAAUUAUUCGUAUUGAAAGUAAUAUAGUAUUUUAAUUUUAAUAAUUUACUAUAUAUACUUCGAUUAAGAAAUAUAUAUAUAAGGAUUAAUCGGAUUUCAAAAAUCGAAUCGGUGGCCAACCUUGCAGAGGAUUAAUCGGGGAUUAAUUGGUUGAAUCGGGGAUGUUUAGAACACUGGUUUUCUCCAAAUAUCACUACAACAAAACUGCCAUUUUACGACGGAAAUCUAAUAUUCUAAAGGGUUACGACCAAACUAUGUCGGUGGACUUUAUUUUAAUUUACCGUUUAACAGUAGUUAAUUUUGGAUAUCUACACUUGCGAUGGAAAACAUACGACAGUCUACUUCGUGAGAGAAAAUCAUUUUAUUUUAUUUUUUAGCGCCAGAAUUUUAAUACUGAAAUAUUAUAUAUAUGAAGGAAACUGAUCUCUAAUGUUUUCAGUUUGCUCAUCCAUCGUAAGUAAUCCGUCGAAAAAGUUAGUUUGUUGUGGUGGUGUCUUAUCAUGAGAGAAAAUGAUAAUAUCGCAAAAUAUUUGCAACUGAAAGAUAAAUUAUAAUUCUAGAAACCAUUUUGGUAACGAUGCACGAAGUUAUUUUCACUCACUUAGAAUUAAUGCUAAAUAUUUGCAACUGAAAGAUAAAUUAUAAUUCUAGAAACCAUUUAGGUAACGAUGAGCGGAGUUAUUUUCACUCACUUAGAAUUAAUGAUAAAUAUUUGCAACUGAAAGAUACAUCAUAGUUCUAGAAAAGGAUCCACGAAGUUAUUUUCACUCACUUAGAAUUAAUUGUAAGUUAUUGUGAGUUUUUGAAUAUGAAUUAUCUCAAAUUUUAUUAAAACACAUGUUGAUUCUUAUAUACAAAUUUGCCUAUCUAAUAUUAUAAUAUUUAUGGAGAAGGUGUAUGAACAAUUGUGUAGAUAAUUAUACUUUACAAAGCAUACUUCUGCUAGCUGAAUUUUGAUUAAAAAAAUCGAAAGGGAUAGGUCUGGGUCUCUCCAAGUCUUUGAGGACUCAUUCCAAGUCUUCUGAUGAGGACAAAAUAUAUUGCUGGAAGUCUUUCAGUCCUUCCUAGAGUAUUUUGUGCUCUGCACUGCAUUAUGCAGCUCUCAUAUAACUGACCGCUAACCUCCUUCCAACACUUUGCGAUGCAAAACAGUGGCAUGUUAUAAGUAUUUCCGUAUGUGUAUUUAUUUGGAUAUUAAAGUUGCGUAACAUUUGUGUUGAUAAUUUGCGCAAUGUUGAUGAGGAUUGCUCCCAAGUCUUGGCGGACUCUUUCCAAAUCUUCUGAGGACCUAUGGGUUCAAAUUAGUCCAUUAAAAUGAAUACCAUUGUUUUGUGAUUAAGUUGUAUGGUUAAGAGCUUAUCCUCUGUCGUCCCAGGUCCUGGGUUCGACCCUGGCUCACCCCGAGAGUUUCGUAGAACAGAUACUCAUUAUAAGGCUAUAAGCCAUAUUUGUCAAAAAAAAAGUUGUAUAGGCAAUAUGCAUUGCAAAAUCAGCAACAGAAUAUAUACUAAUUAAUUACCUGAUAUCGGUUUGAACAAAUACUUUCUAUGUAGUUGUAAUAUUAGUCUUCUUUAAAAGUUAUCAUGAGGGAAGAUAUAUAUUGUGAUGCGGGGGAAAUAUUGUAACCGAAAAUAAUUAUAAUUCUAAAAAUUUCCAUUAUACACUUUUUUUAGUGUUCGUACGUGGUAAGUACUUCAGACGACAUUUCUCGCGUAUGCCUCCAAUUAAGAAUUUGAUGUUCAGCCUAGUCCUAAACUAAAAUUAUUAUAAAUGUGUAAUUCAAAAUUAUAUUGCUGGUAGGCUCUGAGAUUAACCUUAAACAAAAACAACUCAGUGGAACGCUUUCCGAGUUUGGUUUCACUUCAUUUCCAAAUCUCAACAAUCUCAACAUAGCACGAAACAACUUUUACGGUCCAAUACCACCAGCCAUUAAGAAUUCUAUUUUAAUAUGUAACAUUCUAUUUUCUAAAAUAAUAAAUAUUUUUUUUAAUAGUUGGUCAAAAAUUAGUCAAUUUGACUUCUCAAAAAGCAGAAAGGACAUGUAAAUUGAGACGGGGGAGUAUUUAACGGAAUUCAACGAAAGGUGUGCGUAUCGUUCUUGAAAUGUAAAAAUAGGUGGUGCAAUUCGAGUUUCCAAACCUAUGGGUACAAUAUCGUUUUUAAACGUAAGCUAGGGGGUCCAAAUUACAAUUACAUGUAUAUAUAGUGACUUAACGGAGUGCAUAUAGUUAACGGAAGUUAACGGCAGGGAGUGCAUCUCGGGCUUGAAUAGUAAAGAUAAAAGGUGCGAGUUGAGUUUCUCAAAGUAUGAGUACAAUAUCGUUUUUGAAUGAUAGUUAAGGGGUGCGAUAUGCAAUUACCUCAAAAAAAUAUGAUCAUUAGUAUAUUAUAUUAGUAUCCACACACUUAUAUCUCAAAAUCUAUCCUCCAAAAUUAUCAUCUAUAUAGGCUAGCCACAUAAAAUAAAAAUUUAAAGAUAUUAGAUAUUUAGUUAUUUCAAUUAUAUAAUUUUUCCACGCAAAAUAACAAAAUAUCUUUAUCAACUUAUUAUUUAUGAGUUAAAUAUUCAACUUAUAUAAUUCGGGCAUGCUGGGUAUAAAUAGAAGUGUAACGCCUAAUUUCCGGGGUCUGGGAGUAGUUAGCGGGGUAUGAGAGAGCAGGCUAUUUAGAAGUCUUGGUCAUGAAAACUUCCAAGCUAACUUCGACAACGGAAUCUUCUGAGGCUACUAUUCUAAAGCACGCAUAAUCAUUGUAUUCAUUUUCCUCUAACACUGGCAAAAAGUCUAUUUAAGCAAAUGAAAUACAAACAACUGAGUGGAAUGCUGACCGAAAGUCUUUUUGGCUGAGCUUAUGAUUUAUUAGUACAUGAUUAAUAUGAUAAGCUAAGCUGAGAGCAUAAGAUAUCGUGUGUAUAAUUUUGUGUUUAUUAAUGACUUAUAAAUUAUUAAAAAUAUAAUAAGAAAAAUAAAAAUGAUUUAUAACUAAUUUAUGUUUUAUGAGUAAUUUUUAUUAGAAAAAAGUUUUAAAAAAUUAUUUCACUGAAAAAAAAUCCUCCAACUAACUUUUGGCUCUAAGUCAGUUUUUGAUUUAUUUAUGAUUUUAAGUCGGAUUCUGAUUUUUACACAAACAGAAAAUUUCCAGCUUAAAGUUAAAAACAACUUUAAGCUCCGGUUUUAAACCUCUGAGUUUGGUUUCACUUCAUUUACAAAUCUCAACAAUUUCACCAUCAAACACAAUGACUUCUCCAAUCUCCGGUCCAGUUCACCAGCCAUUGAGAAUUUGGCACAACUUCAAUUCCAUACCAGGUUAGUCGGCUUCGGAGGUUACACGCCUUAGACCUGUCAAAUACAAAUUUCAAUCUCCAAACUGGUCCGAUUUAUCUUCUAUGCAUUUUGUUGAGUCCGGCUCAUCUAAAACCUGAAGGUGUUAGAAGAAACCCGAAUGAAUCUUAUAUAUGAAUCUUAUAUAUGCUAUAUUUAAACAAUUCUGAGCACACUCAACCUUGGUAUUAAUAAUAUCGUGUCGAUAAUUCCAGAAUUUAUAUCUAAUUCUCAUAGCCUAACUUUCCUUGACCUUUCCAUAUAACAAAUUUACAGUUAAUCCUGUGCUUGAAUCAGUAUUUGCAACCAAAAUUAUGCAAUUAUAGUGCAGGUAGUCUUCCAGUUCUUCCUACUCUAUGCUAUAAUUUCAUUUGAUACCAAUAAUUUUACGCUCUACACUCCAGGAUGAGCUCGCAUAUUAUUGACAGCAAUAAUCCUUCCAACACUUUGUGAUGCAAAGCAGGGGGGCGCCUGUAUUUUCAUAUGUCUAUAUUAUUGGAGAUUAAAGUUGUGUGGACAAUUGUGUUGAUAAUUUGCCCAAUGUUAACAGGGAUAGGUUGGCUUAAAAAUAUAUAAGGUCACUUGUGCAUCGCUGUUCACACACUUAGACCCUGUUUGUGUAAGCUUUAAGUCCGGGCUCAAGCAAUUUCGACUUAAUCACUUCCGAGGACCAAUACCAACAGCCUUCUCAAAGAGUUGCCAGCUAAGAUAUCUAAACAUGUAUGACAAUCAGUUAGAAGGACUAUUGCCCCGAUCUUUGUCAAACUGUAAGCACUUAAAAAUUCUUGACAUCGGGAACAAUAAAAUGGGUGGUACAUUCCCUUCAUGGCUAUUUAAUCUCGGAGAGCUAGAAAUCCUAGUCUUGCGAUCAAAUAGACUGUACGGUCCUGUAAGUGGAAGGAGCACAUCACAUCCAUUCCCCAAGUUGCGGAUUCUAGAUCUCUCCAACAAACAAUUCGCGGGCUAUUUGCCAAUUCUAAACUUUAAGAAUAUGAAACCAGCUGCUGAUGAUAACGCGUAUAGUUAUAAAAAUAAGUCACAAGGACUAAUUAAUUACAUCUAUGAAGCAUCUAUCUCCUUAAAUGUGAAAGGAACAGAGUAUGAAGUGAAGAACAUUCUUCAUAUUUACACAGCCAUUGAUCUAUCGUGCAACAAAUUUCACGGAGAAGUUCCAAAGAGAGCUUAAAUGGCUUGCAUUGCUCAAUCUAUCUCAUAAUAGUCUUGCCGGACAUAUGUUCUGAAUUAUUAUUAUGCUUUCAUCAAUAUUUUCAAACAUUUCUCAAUAUGUAUUUCAAAGAAUUCUCAAGCCCUGGAACAUUUGGACCGGUCCUUUCGAAGCCAAGAUGCCCAGGUUAUCAUGGCCAUGCACAAAAAUGAAUAAAUUAUUCCAAGUCUUCCAUGACUCAUUCCAAGUCUUCGGAGGAGACCCUGAGCACAAAGAUGCUCAGGGUCUCCCCAAGCCUUCCAGGACUCAUUCCAAGUCUUCGGAGCACGGCCUCGACUCGCCCUUUCAAAGAUGUGAUAGUAGCUCGAGAGUGAUAUAAAUUAUUUUCCGGACACUAAAAAUAAAUAAUCAGAUCAAAUUAAUCAAUAAUAAAUUAAGGAUGAAAUCCAAAUUAAUCCUAAAUUUUGAUAAUAUAUAAAAAUUAUAAUUAUAAAUUAUAUAACCAAAUCAGAAUUGAAUUAACUUCCUUGGCACUAAAUUGAUAAGGAAAGUAUAAUAAUUUAAAUUUAAUUGAUGAAAAGUCAAAGUCUUCUAAUAAAUCCAUAAAGAAUAUGAUAAUCAAAAUAACGAAAAUUAUAAUUGAAAAAUCAAAAUCAUUAGUGUAUUGGAAUAGUGUUCACACACUUAUAUAUCAAAAUUUGUGGUCCAAAAACUAUAGCACAAUAUCCUAAAUACACCACAUUAAAUAUUAGUUCAAAAAUAUUCUGUAAAUAAUUGUUUUCAUUCAUCAUUUUGUUAUUUAAAAAACUAAUAAUUUGGGUUGAUGUUAACCUAUAUUUUAAUAUAUAAUUAUAUUAUUUUCGUAUUAUUUUAUUUAACUAGAAACAAUAUUUUUAUCAGACAUCAAUUAUAUUAAAAGAUAUAAUUUUAUUAAAAAAAAUUGAAUUAAAUUAAUAGGAUAACUCUACGCCUCACCAAGUCUACAAGACUCAUUUCAAGUCUACCAAGGACCACUACCUCGGUCCUCAACCAUUGGGAGAUGUGAAAGUAGCUUGAGAGUGACAAAAAUUAUUUUCCUCACAAUAAAAUUUAAUAUCUGAUAUAAAUUAAUUAAAUUAGUUAAUAAUAAAUUAAAACUAAUCAUGAAUUAUGAUAAUAAUUAAAUAAAUUAUAAUUAAAUUAUAUAAAUCAACUCCAAAUGAUACAAAUGACACUAAACCUUAGUUACUUUAUUGGUAAAUAAAUAUAAUAUAAUAAUCAAAUUGAUGAAAAAUCAAAAUCAUCUAAUAAAUUCAUAAAAAAUAUAUGAUCAUUAAUAUAUAUUAUAUUAGUAUCCACACACUUAUAUUUCAAAAUCUAUCCUCCAAACUUAUCAUCUCUGUAAACUAGCCACAUAAAAUAAAAAUUUAAAGAUAUUAGAUAUUUAGUUAUUUUCAUUAUAUAAUUUUUCCACACUAAACAACAAAAUAUCUUUAUCAAAUUAGUAUUUAUGAGUUAAAUAUUCAAGUUAUAAAUCCAGCAUGCAGCGUAUAAAUAGGAGAAACAUGGCACACUCUGCAAAGCCUUCUCACCUUCUUCUCUUUGUUUUCUUUCUCUCAUCACUUGAAUCCAUUCUUGCAACAACACGAGAAGGAGAAGCUCUUGUGAAAUGGAAGAAUAGCCUAGCCCCGUCUUCUUUUCUUGAUUCUUGGUCACUCACUCAUCUCGAUAAUCUUUGUAACUGGACUGGCAUUACUUGUAACUCUGCAGGUUCAGUCUCUGAGAUUUACCUUUAUGAGAAACAACUUGAUGGAAUGUUGUCGGAGUUUGGUUUCACUUCAUUUCCAAAUCUCAACAAUCUCACCCUCGCAUACAACUUCUUCUCCGGUCCAAUACCACCAGCCAUUGAGAAUUUAACACAGCUUCAAUAUCUUGAUUUGAGAAAUAAUUAUCUAGAUGGUCCCAUUCCUUUCCAGGUUAGCCAUCUUCAGAGCUUGCUCAUCUUAAACCUGUCAGAGAAUGCAUUGCAAGCUCCAAAUUGGUCCCAUUUCUCUCCCAUGCCUUUUUUGCGCAUCCUCAACCUCAGUCACAAUCCUCUUGCGUCGAAAUUCCCAGAUUUUAUAUCCAAUUCUCAUAGCCUGACUCACCUUAGCCUUAAUUAUAACGAGUUUACUGGUGAUUUAGCACGUGAAUCAAUAUUUGCCAAUCUGCAUAAUCUUGAAGUCCUCAGUCUUAAUGGCAAUUCUUUUGAGGGGCCAUUUCCACCAGAUAUAUUCAAGCUUUCAAGAUUAAAACGUCUCUUCCUGGCAGUUAACAAAUUUUCAGGUUCAAUUCCCAAUGACAUAAGGUUACUUUGUGAUCUUGAAUAC
rnacentral:lncRNA from 1 species